rnacentral:lncRNA from 1 species
AAGUAGCUCUCCCUGUUUAUUCUUGUUCUGUUGAAGCAAUCUCCUGAUAUUAUGUUGGCCAACAGUACCUUGCAAUCAAACAAAAGAAAUUUAUGUGAUCCUCAUGUGUUAUUCGUUUAUUAAGUGCUGUGUGUUCAUUUCUCAUUUGCUGUGUGUCUCAUUUGUGUCUGAUCUUGACAGUAUUCAUUUUCUGCGAAGCCAAACUAACGGCUAUUUUUUCAAAUUGAACAGCUUCUGAGGAUCGAGGAGGAGCUGGGCGAUGCCGCGGUGUACGCUGGCCUCAAGUUCCGUGCACCGGUGGAGCCCUACUAGAUGGGAUCUGCACGAGUUUUUGUGAAAAUGGGUGUGUUUAACCUCCGGAAUGAACUCUGGUUGAAGCUCUUAGGAUUGAGCAAUAAUGAAUGCCGCGCAUGUUUUAUGUGAACGGAACGGAUAUGUACCCCCAAACUUGCUCCAAUUUUGGUCCUUGUGGAUAUGUACCUGAUUCGGCCCUGAACCUUUUGGAUGUGUAAUACUAGUUUUUGGCGCAUCAUCUUUGCCGUUAUUGUGUUAGUUUACUUGUUGCAGAAAGCAUGCUUCUGAGAAACUUGCUUUCAUCUUUGUUUGCUAUUCUCAAAACACUGGUUUUCCAUUGCCAUCUGUUUUUCUUUUAAAGAAACUUGCUUCUGUUGUCAUUGAUGGGGCGUCCUGGUUGAUUGGAGAUGAGUACUUGAAGCACGUCAUGAUUUCGGAGGUUUGCCUCUGACAGCAACGGAUUUCAACUAGAAAAACUGGGCGAAAAACAGAUUGAAAACCGGCUGAAAACCAUCAUAUCUGAACAAAUUACUCCAUAGGUGAUUGUCGAGAUAACCCACAUUGUAGCGGACGCGUGAAGGUGAAUGAAAAUCUGCACAAAAACUUAGCCACUUGCAACCACCUUCAAUCUUGCCACAAAAGCCUGGACACCACCACCGCUAACCAUCGGUCCUGCUUGUCGUGAGCUCCAAGAUGAAGCCCCUGAGAGGGAAAAUGACACACCCGAGUGCCACAAUCGUCCGAUCACAAGAUCAAGGGUUUCCCUUGAAGAGGGAGGCCAUGAUGGUCGGGUCCCUGCAGGAGGUGUGCGAUAGCAUAACACCGAUGCCUAAAGGAAGGUUAAGGACGACCACAACCGCAACCAUUGUUGGUCAUGGCACAAAGGUCGAGAUGGGGUCUUCACCCAAGCUCCCUUACCACCUCGGUCGCACAUCAUCCCGCACUGGCGCCGGCAAGACCGCCAACCACCGUCUCUCACAAACCAUCAUCCCACACUGGCGCCGGCAAUGUCUCUUCUCUCUACUCGAAUCAUUAUCACAUGGGCCGCUCGUAAAGAUGGAAGUUACUCUCUGGGCCAUUUGAUCGUCACGUUGAAAGGCCAUUCACGAAAGCAUCUUUCAAAGCCGGGCUGCAUUGCAUUCUUUUGUCACAAGAUUCAUUGAUGUCCAAAUUAUUCAUGAGAAGAAGCCGUUAGCUGCUGUGGUGGGCAUUGCUACUGCAAAUAUGGGUGCUCAUCGCCCCAAGGGGCCCCCUCCGUACUUUGCAAAAAUCCACCUUGACGCGACUAUUCAGCCAUGUAUGGGAGAAUCGGCGGUGGCUGUUUGCCGGGACAACAACGACAACUAUCUACGCAGCUCGGCACUAGUUAUUGGAGGUGUUCAUGGCCCAACGGCUGGCUUGCCGUGAAGCUCUAUCAUUAGCAAGAGACCUUCAUCUACACAAUUUUAUCAUAACAUCUGAUUCUAAACAAGUUGCGGGAGAUAUUAGGCAAGGUAGCUAGGGUAGAGUUAGUGCCAUCAUCAGUGAGAUCAAAGCAGAGCAGCUUCUUUUAAUUGUAAUUUUACUUUCGAAUGUCGUGUUAUUAAUUUCGACGCACAUAGUUUACUAGUGAGGUUCUCUUUCUUUACCUCGGCCCGAAUUGUAUCCCACUAAUUAUGGUCUUUGAUCCCCUAAAAAAAUGAUUUUUGAUUAAUAAAAUUGGCUUUACCCUAAAAAGGUAAAAAAUAAUUAUCUCCCAAAAAAAGCUAAAACGAAAAAAAAACAUCACCCCAUCUUCUCCCCACUCCUUGAUGGCGCCUCCCGCCGCCGGGGAAACCCCACCUACGGAGGCUGCGGAGAACAGCGCCAAGACCGAGGAGUCGCGGUGGCUCGCGGCCCUCUCCGAGCCAGAGCUCGUCCGUGACGCCCCUCCUCUUCUUAUUCUCUCUUAGCUUCUCUUCCUAACGACUGGUGUUAAUGGCGCCACGGUGGUGUUGUGCAGGAUCUCCUCAUCAGCCUGAAGAUGCUGGCCGUGAAGCGGGCGGAGACGGCCGGCCGCCCCCACCUCGCCGACGGGUUCGAUCUGCGCACGCUGCGUGCCCUCGGUACUUACUACCUGAACCACUUUGCCAGACACUCAUCAUAUAUAGCCGCAGCGAUCUCUUUGCUGAGCAACAUGCUAUAUGCUUGUGCUUUUCCAGGUGUUGUUUUGCUGGAGGAUUUCAAGGCACGGUUAGAAGAAACCUCGGUCGAUGCAUCCGUUCUUGAUAGACUUGCGCUGUCGAGGGACUGUGUCGCGGAUGCCGGCGGCGGCAGUGGUGACUCUGAGGUGCUCAGGCGGCACGGCAAAGAUGAGCCAAAGCCAAAUAGCGUCAAGAGAGAACGAAAGCAGAGGCAGGAUGGGUGAGUCCUUUUGAGUAUUCGGUCGGUUUGGCUGAAGCAGUGCAGUCCAAUUUAGCUCAUGCCGAUAGUUUCUUGAGGUUCUGUCACUACUAAUGCAGUUACGGCGUGUUUGCGUAUGAUGCAGGCGCCAUGGAGAAACCGUGAAAAGCAAGAAGAAAAGAAAACUGAGCGAGAGGAGAUAGCAUCGAGAGAGCAGACUGCGACGAUCUUCCUACUGAUAGUGAUCUAGUGCAAACACCGCCCAGGGAUGUAUGUCGUUGAGCGACAACACUGAAGCUGCUGCUGCUGCUGUUAGUGGUGUAAAUUUUGCUUUUUUUUUAUCUGAACUCGAAACUUGUUUUGGGAAUGCAACCCGGCAGGGAAGGGAUGCCGUGAACUGAUGAUGAUGACUGCUGUGGCAACCAGGCGUAGUUUAAUGCAUCUUCGUUUCAGGACUCUCUUAACUGUGCCAUGAUUUCUUUUCUAGCAGCUGUAGGUUGCUGGGACCUGGGAGCAUGAGACACUCCCCUCCAGGAAACUGCUUUCGAAUCAACAACUAGGGUGGGUUAGCUGCUGGAUUCUAAUUUGUUUCGUUGCCUAGGCACCAGUUAGGUCGAUCAUAGCACAACUAAGAAUAUGAUUUCACCUCCUAUUCUUGGCAAAUAAUAUUUAGUGUCACAAAUUCAGUUGCUAGCAACAUGACGAUAUUUUCAGUAUCUAAUAGCAUUGCUAAUAAACCUUGCACCUUUUUUUUGGCAAAUGAUUACCUCUACUGAGCAAUGCCACAGCCUCUCAGGAAUGUGGAGAAUUUGGUUUAGCGUUAGCUGAAUCUUUAGUCUCUACAACAAUGCACCAAUAUCAAUUUUUGGAUUCUGCAACAAAUUAACUGAAAUAAUUUUCAAGGCAUAUCAGUGUUGAUGUUGAUUAAUUAUUCACUGCCAGGCUAAGAUCCUUUGGCAUCUUCUGUCACGGCAGCUGAAGAUGAUGAUUUAUAAUUUUAUAUAGUUGACUUGUCUGUUGUGACAUAAACUUACUUACUCUUUGUUUCCUUGAUUAAAUUUUCUUUUUUGUGGGGAUCUUAUGCACGGAAAGACCAUGUGCAUAACUUUACAUGCAUGUUCUUCCACCUAGACUGCUCUACGGCUGUGUUAAGGUGCCGGUUGGUUGACAAUGGUCACACAUUCAUAAUAUGAAUGUCUAUACAAGGGAUUAGGAUCCUAGUCUGUGAUGCAGUUUUUCUUCUAGAUGUACUAGUUCAACUCCUUUUCAUCAGUAUUUGAUGUUAAACUAGAUUCUUGUGCAGAUGGUUACCUCUUCUGAACAAUGCUUGCAAUGCUCUGGAAUGCUGAAAAACUAGUUUACCUUUUUGCUGAUUCUUUUUUAAUUCUUACAAAUUUAGUUGAGUUGCAUAACUAUAUUAUAUCUUAUAAGUAGCCAUCCGAGUACUUCUGUUAACUAAUGAUUUAGAGACUCACGGUGACCGUGUGACCAUUGGAUAACGCCGUCGAGGUGUUAACAAACUGGUGUUACCAAUAGAACAUCUCACAUUUAAUUUGCAUUUCUUGAUGUUUUAUAAUAGCACAUACCAUCUCUCCUGAAAUUUUAGAGACGACCAAUGAAUCACAGGUCUUGAUCAGUUUGUCCUUCUAUACAUACAAUUUGAUCGACUCAGGAACUAUCGAGAGGACAAAAACGACAGACGGACAGAUAAUCAACACAUAUCCAAGUUGUUUCAAAUUAAUUGCAGCCUGCAGGAUGCAACCUAUCACCAGAAUCUAAUUUCAAUUAUAGGAUUUUGGAAGCGCUUACCAGCUAGUCAUAAAGUUCAACAAUCUCUGAAUUGCUGCGGUGUCUGAAGAGCAGGAUGAGAACAGGUAGCUCCAGAAGCUGUAGAAGUUCACCCUCUCGUUGCACUUAUUUGUAGCCUGCAUAGCUCAUCUUUUGCUUCUUGUGGCACACCACCUACUUAAUUAAUAGAAUGAGUCAUAUAUUUGAACUCUCUACCUUGUUUAUCCUGCCAACCCAAACCCAAGAUAAAAGAUAUUAGUCAAUAAUAAUAAUAAAUGCUGACCAAAAUACCACUGUGUUAUUACAACUGUUGUUUCGGUGCUACCACAGUACACGAUGCGCGCAGAUUCAGGUUGCCACAGCUAUCACAAAUGCAACACUUAAUAUACUACCACCGUGGCAACUGGCAAGUCACAAAAGUUAUCAGUCCUUGGAUUUAAGUGAAGAUAGUUCACCUUCUUUGUGUACAUGACACCAGCAGAUCAGAAGAUAAUACACCAAAUGCACAUAAAAGACAAUACAGUUAACACCAUCUUGUUUACAGCAAGGCAAUAUAGUAGCAUGCCUCUGACACAUCAUCUUGUUUGAAUGCCUUCCGGCAAGAAAUGGACAACUAGUCUAUUUCUCUCACAUUUUCAGAGUAACACCAUCAACAGUGGCAGGACCAAGCUGCUCCAGCCUAAACAAUUGACUGGUACUGCUGGUUAAGCAAUGCAAACUACUACGAAACGUAACUUACUGUCAGCGCAUCGUCAAUAACUUAUAACCACAUGGCAGAGAUUAGCAAUCAUAGCUGAAAUGGAUCACUACUUUUGAUAUGUCAGUUUACCAAAAGAAAAGAAGCACAGGUCCAGUUCUUGCAGGCAACGAACCAACAGAGUAUUGGCAAUCAUUCGGCAAUUCCCAUCCAGCCAGCACUAAUACCACUUCUACUUUCAGAUAACCAGAGUCAGACAGGCACCAAGUAAACAGAACCAUCUACAGUUGCUACUAGAUGUACAAUCUAAGAGGAGGUGAACUUGGUGACGGCCUUGGUGCCCUCGGAGACGGCGUGCUUGGCGAGCUCGCCGGGGAGGACGAGGCGUACGGAGGUCUGGAUCUCCCGGGAGGUGAUGGUGGGCUUCUUGUUGUAGCGGGCGAGCUUGGCGGCCUCGCCGGCGAGCUUCUCGAAGAUGUCGUUGAUGAAGGAGUUCAUGAUGGACAUGGCCUUGGAGGAGAUGCCGAUGUCGGGGUGCACCUGCUUCAGCACCUUGAAGAUGUAGAUCUUGUACGUCUCCACGCUCUUCUUGCUCUUCUUCUUCGACUUUUUGUCGCCGCCGCCCUCCUUGCCGGAAGUCUUGCUCUUGCCCGCCGCCGGCAGCCGCUUCUCGGCCCUGGGCUUCUUCCCGGCCGGCGCCUUCUCGGCCUUCUCCGUCGUGGCCUCCUCCUCCGCGGGCUUCUUCGCCGCCGGCUUCUUCUCCGCCGCCUUGGGGGCCAUCGCUGCUUCUGGAGCGGGGAAAGGGGAAGCCGCCGAAGCCGGUGCGGGUUGGUUUGUUGGGGAAAGGUUGGGAGAUUUGGAACGAGAUGCUGGGAAAGGAGGAGCGGAGCUGAAGGAUUUAUACAGGGAGAGAUGUGACUGCUGAUUGGUGGAGGCGUGGUUGUCCCGGAUCAGUGACGUGGGACGGUGUGAGGCGUUCGGUGCUGUUUGGAUGGACGAUCGUGAUCUCUGCCGGGCGGACCGUGGUUUUCUUGAAAAAAAUUGGACCCUGAUAAGGCCCGAACGUUCGGUAGAAGCCCUUUCCAUACCGAAGAAAUGAGGAAUGCUGCGUCCACGCAAAGCUAUCUAAGGUUUACGUUUGUCUAAAAAAAAAAAGCUAUCUAAGGUUUACGUAGUGCUGCUGAUUUGGCAAAUUGGAAUAGGGAAGGGAGAGGGGCCCACACCCAUGAAAAUUAGGGGGAGGAGAGAAUUAAAGGGAAAGUUACGUAGGAUCACGUAACAGGUUACGUUGAUGUAAUAUUAGUGCCGAACAAAUUGUUCCCCAAGGCAGAAACGACCCAACGAUUCCGCUCGGAGCGGGGGUGUAGUGGGAAGAGAUGGAUUCGUUCGGCCGAUGGCGUGGUUGCGUUCGGCCGAUGGCGUGGUUGCGCCGAAGGCCUGAGGAAAAUGACGCGGCACCAUAAUUGCUUCAAGAUGCGUGUGAUUUCAUCCGACGGCCAUCGUGGUGUUCGGCCCAAAAGCUUAAAAUCUGGUCAUUCGGGAGUUAUAGGUUCCGAAGUUUUUUUAGGCGAACAGUGCACUUCACUUAAUAAAAAAUGUCUACGUGGAUACAAAUAUUUUCUGGAGGUUUUUUUAGGGGAAGGCCACAAUGGUUAGUGUCGGGGCCGGAUUUCCGGGACAUAAAUUCCCAGCAAACGACCCUUAUGUCACCACCAGCCCCAGGAUUACUGUUGCUGAUGGACAUUUCCUUGAUACAGAAUUCCAAGCAAUUACAAGUAUUUGAGUACAAGACCUUAUAGGUCCAUUGAGUACAACAAUGAUUUCUAGUGGCAGGUGAUGGAAACGACUCGUGGAUCUCCAACGUUGGUGGAACUCCAUUCCCACGGGAACAGCUGACCUGGAUAACUCCUAUCUCGCGUGGCUGCUAUCUCCGAAUCCUAGGUUGCGGGGUGUCUUCGUAGUGCUCGUCUCUGAGUCAUGAUCUGGCCAAGACAAUAGCCAGGGACAAGCCAGUGAGUACGUUUGAAUGUACUCGCAAACAUCAAGAACAAAAGAUAUACCGGAUGCAUAUGCUCAUGAUGAAUUAAAUUAUACUACCUCAUUUCCGGUUUAUAGGGCUCAAUUCAAAAAUCUCACCAACCAAGGUGGAUGAUGAGUGAUGGAAUAAUUUUCGUGGUUUGUAAAAGCACUCAAUUAAUGCGUUCGUUUUCCUCAAAGAAUUGUGUUUACCAGUGCAUUAAUUGCAAUGCAUGCAUGCAUGAAGUACAUGCAUUGGUCAAGUUUCUCAUAAUCCUUGCAUGCAAUGAAUUAAUGCAUCUUGAAAUCUGAGCAUGUGAUGGGGAACAAUCAAAUUGAGACUUAUAAAACGAGAAACCGAAAUUUUUGAGAUAAGCCCUAUAAACCGGGAAGGAGGGAGUAUGCAUGUGCUGACCGAGAAUAAAAGCAUGGCAUGACAAAUAUUCAUACGGUGCAGAAGGGUAAAUAAGUCAUAUGAUUAGUAAAUCAAAGAAAUGAAACGAAACAUCGGGCGUUGGACCGCCCAAAAAAUUCCAAGAGAAAUGCCAAACGGGUGUCUAAGAGAGAAUCGGGCGAGACAGGACCGCCCGAGAACUCAAGCGACGCCACGAGAGGUCUUGAAAAUGCAUGCCACAGUCGGGUGUCUGAAGCGACGCCUCAUAAAGGGCUUAUAUGAAAAUAAUAAAACGAGUAUCCAGGUGGACUAGCCAUCCUAAGUGAUACUCAUAAAAGAAAAGAAAACGAGUAUCCCGGGUAGUCUAGCCAUCCCAAGAGAUACUCAAGGUUAAACAUAAAAUGAAAAGGUUAGUCCACAACAAUAUCCAUAUCAACAAUAAUAUUCAUAGUGGCACCAGUAGUGACAAUAAUUAUCCUGCAGAACGAACCAUGAUCAAUUUAAUUAUUUCCUUCGGAGACUGACACUAAGACCGACACUUGACCAACUGUCGGGGGGAUGAACCCCGGGCAGGCAACGGAACCCGUAUCCUUUUCAAAAAUGACGAGGCCAACAUCGCCCCUCAAGCCGGCACGUGCUUGGCCGGGUCGCCCAACCCGGCCAACCCCCUCGACCCGGCCAAACUUCCAACCCGGCCGGACUCCUCAACUCGGCCCCAACAACCAGCUCAAGACAGUCAAACCCGGCACCAAGACUUCUCCAACAAGCCAGCUCCACCCUUGGCGCGUUCCUCAACCCGGCCACGGGUCAGUUCCCGUCCCAGCCCAGCCGUACGAUGGGACGAGUCUCCACCUACCAAUGACCGAGGCAACAGUGCCCCGCCCAUGCCUCUGGUCAGCCGGGGCAUGGCAACAGUGCCCCACCUACCCACUGACCAGGGCCGGCGUGGCAACAGUGCAACCAUCGUCACCAAUGACGCCAGCAAGCGGCGACCUGACGGAGCGCCACUGUAGCCGACUGAUAACCCACAAGUAUAGGGGAUCACAACAGUUCUCGAGGGUAGAGUAUUCAACCCAAAUUUAUUGAUUCGACACAAGGGGAGCCAAAGAAUAUUCUCAAGUAUUAGCAGUUGAGUUGUCAAUUCAAGCACACCUGGAUAACUUAAUAUCUGCAGCAAAGUAUUUAGUAGCAAAGUAGUAUGGAAGUAACGGUAACGGUGGCAAAAGUAACCGUAGCAACUUUGUAGUAAUUGUAACAGUGGCAAUGGUAAAGUAACUAAGCAAAGAUCUAUAUGUGAAAAGCUCGUAGGCAUUGGAUCAGUGAUGGAUAAUUAUGUCGGAUGCGAUUAUUCAUGUAACAGUUAUAACAUAGGGUGACACAGAACUAGCUCCAGUUCAUCAAUGUAAUGUAGGCAUGUAUUCCGAUUAUAGUCAUACAUGCUUAUGGAAAAGAACUUGCAUGACAUCUUUUGUCCUACCCUCCCGUAGCAGCGGAGUCCUAUUGGAAACUAAGGAUAUUAAGGCCUCCUUUUAAUAGAGUACCGGACCAAAGCAUUAACACUUAGUGAAUACAUGAACUCCUCAAACUACGGUCAUCACCGGGAGUGGUCCCGAUUAUUGUCACUUCGGGGUUACCAGAUCAUAACACAUAAUAGGUGACUAUAGACUUGCAAGAUAGGAUCAAGAACUCACAUAUAUUCAUGAAAACAUAAUAGGUUCAGAUCUGAAAUCAUGGCACUCGGGCCCUAGUGACAAGCAUUAAGCAUAGCAAAGUCAUAGCAACAUCAAUCUCAGAACAUAAUGGAUACUAGGGAUCAAACCCUAACAAAACUAGCUCGAUUACAUGAUAAAUUUCAUCCAACCCAUCACCGUCCAGCAAGCCUACGAUGGAAUUACUCACGCACGGCGGUGAGCAUCAUGAAAUUGGUGAUGGAGGAAGGUUGAUGAUGAUGACGGUGACGGAUUCCCCUCUCCGGAGCCCCGAACGGACUCCAGAUCAGCCCUCCCGAGAGAGAUUAGGGCUUGGCGGCGGCUCCGUAUCAUAAAACGCGAUGAAUCCUUCUCUCUGAUUUUUUUCUCCCCGAACGUGAAUAUAUAGAGUUGGAGUUGAGGUCGGUGGAGCACCAGGGGGCCCACGAGGCAGGGGGCGCGCCUAGGGGGGCAGGCGCGCCCCCACCCUCGUGGACAGGGUGUGGGCCCCCUGGUCUUGAUUCUUUCGCCAGCAUUUUUUAUAAAAUUCCAAAAAUAUUCUCCGUGAAGUUUCAGGUCAUUCCGAGAACUUUUAUUUCUGCACGAAAAUAACACCAUGGCAAUUCUGCUGAAAACAGCGUUAGUCCGGGUUAGUUCCAUUCAAAUCAUGCAAGUUAGAGUCCAAAACAAGGGCAAAAGUGUUUGGAAAAGUAGAUACGAUGGAGACGUAUCAACUCCCCCAAGUUCAAACCUUUGCUUGUCCUCAAGCAAUUCAGUUGAUAAACUGAAAGUGAUAAAGAAAAACUUUUAAAAACUCUGUUUGCUCUCGUUGUUGCAAAUAUGUAAAGCCAGCAUUCAAGUUUUCAACAAAGAUUAUGAACUAACCAUAUUCACAAUAACAUUUAGGUCUCAUGUUUACUCAUAUCAAUAGCAUAAUCAACUAGCGAGCAAUAAUAAUAAAUCUCGGAUGACAACACUUUCUCAAAAUAAUCAUAAUAUGAUAUAACAAGAUGGUAUCUCGUUAGCCCUUUCUGAGACCGCAAAACAUAAAUGCAGAGCACCUCUGAAGAUCAAGGACUGACUAAACAUUGUAAUUCAUGGUAAAAGAGAUCCAGUCAUAGUCAUACUCAAUAUAAAUUAAUAGUAAUGGAUGCAAAUGACAGCGGUGCUCUCCAACUGGUGCUUUUUAAUAAGAGGAGGAUGACUCAACAUAAAAGUAAAUAGAUAGGCCCUUCGCAGAGGGAAGCAGGGAUUUGUAGAGGUGCUAGAGCUUGAUUUUUGAAAUAGAGAUCAAUAAUAUUUUGAGCGGCAUACUUUCAUUGUCAACAUAACAACCGAGAGAUCUCGAUAUCUUCCAUGCUACACACAUUAUAGGCGGUUCCCAAACAGAAUGAUAAAGUUUAUACUCCCCCUCCACCAACAAGCAUCAAUCCAUGGCUUGCCCGAAACAAUGGGUGCCUCCAACUAACAACAAUCCUGGGGGAGUUUUGUUUGCAAUUAUUUUUAUUUGGUUUGAGCAUGGGACUGGGCAUUCCGGUGACCAGCCAUUUUCUCGUGAGUGAGGAGCGGAGUCCACUCCUCUUGAGAAUAACCCGCCUAGCAUGGAAGAUACAGAUAGCCCUAGUUGAUACAUGAGCUAUUCGAGCAUACAAAACAGAAUUUCAUUUGAAGGUUUAGAGUUUGGCACAUACAAAUUUACUUGGAACGGCAGGUAGAUACCGCAUAUAGGAAGGUAUGGUGGACUCAUAUGGAAUAACUUUGGGGUUUAUGGAAGUGGAUGCACAAGCAGUAUUCACGCUUAGUACAAGUGAAGGCUAGAAAGAGACUGGGAAGCGACCAACUAGAGAGCGACAACAGUCAUGAACAUGCAUUAAAAUUAAUAAACAUCGAGUGCAAGCAUGAGUAGGAUAUAAUCCACCAUGAACAUAAAUAUCGUGGAGGCUAUGUUGAUUUUGUUUCAACUACAUGCAUGAACAUGUGCCAAGUCAAGCCACUCGAAUCAUUCAAAGGAGGAUACCAUCCUAUGAUACCACAUCACAACCAUUUUAAUAGCAUGUUGGCACGCAAGGUAAACCAUUAUAAACUCCUAGCAAAUUAAGCAUGGCAUAAGCAACUAUAAUCUCUAAUUGUCAUUGCAAAUAUGUUUCAUUCAUAAUAGGCUGAAUCAGGAACGAUGAACUAAUCAUAUUUACAAAAACAAGAGAGGUCGAGUUCAUACCAGCUUCUCUCAUCUCAAUCAGUCCAUCAUAUAUCGUCAUUAUUGCCUUUCACUUGCACGGUCGAGGUGUGGACAAUAAUAAUAGUGCACGUGCAUUGGACUAAGCUGAAUUUUGCGAGCAUUUAAUUCAAGGGAGAAGACAAGGUAAUAUGGGCUCUUGGUUAAAUCAACAAUAAUGCAUAUGAGAGCCACUUCAACAUUUCCAUUAUGGUCUUCUCCUCUCGACCCCCAAAGAAAAAGGAAUAAAAUAAAACUAUUUACACGGGAAAGCUCCCAACAAACAAAAAGAAGAACGAGAAAUCUUUUUGGGUUUUCUUUUUAAUUAUUACUACUACAGGCAUGGAAAGUAAACUAGCUAAAAGCUACAACUAUUCUUUUUGUUUUUCUUAAGGUUUAUCAAACACACAAGAAGAAAGCAUAAAAAGAAAAAUAAACCAGCAUGGAUAGUACAAUGAAAAAGUAUGAGCACCAACAACUAGAAUGGGUGUGUGAACAUGAAUGUAAUGUCGGUGAGAAAUACGUACUCCCCCAAGCUUAGGCUUUUGGCCUAAGUUUCUCUAUGCCCAUGGAUCAAAGUUGUAGCUGGGGUCGUACUGAGAUGCAACAACUAUUGCCUCAUGAGCUGCAGCUUGGAGGCGAGCUGCCUCCGUCCUCCUCUCGUACUCGGUCGCCUCCUUCCUGGUUAUAAUAUAUCUCCUUUUUGCCUGAAAGUCAAAGAAAGUAGGAGCGGGGAGAGCAAUAUGGACAGCUUGACGCCUGUCAAACAUUAGUCGGUACUGGAGGGGCUGUUCAUUCCUCUCAACAAACUGAUGGCGAACCAUAGCAUUAUAAUCUAAAUAAGCAGGAGGCAAUUCCAUAUCAUUUUCAUGUAUGGGUAUCUCAAGAUAAUUAGCCACACGGGUUGCAUAAAUUCCACCAAACAAAUCUUCACUAAUACUGUUAUUAUGCAACCUACGUGCAACAAUGCCCCCCAAGUUAUAUUGUUUAUCUCCUAACACAACACUCUUGAGAACACUAAGAUCUGGAACACACAUGUGACAUGCCUCAUCCUUACCGUUUAUGCAUCUACCUAUAAAGAGAGCAAAAUAAUGUAUAGCAGGAAAAUGAAUGCUCCCUAUGGUAGCUUGUGUUAUUUCUCUAGAUUCCCCCACAGUGAUACUAGCAAGGAAAUCUUUAAACUCAGAUUUGCAAGGUUCACUAGCACUACCCCAUUGCGGGAGUUUACAAGCAGUAUUAAAAUCUUCUAAGUCCAUGGUAUAAGAUUUAUUAUAAAGAUCAAAUAGGACCGUGUGAGAAUUGUGUGAAGAUGUAAAUUUAAACCUUCUCACAAAGGAAUCAGUAAGGUGGUAGUAUUGAGGGCACUUAUCUAACAUGAAGCCCUCGAGUUCAGCAUUACGCACAUACGCGUCAAAUUCAUCCUUAAUUCCUGCUUGGACCAUGAAAUUUUAUGACGGCCAUUCACAAGGCCGCACUUGAGCUUCUCUUGGUGGUUCAUGGUCCGGCUCACGUAUUGCAGGCCUGGGUCCCUGCUUCCUUGAAGAAUCACCUUGGUACAUUUUCCUAAAUAUAUUUCUUCCUCUGAAAUAUUUCUGAAAUUUUUAGUAACUCGAAAUAAAAGUGAACCAAACUCAACAAAAUUGAUAGCAACCACUCCCACAAGUGCCUAGAGACUAUAUCAUGCAUUAGAACUACUUGGGACCAAAUAAAUUUGAUAUGCAAGCUCAAGAACAGGGUCACCUAAGCAACAAAAAUUUGCAAUGAAUAAAGCACUAGAACAAAAACUAAUUGGACCAUUGGAGGAGUCACAUAUCAAAGAACAAUCCCCCAAAGCAGUUUUGUGAGUGGAGCUUUGAGCAAGGAGAUCGAAAAUCGCAGCAAAACUAGCUAGAACACGGGUUUGAGCUAGGUGGUGAUUUUUUCUGGAGAAAGACAAAGUGUGUGGGUGCUGGAAUAAGUGGAGGGGGGCCACCAGGGGUCCACGAGGCAGGGGGCGCGCCCAGGGGGUGGGCGCGCCCUGGACCCUCGUGGCCAGGUGUUGGCUCCCCUUGAUGUGUUCUCAGUGCCAGAUAUUCUCAAAUAUUCUAGAAAAAAUCAUAUUUCAAUUGCAGGGCAUUUGGAGAACUUUUAUUUUCGGGGUAUUUUUUAUUGCAGGGAUAAUUCAGAAAACUGACAGAAAAUACUAUUUUUGCUUUAUUUAAUCUAAAUAACAGAAAGUAAAAAGAGGGUACAGAGAGUUGUGUUUUCUAACUUCAUCCAUCUCAUGCUCAUCAAAAGGAAUCCACUAACAAGGUUGAUCAAGUCUUGUUAACAAACUCAUUCCGAAUCGCAUGAAACCAGAGAAUUUUUGAAUAGCACUAGGUUACCUCAACGGGGAUAUGCACGUCCCCAACAAUAAGAAUAUCAUAUUUCUUCUUGACAGUAGGAAGAGGAAAUUCAAAACCUCCAAUAGUGAUCGUUGGAAUCUUUCCAAUAGAAUUGAUACUGUGGACUUGAGGUUGUUUCCUCGGAAAGUGUACCGUAUGCUCAUUACCAUUAACAUGAAAAGUGACAUUGCCUUUGUUGCAAUCAAUAAUAUCCUCUACAGUAUUCAAAAAGGGUCUACCAAGGAUAAUAGACAUACUAUCGUCCUCGGGAAUAUCAAGAAUAACAAAGUCCGUUAGAAUAGUAACGUUUGCAACCACAACAGGCACAUCCUCACAAAUACCGACAGGUAUAGCAGUUGAUUUAUCGUCCAUUUGCAAAGAUAUUUCAGUAGGUGUCAACUUAUUCAAAUCAAGUCUACGAUAUAAAGAGAGAGGCAUAACACUAACACCGGCUCCAAGAUCACAUAAAGCAGUUUUAACAUAGUUUCUUUUAAUGGAGCAUGGUAUAGUUGGUACUCCUGGGUCUCCAAGUUUCUUUGGUAUUCCACCCUUAAAAGUGUAAUUAGCAAGCAUGGUGGAAAUUUCAGCUUCCGGUAUCUUUCUUUUAUUUGUAACAAUAUCUUUCAUGUAUUUAGCAUAAGGAUUCAUUUUAAGCAUAUCAGUCAAAUGCAUAUGCAAAAAGAUAGGUCUAAUCAUUUCAGCAAAGUGCUCAAAAUCCUCAUCAUCCUUCUUCUUGGAUGGUUUAGGAGGAAAGGGCAUGGGUUUCUGAACCCAUGGUUCUCUUUCUUUACCGUGCUUCCUAGCAACGAAGUCUCUCUUAUCAUAACGUUGAUUCUUUGAUUGUGGGUUAUCAAGAUCAAUAGCAGGUUCAAUUUCUACAUCAUUGUUAUCGCUAGGUUGAGCAUCAACAUGAACAUUAUCAUUAACAUUAUCACUAGGUUCAUGUUCAUCACCAGAUUGUGUUUCAGCAUCAGAAAUAGAAAUAUCAUUGGGAUUCUCAGGUGUGUCAACAACAGGUUCACUAGAAGCAUGCAAAGUCCUAUCAUUUUUCUUUUUCUUCUUCUUAGAAGGACUAGGUGCAUCAACAUUAGUUCUCUGAGAAUCUUGCUCAAUUCUCUUAGGGUGACCCUCAGGAUACAAAGGUUCCUGAGUCAUUUUACCCCCUCUAGUCAUAACUCUAACAACAUUAGCAUUUUUAUUAUUAUUUAAUUCAUUGAGCAAAUCAUUUUGAGCUUUAAGCACUUGUUCUACUUGAGUGGUAACCAUAGAAGCAUGUUUACUAAUAAGUUUAAGUUCACCUUUUACUCUAGACAUAUAAUCACUCAAGUGUUCAAUCAUAUAAGCAUUACGUUUCAAUUGUCUACCAACAUAAGCAUUGAAGUUUUCUUGUUUAACAAUAAAAUCAUCAAACUCAUCCAAGCAUUGGCUAGCAAACUUAGUAGAUGGGAUUUCACCCUUAUCAUAUCUAUAGAGAGAAUUUACCUUUACUACCUGUGUCGGGUUAUCAAGACCGUGUAUUUCUUCAAUAGGUGGUAAAUUAAGACCAUGUAUUUCUUCAAUAGGAGGUAAAUUCUUAACAUCUUCAGCUUUAAUGCCUUUUUCUUUCAUAGAUUUCUUUGCCUCUUGCAUAUCUUCAGGACUGAGAAAUAGAUGCCCCUUUUCUUCGUAGUUGGCUUAGGAGUUGGUUCAGGAAGUGUCCAAUUAUUUUCAUUAGUCAAAAUAUUAUUCAAUAGCAAUUCAGCUUGAUCAACUGUUCUUUCCCUGAAAACACAACCAGCACAACUAUCCAGGUGGUCUCUGGAAGCAUCUAGUAGUCCAUUAUAAAAGAUAUCAAGUAUUUCAUUUUUCUUGAGAGGAUGAUCAGGAAAAGCAUUAAGUAAUUGGAGAAGCCUCACCCAAGCAUGUGGGAGACUCUCUUCUUCAAUUUGCACAAAAUUAUAUAUUUCCCUUAAAGCAGCUUGUUUCUUAUGAGCGGGGAAAUAUUUAGCAGAGAAGUAAUAAAUCAUAUCCUGGGGACUACGCACACAACCAGGAUCAAGAGAAUUAAACCAUGUCUUAGCAUCACCCUUUAAUGAGAAUGGAAAUAAUUUAAGGAUAUAGUAGUAGCGAGUUUUCUCAUCAUUAGUGAAUAGGGUGGCUAUAUCAUUUAAUUUAGUAAGAUGUGCAACAACAAUUUCAGAUUCAUAGCCAUAAAAAGGAUCAGAUUCAACCAAAGUGAUUAUCUCAGGAUCAACAGAGAAAUCAUAAUCCUUAUCAGUAACACAGAUAGGUGAAGUAGCAAAAGCAAGGUCAUAUUUCAUUCUAGCAUUCAAAGAUUUUUCUUUCAGCUUAGCUAAUAAUUUCUUAAGAUCAUUCCUAUCGUUGCAAGCAAGAAAGUCUCUAACAGUUUCUUCAUCCAUAACAUAACCCUCAGGCACAAUAGGCAAUUCAUAUCUAGGGGGAGAAUCUUCAUCAUCACUUUCAUCAAUAUUAUCAGUUUCAAUAAUUUCAUUCUCUCUAGCCCUAGCAAGUUGUUCAUCACGAAAUUCACCUAGUGGCACACUAUUAUCAAGCAUAGAAGUAGUUUCAUCAUAAGUAUCAUGCAUAGCAGAAGUGGCAUCAUCAAUAACAUGCGACAUAUCAGAAUUAAUAGCAGAAGAAGGUUUAGGUGUCGCAAGUUUACUCAAAACAGAAGGAGAAUCAAGUGCAGAGCUAGAUGGCAGUUCCUUACCACCCCUCGUAGUUGAGGGAUAAAUUUUGGUUUUCUCGUCUUCCAAGUUCCUCAUAGUGACCAGCAGAUAUAAAUCCCAAGUGACUCAAAGAAUAGAGCUAUGCUCCCCGGCAACGGCGCCAGAAAAUAGUCUUGAUAACCCACAAGUAUAGGGGAUCGCAACAGUUUUCGAGGGUAGAGUAUUCAACCCAAAUUUAUUGAUUCGACACAAGGGGAGCCAAAGAAUAUUCUCAAGUAUUAGCAGUUGAGUUGUCAAUUCAACCACACCUGGAUAACUUAAUAUCUGCAGCAAAGUAUUUAGUGGCAAAGUAGUAUGGAAGUAACGAUAACGGUGGCAAAAGUAACAGUAGCAACUUUGUAGUAAUUGUAACAGUGGAUAUGGUAAAGUAACUAAGCAAAGAUCAAUAUGUGAAAAGCUCGUAGGCAUUGGAUCAGUGAUGGAUAAUUAUGUCGGAUGCGAUUAUUCAUGCAACAGUUAUAACAUAGGGUGACACAGAACUAGCUCCAGUUCAUCAAUGUAAUGUAGGCAUGUAUUCCGAAUAUAGUCAUACGUGCUUAUGGAAAAGAACUUGCAUGCCAUCUUUUGUCCUACCCUCCCGUGGCAGUGGGGUCCUAUUGGAAACUAAGGGAUAUUAAGGCCUCCUUUUAAUAGAGUAUCAGACCAAAGCAUUCACACUUAGUGAAUACAUGAACUCCUCAAACUACGGUCAUCACCGGGAGUGGUCCCGAUUAUUGUCACUUCGGGGUUACCGGAUCAUAACACAUAAUAGGUGACUAUAGACUUGCAAGAUAGGAUCAAGAACUCACAUAUAUUCAUGAAAACAUAAUAGUUUCAGAUCUGAAAUCAUGGCACUCGGGCCCUAGUGACAAGCAUUAAGCAUAGCAAAGUCAUAGCAACAUCAAUCUCAGAACAUAAUGGAUACUAGGGAUCAAACCCUAGCAAAACUAACUCGAUUACAUGAUAAAUCUCAUCCAACCCAUCACCGUCCAGCCAGCCUAUGAUGGAAUUACUCACGCACGGCGGUGAGCAUCAUGAAAUUGGUGAUGGAGGAAGGUUGAUGAUGACGACAGCGACGGAUUCCCCUCUCCCGAGCCCCGAACGGACUCCAGAUCAGCCCUCCCGAGAGAGAUUAGGGCUUGGCGGCGGCUCCGUAUCGUAAAACGCAAUGAAUCCUUCUCUCUGAUUUUUUUCUCCCCGAAAGUGAAUAUAUGGAGUUGGAGUUGAGGUCGAUGGAGCGUCAGGGGGCCCACGAGGUAGGGGGCGCGCCCCCACCCUUGUGGACAGGGUGUGGGCCCCAUGACGUGGAUUUUUCUUCCAGUAUUUUUAAUAUUUUCCAAAAAGAUGUUCCGUGGAGUUUCAGGUCAUUCCGAGAACUUUUGUUUCUACACAUAAAUAACACCAUGGAAAGUCUGCUGAAAACAGCGUCAGUCCGGGUUAGUUCCAUUCAAAUCAUGCAAGUUAGAGUCCAAAACAAGGGCAAAAGUGUUUGGAAAAGUAGAUACGAUGGAGACGUAUCACCGACUCAACCCGGCCACUCCCUGACGAUCGACAAGACGGCCAACAGUGCCCCCAUACCCGGCGGGCCCAGCGCCCGGAGAACCCGGCGAGCCCUGACCCCAGGCAGGUCCCAGCGCCGGCUUCUCGGACAAUGACAAUCCGGCCCCACGGCCUUGUAACAUUACCCUUGUACCCCUGGGGGGUUGGCCUAUCACUACUAGGGAAAACCUUAUACAUAGAAUCUUAGCAGCAGCGCGGCACAAAAAGAGGCGCUACUGCUAAUUAGCAGUAGCGAGGUUAAGAAAAGCACGCUACUGAUGUAUAGCGCGUGAUGUCUAAACCGCGCUGCUACAAAAAUCUACCGACACUACCCAACAACCUAAGUUUACCAGCAGCGCUGUGUGACGAUGCGCGCUACUGCUAAUGCGAUAGUAGUAGCGUGCUUUUGAGUCACGUCGCUGCUGCUAAUUUUGAAAUUGUCCACACGGUUGGCCCGUUUAGCAGUAGCGCGUGUGAUGAAAGGGCGCUGUUGCUAAGCUCUUAGCAGUAGCGCGUUUUUCCUCCCGCGCUACUGCUAAGACGCAGCACCCCACCACCUUUUCCCACCCGUACGUCCUCCCCUCCCCCAUCUCCUCUCCUCCCUUUCCCCUACCUCCCACAUCCUCCCUCUCUCACUCUUCUUCUUCCUCAAUACUUCUUCCUCAAUACUUCUCCCCCCAUUACUCUCCCUCUUCUACCUACCUUUCUCUCUCUUCAUUACUCCUAGCUAACUAACACCACCUCCAUCAAUGCAUCUCCUUUCUCUUUUUCCUUCCCCCUCCACUAGUUGAAGUUGUCUCCUCCCAAAUUAGCUAGCUAGGUAGAUGUAGCAUUUAGUCAAGUGACCUAUUUGCCCCCUAACUAGAUCUAUCUUUGUCAAGAAGAGCUUUGUGCACUUGAUCUCCCUACAUCAUCAUCUCCACCGUGUGCUCGAUCUCGAGAUAGAGGUGAUUAAAAUUUCAUGCUUUUGCAAAAUGGAAAUAUGUGUAUGUGUGUGUGAUAUGAUAAUUGGGCAAUAUGAUGGAAAUUGUGUGUGUGGCAUGAGUUGACGCCAAAUUGUGCUUUUGAGUUGCCUAUGUUUUGCCGAAAUGUCGAUUUAUUUCCGUUUCGGCGAAUUCCGGGCAAACUCUAGAUCUAUAUAUGUCCUAUUUUUAGGGAAGGUCAUGCCGAAUUUUUGUAUGACUUUGAUGCAUGCACGCAUUUUUAUAAUCAAUUUGUUUAUUAUUACCGUGCAGACGUUCAUGAUGGCAGUGGAACGAUGGUGGACAGGUGGUUGCGGUCGGUGGUGUAGGACAUGAAAGAAAAUAACCGGACAGAGGUUUUAUGUCCGUGUCAGAAAUGCAAAGGAAUAGUUUGGCUCGACCCCUAUGACGAUGGUCGUGUCGAAGCACACCUGCUCAUGACUGGUUUCAUGGAUGGCUAUACUCGAUGGAUAAUUGAAGAUGAGGAUGACGAUGUUGAGGACACCGACGGGGCAGGCAAUGACGACACGGGGCAAGAAGAAGAGAUGAUCGAUAAUGGCGGCGGGGAAGAGGCCGGACAUGGCGGCGGAGAAGGGGCCGGACAUGGUGGCGGAGAGAACGACAUGGACUCCACGCAGCAGAGUUCGUCGGUACUAAGUUCAAUCGUGCGGGACCCUCAUGUUCAAGCACUGCUUCACAAGGAGACGAGUACUGAGAGAGCUGCUUCUAGAGAGGAGGCUAAGCUGGAGCAACUGGUGGUAGACUCAAACACUCCAUUGUAUGAUGGUUGCAAUCCUGAGGUGACCCGCUUGAGUUUCACGCUCCAACUCCUGAAGACGAAGGCUAAAAACAAAUGGACCGACACUAGCCUCGAUGAGCAUCUCAAGUACCUAAAGGAUGUUCUUCCCGCGGGGAAUCUAUGUCCUACUAGUGUUGAUGAGGCCAAGAAGAUCGUGUGCCCUCUUGAUCUGCCGCACGUUAGAUACCAUGCAUGCAUCAACGAUUGCAUAAUUUAUCGGAAGGAGCACGCGGAAAAAACCAGCUGUCCGGUGUGCAAUGCUUCUCGAUACAAGAAGGCCGGGAAGAAAUGUCCCCAGAAAGUUGUAUGGUACUUACCGAUCACUCCCCGUCUCCAGCAGUAUUUCAUAGAUCCCAAGGAAGCAAAGCUAAUGCGCUGGCACGCGGAGAGGAAGAAGCCCGACGAUGGAGAUGAUCCGAAGCUGAGACACGUCAAGGAUGGAAGCCAGUGGAGAGCGUUGAACAACUUCUAUCGGUAUUUCGAAUGUGAUGCAAGGAACAUCGUGCUCGGCGCGUGUACCGAUGGCAUGAAUCCGUUUGGCAACCAGAACACCAACCAUAGCACAUGGCCCGUGUUUGUAUGGAUGUACAACCUCCCCCUGGUUGUGCAUGAAGUCGAAGUACAUUCACAUGAGCAUGCUUAUUCAAGGGCCAAAACAACCAGGAAAUAAUAUUAAUUUGUAUCUUGGGCUACUUCAAGAGGAGUUAGACACAUUAUGGAAAACAACGGCCAAGACAUGGGACACCAGCAAAGGCGAGUAUUUCUACAUGAGAGCCGCGCUGAUCACGACGGUGCACGACUAUCUCGGUUAUGGAUAUGUCGUAGGCCAGGUGUGCCAUGGAUAUUGCGAAUGCACGCGGUGCAUGGAUGAUACGACGUCUCAGCAGCUAACGUCAAGGAAAGAUGGCGGGUCUGGGAAAAUCGUGUACAUGGGGCAUCGAAGAUGGCUCGAACAGGACGACCCAUGGAGAAACCAUGGAGAUCUAUUCAAUGGUCACGCCGAGCAUCGAGGACCUCCACGUAAGCGGAGCGGUGCCGAAAUCGAUGAGCUGUUGAAAAACUGGAAGGAGUGCCCCGCGCCGGGGAAGACGAUGAAAAAGGCGCCAGAGCCGCUGCUGAAGGUAUGGAAGACGAAGUCUGUGUUCUGGGACUUGAGUACUGGCACAAACUCGAUACACCUCAUUACCUUGAUCAAAUGCAUAUCUGUAAGAAUGUCCUUGAGAGAUUGCUCGCGACACUGAUGAUCAUGCCGGAUAAGACCAAGGAUGGGCCGAAGGCAAGAAAAGACUUGCAAGAUUUGAAAAUCAGGGAAGAUCUGCACAUGCCGCCCCGUAAAAAGUUAGACGAGACAGAGACGGAGACAAAGGCGCGGGAGAAGAAGGGCAAGAAAAUAAAGAAAUAGGAUUAUUGCCCCCCUUCUUGCUUCACCUUAAGUCAGGCUGAGAUCGAUCAAUUCUUUAAGUGCCUUACUGGAGUCAAAGUUAGUUCCGGUUACUGUGGCAAGAUAAGUAGAUAUCUAGACACGGACAAGAAAAGGUUCAGCGGGAUGAAGUCCCAUGACUGUCAUGUGAUGAUGACGCAGAUACUACCUAUUGCCCUUAGAGGGAUAAUGGACAAGCACGUCCGUGACACGCUUAUUGGUCUCUGCAACUUUUUCGACGUCAUCUCUCGAAAGUCGAUCAGUCUGAAGCAGCUCCGAAGGCUACAGGAAGAGAUCAUUGUGAUACUGAAUGAGCUUGAGAUGUACUUCCCGCCCGCGUUCUUUGAUGUGAUGGUGCAUCUGUGUGUCCAUAUUGUGGACGACAUAAUAGACCUGGGGCCGUCAUUUCUGCACAACAUGAUGCCGUUUGAGAGGAUGAAUGGGAUCAUCAAAGGAUUCGUUCGUAACAUGUCCCGUCCGGAUGGAAGCAUCGUCCAGGGCUAUCUGACACAAGAGUGCAUCUCUUUCUGCAAGAAUUUUCUAUAUGGCGCAGACCAGCUGCCUGGUGUUAGUGUUGGUUUGCCCAUUAACAAGCACGAUGGGAGGCUCGAAGGAGAAGGUCACUCCAACGGUCGCAGGGAACUGCACGUGGCAUACUCAGAUCGACGCAGCGACUUUGACAGAACAAACUUGGUAGUGCUACAACACCUAGACGAGGUAGAUCCUUUCGUGGCACUGCACAAAGAAAUUAUCGCAAAGAAGUAUCGUGACCGGGGGGUAUGCAGGACGGACGCCGAAGUUACUAGAGAGCACAACUCCACUUUCCUGCAUUGGUUCAAAGAGCAUAUUAUUGCUAAUCCCCCGGAGGAGGGCUCUAAGGACGGAUUACUCAUAUACGCCUUAGCACAUGGCCCCUCGCCCAACCUCGUUACCUAUCAGGCAUACGAUAUCAAUGGAUACACGUUCUACACGGAGGCCACAGAUAUGGACAGUGAUGAUCAGAACUCAGGGGUGACGAUGGAAUGCAUGACCGGCAGCGACAACAGCGCAACUGAAAGAUUUUACGGAAGGGUCGAGGAGAUCUGGGAGCUUGACUACUAUGGACUGCACAACACGACGAUGUUCCGUGUCAGAUGGGCUAAGAAUGUCGAAAGAGAAAACCGAAAUUUCACUACCAUGACUAUACCCGACGCCAAGAGCCCUACCGUGAACGCUAUCGCAAAAAACGAGCCAUGGGUACACGCUAAGCACGUGACACAAUGCUUCUUCAUAACCGACCCGCGCAAUCCCAGCCGUGUUAUCAUGAGGAGAGGCAAAAGGAACAUCAUUUGAAUGGAUGGAGGCGCCAACGAGGAAGACUACGAUCAGUACGGCAACCCAAUGAGGGAAGAUGACGAUGAUGAUGAAGUAUACGUCAAAAUAAGAAUCAAUACUACAUUACCUAAGAAAAAUCGUACUCCAUGGAAAAGGCAAAGUCACAAUGAGGGGCUCAAUUAUUCUUCAACGAACAAGAAGGGAAAGAAGCUGACUCAAAAACGAAAACGUCAAUGAUGAGGAACCGUAUGUAUGUUAUCGGUCAAAUGAUGUAAUAUAUAUGUUCCUAUUUUGUAUACACACUUAGCCAUUAUUAUGCAUGGGUCCAAUAAUGUAAUAUAUAUACAUAUGUUCCUAGUUUGUAUACAUAUUUAACCGUCAAAUGAUGCAAUAUAUAUCGCCUUCCAUUCGUUCACUGCUCUCGGAAAAAAAGAAAAGUAAAGUGAGAGAAAAUAAAGGAAAAGAAAAUAGAAGGAAACAAACAGGAAAACUGUUAUAUAGGUGUUAUAGCAGCAGCACUUUUGUGAGAGAAGAGCUACAACUAGUCAAGAUAGCAGUAGCGGUUUCUACACGAAACCGCUAUAGCUACCUCGGGUAGCUAUAGCGCGUUUUUCCUAAACGCGCUACUGCUAUGCCCACUUAACCCCCAAAAUCGGUCCCCACUCCUCUAUUCAUCCCACCUCUUUUCCCCCAAAUCCCCCGUCGCACCGCGCGCCGGAGCCCUGCCCUCGUCGGGCCUCUGCGCUCGCCCCCGACCCCGACCGACCCCGGCGCCGGCUCCGUCCCCNNNNNNNNNNNNNNNNNNNNNNNNNNNNNNNNNNNNNNNNNNNNNNNNNNNNNNNNNNNNNNNNNNNNNNNNNNNNNNNNNNNNNNNNNNNNNNNNNNNNNNNNNNNNNNNNNNNNNNNNNNNNNNNNNNNNNNNNNNNNNNNNNNNNNNNNNNNNNNNNNNNNNNNNNNNNNNNNNNNNNNNNNNNNNNNNNNNNNNNNNNNNNNNNNNNNNNNNNNNNNNNNNNNNNNNNNNNNNNNNNNNNNNNNNNNNNNNNNNNNNNNNNNNNNNNNNNNNNNNNNNNNNNNNNNNNNNNNNNNNNNNNNNNNNNNNNNNNNNNNNNNNNNNNNNNNNNNNNNNNNNNNNNNNNNNNNNNNNNNNNNNNNNNNNNNNNNNNNNNNCCCCGACCCCGACCGGCCCCAGCGCUCGCCCACGGCCCCGGCCCCGACCCCGGCUCCGGCCCCGGCGCUCGACCCCGACACCGACCCCUCCCAACCUCGGCCGUCGUCGGGACUGCACCCUCCAUAAGCCCCCCACCGCUCCUCCUCUCUCUGGUAGCUAGGGUUUUUGGUUAAUUUACUUAGGUUUUAGUUAGGGAAGAUGGUUAAUUAGGUUAUAUAUUUAGUUAUGAAUUUAGCUAGGUUUUUUCUUCAAGUUCUAUAUUUUUCUUCCUUCUAUAUGCAAAUUUGAAGUGGACAUGUGAUAUGUGGACAUGUGAUGUUUUGGACAUGUCAUAUUUGGAAUUUGGACAUGUCAUUUGGACAUGAUGAUUAUGUGCAGGGUAAAUGAUCCAAGUGGCCUAUGUUACGCCGGAAUGUUGAUUCAUUUCUGUUCCGGUGAAUUUCAGGCGCUCGAUAUGUCCAUUUUUUUAGCAAAGGUCAUGCCAAAAUUUUCCGUGAAUUUUGGCAUGAUUUGUGCUAGACAGUAGGCAUAUCGAGUGCCGCGAGUUGCUGGGAAACGACAUUCCAGCAAACAUAGAUUUCUUUUUUAUGUCAUUUCUCAUUUUUUCAUAGUUUUAGAAUUAAACGACGAGACUUAAUCAUAGGAAACAUGUCGAACAACAAAGAAAUCGGGCCUACUGACCAAGAUGCAGACGAGAUGGAUUAUGAGGGUGAACAAGAGUACCUUGACUAUUUGACUGCUAAGAAAUUCCAAAGUCAAUGUUUGUAGGUCGGCCUAGAUGAUGGUACUGACGCCGACAUCGACACCGACGGCGCCGGCACCGAUGGCGGCGCCGAGACGGGCGGGGAAGGUAUCGGCGGGGAAGAUACCGGCGGGGAAGGUACUGGUGCCGAUGCCGCUAUCGAAAGGAAGAAGCAGAAGAAGCAGAGGAUACAAAAACCUAACAACCUAGGGAUUGGACGACUGGUGAUCACAAAGAUGGCACCUGGCAAGUUUGAGCCAUUAGAGGCGGAAGAACCUCGCAAGUGCUAUGGGAACCAAGUAGGAUGCAUCCUACGGGAAUGCGCGAGCAUCAACGACGAUGACUUAAGGAGUAAAGAACAUUUGAUGCAGUUGCUCCCGACGAAGUUGCCCAAGAGACUCAAGUUCCCCGACCGGGAUGAUAACAUAGAACAACCGUGGGAUGAUCCGAAGAUGAAAAAGAUUAACAAUCACGCCAUGGGCAUGUUCAGCAAUGAUUUGGCCUCCUGGAAAGGGGGGGUGAAACGAGCUAUUGAGGAUGAGGAACCCCUGUCCAAGAUUCUGGAGGAAAAUCCGACACUUACGGAAGAGGAGUUCGAAAAGUUCAAGGACACUUGCGCUACCGAGGCAGCCAAGGCUAAGGCUGCAAAAUUCAAGAGCCUUCAGCAAAGGAACACGGGGAAGCAUCGCCCCGGAAGUCGUGGCUACCUCGGUAAAAGGUCCAUAUGGGAUAAGGAGGACGCGGAACGUGAAGCCACGGGUAUCCCAGACCCCAUCGCGAAGUUCACCAACCCCUUGGAGCGUGACUUCAUCAGGGCCCGCUACAAGUGGGACAAGGAAAAGAAGGUUUUUUACACGGACCAGAUCACGAGGAAAUUGAUUAGACUACUGGUAAUUAUUCUUUUACCACCUUACAUUUAGCUCCAUAUCUAGUCGACUACACAUUCCUAAACAGUUCACACUCCUUCUGCAGGAGAAGCAACACCAGCUUGCAGCCGAAAGCCCUACUUCUCCGAUGAGGCCCAAGUGGGACACCCCUCUCAACCGGGCCUUGAACGAACUUAAGGGACUGCCUUUGGGCCAGCGGCCGCAAUAUAGUCGUGUGCACGGCGCUGGAGACGGCGCCACGUGGAAGGUGUUUUAGAACGAGGGCCCGGAGGCCAAGAAGCAGAAAAAGAAGUUUAGUCAGGCGGACAUCAACGAGAAGGUGAAGCUUGCGGUCGAGAAAAAAGCAGCUGAGGAUGCGAAAAAAAUAGCCGAGGAGAAAAAUGAGUUGCUACAACAGGCAGUCAAUGCAGCUGUAACUGCCUACAGAAAUGAUUUCGCUACUAACUUGGUUCCAGCUAUCAUCAACUGGACAAAGGAAAAUCCAGACAAGACGGUACAUGAUUUCCCGUUGCCCAGUUUCGUCAGGAGCAACUCCAUGAACAACAACACCACCGCACCAUCACUUGCUCACGCAACUGGGCCUCCUCUCGCAGUUGCUCCCGCUCAUAGCAGCCAUCCUCAGUCUCUGGCGCGCUAGGUGGGCCUUCAUCUUUGGCUGAGCUCGACGCCCUCACGGUAAUUACAUGUCGCACCAAAAUAUAUAGAAUAUUCCAUUUUCGUUGCCUUUCGGAUGUUUUAUGCCACAGACAUAUGUUUUUGCAGGCCGAAGAAACCCCGUGCACCAUACUCUACUUGAUCAAAGGCCAAAAGGUGGACGUGGGAAAGGGGAUGAUAAUUGUAAGUGCAUCUAGUGCCACCCCUAGUUGGUUUUGGAGUAUUGACGACAAACCUGGUUGAGGGACUAAUGUGUUUGUGAGAAUUGCAGGAUAACACAGGUAGUAGUCCCUCAUUGAUUCGGUUUACCUACCGGAGUUGACCCCUAAAAAUGUAUGAAGACAUUGAAGACAAUGGUGGUAUGUGAAGAUAUUCACAUUGAAGACUAUGACCUGAGAAGACAUUGUGUGAAGAGUAUGGAGCGCGAAGACUUAGUUGUUUCGUUGUUUCCUUUUCUUCUUUGUUGAGUCGUAGGAACCACCGUACUGUUAAGUGGGGUCCCAGUGAACAAAGUCAGAGUGACUGAAGUGAUGCUCAACCAAAAUCCUAUGUCUUCGAGCGAAGACAAUGAGAGCAAAUCAUAUCCAGAGCUGGAUGAGUCAGCUUACUUGCAGCCCAAGUCAAGCUGUCGCGUGUGUUUGAAAUAUGACCGUUGGAACACGUGUCAGUUCCUGAGUGACCCAGGGUCAUUUCGGACAAAUUAGGUCGGGUUGCCUAGUGGCUAUAAAUAGCCCACCCCCUACACCAUAAAUUGGUGGCUGCUCAGAGUUAGUGCACGGCUUCUGUCGUUUGAGAGCAACCCACCUCCGAAGCUUUUGAGAGAGAGAAAUCCUUGCGAGGACAAAGCCCAAACACCCAGAGCCAAAGAGUGUUAGGCAUCACUGAAGUCUUUCUGUCCGCGUGACCUGAAGACUUGUUACACUUGAGGACUGUGAAUCCUCCAGCCAGUUAGGCGUCGCGUUCUGAGCAUCCAAGAGUCAUUGUGGAUCGCCGGUGAACGAAGUCUGUGAAGGUUUGGAAGUCUACCUUGAAGACUUACCAGAGUGAUUGGGCGAGGACUGGGUGUCCUUAGCUCAAGGGGAAUAAGGUGAAGACGUGGUCUUCUGAGUUGAAUCUCAGCCUCCCUAACCAGACGUACAGUUGUCACAGCAACUGGAACUGGUCCAACAAAUCCUGUGUCCUCACCAAGUGACUGGUUCUAUCCUCUCCCUCUCUUUACCUACAGUUUGUCUUCGUGAAGUCAUUGCCUGCUUGCACUACUUGUUUGACUUCACUGUGUGACUACUAUCAUUGUUUGGCUUCAUACCAUCUUCCAUCCUGAUCUGUUCUACCUAGCUGCUAUUAGUCUUCGUGCUUUCACUUCAUUGCAUACUUGACUAUGGCUUGCUUAGUGUAGUCCACCUUCCACUGCAUAUCAAUAGGUUCAUUUCUAUUUGGACGUUCAUAAGACUCGCCUAUUCACCCCCCUCUAGUCGAUAACUAGCACUUUCAAUUGGUAUCAGAGCAAGGUACUCCCUUGUUCUGUGUGAUUUGGUUUAACCACCUGAAGUUUUAGCUAUGUCGACUGCAGGGAUAAUCAAAGUCUCCGCUGCUUGCCCCGUCUUCGAUGGAACUGAAUAUCCCUACUGGAAGAAUAAGAUGCGCAUGCAUCUUGAAGCCAUUGAUGUCGACCUCUGGUAUGUCGUCAAGAAUGGCGUUCCCAAGACUGGUGAAGGUGUCACCCCUGCUGAUGUCAAGAAGUUCAUUCAACUGGAUUCUACUGCCAAGAAUAUCAUCUGUGGUCAUCUGACCAAAGGAUAGUAUGGCCGUGUGAGUGCUCUGGAAAUGUCGAAGCUAGUCUGGGACUGGCUCUCCAAGGUCAACGAAGGCGUCUCAACCCAGAGAGAUCAAAGGAUCAGUGUUCUUCGCAACCUCUUCAACCGCUUCAAGAGAAAUGACAAUGAGAAUGUCCAGCUCACGUUUGAUCGCCUCACUGACAUCACAAAUGAGCUACGUGCUCUCGGCGCCACUGAGAUCACCAAGCAUGAAAUCUGCAAGACACUACGGAGAUCACUUGACAGCUCGUUUGACACCCUUGCCCUGAUGAUACAAGAACGCCCUGACUUCAAGACACUCGAUCCGUCUGAUAUACUUGAGAGGCUCAACACACAUGAGUUCCAGCUAUCUGAGAAAAGAGAUAUCUAUGGUCCCAACUAUGGCCGAACUCGUGCUUUGAAGGCAAAAGCUGUUUCCUCAUCUGAAGAAGAAUCUGACUGCAGUUCUGAUGAUCCUGAAGAUAUUGGAAAGGAACUUGCUAUGCUUGUGAAGAAGUUCCUGAAGUUCACUAAGGAGAAGGGCUUCAGAAAGUCUUCACGAUCGAGCUCAAGAAAUGAUGAAGCUUCCACUCAUGACUACAAGAAGAGAACAUGUCACAAGUGCAAGAAACCUGGACACUACAUCUCUGAGUGUCCACAGUGGGACAAUGAGAACAACAAGAAUAAGAAGAGCAAGGAAUAUGAUUCUGAUGACAAGAAGAAGAAGAAAUCCUCAAAGUCCUCUUCCAAGUCCUCAUCCAAGUCUUCAUCUCACAAGAAGAGCUCAUCUGGCAAGGCUCGUGCCUUUGUGGGCAAGGAGAUGGAUUCAGAGGAGGAGUCUGCUUCUGAGGAGGCGGAGGUGGAGUCUGAGGAGGAGUCCGACCCUGGCAUUGCAAGUCUGGCUCUAGCUACAGCCUACGUCGCCAAGUCUAUCUUCAACACUGAAGACAAUGGCCCCGUCACCAACGCUGAUGCUAAUGACAAGGACGACUCUGCUCCCACCUACUGCUUCAUGGCACGUGGUGCCAAGGUAAAAUCACGCUAUGCUUACUUUCAAACAUCAAGUGAAGACGACUCUGAUUGUGAAUCCAAACCCAGCUACAAAACACUUGCUAAAAUUGUAGCUGAACAACAGAAAGCUAUGGAACAUACUGAAAAACUGUUAGACAAACACGAUGACCUGUUGGACGCGGAAAUGACCCGUUCUCAGUCCUUAAUUGAAUACAUAAAAAAUAUUCAUGUUAAGUACCAGGAACUUGAAAGUCGUCAUGAAACGCUCUCAACCACUCAUGAAAAGCUCUCCUAUGAUUAUCUUCAAAGGAAGCUAGAGAUUGAGAAAUUGAGAGCGGCUCAUGAAGAUCUUCAAAAAGAAAAUGAGUCACUUCGCGCUCAACAGAUCAUGAAACGCUCUCAACCACUCAUGAAAAGCUCUCCUAUGAUUAUCUUCAAAGGAAGCUAGAGAUUGAGAAAUUGAGAGCGGCUCAUGAAGAUCUUCAAAAAGAAAAUGAGUCACUUCGCGCUCAACAGAUCAGUUCCGCUCAGGAAGGAUUUGAACCACCAUGUCUAAAAUGCCUUGAGCGUGAUAACGCUACUUCUAUUGCUGAAUGUUCUACUGCUGCUACUGUUGCAAUAUCUUCAACUGUUGAUGUGGUAACUAACCCCUCUGCUGAGGAUACCACUACUAUUGCUGAUGAAAAUGCUAGGUUAAAUACAUUGCUUGAAACAGGGAUGUACAAAAGUCUCAAAGGGCAUCAGACAUUGUGCGAUGUCCUCAAAAAGCAGAUUUUGAACCAAAACCCUAGGAAAGAGGGUGUUGGGUUCGAGAGGAAAAUGAAUGUUGAUGGCUCCUACUGGAAGCCUGAGCAGUAUCCCAAAACCACAUGGGUUGCUGCAAAGGGACCUUCAGUGGAUCCAUCCACCUUAUCUGGCUUCACUUGUGCUAACCCUAUUAUCAUUGAUGAAUCCUUUGAUGCAAACUAUAAACUGUUUAAGAAUCAGAAUGGUGAAGUGUUUGCCAGGUAUAUUGGUACUAACUGCAGGAAUGGGCCACCUAUGAAGAAGAUCUGGGUUCCCAAAAGUUGUCUUGAGAAUCUUCCUGUGAAUAUCAUCAUGACACCACCUGGGAAGAAGACAAAUCUCAGACCAAAGGCUUCAUAUGGUCCAAAGGCUUCAUACAGAUACAGGACUCAACUGAGUCACCCUAACGCCAAUGUUUUGCAGGGAAAUCGUACUAAGACUUAUGAAUAUGAGCGUGUGUCUUCAAACCGCUAUGUUCGUAAAACUAAGAACUUUUCUGCUUAUUCAUAUGAGUAUCAUUCAUCUCCUGCAAGGCUAUUUGCUAGGGCUCCAAAGCCGAAGUUCUCAGAUGCUGCACUUAGACUCAUUGCUUCUAAGCCACCCCUGAAGAUGUGGGUGGUUAAGAAGAAUUAACUUUCUUUUGCAGGGAAAGGUCUCCAGCCGGAAAUCAAAGGCGUUUGAUGCUAUUGCUGGGGACCUAAAACAUCUUGUAGGGCGCAAGAUCAAAUGCCCAAAUGGUCUUACUAUGUAUUUUGUUCCUGAAUCGCUUGCCAAUCAUCCUAUCAGUCCUAAUCUUGAUCUGAGCUUUGAUAAUCCUCUUGCCCGUCAAAUGUUUAUGCUUCACAAUACUCUUGGUGAAGCCUAUCCCCCUAACUGUACUAUAGGGUAUGACACUUCAUGCUUUAGAAUGGACGAUGGACAGCGGAUGCACUAAUCAUAUGACUGGUGAUCGAAGUCUUCUCAUGGACUCAACCUUACGACCAUCUGACAAGAGUCACAUCACAUUUGCUGACACUGGUAAAAGCAAGGUAUUGGGUCUAGGUAGAGUUGCAAUCUCAAAGGAUCAGCACAUGGAUAAAGUGAUGCUUGUUGAAUCCCUUGGUUUCAACUUAAUGUCUGUCUCAAUGCUUUGUGACUUAAACAUGAUUGUGAUAUUUGGAAAAUAUCGUUGCCUUGUACUAAUGGAAUCUGACAAAUCUUUAGUCUUUGAAGGGUACCGGAAAGAUGAGCUGUACAUGGUAGAUUUCUCAGCAGGACCACAGCUUGCCGUAUGUCUUCUUGCAAAAGCUUCAGAGUGCUGGCUCUGGCAUCGGAGGCUAGGGCAUGCUAGCAUGAGGAACUUGCAUACUCUCGCAAAGAAGAAGCAUGUCAUAGGCAUCGAGGGCGUCAAGUUCAAGAAGGAUCACUUGUGCGGUGCCUGCGAAGCUGGAAAGUUGACUAGGGCCAAGCAUCCCUCGAAGACAAUCAUGACGACAUCACAACCCUUCAAGCUGCUACACAUGGACUUAUUUGGCCCUACUCACUACUCUACUCUCACUACUACUGCUUGUCUUUAUGGCUUCGUCAUUGUUGAUGAUUACUCAAGAUAUACGUGGGUGCAUAUAAUUCUCUACAAGACUGAAGUGCAGGAUGUCUUCAGACAAUUCGCCAACCGUGCCAUGAACAACUAUGGCGUCAAGAUCAAGCACAUCAGAAGUGACAACGGCACAGAGUUCAAAAACACCGGCCACGAUCUUUACUUGGAUACACUGGGAAUCACUCAUGAGUUCUCAGCUCCGUAUACACCUCAGCAGAAUGGCAUCGUGGAGCGCAAGAACAGAACGCUCAUUGAGAUGACAUGGACAAUGCUUGAUGAAUACAAGACUCCAAGAAAGUUCUGGCCUGAAGCUAUUGAUACUGCAUGCCAUGUCAUCAACCGUGUUUAUCCUCACAAGCUUCUGAAGAAAACAUCCUAUGAACUCCUCACUGGUAAGAAGCCGAAUGUCAGUUACUUCAGAGUAUUUGGUGCUAGGUGCUGGAUCAAGGAUCCACAUCACACUUCAAAAUUUGCACCGAAAGCACAUGAAUGUUUUAUGCUCGGUUACGGAAAGGAUUCGCACUCCUACAGAGUCUUCAACCUCUUUCACUAUAAAGUGGUUGAAACUAUGGAUGUGCGGUUCGAUGAGACUAACGGCUCGCAAAGAGAGCACCUGCCAAAUGUGCUAGAUGAUGUUCCACCUAGUGAAUCCAUCAAGCUCAUGGGAACUAGAGAAAUCAUACCGUCUGAAGCACAGCCUGAAGAGGAACUUAUCAUUUCUGCACCUAAUCAACCAGAAGACAGUGCUCAGCCCGAAGACAAUCCUCCUAACGAUGACAAUGAUCAGCAAGAGCAAAAUCUUUGUCCGGUUCAUCCUCGUGUUGCAACUGAAGUACAGAUUGAGAAGAUAAUUGAUAGCAUCAAUGCGCCUGGUCCACUCACUCGUUCAAGAGCAACACAGCUAGCAAAUUUUUGUGGGCACUUUGCAUUUGUCUCAAUAUCUGAACCCAAGAAAGUCGCUGAAGCCUUCAUGGAACUUGAAUGGAUUCAAGCCAUGCAAGAAGAGCUUCAACAGUUCAAGCUGAACAAUGUCUGGGAACUUGUCAAGCGUCCUGACCCCCGCAAGCACAACAUAAUAGGCACACAAUGGAUAUAUCGCAACAAGCAAGAUGAGCAUGGUUAAGUUGUCAGAAACAAGGCUCGUCUCGUUGCUCAAGGAUACACUCAAGUUGAAGGGAUUGACUUCGAUGAAACAUUUGCUCCUUUGGCUAGGCUUGAAGCUAUUCGCAUAUUGCUAGCCUAUGCAAAUCAUCACAACAUCCUGCUGUAUCAAAUGGAUGUGAAGAGUGCAUUUCUCAAUGGAAAGAUUGAAGAAGAAGUGUAUGUUGCACAACCUCCUGGCUUUGAAGAUCCAAAACAUCCUGAUAUGGUGUACAAACUAAACAAGGCACUGUAUGGCCUCAAACAAGCCCCUCGCGCUUGGUAUGAUACACUCAAAGACUUCCUGAAGAGCAAAGGCUUCAAACUUGGUUCCCUGGAUCCCACACUCUUCACGAAGACAUAUGAUGGUGAACUAUUUGUAUGCCAAAUAUACGUGGAUGACAUUAUCUUCGGCUGCACCAACCAAAAAUACAGUGAUGAGUUUGGACACAUGAUGCAAGAGCAAUAUCAGAUGUCCAUGAUGGGUGAGCUGAAGUUCUUCCUUGCUCUUCAAAUCCGUCAACAAAGCAAUGGCAUCUUCAUAUCUCAAGAGAAAUAUCUCAAAGAUUGCCUGAAGAAGUUUGGAAUGCAAGACUGCAAAGGUUACACGACGCCAAUGCCAACCAAGAGUCAUUUGGGUCCUGAAGCCAAUGGUAAAGAGUUCGAUCAAAAGGUAUACCGCUCCAUGAUUGGUUCUUUACUUUAUUUAUGUGCAUCUAGGCCAGAUAUUAUGCUUAGUGUUUGCAUGUGUGCUCGAUUUCAAGCGGCACCAAAGGAAUCACAUCACUUAGCUGUGAAGCGAAUUCUUCGAUAUUUGGCUUACACCCCAACAUUAGGAUUAUGGUAUCCAAAGGGCUCAGAGUUUGAUCUAGUUGGAUUCUCGGAUGCUGAUUAUGCUGGUGACAAGGUGGAUCGCAAGUCUACAUCAGGCACAUGUCACUUUCUGGGACGAUCACUUGUCUGUUGGUCUUCAAAGAAGCAGAACUGUGUAUCACUCUCCACUGCUGAAUCUGAAUACAUUACUGCUGGAUCUUGUUGCGCUCAGCUUCUAUGGAUGAAGCAAACACUCAAGGACUAUGGCAUCCAUCUGAAACAAGUACCACUAUACUGCGACAAUGAAAACGCCAUCAAGAUUGCCAACAACCCAGUUCAGCACUCGAAGACAAAGCACACUGAAAUUCGUCAUCACUUUCUCAGAGAUCAUGUCAUGAAGGAAGAUAUUGAUAUCAUACACGUCAACACUGAAGAGCAACUGGCAGAUAUCUUCACAAAGCCCUUGGAUGAGAAAAGGUUUUGCAAGUUGCGGUGUGAGCUAAAUAUCUUGGAAUCCUCAAAUGUCCUGUGAUCAGGCACAUCUCCUAACACUUAUGCAUGUUGAUGACUUCGAUGUGCAACACACGAAGUAAAGUAUAUCUUCAAUCAAUGAAGACUUACACUCUAAGUGUGAAUACAUUAACGCGAAAUUUGACUUCGGAGCGCCACAAUAAUUGUGCGCCGUGUCUGGGUCUAAUACUUCCUAUACGGUGGGUAACACCACCACCAAAUUUUUCUGUUUGAAGUGUUUUUCUCAUGGCGUUACAUUUGCUAUGUCUUCGCAUUUGGUUUGUCUUCAAUAUCAACAUGACUUCAUGUUUUUCUUCACAAUGAUGAUUUGGUUUCAUUCUGAUAUAUACAUAUACAUAUAUUAGUGUUCUGUCCUCUACAGCAUUCACUUAUAGCUAUGUCUUCUUGUUUGAAUCUUUUGAACUAAGUGAACUAGAUGAUUCCCCGCGCGUUGCUGCGGGACUUUGUUGUGGAUUUUCUGUGACAUCACUACAUCAAAUAAGAAAAUAACUUGAACAAAUAAUAUGAUAGAUUUUUCCAUAGGGAGUUGUGAAUGGCUGCCGAACAACACAACCCACUAUCGAAACAUGGACCCUAAAUAAUAAGCAAUACAACAUGGCAAGCAUUCACACAAUGGUAAGACGACAAAUUUCCAAAAAAAAGUAUGUACUGUAUUGACAUAGUUCAAGCAAAUACAUAUAGAAGCAAGAAUGUUGAGCCCCCCAAGCUGUAAGGGCUUAAAGAUGGCUCCUGGAAGAUGGGUCACUAAACAUUAUUUGUGUGAAAACAGUACUACAUACACCUGCAAGCUACCAAGAAGAGAAGUGAACGACAUAAGCUUACGGAAUACGGAUAUGGGAAAAAGGGUCAAAUUUGGUGCUUGCAAAGAUGAGUAUUUUUAGUUUGGCUGUUGAGUCAGUGAACUCAUGUGUUAAGAUGCUGUUUUGAUUGAUACCAAGAAUACAUGAGAUCUCAUGUGCUUUUAGAUAAAGUGAUAGAUAUAAUACAUGAGAACUUGAGAUCUCAAGUACUUCAUCAACCUAACUAACCUCUAUUAAGUUAUCUACGGUACUUUUUCAGCUCGUGCAACCAGGGUUGGUCAUGGGAUUAGAACAGGUGGCAAUGGUGUGUGCGUGGCGUGGUCCGCGAGUACGUCCAUGACCUUGUAGAACCGCGACCCCCAAUCUUAUAACCACAAGGGUAAAUUAGAAAGAUUAUCAAAAACUCAGUACCGACUAACAAAAUAAUAUGGUCCCUUGUAUUGUGCUCCACAUGCUAGUUAACCUUAAAACUGUUCUCAGAAAGUGUCUCAUUAAAUUGAUUUAAUUAAUAACAUGUUAAUACAUAAGUGCUCCACAUGCUAGUUAACCUUAAAACUGUUCUCAGAAAGUGCCUCAUUACAUUGAUUUAGUUAAUAACAUGUUAAAUACAUAAGGCGGGGAACAUGCAAAGACAUGGAUGUGUCUCAUAAAUUCAUAGUACGAACAUUGAUUCACUGAAUUCAAUAUAGGUAAAGUCUCAAGUUCACCAUAGUAAUCUGACAACAAAAGAGAGAACCUGGCAUAUAGAGGGGAUCGUGACGGGUCGCAGGCAAUGUCGAGGGCACAGCUGGGUCCUGGCCUAAUACGUUUCCCACCCUCCCGUUAGUGAUUGCAAGAGAAACCUGCAUGAAAAGGUGGCCUGAUAAGGACAAUUCUAAUUCAGCAACUUAGUAGUAAUUUAUUGAUGACUAAACAAACUGUAUUGACCACGUAGGUAUGCUAAUAUGGCUGUAGUUCUACCUGUAGACUAAAGAUGGUCAAAAAUUCGGUAAUAUCCAUGUAGAAAAUCAUGGAUGCACACCAUUUGAUCAGUUGGUAGCAGUGAACACCAAAGUAAGAGAGCAUUUUAUGUAGCUUCAGAUAGUAAGCAGCAAAGUAACAGUGGCAAUACAUGGUCGCAUCAAGGCUCUUUUUGGGUAUGCAUUUAUAGAUAAGUCAAUUUGACCUGCAGCUUUAGGAAGACAGUUAAAUUUAAGAGCGAAAUAUCAGUAUAGCAGUCAGAUCGAUAGUAUCAAGUUUCAGCAUCUCUAUAAUCUGAUAUUUGCAUCAACCAAGCAUGAAUAUUGCAACACGGUAUCUCUGCAGCUUGUGCAGUUAUACAAACAUCAAUUGUAAAAUCUCUGUAUUAAGAACGGACCUGUAAAAAACAAAAAACUGGAUGUCCGAGACCAGAAUCAACGAACGCCGCGAGUAAGAAGGUGUAGGGAGAACCUUGCAUGGAGAAGGACAGUAGCAAAAUGGCCACCCACCCACCCACCCGCCCGCCGCCACCCUAAAACCCUAGCCCACUCACCGCCGGCGAUCUCCACGUCUGACCGUGGGAUCACUCAUCGAAUCCGGCCAUCGUGUUCGGCGUCGUCUGCUCCCUCUUUUGGUUGUCAUCUCAAUGGCGGUACAUGCUUCCAUCUCCCUAGGUUUGGAUUUCUCAGCGGGGAUGAGCAUGGCGCAUGAGAUCGGCCGCUUGUUUCACCGCACGGUCCAUCCUACGGAUCGAUCUGGCCACUUUGUCCUGGUGGCUUCAUUUGCAUGGCACUCUUUCCAUUUGGACGAGGACAAUGUGGGCUUGGCACUUGAAUCAGCCAUUGGUGGAUAUUGUUCUGCUCUCAAGGUAUCUCAACUGCAUGAUCGUGUUUUCUCUUUCAAUGUUUCGUGCAAAGAAGUUGGGUUUUUUAUCUUGCAUCAAAGGAGUUUUGUCUACCCGCAAUUCAAAUGUUACUUUCAUCUUUGGGGUCAUGGUGGCCCAGAUUGGGAAAAAGAAUUUAGGUUAUGGCAAUCUGAAUGUGAUCAGGAGUGGACUUUGAUUAGUCCCUCUAAGAAGAGAGCUAGGUUAGGAUUGGAAGCCAUGCAACAUGCCCCAAGGAAAUCUUCUCUCUGUACUCAAUCAGCUAGAUCUAAGCAUUCCAAGCAUAUUCAAUUUGCCACGUUCAUGCAAUACCCGACUAGAAAAGGUUAUAAUUAUGGGCCUACGUCUGAUGAGGUCACAAUUGUCCGGGAGGCAGGCUAUGUGGUCUCUGGGCAUGAAGCUGUUUCUUCUACGUCGUCGGCAUCUUCGCCGGUACCUGUUUCUUCUUCGUCAUCGGCAUCUUCGCCGCCGGCGUGCCCAGUCAUUCAGUUUGGAACGUUGCCGCCAUCCCCGCAGGGAUCCCAUGCAUGCGACAAGUCUGGAUUUUCGGGUGGUCUAUUGUUACCUGCCACGGCAAGUUUAGACUCGCCCGUAUUGCCUUCUGUUGCAUCUUUGGACCUUGUCACGGCCCUGGGCUCUAGUGCCCAGCCCAUCUACCUAUCGGAUGAUGAAGUUGAAAGCCCAUCUUCGCCGGCGAUUCAGUUUCCCUCUCCAAAAGAUAUUGUUGAUGAUCUGCAGAGUUUUGAUGAGAUGAUUGAGGAUUUAGCUGCAAGCUAUUGGGACUACCAGAAUUGUUUGGGCAUGCGCCACACGUCAGAGACCUGCACAAACCUGAUACGGUGCAGAAAUUGUUUUCGUUCCGGUCAUAUUAAAAAAGAUUGCACCGGUCACGCUCCUGACUUAUCCCUUUGGGUGCCCAAAGUCCCAUCACCUUGCUUUGGAAAUCAUGAGAGGAAGGAAAUUUACUCUGCUUCCCUUGCCUCUUCGGUUUCCCAAGAACAAACGCCUCCCCAGCAUAAAACCCCACCUCCUGCUACUCCACCGUCAUCGCCAUUGCCACGCCCGCCGCCGCAAACCACAUAUCACCAAGCAGCAUCAAGCUCUGAUCCUCGCCCGCCUCCCCCAAUGGCGGUGUAUGAGAUCGAUCCGUUUUGCUUCAUCCCUGCUGGCUUCGACAUUGUGGAUGGUGGUGCGGAUCGUCUGCCGCGCACCUACUACACUCCGGCGAUCCCUCCCCCCCCGAGUGCAUGAGCAGUACAUGGUGGCAAUCGUUGAGCCCGUCCCCCCGGCUCAUCUGGUUGGUGCUCGUCGGCAGGAGGUGCUUAACUUCUUAGUUCAGACCAUGCAUGUUCCUGUCCUCUCUGCUCAAACUUGGUUUCAAGGAGUUGGUUUAUUCAAGAUGGAAGAUCCUGUGGUCCGUGACUCUUUCACUUCGCAUCCGCCUUUUCCUUUGGGUUUAGAUGAGGAUGGCCAGGAGUUCUUCGUCAGAUUAAUUUUGCAUAACCAGGGAGAGGGUUUCAGAGCUCUACAUGGACACAUACAUGGUUGGUUGAUGUUUAUUGGCAUACCUCUGGAUUACCGUAAUACACAGUGCAUUGCGGAUAUGGUUAGUACCUUUGAUCAGUUCCACUACUGGAAUAGUAUAGAUCGUCAGAAAGUCAGAUCAUUGGUUCGAGCUUCGUUCCCUGACAAUGCGCUGGUUCCACGCUCGGUUGCUUUUAGGGAAUUUCCUAAUUGGGGCGGUACUCUAGUUUCUUGGACGGCUGGCUGCUAUAUCCUGGAUGGUGACUUUGCUGAGGCUAUGGUUCCAGCGGAUGAGGACCCUAUGCCCCUAGAUGGCAACCCACAUCCCAUGCCAGGCGCUAAUGCUCCCCCUCAGCCAUUCUGGGCCAUGCCGCCGUACCCUGCUUUGGGUUGGAAUGCGGUGCCCCCUGGUCAUGAUCAAGGACACAAUGAUGCUCAAGGAUGGGGACAGAACUUGAACAAUGAAGGUGGUUGGGGGCCUUGGGAGGAAGCCAACCAGCCCGCCCAUGAACCUGUACAGGACCCAAUCGUACAGGACCAAAACUCCAUGAUCCUCAAUCCAUCCAUGAAUUCUGAUGAUGAUGCUGACAUGGAAGAUGUUCAGGAGCCUUUGGUCCAUGUUCAUCCAGCGGGGCCGCUCGAUCCUAUCAACCUGGGUAUUGUCAGGGUGUUCUAUGGGCCGGUGCCACCACCAGCAAUGAUUUGGGAAAAAUCUUUCAAGUCCUUGAUGCCAGAGUUCUUAAUCAUGAAUAUUCCAGCCUUUCUGCCAGGCCUUUGCUUGCCGCCCUUGCCUGUUAAGUUGAGCUCGCCUCUUUUGGAGCAAUGCUGGCACUCCCUGGCUUUCUACAAGACUGAUUUCUGCACUCAACCACGCCCCUCUAUUGUACUUCAAGACAUACCAGAUGAUUCGCAGGACCCUGCCUCUCAAGCAAUGGAUCAUUCCCAGGAUGAGUUCCUGUUCAGAUCUGUCACCCCCUCGCCCUUGGGGAAGAGACCACGGCAAGCUCGUCACUCCAAGCGUGAUGUUCAGAUCGUUCAAGAGUUGGCUGAUUUUUCUGUCAGACGGAUGACACGCAACUGUGCAAAAAGGACUGGCAUGAAGCCCACCUCUGCAAUUCCUGUGAAGCCUACUCCUCUCCGUCGCCCAAGGCCAAGAAGCUCAAGCUCGACGCGGAUGCAGGCCAAGAUACUCCUCUGCCACCUCCGACGCUGAUCGCUACAAUGCAGGCAAUCGGCUCUUCACUUGUGUAACGCCCACGAUGCGGCUAUAUCUCCCACGUGUCGAGGCACGACUUAGAGGCAUAACCGCAUUGUGGUUUUGUCGCAAGAAGGGUCAUCUUCACACAAUCCCAUGUAAUGAACAAGAAUGGGAUAAAUAGAGUUGGCUUACAAUCGCCACUUCACACAAUACAUAAAUUAAUUCAUACAUCAUCCAAAAUCCACACAUAGACCGACUACGGUCAAAUCCAAAUGAAAAGAAGAUAACCCCAAAUGCUAGAUCCCCGAUCGUCCCAACUGGGCUCCACUACUGAUCAUCAGGAAACGAAACAUAGUAACGACCAAGUUCUUCGUCGAACUCCCGUUAGAGCUCGGUAGCAUCACCUGCACUGGUAUCAUCGGCACCUGCAACUGUUUGGAAGUAUCUGGUGAGUCACGAGGACUCAGCAAUCUCACACCUGCGAGAUCAAGACUAUUUAAGCUUAUGGGUAGGAGAAGGUAGUGAGGUGGAGCUGCAGCAAGCACUAAGCAUGUAUGGUGGCUAACAUACGCAAAUAAGAGCGAGAAGAGAAGCAACGGAACGGUCGUCAACUAGUAAUGAUCAAGAAGUGAUCCUGAACUCCUACUUACGUCAAACAUAACCCACAAACCGUGUUCACUUCCCGGACUCCGCCGAAAAGAGACCAUCACGGUUACACACGCGGCUGAUGCGUUUUAGUUAAGUCAAGUGUCAAGUUCUCUACAACCGGACAUUAACAAAUUCCCAUCUGCCACAUAACCGCGGGCACGGCUCUCGAAAGUUUAUACCCUGCAGGGGUGUCCCAACUUACCCCAUUAUAAGCUCUCACGGUCAACGAAGGAUAUUCCUUCUCCCGGGAAGACCCGAUCAGUCUCGGAAUCUCGGUUUACAAAACAUUUCGACAAUGGUAAAACAAGACCAGCAAAGCCGCCCGAAUGUGCCGACAAAUCCUGAUAGGAGCUGCACAUAUCUCGUUCUCAGGGCACACCGGAUUGUCCAAACUUCCGGUAGGCGAGCCCAGAGUUGCCCCUGGUGGCCACCGGUGGCUGACAGGUUGGACCAACACUCAGAGGAGCACUAGCCCAGGGGUUCAAAAUAAAGAUGACCCUUGAGUCUGCAGAACCCAAGGGAAAAAAAGGCUUAGGUGGCAAAUCUUAAAACCAAGGUUGGGCCUUGCUGGAGGAGUUUUAUUCAAGGCGAACUGUCAAGGGGGUCCCAUAAAUCACCCAACCGCGUAAGGAACGCAAAAUCAAGGAACAUAACACCGGUAUGACGGAAACAGGGCGGCAAGAGUGGAACAAAACACCAGGCAUAAGGCCGAGCCUUCCACCCUUUACCAAAUAUAUAGAUGCAUUAAUAAAAUAAGAGAUAUUGUGAUAUGCCAAAAUAUCCAUGUUCCAACAUGGAACCAACUUCAACUUCACCUGCAACUAGCAACGCUAUAAGAAGGGCUGAGCAAAAGCGGUAACUUAGCCAAACAACGGGUUGCUAGGAAAGGAUGGUUAGAGGAUUGACAUGGCAACAUGGGAGGCAUGAUAUAGCAAGUGGUAGGUAGCGCAACAUAGCAAUAGAACGAACAACUAGCAAGCAAAGAUAGAAGUGAUUUCGAGGGUAUGGUCAUCUUGCCUGAAAUCCCGCAAGGAAGAAGAACGAGUCCAUGAAGAAGACAAACGGACGUAGUCGAAUGAAUCCUCACAAACGCAACAUUACUGGAACUAUCAAGGGGAAGCGCAACCGGAAAGAAGCAAACAACAUGGUAAACAACCAUCACAUAAGCAUGGCAUGAUGCACAAUCAAGUAUGAUGCAUGUCCGGUUUAAAGAGGCAUGGCAAGGUGAAGCAAACAAUACUACAAUUUAAGUGGAGCUCAAUAUGCAACGGGUUGCAUAUUGACGAAACACCACAUCAAUUAUUUAGUUCGCUCUUGUUUAUGCUACUCAUCAAUAUUAAAUGUUGGUUAACAUGGCAAGAGGUGAGGCUUAACAAAACUACCUAUCUAGGCAAAUUUAAAUGAGGCCGGAACAACAAACAACAAUUCCGGAAAAUCCUCAUGUGCAUAUUUUAUAUUUGGUACUGUUCUGCCUAAAACCAUAUUUUAAUGGUAUUAAACAGUAAAACAAAGUGCACCAUGUUAAUCUAUGCAUUUUUCCACUCCAAUUACGUAUAAAGUUUAUUUAAUUCGGAGCUACGGUUAUUUAAAUAUGAAAUAAAUCUUUUUAGCAUGGCAUUUGAGCAAAUUUAAUCAAACAGCAAUUUAAACAUUUCAAACAUGGAUGAAAGUAGCAUAUUAUGAAACUAGAAAAAAUUCUAAGCAUUUUACAUGUCUAAAUCAUUUUAAUCCGAUGCACGGUUGUUGAGUUAUUAAAUGCAUGAUGUUGAGGGUUUUUCUGUAAAACUGCAGUUCCUGGAAAAAUAGUUAAAAUCGUUCCGUGGAAAAAAACAUGAAUCGGGCCGAAUCUGCUGGCCCAACAGUGCACAGAGGGGGCGCUGGAUCUGAUGCUCACCAUGGGUUUGGCCCGGGUCGGUGGAGAGGGGAGGCAGGGCGAAGUGGGGCUGGAGACGCGUUGGGCCUUCGCGCCCUUGCAGCCCACGCACGCGACGAGGAGGCACGAGGCAGCAGGCGUCGCCCUUCUUUGCUUGAUGCAGAGACUGAAGCCGACCGCGGUGGCUUCAGGUGAGACAGGGGACGACAUCUACGCGGGGAACGCAAGGAGGCGGCGGAGACGAGCGGAACCAGACGCGUGAUGGUGUUCUCCGGCGAGGUGGCACGCGGGCGAAGCUGAAGGUUGCGGCGCAUGUUCUCUGUUCAAAUGCAGAGAAGGUUUCAGAGAGAUAAAGAAAUCGGGGUGGAAACAAGAAGGCCGUGAGGAGGCUUGCUGACCAGCGAAGGAAUGGCCAGGAUCCGGCGGAUCCUGAUGCGAUCGAGGCUGGGGAACGGCGAGGCCGGAUGGAUCCACCUCGGACCCGGCGAGGCAGCUUGAGCUCGGCGGCUGGACUCGUUCUGUAGGCAAACAGAGAGGGAGAGAUAUUUAGAGAAGCAGAACGAAAAGGGAAAGAAGAGAGAAGGCGAGGGCGACGGGCGCGCGACUUGCAGGGCUCCGGCGACGAGGCAACGCGGCGGCCACGGACUUGGCGAAGCAGGGGAGCUCCGGGACAUGCGGGACGCGGGGAUGGACGCUGGAGGACGGAUCCGUCCGUCUCCCGGCUGGCCUGGUGCAAACGGCGGCGAGGGAGCUGCGGCCAACCAUGGCUGUUCCUGGUACAGAGAGGGAGAGGCAUGAGAGACGAGGGAGAGGUGCGGCGGCCUGCUCGUACUCGAUGGCGAAGGGACGAAGCAGCAUCGGCGGUGGCGCUCGCCGGCACGGUGCUGGAGACGGCAGAUGCAAGGGCAAGGGAGGAGCACGACGCAGGGGCUCCUCGGGCUCAGACGUGAGGAAGGAGGAGGCAACUGCGGGCUGGUUGGUCCGAUGAAGAAAAUGAGGGAGGAUUUUUGGAUCGGGAGGGGAUCCCGAGGUGGGAGACGACCAGGUGGAGUGUGGCGGCGGCUAGGAGGACAAGGGGGUGGAUUUCUACGGUUAUCCAAAAUGGACUAGGAAUUGACUAUAAAUAUGGAAAGGAGGGAAGUUUGGAUCUUCUGAUUGAAAUCUGACGGACGAGAAUAAAUAGGCUACGGAGUCCAAUAAAUAAAACAAUCAUAUCUUAGGGAUACUUGGAGAUGAUCCGGAUCCAUCGGUAACGACAGCCGGGUUCGGGUUCAGGGAAGUUUUGGAAGCGCACACGAGGGGGUCUGUGCACUAUACAGAGAGACUCCAGUUUAGGCAAGAGGGAAACGGAGAACAAGGUUGGCUCAGAACGGUCAACAAAAGCAAGGGGGGAUGCGGCAACUACGAGUAGAUGCGAGUUUUAAAAAGAAUGACGACAACGAGUGCCGAUGCAAUGCGGAUGAUGCCAUGAUGAAAUGCAACAAACAAAAUAAAACACACGACGGCAACGAAGAACAUUGAAGGCUUCUGAAGCGUCGGUCUUGGGGCGUUACAACACUCCACCACUACAAGAGGAUCUCGUCCCGAGAUCUAAGGACGGCACCGGAGAAAAGCGGAAGAGGAAGAGAAGAGGUAAAGCUAAGUUGCUUCUUUGACAAACGAGUGAAACCACGAACCUUGAGAGAUUGAAUGAAUGAAAAGAGAGAAUACAAGGGAGAUGAACGAGAUUGAAAACACUCCGUUAUCAAAGAGGAACAAGGAACAUUGCGAGAACCUUUGUAGGUUGAAUAAUAUGAAACAAGAGCUUAACGGAUCAGAAGGAAUAUGAAAGCACACCGGUAGAAAAGAGAAACAAGGAACACCAUGUGAACCUUGGAGUUUGCAAAGCUAUGAAUGACGAGAACAAUGGACGAGAAGUACAUGCAAGCACUCAGGUUGAAACGAGAUGUACAAGGAACGAUAAGGAUCAAUUACGAUAACGCUCCGGUUGGAAAAUGGAAGGGAUAGAAUAUGAACUUGGCAAAAUGAAAGCACUUGGACGAGACUCCGGUUAAAAUAGGAAUGAUAGACACAACACUCCGGUUAAAUGGAUAAGUAAGAAAAGAACACGAUCCUCACAAUUCGAUAUGAUGAGCGAAGAGAGCAACAUCACCAUGCCUCCGGAAGAAAAAAUAGAAGAUAGAUCAUUGGAAUAAAGGAAUGGAGAAGAAAAUGCCAACUUCUGCCACCAAUGAUCUUGGAAAGCACCCUUCCAAGAAUGUUAGAACGGAGUUGUUGGAAAAAACCAACAACGAAACGAAUAAGCUUGUAGUGGGCUAAUGGAAACAUCUCAACAUUAUGAGGUGACAAACGGCCACUAAAGGAAGACAUUGGUUUGAGUGAGAGCACCAAGGCGAUGAAAAACUUCUUUCACCAAGAGGAUAGGAGAAAACUUGGAUCAUUGAUAAGCACCAUAAUAGCAACAUUCCUUAGGGAAGGCUUUAAGUGAAACAUGACACAAGAUAAAUCCAACGAAGAGAUUGGUGGAUUUAAAAUAUCUCAUUCUUGACAACAUGUGAAUCAUGAAACGCGAACUCAAAUUGUCAAGAAUGACAUAACACCACCUCAAAUGAUAAGGUAGAAUGAAUUGCACUUUAGAAUGCAAGAUGAAGAAUGCUUGGAAUCCACAAAACAAAACAUGUGUUGAGCACCAUGUUUAUUUUGAAGUAUGGCUUGACAGUUCAUAGCUUCGAGAGAAAUCUUGAAGAACAAUUGAAGAAUGAAAGGAAUCCUUGACGAAGCACCAUGUAGAGCCUCCAUGAAGAACUCCGGUCAAACCAGGAUGAUAGAAAGAGAUAGAAGUUGAAAACACAAGGUGAAGCCUUGCGAUGAUUUAGAUGUAGCUUCGCGACGAGAUAAUGCGAAAAAACUUGGAACUUCGGAAAAGAAAAGAUGAAUCAUCCGGAAUCGAGAAUGUGAUAUGAUGAACAACUCUGGAAAGAAGGAACUAGAUCACUUGGAUGAAAAAUAAUAAGAAUUACGUUAUGCGUAUCCUUCACCAAUUUAAAUUGAUGACAAGCAACGGAUUUGGCAUACUACUUAUUUUUGUAGAAAGGAUUAAGAUAGAUAUGGCGCAAAGUUGGGAAGGUCUUCAACGAACCACCGGUAGGAUUGAAAAGAACGAAUGAAUCUAUAUGAUAACGAAGGAAGAGAAUUCUUGAACGAACCACCGUAAGAAUUGAAAAUGAACGAAGAAAAGAUAAAGAAACACCGGGAAGAAUUAGAAAAUGAACGAAGAAACUUGAGAGAAUUUAGAUAAAAGUGAACGAAGAGAUCAUGAGCUGAUUAGAGAAUACUUGAACGAUGCACCGGAAGAAUAUGGAGAUGAACGAAGAGACAUCAAUUUAGAAUAAUUGGAGAACGAGGCUGAAAACUUAGAACGAAGAAAUCUUCUGAAAUGAUGGCCUUUGGAUGAUCAAGAAACAAAAACAACUCAUGAAAUGCUCCAGAUGGGUAUGAAAAGAAUUUUCACAAUCGAAAAACAAUUAUGAGAGGAUGGCAUAAGCUAGAACUAUGAAUCUUCAAGAGAAUGGACAAGAUUUAAGAGAAACUCUUCUUCGGUCUUCAAAUGUUGAGAAUGACGAUGAGAAACACCACCAUGAAUUGUUGAGGCACUCCGCAAUGAAAUUAGAAAGGUUGAACCAACGAUGAAAAGAAUUUGAAAGAUCUUGGAGAAGGAGUAUGACUGAUGAUACUUCAUUCUUACAUCAAACUUCUAAAAGAAUUUGGGAAUAGCUCCGAAAAGAAUUAGAAGAGUCAGGUAAGAUCCUGGGAAAAGACCUAUGGGUUAGGGCCCACUCAAAAGAUACACCGUUGAAUGACUAAAAGAAAGAUUGCGCCGGUUGAAUUAAAUGGCUCAAAAGAGAUAACAACCUCGAGAUAGCUUGAAUGGAUUGGGAAUGGAAAUGCGAAUCUUCUGAGAUAUCUUCAGCACUCCAGAUAACAUGAAUAGCAAGAGGUGGAUGAUUAAGAGAUGCACCGACAUGAGAAAGCAUUUGAAACAAGGAAAGGAAUGUGAUUAACCCCGAAAACUUGAAUUGAAUCCACCGGAGAAGAAAAGAGAAUGAUGAACUUGAAGCUCCGUUAGUAUCUUCCUGAGAAUCACCGGAUAAGAACAUUGACGGAAAAGGAUGGAGAGACUUCCCAUCAAUAAAAAGGAUACUUGGUUAAGAAAUCUUAGUCCUUGAAGAAAAAGGGUGGGAGGGCGGGAAAACAAAGACAAUUUGGGACGGAUGAAACAAACAACGUUGGGAAAAACUGAGAGGUGAUCUUGUGAAUGUUGAAAUGAUCGGAUCCACUUGAAGAGAAGCACACCGGUUGAAAAGAAUUAAUAUGACAACCUCGAUGAUCGAAAGGAUUAGCAACCACAUAGAAAUAUGAGAACACCACUUAGAAUAAGGUAUGGAAUCAACACUUCGCAUUGAAGCAACUCGAAUACCACAAAACAAAACAACAACAAAGGAUUGGCUCGCAAAAUAAGCCAGAACAAACAUAUGAUAGAUAUUUCAUCCGAAGUUUUCGUGGUGGGGCCCACACGGGCUCGAUCGUACAGCACCAUCAUGUACAAGGCAGUGCACAUGACAUACGAAGCGUCCCCGAGUCGGCAUAGCCAAGGAAUCUUUAAGACACUACGAGACCACUGUAAAACCAACCGUGGAUAGGCAGACCACUAGACGUCGAACCCCAAUCUCAUAUCAUGCUUCUGUCGGAAAGAUAUCCUAUGAGCUACUUGAAUUCCCACUUAUAAACUCCCGAAACUUUCUGGUUAUGCAAUCAGGUGUUGGGGAUAUAGGGGACGCAAUAUAUCUCACCCAAACUAACAAUACCUAGAUCCAGCUGUAUCCAUCCCUCAACACAUAACCAACAAACCUUCGGAAAUCAUUUACCUCAACCUUCGAAAAGCAUCCGUUAUACGAGUUAUGGCAAUACUCCCGAACUCCCGCCCCAGUACUGGGUGGCGUCGAGGUGAUCUCACCAACAACUGCAUAAAAGAGAUUUUCGAUGUCGGCGAAAAAAACUCAGGUAUUCCAGAACUGCAACGAUAAAAUUGUGACGACAACACCUCGGAGCUCAACUCCCCGGGACACUGCCACAACCCCUAAAUGUCAGGAGGCACCAAGAACAAUGUUCUCGUCACAAAACCAUUGGAACGAUUCCAAGAUACCCGCGUGAUCCUAAAAAAAAAUUCGUGAAAUUUGAGGAGAGGAGAGCCAAAACUUCUACGUCAGGGGGCCUCACCAGAGAGAUGAAGGGACUGAGGAGUAAAAAGAAUCCUACUCUCCGAUAUAUAUAAUCCUAAGACUCAAAACAUUUUUGUUCUAGACUCAACAACACCAGCGAUUCGAUCAAGCAGGGGGCUCCUAAGUCGGCGAUGGCUCUGAUACCAACUUGUAACGCCCACGAUGCGGCUAUAUCUCCCAUGUGUCGAGGCACGACUUAGAGGCAUAACCGCAUUGUGGUUUUGUCGCAAGAAGGGUCAUCUUCACACAAUCCCAUGUAAUGAACAAGAAUGGGAUAAAGAGAGUUGGCUUAUAAUCGCCACUUCACACAAUACAUAAAUUAAUUCAUACAUCAUCCAAAAUCCACACAUAGACCGACUACGGUCAAAUCCAAAUGAAAAGAAGAUAACCCCAAAUGCUAGAUCCCCGAUCGUCCCAACUGGGCUCCACUACUGAUCAUCAGGAAACGAAACAUAGUAACGACCAAGUUCUUCGUCGAACUCCCGUUAGAGCUCGGUAGCAUCACCUGCACUGGUAUCAUCGGCACCUGCAACGGUUUGGAAGUAUCUGGUGAGUCACGACGACUCAGCAAUCUCACACCCGCGAGAUCAAGACUAUUUAAGCUUAUGGGUAGGAGAAGGUAGUGAGGUGGAGCUGCAGCAAGCACUAAGCAUGUAUGGUGGCUAACAUACGCAAAUAAGAGCGAGAAGAGAAGCAACGGAACGGUCGUCAACUAGUAAUGAUCAAGAAGUGAUCAUGAACUCCUACUUACGUCAAACAUAACCCACAAACCGUGUUCACUUCCCGGACUCCGCCGAAAAGAGACCAUCACGGUUACACACGCGGUUGAUGCGUUUUAAUCAAGUCAAGUGUCAAGUUCUCUACAACCGAACAUUAACAAAUUCCCAUCUGCCACAUAACCGCGGGCACGGCUCUCGAAAGUUUAUACCCUGCAGGGGUGUCCCAACUUAGCCCAUUAUAAGCUCUCACGGUCAACGAAGGAUAUUCCUUCUCCCGGGAAGACCCGAUCAGUCUCGGAAUCCCGGUUUACAAAACAUUUCGACAAUGGUAAAACAAGACCAGCAAAGCCGCCCGAAUGUGCCGACAAAUCCUGAUAGGAGCCGCACAUAUCUCGUUCUCAGGGCACACCGGAUUGUCCAAACUUCCGGUAGGCAAGCCCAGAGUUGCCCCUGGUGGCCACCGGCGGCUAACAGGUUGGACCAACACUCAGAGGAGCACUGGCCCGGGGAUUUAAAAUAAAGAUGACCCUUGAGUCUGCAGAACCCAAGGGAAAAAGGCUUAGGUGGCAAAUGUUAAAACCAAGGUUGGGCCUUGCUGGAGGAGUUUUAUUCAAGGCGAACUGUCAAGGGGGUCCCAUAAAUCACCCAACCGCGUAAGGAACGCAAAAUCAAGGAACAUAACACCGGUAUGACGGAAACUAGGGCGGCAAGAGUGGAACAAAACACCAGGCAUAAGGCCGACCUUCCACCCUUUACCAAAUAUAUAGAUGCAUUAAUAAAAUAAGAGAUAUUGUGAUUUGCCAAAAUAUCCAUGUUCCAACAUGGAACCAACUUCAACUUCACUUGCAACUAGCAACGCUAUAAGAAGGGCUGAGCAAAAGCGGUAACUUAGCCAAACAACGGUUUGCUAGGAAAGGAUGGUUAGAGGCUUGCCAUGGCAACAUGGGAGGCAUGAUAUAGCAAGUGGUAGGUAGCGCAGCAUAGCAAUAGAACGAACAACUAGCAAGCAAAGAUAGAAGUGAUUUCGAGGGUAUGGUCAUCUUGCCUGAAAUCCCGCAAGGAAGAAGAACGAGUCCAUGAAGAAGACAGACGGACGUAGUCGAAUGAAUCCUCACAAACGCAAUAUUACCGGAACUAUCAAGGGGAAGCGCAACCGGAAAGAAGCAAACAACAUGGUAAACAACCAUCACAUAAGCAUGGCAUGAUGCACAAUCAAGUAUGAUGCAUGUCCGGUUUAAAGAGGCAAGGCAAGGUGAAGCAAACAAUACUACAAUUUAAGUGGAGCUCAAUAUGCAACGGGUUGCAUAUUGACGAAACACAACAUCAAUUAUUUAGUUCGCUCUUGUUUAUGCUACUCAUCAAUAUUAAAUGUUGGUUAACAUGGCAAGAGGCGAGGCAUAAGAAAACUACCUAUCUAGGCAAAUUUAAAGGAGGGCGGAACAACAAACAACAAUUCCGGAAAAUCCUCAUGUGCAUAUUUUAGAUUUGGUACUGUUCUGCCUAAAACCAUAUUUUAAUGGUAUUAAACAGUAAAACAAAGUGCACCAUGUUAAUCUAUGCAUUUUUCCACUCCAAUUACAUAUAAAGUUUAUUUAAUUCGGAGCUACGGUUAUUUAAAUAUGAAAUAAAUCAUUUUAGCAUGGCAUUUGAGCAAAUUUAAUCAAACAGCAAUUUAAACAUUUCAAACAUGGAUGAAAGUAGGAUAUUAUGAAACUAGACAAAAUUCUAAGCAUUUUACAUGUCUAAAUCAUUUUAAUCGGAUGCACGGUUGUUGAGUUAUUAAAUGCAUGAUGUUGAGGGUUUUUCUAUAAAACUGCAGUUCCUGGAAAAAUAGUUAAAAUCGUUCCGUGGAAAAAAAACAUGAAUCGGGCCGAAUCUGCUGGCCCAACAGUGCACAGAGGGGGCGCUGGAUCUGAUGCUCACCAUGGGUUUGGCCCGGGUCGGUGGAGAGGGGAGGCAUGGCGAAGUGGGGCUGGAGACGCGCUGGGCCUUGGCGCCCUUGAAGCCCACGCACGCGACAAGGAGGCAUGAGGCAGCAGGCGUCGCCCUUCUCUGCUCGAUGCAGAGACUGAAGCCGACCGCGGUGGCUUCAGGUGAGACAGGGGACGACGUCUACGCGGGGAACGCAAGGAGGCGGCGGAGACGAGCGAAACCAGACGCGUGACGGUGUUCUCCGGCGAGGUGGCGCGCGGGCGAAGCUGAAGGUGGCGGCACAUGUUCUCUGUUCAAACACAGAGAAGGUUUCAGAGAGAGAAAGAAAUCGGGGAGGAAACAAGGAGGCCGUGAGGGGGCUUGCUGACCGACGAAGGAAUGGCCAGGAUCCGGCGGAUCCUGAUGCGGGCGAGGCUGGGGAACGGCGAGGCCGGAUGGAUCCACCUCGGACCCGAUGAGGCAGCUUGAGCUCGGUGGCUGGACUCGUUCUGUAGGCAAACAAAGAGGGAGAGAUAUUUAGAGAAGCAGAACGGAAAGGGAAAGAAGAGAGAAGGCGUGGACGACGGGCGCGCGACCUGCAUGGCUCCGGCGAUGAGGCAACUCGGUGGCCACGGACUUGGCGAAGCAGGGGAGCUCCGGGACGUGCGGGACGCGGGGAUGGACGCCGGAGGACGGAUCCGUCCGUCUCCCGGGUGGCCUGGUGCAAACGGCGGCGAGGGAGCUGCGGCCAACCAUGGCUGUUCCUGGUACAGAGAGGGAGAGGCAUGAGAGACGAGGGAGAGGUGCGGCGGCCUGCUCGUGCUCGAUGGCGAAGGGACGAAGCAGCUUCGGCGGUGGCGCUCGCCGGCGCGGUGCUGGAGGCGGCAGAUGCAAGGGCAAGGGAGGAGCACGGCGCAGGGGCUCCUCGGGCUCAGACGUGAGGAAGGAGGAGGCAGCUGCGGGCUGGUUGGUCCGGUGAAGAAAAUGAGGGAGGAUUUUUGGAUCGGGAGGGGAUGCCGAGGUGGGAGACGACCAGGUGGAGUGUGGCGGCGGCUAGGAGGACAAGGGGGAGGAUUUCUAGGGUUAUCCAAAAUGGACUAGGAAUUGACUAUAAAUAUGGAAAGGAGGGAAGUUUGGAUCUUCUGAUUGAAAUCUGACGGACGAGAAUAAAUAGGCUACGGAGUCCAAUAAAUAAAACAAUGAUAUCUUAGGGAUACUUGGAGAUGAUCCGGAUCCAUCGGUAACGACAGCCGGGUUCGGGUUCAGGGAAGUUUUGGAAGCGCACACGAGGGGGUCUAUGCACUAUACAGAGAGACUCCAGUUUAGGCAAGAGGGAAACGAAGAACAAGGUUGGUCUCAGAAUGGUCAACAAAAGCAAGGGGGGACGCGGCAACUACGAGCAGAUGCGAGUUUUAAAAACAAUGACUACAACGAGUGCCGAUGCAAUGCGGAUGAUGCCAUGAUGAAAUGCAACAAACAAAAUAAAACGCACGACGGCAACGAAGAACAUUGAAGGCUUCUGAAGCGUCGGUCUUGGGGCGUUACAACUUGGCAUCGCUCCGGACGAUUUAUCGGAGGAGAAGCUUAUGGCUCCUCCUAAACAAGCUCCACAAGACGAGGGUUCUCAUGAUGAGUGAUUUACAGAGUUAUUUGCUGGGACCAAGGAAACAUCUGGUCGUUUGUUCUUUUGGUUUUCUUUUGUCUUAUGUCGCUCUGAACUUGUCUGAUGUGGCUGUGUGUUACUCUGCGGAAGUUAUACCUAAACUGUUAAGCAGCUCAGUAGGAUUCUAUUGUCUUAUGUUAGUUAUUUAUGGAGACUACAUCGUUUCGUAAUUGGAAUGUGCUGUGUUGGAAUGUACGUGGUCUGAAUUCUGAUGCUCGCCAGCGUGAUAUUAGAGCUAAGAUCGAGGAGAGCCACUGCUCCGUAAUUUGUUUACAGGAAACUAAGUGUGAGCAGUUUGACAUUAGGAAGAUUCGGUCCUUCUGCCCUAGGCGUUUUGAUCAGUUUGCUUUCUCUCCUUCUGUGGGUGCCUCUGGUGGAAUUUUGGUCAUUUGGAAUUCUUCUGUCUUUGAGGGGCAGCUAGUGGAGGUCCAACGCUUCAGUGUUGUUGUUGUUGUUUCUUUCAAGUCUGUUCGUAACUCAGAACGAUGGACUCUGGUUUCAGUGUAUGGGCCAUGUGAGGGUCAACCUAGAGACGAUUUUGUGAGUUGGUUAUAUCAUCUAACUAUCCCUCUGGAUGAGAAUUGGUUGCUCCUUGGUGAUUUUAACUUCAUUCGCUCUCUAGAUAACAGAAAUCUGCCAGGAGGUGAUAUAAAUGACAUCUUUCUCUUUAAUGAAAUUAUUGGUCAUCUUGGGCUAAUGGAACUGCCAAUAAAGGGUAGAAGCUUUACUUGGUCCAAUAUGCAGCAAAUCCCUCUCCUGGAACAGCUCGAUUGGUUCUUCACAACCUCCGACUGGAUCUCUCACUACCCUAAUACAGUUGUCUUUCCUUUGGCUAAAACUGCAUCAGAUCACGUGCCAUGUGUGGUUUUAAUUGACACUAAAAUCCCCAAGUCCAAGGUUUUUAGGUUUGAAAAUUUCUGGGUGGAAAUACCAGGGUUUAUGGAGUGUGUCAAGAAAUCUUGGGAGGCCCCUGUGUUUUCUGACCUCUCUGCAUCUGCAGUUUUAACCAGGAAAUUUAAACGCCUCAGGUAUGAUUUGAGAGUUUGGAGUAAAACCUCUCUUACCUUAAGAAGUUAACUGUGGAUUGCAGCAAGGUUAUUCUCUAUUUUGAUAAGAUGGAGUUAAGACCACUCGUUAGAACUGAGUUCAAUUUCAGAAAAAUCGUCAAGCUUCAUUAUGAGCAUUUGUUGAAACUCCACUAUAUUUAUUGGAAGCAGAGGUGUACGAUCAGGUAUAUCAAGGUGGGUGAGGAAAACUCCAAAAUUUUCCAUGCCAUGGCAUCUGAGCGCAUGAGGAAAAACUCUAUAGCUAGUCUGAAAACCCCGAGGAUGGAUGAUCCCGUUUCAGAUCAUGAUCAAAUGGCGGGAAUCCUCCGGGCUUCCUUCAAAAACCGAAUGGGCCAGGCCCAGGACAUCUCAAUGGGCUACGAUUUGGGCGCACUCAUUCAGCCUGUCCCUGGUUUGGAGGAAUUUUCACUUCCCUUCUCUGAUGCUGAGAUUCAAAAGGUUUUGCAAGAGCUGCCAACCGAUCGGGCACCAGGGCCUGAUGGUUUUAAUGGCAUGUUUGUCAAGCGCUGUUGGCCGAUCGUCGAGAAAGAUUUCUUGAGUUUGAUCAAAGACUUUUAUGAAGGGAAAGUUUCUCUGGAAAAUAUUAAUGGAUCUCUCAUUACCCUCAUCCCUAAGAUGAUAUCUCCUGAGGGGCCGGAUGAUUUUAGGCCUAUUUCUCUUACCAACACCUGCUUGAAGUUUCUAACCAAGUUGUUGGCUAAUAGGUUGCAAAGGGUGAUUUUGAAUUGCAUCCAUAAAAACCAGUAUGGCUUUCUCAAGGGUAGAUCAAUCCAGGACUGUCUGGCUAUUGUUAUUCUGAAAUUGGAUUUUGCCAAGGCUUUUGAUAUAGUUAAUCAUGAGGUUAUUUUGCCGAUGCUCAAACACAAAGGUUUUGAUGAUAAAUGGAUUGGUUGGGUCAAAGAGAUCCUUUCUACAGGGUCUUCUUCUGUGUUGCUCAAUGGCAUCCCUGGCAAGCAGUUCAAGUGCAAAUGUGGGGUCAGACAAGGGGAUCCUUUAUCACCUCUUCUAUAUGUAAUAGCAGCUGACCUUUUACAAUCUGUGGUUAAUCAAAUGCUGGCCCAGGGUAUCUUAUCACUCCCAAUCCCCACACAUGACCAGGAGUUCCCUAUUAUACAGUAUGCUGAUGAUACUGUUAUCUUUCUGUCACCCAGAGAUGAGGAGCUGGUUGCUCUCAAGAACAUGCUGCUUACCUUUCAGCAAUCUACUGGUCUCAAGGUCAAUUUUGCAAAGUCUUUAAUGAUCCACUCAACCUUGAGGAAGGUGAAGCAAUUAGGUUAGCUGCUGUGUUGGGCUGCAGGAUUGGCCAACUCCCUUUUACUUAUUUAGGGUUGCCCCUUGGAACCACUAGGCCCAGGAUUGUUGAUCUCAUGCCUUUAGUGAACACUUUGGAGAGGCGUCUGACUGCUAGCUCAUGUAUGCUAAACCAAGGAUCUCGUUUGCAGCUCCUAACUUCAGUCCUGACUUCUUUGCCAAUCUACUUUCUUUGUAGUUUGCAAAUCCCACCUGGUAUUAUCAAGCAGUUGGACAGAAUCUUCAGACAGUGCCUCUGGAGGGGGAGUUCUGAUGUUCCCAAGCAAUCUUUGGCCGCUUGGGAUUUAGUCUGUCGGCCAAAAGACAAAGGUGGUCUUGGGGUUAUCAACUUAAACAUUCAAAACAAGGGUCUUCUGCUCAAGCAUUUGCAUAAAUUUUAUAAUAAGGCUGACAUACCCUGGGUGUCCCUCAUCUGGAACAGUUAUUAUGCUGAUGGUGUUCCACACGCUACAACCCCAGUGGGCUCCUUUUGGUGGAGACAUAUCCUCAAGCUCCAUGAUGCAUACACAGCUAUUGCCUCAGUGCACAUCAACAUGGGUGACUCUGCUCUGUUUUGGACUGAUGCUUGGUUUAUUGGUGGCUCUUCUAGACCUUUAUGUUGGAGAUUGCCAAGGUUAUUUUCCUUUGUUAACAAUGACAAGGUUUCAGUGCAUGAAUUCCUCAUAUCGCAGGAUAUUUUUACCAUGUUCUUCUUGCCAUUGUCUCAUGAGGCUGCUCAGGAGUUGCAAGUGCUAGAAGAUUGGAUCAUGGCCUUGAACAGGGACACCAACAUACCAGAUGUUUGGGUUUGGCCGGGCAGAUCUAGUAGUUUCUCAGCCAAGAGUUUCUACACCUUGAUGCACUCACAUUUACCCACAAUUCAACCGUGUAAAUGGUUGUGGAAAAGCAGAUGCACCAUGAAGAUCAAAGUCUUUGGAUGGUUACUUUUGUUUAACAGGCUUAACACCAAGGACCUUCUGAUCCGCAGGCACUGGAGAUCCCCCCUGGAUGAUAAUCUUUGUGUUAUCUGUCAUGAAUUUUCAUAUGAGGAUACGCUGCAUUUGUUCUUCAACUGUAAUUUCAGUCGGAGGGUUUGGAACUACCUUUCUAUUGACUGGUCAAGAGGGCCGGAUAUUCAGCAAUGUAUCCAACAUGCUAGCUCAAGCUUCAGGCAUCCUUUCUUCUUCGAAGUAAUUUUGACGGCAUCAUGGAAUAUUUGGAUCCUCAGGAAUGGCAGAACUUUUAGAGGGGAGAGAGCUACUUUUGCUGCUUGGCGGUCUAACUUUGUACAUGAUCUUUCACUCCUAACUCAUAGGCUCAAGGAUGAUACCAGCAUCAAGCUUAAAGCUUGGAUAAAUGCUUUAGCCUAAUUAGUCCAGGUAGGUAGUUCUAGUCUUGUACCUUAGCUUUGUAGGCUAAUUUCUUAGCUCCUAUAUAUAAUCCUACUAUUCCUUUUUGUACAGUUGCUCGAUUUCAAUAAAGGGCUGUGGGGCUUUGCCUCACAGUAAAUAUUAAAAAAAAACCUUGCAUGGAGAAGUGAGACGACGCCUAGGUUGUAGGUGUGUCCCGGGGAGCACGUGCAGCACCAGUAGGCGAUGAUUAGUGGAUCUGUUGAUGAUCAAAUUCAUCACAUCCCAUGAUCAUACGGACUACGGAGGGUGAAACAUGGCGAUUGUGGAUCAGAGGUGCAGGCUUGAGACAACGGGAAUGGAGCAGGUUCGCCACUUAAAAGGGGAGGGGGAAGUUCGUCGGCUACACGCACAUGAGCAGGAGCAAUAAACCCAGCCGUUCCUUUUCUCGAUAGUGGAUCUGUCGAUUGGAGAAGAUGAAGAGGAAAAGGGGCGGCCGUGAAGAACACUGGAGGUGUUAUGGGAAGAACAGGAGUGCCAUGAUGGGAGGGAAUUGAAGCGAUGGGCAAGGCACUACGAUGGGGAAGAAGAAGCGACGGGGAAGAAGCGCGAGGGGAUCCCCUUUGGGGGAUAAAAAUAUCUGACGCUACAAAGCGGUGCGCCUGGAAAAAAAGGACGACUUCUUUAGAGAAAAAAAGGGACAUGAAGAAAAUGAUGCCAAGUGACGUGGCAUCAUCACAAUCUAGGAAAAAUCAAUAGUGGGAGUUUAGGAAUAGAGGAUGACGUGGCACACUGAUGUGGAUAGUGUGCAUGAUGAGAGAAUAGGGAGUAGUGGGGAGUAACUUCUUAAAAAUGGUAGAUGUGAUCGGACCCUAACCUCUCUAUGCUUUCUGCCUCAAACUCUAUAUAUCCAAAUCAUAUGCAUUCUGUUGAAACGGUCAAAUGUAUUCUCUGCGUCCUUGUCAGCGGAAGAUACAGAGACAAACAUUAAAUCUAUUUUAAAUGCUCAAUUCUUAUUGCCUGAAACCCGGAGAAGCCGGAACGAUCAUCCGACAGUCCAGGCGGGCGUGGGAACGUGGGACAACUCCCAAUGUGUUGCAUGUUCGCCAUGUGUCCCUCAGAUGUGAACCACCAGGGGCGCCUGCGUAAUUGUGCUGUGCUGUCCCUUUCCCUAUAAAUACACAUCCAAUCGCGGUCAAAAUCUUUCUUCCACCUCUCCACCUCAACAAACCCUAGCGCCAUCGCUAGCUCUCGACGACGCCGGCGACGAAGCGCUUAGCUGCCGCGACCUCUCCGACGCCGUCUUCACGCCGGCCGCGGACAUCGUCUUCUCCGCCGCCGCCUUAGGUGUCCUCCGUCGCCAAGUUAGGGCACGGAAGAUCGAACUGCUCGGCCUCAUCUUCUACUCCGUCUAGCAGUUCAUCGUGUGGUAAAUUAAAACCCUCUUUUUACCGUCUUUUUGAUCCUAUAGAUUAAUCCUUUCUACCAAAAGUGGUUUCUGCCUCCACAAAUUUGGAUCUAUCCUGUUUGCAUCUCAUAUGAUGCCUAGUAUAUUCACUUAUGCUUCACACGUAGUUAGAUUCCUCACUUGUACGUAUUCUUGGAUUCGUACAAAUCUGGAACCAACUCUCAACAUAUAAGUGAAUGUCUUCGCGCUAUGAGGUCAAUGGCUUCUAAACUGAUUUAUCUUCAAAAUCUUCUAAGAAUGCAUAUGACCUCUUCCCCUUCCCUCGCAUCUCUAAUGCUGUCACAGGUACAUGUCCGUGGGAGAAUCCCUUGGUUCUCAUAGUCUGCAUUCAUUUGCAGAAUUCUUACAACAUCAUAUCAACUCUCCCGAAGCCAGUUCCUGUCUGACCAGCAGACGGAAGCCUUUGACAGUGUUGAAGCCAUUCAGUCUGAACCUCAUGGCAAUAGAAAAGUCUGCAAGGAAGGGUGGCAGACAGCGCCGUGGGAACACAUCGAAGGAUUUGCCACCAUAUCUCUAUGAGCUGUACAAGACAGAUCCAGAGGAGGACUACAAUCAGUGAAAACCCCGAAUCCAAUGGAUUCGAAGAUAUUGGGCAGAACAAUGGUACAAGUACAGGUUCGUGACCCAGGAAUAUGCUGAGAAGAAUGCCAUCAAGCGACCCUGGGGAGACAUCUUGUACAAAAAUCUUCCACCCAAGUCCAGAGCUGAAGCCAUUGAACAAGGCUUCUACCCUUGCAUGGUCCGUGGACCACAGCCUGCAGAUGCCGACCCAUCUUCAUUGCUAUGGUGUCGUGACGACAAUCUGUUCAAGCGCAACUUCCAGUUUGCCAAGAACUCGGCCAAAGAAAACAAGAAGUCGCGGGGAUUAGACUUCAACCCCGGUCCCUCUGCUCCUCGUGCUGAUGGCACACGCGAAGCUGAACCCAAUCUUGUUGGUCCCUUCUACAACCUGGAAGGUCUCAUCACUCAUAUUAUGGUUCAAGGGACAGACGUGGAUCAACCUACAGAUGACGCUGAUUCUGACGAAGCGCCUGCACCACCGAAGACUAAGAAGCUGAAGAAACCCAAGGCUUCGAAGCCUUCCACUGCACCAAAAGCUUCGCAAGCGAAGCCUCUGGCCACUGCUCCUUCUCCACCAGGUGUGCAGUCUGAAGCCCAUGCACACCACUGGUCCAGCUCUGACCCCUGCUGCUGUUUUGAGGAAUGAAAAUGACGCCAUUGAUCUGUCAAGUGAUGACGAUCUUGCCGAUGACGCUCUUGAGCAGCUGAUAAAGAGCAAGCAAGAGGCAUAAAUCUUCAAUGAUUUGCCUCUCUUUGACGUGGAAGUAUUGAACAACUUCAUUGAUGAGUGGUUUGACACCCCCAAUCUCAGCUUUGAUGAUCUGCAACUUCCCAUUGGGCUAAGCGUCUCCUUCCAUGGCGCCAUUGCUGCUGAGCUGGCUCUUGCACAGAAAAUUGUUGAGCUGAAGCACAAGAUCGACUAUGAAAAGGCUCAGUUCAAGAAGCACAUGGCCAAGCUCAGCGUAACAGACGUCCAGAACUUCAAGGUCGUGCUGCAUGAGCUCAAGGAAGCGUUUCACAAGAAACGUGAAGAAGCCAAAGGUUCUCGAGAGCGCAUGAAGCUUCUGGCUGCAAAGUGUGUUCAAGCUUACAAUGAAGCUGAGAAGCGCAAGGCACUUGGGCAUCCUGGCAUCGACCCUAAGAUGGCUGCCAAGCAGAAGAAGAAGCCUGCUGUGGACCAAGCUGAACCAUCCAGGCGGGAAGAACCUCGCAUUGUCUUCCCCGCUAGUAUGACAUGCGUGAAGCCUAAGGUCCCCAUAGUGGCUUCAGAGCUUCAGAAGACAAGGGCAGCCGAAGCCAAAGCCAGAAAGCUCAAGACCAAGAACACCACUGACAAUGCUCCACCCACCAAGAAGCGCAAGACCAAGAAGAAAGAUCGGGCUGCUCCCACAGAGCCCCUUGUCGUCGAGCCAAUUUCUGUUGCUCGUCCUCCAUCUGCACAACAAGAAUGUCGUUUGAUAGUUCAUGAGCCUGCUUCCCCAAAGGCUCUUGAAGUUGAAGACAUUCCAGCUGUUGACCCCACCGCAGCUGAAGACAUUUGUCAUCAAUACAAUGUUGAAGAUGAUUAAGUCCUUCCUCAGAUCGAGCAUAAUGUGGUAUCAUCGCCUGUUCUCACGAACAACGAACUCAUCAGCAUUGGUCGUCCUUUGACGCUAAUUGCUCAGGAUGACUCAUGGGCUGAUCACCCUCAAGACUCCCCUCGUCAAGCAGAAACACCAGUUACUCCCCCAACUCAAGUCACCACUCCGAUGAUUGAAGAUGAAGACUUUGUGGCCCAACCAACUCCAUCUCCACAAGCGUCACCAGCAUUCCGCAGGCUUCGCAAAGGACCAAGGCCACAGGUCACUCUGUCAAGUGUUCCAGAAGGAGAAGAGCGCCAAUCGGUUUCUCGCCAAGUAUUUCCUGAAGCCUCUCCAACUGUGAACAACCCUGAGUCUGAAGCCAACGCAGCUGAAGAUAUUCCGGCUGCAUCAGCCGAUGACCAAGAAGAAGAACCAAGAGUUGAAGAAGUUCGUGUUGCUACACCCCUGUCCAACCCUGAAAUUGUUCUCGAGGAGAACGUGACCGACCCUCCAGCUACUCAAGUGGAGGUCAACAACAUUCAGGCGAUCACCAACACCAACACUGAAGCCAAUGACGUUGUCAUGGCUGAAGCUAAUGUGGCGCCUGAAGUCAAUGUGGUGCCUGAAGUGAUAGCACCUGAUGCAAAUCAGCAGCCUGAAGUCACAACCACUGUCACUGCUCCUGUACCGCCUCCCAGGCCACAUACUAUUGAGCAAGCAUACAACUAUGGUCAGCUGAUCACUGUCAGAUGGCCUAUUCUGGUUCCUCCACCUGCUGCUGGUCCGCAGUUUGAUUACCAUGUCGAGCACAGGCCUCAGGUCCAGAAGCCAAAGCCAAGACUGCCCAGGUUUCCAGGUACUGCCACUUCACCAGGGUCCUUUCUUUGACAGCGCCAAGAACCCCUAUUCCAAGCCAAGGAUUUCAUCUAAUCGGUUCUGGAGCUGUCAGCAGCGCAGCUACUACUCAUGUGUUCUCUAUGAUCAAGGGCACAUCUUCCCUCAUAUGCGUCUUGACUGUGAAGCCAUUGCCGGAUUGCCAUGCCUUGAAGAGCCCUUGACUGCUUCCGUGAUGCUGGAUUGCUGAAUUUUGUGACUGAUAAGGAUCAUUGGAAUGAAGAGCUUCUGCUGCAAUUCUAUGCCACCCUCCACAUUCGCGGCCACAACAGGGAUCCGAAGACAUGGGUCCUUGAGUGGAUGUGUCGGUGUACAAAAAGAGGGGUGCGUUUUUGUACCCCUUUACCUGUGCACGGGCAGUCGGAGCGGCGCCCACGGUCACGCCAAGCAGAACAGGGGAGGUAAGCCAAGGUAAGACCGAAGCCCAAGAUAAUCAGAGCAAAGCCAAGGCCAAGACCACAAAGAGCAGAGGGACGAAGCAGAUUCCCCCGGCAAGACCCUUGCCGGGGCAGCCUCAGCAGCCCCGGCAAGAUCCUUGCCGGGGCAGCUCGCCCCACACCAACAGAGCGAGCCACCCUUGAGCCCACGGUCCCCAACGCCAUCAUCCACGUGGGCCCAGGGCUCGGGAAGGCACCUCUGUGGUGGCAUGCAGAUCUUUGUGAAGACAUAUUCAAGGUCAGAUGAGGAUUAGAAGACGACGAUCCUCGGCAAGAUCCUCGCCGAGGAAGGCCACCAGAGCCCCGGCAAGGCCCUUGCCGGGGACGACAGCGCGCCACGGCAACACCCUUGCCGGGCCACACGGCAAGACCCUCGCUCGGCCACCCGGCAAGGCCCUCACCAAGGACGCCAGCGGGGCCACCGCCAGGCCCAUGCCAACCAAGCUUCCACCGCCGUUCACAUGCAGCUGCCAGCCCAACCAGCUGGGCGGGCACCUGCGUGGCGACAUGCAGCCUCCAGGCCAACUCAUCAAGCGCCUGCGUGGCGGCAUGCAGAUCUUCGUGAAGGCUCCACCACCGCGCCACCUCAGCUGCCUGCCUGCCUACAUGGCGCCGCACACAUCGCUGGCCAGGGCGCGUGUCAAAGCGAGGAGGAGCGGCGACGGAUGGGACGGGCCUCGCCCCCGUCCCCAAUAAAGCAAGGAGACACCUAAGCUACGCAUUAAUGCGUCUUGUCCUGUAAUACGAGCGAUAAGCUCAGGGCACUGUACGCCUUUCCACCUCCUGUGUGCCACUGUGGCAGCCCCUUCCGACUAUAAAAGGAGGCCCGUGGCAUACUGGAGAAGGAUUCGGCUCUUUCGAACCACGCACUCACCACAGCUAGUUCGAGAGCUCAAGAACUCUCUGAAAUACACCCUCCAAAGCAGGACUAGGGUUUUACGCAUCCUCGCGGCCCGAACCUGGGUAAACGAUCCUUGUGCUGUCUACUAGCCCUGCUCUUCUCGCAACCCCGCGCCCCGGCAACCGUAGUAGGGAUUCUUGUGAUCCCAUAGGUGUCGUUCCACACCGACAUCUUUGGCGCGCCAGGUAGGGGAGUGCAAUUGUGAGAAUCUGGUCUAGUAGUUAGCCUAGCGGUUCUUCAUCGCCAUGGCUCCCAAGAAGAAGAUGGCCACGGCGAUCGGCUCAUUGGGAGCCGAACGGCCCGUGCCGGUGCGCACGAGCAGUGGACCGGUCGUGGGCAGGACCCGGGCCGCGGUCCGCGAGCACCAGCAUCGCCCUGGCAGUCAGAACCUGGCGAGUGGCGUCGUUUGCGCCCUAGAUGACCGGCCGCACGUCGCCAGAUCCAAAGACGGAGCUGGGGCCCCCGCAGGCGGCGCGGGGCCCUCCAGGGGUGUCGUUGUGCCACCUCCGGGCGGCGCAGCGACCUCCAAGACGCCCACGCCGGCGACCACUGCGCGCUCUUCCCAUGGUGUGCGCGCCGAUCAGCGUCACCACGCUGGUGACCCUGGGCACCGCCGUGGGAAGAGCCCUGUGCGUCAUCCGCGGGAUGAAGGGGUUCAGCAUGCCCACCGAAGCGCUGGCGAAAAUGGCAUGCAGCUGCUGGGUCGUAACGGAGCUCCUUCUAACAUAGUUAGAAGUCGAAGCGCGCCGCGAUCCACGCAGCAGUCGCCGCCGCCCACGCCAGCAGAAGCUUUGGCACGCGCGCGCAGCUGCUCCUCGACUUCUGUAACGCCCACGAUGCGGCUAUAUCUCCCACGUGUCGAGGCACGACUUAGAGGCAUAACCGCAUUGUGGUUUUGUCGCAAGAAGGGUCAUCUUCACACAAUCCCAUGUAAUGAACAAGAAUGGGAUAACGAGAGUUGGCUUACAAUCGCCACUUCACACAAUACAUAAAUAUAAUUCAUACAUCAUCCAAAAUACACACAUAGACCAACUACGGUCAAGAUCCAAAUGAAAAUAAGAAAACCCCAAAUGCUAGAUCCCCGAUCGUCCCAACUGGGCUCCACUACUGAUCAUCAGGAAAAGACACAUAGUAACGACCACGUUCCUCAUCGAACUCCCACUUGAGGUCGAUCCCAUCAUCUGCACUGGCAUCGUCGGCACCUGCAACUGUUUUGGUAGAAUCUGUGAGUCACGAGGACUCAGCAAUCUCACACCCGCGAGAUCAAGCCUAUUUAAGCUUAUAGGACAGGAUGGUGUAAUGAGGUGGAGCUGCAGCAGGCACUAAGCAUAUAUGGUGGCUAACAUACGCAAAAGAGAGCGAGAAGAGAAGCAAUGGAACGGUCGUCAUCUAGUAAUGAUCAAGAAGCGAUCCUGAACUCCUACUUACGUCAAACAUAACUCAAACCGUGUUCACUUCCCGGACUCCGCCGAGAAGAGACCAUCACGGCUACACACACGGUUGAUGUAUUUUAAUUGGGUCAAGUGACAAGUUCUCUACAACCGGACAUUAACAAAUUCCCAUAUGCCUCAUAACCGCGGGCACGGCUUUCGAAAGAUAAUACCCUGCAGGGGUGUCCCAACUUAGCCCAUCAUAAGCUCUCGAAUGUGCCGACAAAUCCCGAUAGGAGCUGCACAUAUCUCGUUCUCAGGGCACAACGGAUGGGCAAGACGUCGGGUUGGCAUAGACCCUGGUUGCCCGGGGGCGCCGGACAUCGCCCAGUUUGGGCCAGCACUUGAAGGAGCACUGGUCCGGGGGUUUAAAAUAAAGAUGACCCUCGGGCUCACGAAAAACCGGGGGAAAAGGCUUAGGUGGCAAAUGGUAAAACCAAGGUUGGGCCUUGCUGGAGGAGUUUUAUUCAAGGCGAACUGUCAAGGGGGUCCCAUAAUCACCCAACCGCGUAAGGAACGCAAACUCAGGGAACAUAUCCCGGUAUGACAGAAACUAGGGCGGCAAGAGUGGAACAAAACACCAGGCAUAAGGCCGAGCCUUCCACCCUUUACCAAAAAUAUAGAUGCAUUAAUUAAAUAAGAGAUAUUAUGAUAUCCCAACAUAUCCAUGUUCCAACAUGGAACCAACUUCAACUUCACCUGCAACUAGCAACGCUAUAAGAAGGGCUGAGCAAAAGCGGUAACUUAGCCAAACAACGGUUUGCUAGGAAAGGAUGGUUAGAGGCUGUCAUGGCAAUAUGGGAGGCAUGAUGUAGCAAGUGAUAGGUAGCGCAGCAUGGCAAUAGAGCGAACAACUAGCAAAGCAAAGAUUGAAGUGAUUUCGAGGGUAUGGUCAUCUUGCCUGCAAGGUUCUCAGAGUUGUCGAAAGCUUGAUCCUCGUAAGCGUACUCAACAGGUUCCUCGUUCACGAACUCGUCUCCCGGCUCUACCCAAAACAAGAACACAAGCAAUGGAACCACAAUCAAUCACGGGAAAUGCACAAGCAACAUGAUGCAAUACAUGAAUGAUAUGCAAGAUAUGAUAUGCGAUGCAUAUGCGUGCGCCGGAAGAAAAAUGAUGAACAAGGCAGUAACUUGGCAAACCAAGUAUGCCACUGGAAAGAUGAGAUGAUUUCGGUCGAAAUCGAUAUAAAGAUCACCGGAAACGGAUGCACGGUUCGCGAAAGGCAAGCAAAACAAGAAUGACACGAAUCUGUGAUUAACAGCAUGAUAUCACUUAGAAUACAUCAAGUAACUAUGCUACAGCACUCCAACAUAGCAACAAAGCAUAUGAAAGUAAUCUAAAGGAGGUGUUUGACAAAAGAUGAACACUGAGCUACGGCUAGAUCACAACAUAACAGGCUCAAACAAGCAUGGCAAAAGUGCGAAAGAUAUCAGGUUAACAGACUUGGUGAAAUUACUGGACAUGGCUGAAACAGCAUCAGGUAGCAAUGUUCAGAGCAAGAAACACACAUGCUACAGGAACUUAAUAUAGCAAAACAAGGCAUGGAAUGAAUCUACUAAAUGCAUAGAACAAAAGUCCCUUACUGACCAUAAGCGAAAAACGACCAAAAGUUAUGAUGGCAACCAUGUGAACAUAGCAAGUUUCGUUAACAGGUUACAGACUUGGCAGAAAACAGAGCAUGGCAGAAACAAUAAUAUGAAGGCAUCUUGGUAAGCUUGAUGCACUCACCACAAAGAAAUUCAUGACAAAACAAGCAUACCUACAGCAAGAUGGCAUGUUUAUGAAGCUAUCCAUGGCAAGAGCAAGUACAUAGCAUGUAUGAAACAACUACAACAAGCUUGGCAAAUUGAAUAACACGUAAACAAUCUGCCAUAAAUAUUUUAUAGCAAAAGUAGAGCAAGAUUGAGUCAUUCUAUGGCACUCCAUAAUUGCAAACAAGGGUAGUAGUGGAUCAAUUACAACAAUAUCUACAAAACAUCCUUACUGAACAUCUCCAAAAUAUGCAUGGAUCUCUCUGUAGCAUCAAGUUUACAUGGCAACAAAAUAACAGCAGACAAAGACUUGGAGAAAUCACCAAGUCUCUGAAAUCAGAAACAUUACAGAGCCUAGUUUGCAUGCUUGUGCUAGUCACCACACAGAUCACAAAAAUACAUGGCAUACACCUCUGUAAAUAUGGCAUGGCAUACAUCAAAACACAUGUAGAGCUCCUACUCAUAAGAUGCACAUAUCAAAUGCAACAAAAAUAACAAAUCCUCAUGUUCUGAUAAGUAACAGCAGUUAACAGCAUAUAGCACGCUUGCACCAGAGAUUUGGGCAUCAAGAUCAACUCAAAUGAACAUAGUGCAAUUGAACAAAAUGUAGAGCAUCACAAGACGAACAUUUCGAUAUAUUACAUGCACGAAACGGAGCUAUAUGCAGAGAGUUAUGCCAUGAUGAACAGGGGUAUAUAAUGUGAACAUGCAAAAGACUUGGGAAUAUUUUCGGGGAGAGGAGAGGAAAGUCAACCGUGGGCUUCCUCGAUCCAGAUCUGGCCCGGGCCGGGCUUCGAGCUCGCCGGCGGUGGAUGGCGACGCCGGAGGAGAGGAGGGAGAGGCCGGAGGGAGGCGGCGCUCGGGGCCGCUGGCGGCGGAGGAGGGGGGCGCCGGCGACGGGCACGGCUCGGGCGGCGCCGACNNNNNNNNNNNNNNNNNNNNNNNNNNNNNNNNNNNNNNNNNNNNNNNNNNNNNNNNNNNNNNNNNNNNNNNNNNNNNNNNNNNNNNNNNNNNNNNNNNNNNNNNNNNNNNNNNNNNNNNNNNNNNNNNNNNNNNNNNNNNNNNNNNNNNNNNNNNNNNNNNNNNNNNNNNNNNNNNNNNNNNNNNNNNNNNNNNNNNNNNNNNNNNNNNNNNNNNNNNNNNNNNNNNNNNNNNNNNNNNNNNNNNNNNNNNNNNNNNNNNNNNNNNNNNNNNNNNNNNNNNNNNNNNNNNNNNNNNNNNNNNNNNNNNNNNNNNNNNNNNNNNNNNNNNNNNNNNNNNNNNNNNNNNNNNNNNNNNNNNNNNNNNNNNNNNNNNNNNNNNNNNNNNNNNNNNNNNNNNNNNNNNNNNNNNNNNNNNNNNNNNNNNNNNNNNNNNNNNNNNNNNNNNNNNNNNNNNNNNNNNNNNNNNNNNNNNNNNNNNNNNNNNNNNNNNNNNNNNNNNNNNNNNNNNNNNNNNNNNNNNNNNNNNNNNNNNNNNNNCGUAGCGGACGCGGAGAGGCUGCGGGCGGCGGCGCGUUUGUCCGGCGGGGUACGGACAUGUCCGGCGGCGCGGAGGGAUAGGGUUAGGGUUUGGACUGCGGAUUAUCUCGGGAGGGGUGCAAUUAUAUAGGUAGAGGGAGCUAGGAGACUCAAAACGAGGUGCGGUUUUCGCCCACACGAUCGUGAUCGAACGACCUAGAGCAUGGAAAUGACUUGGAGGGGUUUUGGGCUGUUUAGAGAGGGGGUUUUGUGGCAACACACAGAAGGCAUCUGCGGUUACCCGGUUAACCGUUGGAGUACCGAACGACCUCCAAAUGGAACGAAACUUGACCGGUGGUCUCCCGGUGGUAUACCAAGGCCACUUGACAAGCCUCGGUCCAUUCCGAGAACGUUCGACACCCGCUCACGAAAAGAAACAAGAGGGGUGCGCCGAAGGAGGUGGGAGUGCCGGAUUGCAAAACGGACAACGGGGAAAUUGCUCGGAUGCAUGAGACGAACACGUAUGCAAAUGCAAUGCACAUGAUGACAUGAUAUGAUAUGCAUGACAUGAAAAAAAUGCAAAAUGAAAGACAAAACCCGACCACGGAGGGAAUAUCAUAACACAUAGCCGAAAAUGGCAAGAGUUGGAGUUACAAAUAUGGAAAGUUACAUCCGGGGUGUUACAACACUCCACCACUACGAGAGGAUCUCGUCCCGAGAUCUAGGACUGAAAGAACUCCGGAUAUUCGGAACGAAGAUGGUCCUCGCGUUCCCAGGUGGCUUCUCGGUCGGAAUGGUGUGACCACUUCACUUUCAGGAAUUUGAUUGACUUGCUGCGAGUCUUGCGCUCAGUUUCUUCAAGAAUAGCAACGGGGUGCUCAUGUUAAGACAAAUCUACUUGGAGGUCAAUCUCUUUGAAGUUGAUAGUGCGCUCAGGCGUCUUGAAGGACUUGCGGAGCUGUGACACAUGGAACACAUCGUGCACGUUCACGAAGUUGGAAGGAAGCUCAAGUUGAUAGGCGAGGUCGCCUCUUUUGCGAAUGAUCUUGAAAGGACCCACGUAUCUAGGGGCAAGCUUCCCUUUGAUACCGAAGCGACGAGUGCCUUUCAUUGGAGAGACGCGGAGGUAGACAUGGUCUCCGAUCUCGAAAGCCAAAUCACGGUGCUUACUAUCAUAGUAACUCUUCUGGUGCGAUUGCGCGGCUUUGAGAUUAUCACUGAUGACUUUACACAUUUCUUCAGCUUCAGUGAUUAAGUCAUUGCCAAGAAGUUGGCGUUCACCAGUCUCUGACCAAUUGAGAGGAGUACGACACUUUCUGCCAUAGAGAAUCUCGAAUGGGGCCUUGCCCGAACUCGCUUGGAAGCUGUUGUUGUAGGAGAAUUCAGCAUAUGUAAGACAAUCUUCCCAUUUCAUGCCAAAGGAAAUGACACAAGCCCUGAGCAUAUCUUCAAGAAUUUGAUUGACUCGCUCGACUUGGCCACUAGUUUGAGGAUGGAAAGCUGUGCUGAAGCGAAUGUUGGUGCCCAUGGCCUUCUGGAAGGAGUCCCAGAACUUAGAGGUGAAGAUGCUUCCACGAUCAGAAGAAAUCAAUUGUGGAAUGCCGUGCAAGGAGACAAUUCUGGAGGUGUAUAGCUCUGCCAACUGAGCUGCUGUGAUAGACUCUUUCAUUGGAAGGAAAUGAGCCACUUUAGAAAGCUUGUCGAUGACAACGAAGAUAGCAUCAUUUCCGCGCUUGGACUUGGGAAAACCAGUCACGAAGUCCAUUUCGAUAUGAUCAAACUUCCACUCUGGGAUAGCAAGAGGUUGGAGGAGACCACCUGGUCGUUGGUGUUCUGCUUUCACUCUUCGACAGACAUCACAUUCAUUCACGAAUUGAGCAAUUUCUCGCUUCAUUCGAGUCCACCAAUACGACCGCUUGAGGUCAUGGUACAUCUUCAUACUUCCAGGAUGAAUGGAAAGAAGAGAAUUGUGCGCCUCGUUCAUAAUGACUUUCCUUAGAUCACCUUUAGGAACCACAAUCCGGUCCUCGAAGAACAAAGUGUCUCUGUCAUCAAUGCGAUAACACUUGUAUUUGGAAAGACCCUUGUCGACACCACGUUUCACCUUCUUCACCAUGGUAUCCAGGAGUUGUGCCUCACGAAUUUGAUCUUCCAAAGUAGGAGAGACUAUGAGGUUGGCAAGAAAGCCUUGAGGAACAACUUGGAGAUUCAGCUUGCGGAAAGCUUCACAAAGAUCCGGUUGGAAAGGCUUGAGAAUUAAGCUGUUGCAAUAAGCCUUCCUGCUUAAAGCAUCUGCAAUGACAUUGGCCUUGUCUGAGUAUAUUCAAUACUCGGAUUGUACUCUUGAAUCAUUUCGACCCAUCGAGUCUGCCUGAGGUUGAGGUUGGGCUGAGUGAAGAUGUACUUGAGACUCUUGUGAUCGGUGAAUAUGUCCACUUGUCUUCCCAACAAGAGAUGUCUCCACGUUAUUAAUGCAUGGACAACUGCCGCCAACUCAAGAUCGUGAGUGGGGUAGUUCUUUUCAUUGGGCUUCAACUGACAAGAGGUAUAGGACACAACUUUCUUCUCUUGCAUUAACACAACACCGAGACCUUGGAGAGAAGCAUCACAGAAAACUUCAAAUGGCUGGAUUCGUCAGGAGGAGUUAAGACAGGAGCUGUGACGAGUUUCUCUUUGAGAGUGUUGAAAGCAACAUCACACUCAGGAGACCAGACAUACUUCACAUGCUUUUGGAGGAGGUUGGAAAGAGGCUUUGCAAUCUUAGAGAAAUUCUCAACGAAUCUUCGGCAAUAGCUUGCAAGACCAAGAAAACUGCGGAGCUGCUUGACAUUCUGAGGAGGUUCCCAAUUCACAAUUGCGGACACCUUCUCGGGGUUAACAGCGAUGCCCUUGGCAGAGAUGAUGUGACCAAGGUAAAGAACUUCAUCAAGCCAAAACUCACAUUUGGAAAACUUCGCAUAGAAUUGAUACUCUCUGAGCUUGUCGAGCACCAAUCUCAAAUGUUUGGCAUGAUCCUUCUUAUUCUUGGAGAAGACCAAGAUAUCAUCGAGAUACACCAGGACGAAUUCAUUGGUAUAGGGGUUGAAGAUGAAAUUCAUCAUCCGAGAGAAUGUUGGAGGAGCAUUGACAAGGCCGAAAGACACGACAGUAUAUUCAUAAGAACCAAAGCUUGUUCUGAAUGCUGUCUUGGGAAUAUCUUCUUCACGAAUGCGAAUCUGAUGAUAACCCAUGCGAAGGUCAAGCUUGGAGAAUACUUUAGCACCUUUGAGUUGCUCGAAUAGCUCAUUGAUGUUGGGAAGUGGAUACUUGUUCUUGAUUGUCUUCUUGUUCAAUGGACGGUAGUCGACACAAAGUCGGUCCGUGCCAUCCUUCUUCUUUACAAAAAGAACACCACAACCCCAUGGAGAAGAACUCGGUCUGAUCAAACCCAGACGCUCUUGUUCAUCGAGCUGUUUCUUCAAUUCCUUCAGCUCCUUGGGUCCAAGCUUGUAUGGACGCUUGCAAACGGGUUCAGUUCCUGGCUCAAGAUCGAUAACGAACUCAACUGGCCGGCGAGGAGGCAUACCCGGAAGCUCUUCUGGAAAGACAUCUUGAUACUCACAAACAACUGGAAUUUGAGAGAUGGCAUUCAAUUCGCCCUUCUCAUUGAGAGAAAAUAACCGAAUGGUUUCAUCACGAGCGGCAUAGAUAAUCACAUCCUCAGAAGAGUGUGUCAAUUGAAUUUCCCUGGCAGCACAAUCAAGUUGAGCCUUGUACUUAGAAAGCCAGUCCAUCCCGAGAAUUAGAUCAAUAUCCGAGUCACCAAGAACCAUUGGAGAAGACAGAAAUUUAUAAUUGCCCAUCUUGAUAGAAACAUCCGGAGCCAUCAUUUUGGUAUUCAUGAAUAAUCCCGGAGCGGAAACCGCUAUCGGCUUAGGAAGAUCAACAGUAUGCAAAUUGUUCAUGGAUGCAAAAGGUCUUGAUAUGAAAGAAAUAGAUGCACCAGUAUCAAACAAGACUUUUGCAGGAAUAUCAUUAACAGGAAGAUUACCCAUUAUCACAUCAGUAUAUUCCUCCGCUUGAGCUGCAUUCAUCAUGUUCACCUUUGCAGACUUUGGAUUAUGCUUGACCACUGCAUUGUUGAAAGAUCUGACAGGGGGAGGAGGCGGAAGACGCCUUUGGUUGAAGCACUUGUUAGCAUAGUGACCUUUCUGCUGACACUUGUUGCAAGUCACCUCUGAGAGUGGACGGUGAUAAGGAGCAUUGGACUUUGGAGCUUGAUUCUGAGACUUGUUCUGAUAGCCAGAGUUGGAAGAGUGGGAAGAACCAUGGCCACCUUUGUUCUUCUGCUGGUAAGGCUGACGAAACGGAGGAGGAGGCAACCAGAACUUCUGUUGCUUAGCUGCCACAAGUGAGGAAGAAGAAGACUGCACUGCAUCCCUGACUCUCUUCUUAGAAGCCUCACACUUGAGCUGAGCAGCCUCUUGCUUCAGUGCCAUAUUGUAGAAUUGAUCAAACUGAGUAGGCUCAACAAGAACGAGAGCUAACUGCAGAUCCUCUCUAAGGCCACCUCUGAAGUGAUAGAUCAUGCUCUUUUCAUCAGGAACGUCUUGUUUAGCGAAGCGAGCAAGUUUCUGAAACUGGAUGUUGAAUUGAUACACAGACAUGUUGCCUUGCUUGAGAUUGCAGAACUCCUCACGCUUGCUCUCAACAACACUUUGUGGAAUGUGGUGCGCUUUGAAAUCCCGACAGAAGUCAGUCCAAGUAAUCACAGGACCUCCUCUGGAAUCUUUGUAUUGUUGAUACCAAUCAGCAACUUGGUCCUUGAGCUAAAAAGAAGCGAACUUGACAUAGUCCUCAGGCUUGACAUUGCUACAUUCAAAAUGCUUGUUGAUGUCCACGAGCCAAUCAUCGGCAUCCGUGGCCUCGGCACAGUAGCUGAAAGACUUGGGCUGAUUUGCGAGAAACUGGUUGAGGGUAGCGAAGUGAGGCUGAUUGUUGCCUUGGCCUUGAUUCCCUUGAUUGCCUUGCCCUUGGGUGCGGUCUUGCAAGAGUUGCAGAAUCAUCUGAGCAUUGGCGUUGGUGGCUGCCAUGAUAGCUUGCCAUGCCUCCGGAGGUGGAGGUGGUGGUGGAGGGUUCUCUUGACUCCCUUCAUUGCGAUCCGGAUUCUGACGCGUUGGCGGAGCCAUCCUGAAGAGGGUGACGUCCGUUAGCAUCUUGAUAGACAAAUAGACAAGUAGAAUCAACAGAUAGAAAUUGCAACAUAUAGUCUUCACAAUAAACAUUCGAACGAGGAUGAACGAAUGAAUUCCAUAGUAAAUCAUUGCACUUCCAUAAAUUGAGAAGCCACUUAGAACAAGGUAUGGAAAUCAACAUUUGACUUCGAAGCAACUCGAAUACCACAAUUCAAAACAAAACAAAGUAUUGGCUUGCAGAAUAAGCCGGAACAAACAUAUGAUAGAUAUUUCGUCCGAAGUUUUCGUGGUGGGGCCCACACGGGCUCGAUCAUACAGCACCAUCAUGUACAAGGCUGUGCACAUGACAUACGAAGCGUCCCCGAGUCGGCAUAGCCAAGGACUCUUUAAGACACUACGAGACCACUAUAAGACCAACCGUGUACAGGCGGACCACUAGACGUCGAACCCCAAUCUCAUAUCAUGCGUCUAUCGGAAAGAUAUCCUAAGAGCUACUUGAAUUCCCACUUAUAAACUCCCGAAACUUUCUGUUUAUGCAAUCUGGUGUUGGGGAUACAGGGGACACAAAAUAUAUCACCCAAACUAGCAAUCCCUAGAUCCAGCUGUAUCCAUCCGUCAACACAUAACCAAGAAACCUUCGGAAAUCGUGUACCUCAACCUUCGAAAAACAUCCGUUAUACGAGUUAUGGCAAUACUCCCGAACUCCCGCCCCAGUACUGGGUGGCGUCGAGGUGAUCUCACCAACAACUGCAUAAAAGAGAUUUCGAUGUCGGCGAAACUCAGGUAUUCCAGAACUGCAACGAUAAAAUUGUGACGACAACACCUCGGAGCUCAACUCCCCGGGACACUGCCACAACCCCUAAAUGUCAGGAGGCACCAAGAACAAUGUUCUCGUCACAAAACCAUCAGAACGAUUCUAAGAUACCCGCGUGAUCCUAAAUUUUUUUUAGUGAAAAUUGAGGAGAGAAUAGUCAAAACUUCUAUGUCAGGAGACCUCACCAGAGCGAUGAAAGGACUGAGGAGUAAAAAGAAUCCUACUCUCCGAUAUAUAUAAUCCUAAGACUCAAAACAUUUUUGCUCUAGACUCAACAACGCCAGCGAUUCGAUCAAGCAGGGGGCUCCUAAGUCGGAGAUGGCUCUGAUUACCAACUUGUAACGCCCACGAUGCGGCUAUAUCUCCCACGUGUCGAGGCACGACUUAGAGGCAUAACCGCAUUGUGGUUUUGUCGCAAGAAGGGUCAUCUUCACACAAUCCCAUGUAAUGAACAAGAAUGGGAUAACGAGAGUUGGCUUACAAUCGCCACUUCACACAAUACAUAAAUAUAAUUCAUACAUCAUCCAAAAUACACACAUAGACCAACUACGGUCAAGAUCCAAAUGAAAAUAAGACAACCCCAAAUGCUAGAUCCCCGAUCGUCCCAACUGGGCUCCACUACUGAUCAUCAGGAAAAGACACAUAGUAACGACCACGUUCCUCAUCGAACUCCCACUUGAGGUCGAUCCCAUCAUCUGCACUGGCAUCGUCGGCACCUGCAACUAUUUUGGUAGAAUCUGUGAGUCACGAGGACUCAACAAUCUCACACCCGCGAGAUCAAGACUAUUUAAGCUUAUAGGACAGGAUGGUGUAAUGAGGUGGAGCUGCAGCAGGCACUAAGCAUAUAUGGUGGCUAACAUACGCAAAAGAGAGCGAGAAGAGAAGCAACGGAACGGUCGUCAUCUAGUAAUGAUCAAGAAGUGAUCCUGAACUCCUACUUACGUCAAACAUAACUCAAACCGUGUUCACUUCCCGGACUCCGUCGAGAAGAGACCAUCACGGCUACACACACGGUUGAUGUAUUUUAAUUGGGUCAAGUGACAAGUUCUCUACAACCGGACAUUAACAAAUUCCCAUCUGCCUCAUAACCGCGGGCACGGCUUUCGAAAGAUAAUACCCUGCAGGGGUGUCCCAACUUAGCCCAUCAUAAGCUCUCACGGUCAACGAAGGAUAAACCUUCUCCCGGAAAGACCCGAUCAGUCUCGGAAUCCCGGUUUACAAGACAUUUCGACAAUGGUAAAACAAGACCAGCAAAGCCACCCGAAUGUGCCGACAAAUCCCGGUAGGAGCUGCACAUAUCUCAUUCUCAGGGCACAACGGAUGGGCAAGACGUCGGGUUGGCAUAGACCCUGGUUGCCCUGGGGGCGCCGGACAUCGCCCAGUUUGGGCCAGCACUCGAAGGAGCACUGGUCCGGGGGUUUAAAAUAAAGAUGACCCUCGGGCUCGCGAAAACCCGUGGGAAAAGGCUUAGGUGGCAAAUGGUAAAACCAAGGUUGGGCCUUGCUGGAGGAGUUUUAUUCAAGGCGAACUGUCAAGGGGGUCCCAUAAUCACCCAACCGCGUAAGGAACGCAAACUCAAGGAACAUAAUCCCGGUAUGACAGAAACUAGGGCGGCAAGAGUGGAACAAAACACCAGGCAUAAGGCCGAGCCUUCCACCCUUUACCAAAAAUAUAGAUGCAUUAAUUAAAUAAGAGAUAUUGUGAUAUCCCAACAUAUCCAUGUUCCAACAUGGAACCAACUUCAACUUCACCUGCAACUAGCAACGCUAUAAGAAGGGCUGAGCAAAAGCGGUAACUUAGCCAAACAACGGUUUGCUAGGAAAGGAUGGUUAGAGGCUGUCAUGGCAAUAUGGGAGGCAUGAUAUAGCAAGUGAUAGGUAGCGCAGCAUGGCAAUAGAGCGAACAACUAGCAAAGCAAAGAUAGAAGUGAUUUCGAGGGUAUGGUCAUCUUGCCUGCAAGGUUCUCAGAGUUGUCGAAAGCUUGAUCCUCAUAAGCGUACUCAACAGGUUCCUCGUUCACGAACUCGUCUCCCGGCACUACCCAAAACAAGAACACAAGCAACGGAACCACAAUCAAUCACGGGAAAUGCAAUAGCAACAUGAUGCAAUACAUGAAUGAUAUGCAAGAUAUGAUAUGCGAAGCAUAUGCGUGCUCCGGAAGAAAAAUGAUGAACAAGGCAGUAACUUGGCAAACCAAGUAUGCCACUGGAAAGAUGAGAUGAUUUCGGUCGAAAUCGAUAUAAAGAUCACCGGAAACGGAUGCACGGUUCGCGAAAGGCAAGCAAAACAAGAAUGACACGAAUCUGUAAUUAACAGCAUGAUAGCACUUAGAAUACAUCAAGUAACUAUGCUACAGCACUCCAACAUAGCAAAAAAGCAUAUGACAGUAAUCUACAGGAGGUGUUUGACAAAAGAUGAACACUGAGCUACAGCUAGAUCACAAGAUAACAGGCUCAAACAAGCAUGGCAAAAGUGCGAAAGAUAUCAGGUUCACAGACUUGGUGAAAUUACUGGACAUGGCUGAAACAGCAUCAGGUAGCAAUGUUCAGAGCAAGAAAAACACAUGCUACAAGAACUUAACAUCGCGAAACAAGGAUGGCAUGAAUCUACUAAAUGCAUAGAACAAAAGUCACUUACUGACCAUAAGCCAAAAAGGACCAAAAGUUAUGAUGGCAACCAUGUGAACAUAGCAAGUUUCGUUAACAGGUUACAGACUUGGCAGAAAACAGAGCAUGGCAGAAACAAUAAUAUGAAGGCAUCUUGGUAAGCUUGAUGCACUCACCACAAAGAAAUUCAUGACAAAAUAAGCAUACCUACAGCAAGAUGGCAUGUUUAUGAAGCUAUCCAUGGCAAGAGAAAGUACAUAGCAUGUAUGAAACAACUACAACAAGCUUGGCAAAAUUGAAUAACACGUAAACAAUCUGCCAGAAAUAUUUUAUAGAAAAAGUAGAGCAAGAUUGAGUCAUUCUAUGGCACUCCAUAAUUGCAAACAAGGGCAGGAAUGGAUCAAUUACAACAAUAUCUACAAAACAUCCUUACUGAACAUCUCCAAAAUAUGCAUGGAUCUCUCUAUAGCAUCAAGUUUACAUGACAACAAAAUAACAGCAGACAGACUUGGAGAAAUCACCAAGUCUCUGAAAUCAGAAACAUUAUGGAGCCUAGUUUGCAUGCUUGUGCUAGUCACCACAGAGAUCACAAAAAUACAUGGCAUACACCUCUGUAAAUAUGGCAUGGCAUACAUCAAAACACAUGUAGAGCUCCUACUCAUAAGAUGCACAUAUCAAAUGCAACAAAAAUAACAAAUCCUCAUGUUCUGUUAAGUAACAGCAGUUAACAGCAUAUAGCACUCUUGCACCAGAGAGUUUGGCAUCAAGAUGAACUCAAAUGAACAUGGUGCAAUUGAACAAAAUGUAGAGCAUCAUGAGACGAACAUUUCGAUAUAUUACAUGUACGAAACGGAGCUAUAUGCAGAGAGUUAUGCCAUGAUGAACAGGGGUAUAUAAUGUGAAAAUGCAAAAGACUUGGGAAUAUUUUCGGGGAGAGGUUUGGAAAGUCAACCGUGGGCUUCCUCGAUCCAAAUCUGGCCGGGGCCGGGCUUCGAGCUCGCCGGCGGUGGAUGGCGACGCCGGAGGAGAGGAGGGAGAGGCCGGAGGGAGGCGGCGCUCGGGGCCGCGGGCGGCGGAGGAGGGGGGCGCCGGCGACGGGCGCUGCUCGGGCGGCGCCGACGACGGGCGAGGCGGCGAGCGGCGGCGGGGCCNNNNNNNNNNNNNNNNNNNNNNNNNNNNNNNNNNNNNNNNNNNNNNNNNNNNNNNNNNNNNNNNNNNNNNNNNNNNNNNNNNNNNNNNNNNNNNNNNNNNNNNNNNNNNNNNNNNNNNNNNNNNNNNNNNNNNNNNNNNNNNNNNNNNNNNNNNNNNNNNNNNNNNNNNNNNNNNNNNNNNNNNNNNNNNNNNNNNNNNNNNNNNNNNNNNNNNNNNNNNNNNNNNNNNNNNNNNNNNNNNNNNNNNNNNNNNNNNNNNNNNNNNNNNNNNNNNNNNNNNNNNNNNNNNNNNNNNNNNNNNNNNNNNNNNNNNNNNNNNNNNNNNNNNNNNNNNNNNNNNNNNNNNNNNNNNNNNNNNNNNNNNNNNNNNNNNNNNNNNNNNNNNNNNNNNNNNNNNNNNNNNNNNNNNNNNNNNNNNNNNNNNNNNNNNNNNNNNNNNNNNNNNNNNNNNNNNNNNNNNNNNNNNNNNNNNNNNNNNNNNNNNNNNNNNNNNNNNNNNNNNNNNNNNNNNNNNNNNNNNNNNNNNNNNNNNNNNNNNNNNNNNNNNNNNNNNNNNNNNNNNNNNNNNNNNNNNNNNNNNNNNNCACGGGGCGGACGCGGAGAGGCUGCGGGCGGCGGCGCAUUAGUCCGGCGGGGUACGGACGUGUCCGACGGCGCGGAGGGAUAGGGUUAGGGUUUGGACUACGGAUUAUCUCGGGAGGGGUGCAAUUAUAUAGGUAGAGGGAGCUAGGAGACUCCAAACGAGGUGCGGUUUUCGCCCACACGAUCGUGAUCGAAAAACCUAGAGCAUGGAAAUGACUUGGAGGGGUUUUGGGAUGUUUAGAGAGGGGGUUUUGCGGCAACACACAGAAGGCAUCUGCGGUUACCCGGUUAACCGUUGGAGUACCAAACGACCUCCAAAUGGAACGAAACUUGACCGGUGGUCUCCCGGUGGUAUACCAAGGCCACUUGACAAGCCUCGGUCCAUUCCGAGAACGUUCGACACCCGCUCACGAAAAGAAACAAGAUGGGUGCGUCGGAGGAGGUGGGAGUGCCGGAUUGCAAAACGGACAACGGGGAAACUGCUCGGAUGCAUGAGACGAACAUGUAUGCAAAUGCAAUGCACAUGAUGACAUGAUAUGAUAUGCAUGACAUGAACAAAAUGCAAAACGAAAGACAAAACCCGACCACGGAGGGAAUAUCAUAACACAUAGCCGAAAAUGGCAAGAGUUGGAGUUACAAAUAUGGAAAGUUACAUCCGGGGUGUUACAACUUCCCUCCUGUUGCAGAGAAGCUCGACAAGUGGAGGGCCACCAUCCGGAGCCUCGUCGCCAUCGCCAACAAAGACGAUCCACGACCAGCGGGGCCCUCAGGUCGGCGCUCCACCGAGCCACCACGUGCUGGCGCUGGGAGGACCGGGGGAGCUGCGGCCACGGUGCACUCUCCUCCUCCUCGCCAGCCGCCGCGGGCGUCUGCCCGUCGUGACGACGCUUGUGAUAACAUCUCAAUAGCGUCGUCCGACCCACGGACCCUCCGCGACCAGCGCCAGGUCCUUCGGGAACGAGCUCACAAAGACGCUCGAACCAGCGUCGAACGCCGACGCGAAACGCGCGUCCAGUCGGACAAGCGGGCGGGACCCGCUAUGGACCACCCGGCACCGGGGGGCUCCGGCGGCCUACCUUACGAGGUGGGAUGCCCGGCCUUUACCCGUGAGCUGCGGCAGUUCCAGUGGCCGUCCCAUUGCACGUUCAAGCCCGACGUCAGCGAGAAGUACACUAGCAGGACCCAUCCGUCCGAGUUCCUCAGCAUCUACACCAUCGCGAUGCAGGCUGCUGGGGCUCGCGACGACAAGGUGCUUGCCAACUAUUUCCCGCUGGUGCUCAAGCCCAAUGUGAUGUCUUGGUUGAUGCACUUGCCGGUGGAUUCCAUUUCUUCCUGGUCGAAUCUGUGCCAUGAGUUCGUUGGCGCCUUCACAGGAGGCCACCAAGCUCAUGGCCAGGCCAGUGAUCUGCAUAUCAUUCCCCAGAAGGAAGGGGAGACCCUACGCAAGUACAUCCAGAGAUUCAGCCGGGUGCAGUACAACAUCCCUGACGUUCAUCCCGCCGCUGUGAUUAGCGCGUUCCACCAGAACAUGCGCAAUCGCAAGAUGCGCGAGGAGCUGGCGAUGACCAAGGUCAAGGAUGUGGCCGAGCUCUACGUUCUGGCCGAUAGAUGCGCCCGGGCUGAAGAGGGAAGGAAGUACCCCGGCGAAGACGCCGGCACGGAAACCGACUCUACCGAUGAGGACGCCGCUACCCCGACGAAGAAGGGCCGGCGUUGCAACAGGAAACGCAAGGGCCAGGCCGUGCUUGCCGUUGAGGGAUCUGACGACACCGGUGCCGGCAAGAAGGUCAAGGCAGGCGCUCCCGGCAAGGAGAUUCCGGGUGCGCCGCCUGCCGGGCCUUGGUGGCUACCGACAAGCCAGGGAGCUCCGGCAAGCAAUACUGCAAGAUCCACCGCACCAAGGGCCACGACCUCCAGAACUGCCGACAAGUCGAGCUGCUUGCUGAUAAGCAAAAGGCUGAGUACAAGAGGCGGGACAAGGAGAAGGACAAGGACGGUGCCGAGGGAUCCGACAAGAAGCGUGGCGGCCAAGGAGGCUGCCCCGGCAAGGACAACCAGCAAGAGAGGCCCGCCCGGGGCCGCGACAAGAAACAAGAAGAUGAUGAUCACGACGAGGAGGACGAGUCUGGUGAGCAAGGGUUCCAGAAGGCUACGGAGGCCAUGUGCGUCGAUGGCGGCGCCUCGCUGCAUACCUCUCACCGCCAGCUCAAGCAGUGGGCGCGUGAGAUUACAGCAGCAGAGUCGUUGUUCGACUCUCAGAAGCCACUGAAGUGGUCCAACACGCCCCUCAUCUUUGACGCCGAGGACCACCCUAACCGCACUACCGCGGUCGGGUGUUUGCCAUUGUUGGUCACACCAACGAUACGCAACCUCAGGGUGAACAAGAUGUUGGUUGACAGCGGGGCCGGCUUGAACCUGAUUUCGCCUGUCGUGAUCAAAAGGUUGCAAAUCCCUGAUGGAUACCUCGAGGAAACGGGCAUGUUUCAAGGGGUCAAUCCAGGGAGGAGCCAGCCGAAGGGAAAGGUCACACUGCCCGUGACAUUUGGAGGAGAGUUGAACUACAGGACAGAGAGGAUUGUCUUCGACGUGGCCGAGAUCCCCUUGCCCUAUAACGGGAUCCUCAGCCGCCCGGCACUAGCCAAGUUCAUGGCGGCAUCACACUAUGCCUACAACAUGCUAAAGAUGCCUGGGCCGUUGACCAUCAUCUUCGUCCCCUCCGGCAAGAAGGACAUGCUGAUCUGCGCCGACCAACUCUACCGGGAAGCAGUUGCAGCAGCUGCCGUCAAGGCACCUGCUCCUGCCGCUGAAGGGCUGGGAGGGAAGAAGAAGCCCGACAAGACCUCUCGCACCCACUCCGGCAAGCGCACCUCCUCGGAGUGUUGCGCUACCGUCGAGGACGUGCCAGAGAGCUCUACCGACAAGAGCAAGAGAUCCAGAGCCGAGCCGCCGCAGACCAAGAAGGUGCCCAUCAGGGAGGAUGGCGCGGGAGGGGUCUUCACCAUAGGCUUCACCCUCGACAGCAAAUAGGAAGGCGCGCUCGUCACCUUCCUGCGGGCGAAUGUCGACGUGUUUGCGUGGCAAGCAUCUGACAUCCCCGGUGUUCCCAGGGAGGUGAUUGAGGACCACCUAGCUGUCUGCCCCCACGCGCGGCCCGUCAAGCAGAAGGUCAGAAAGCAGGCUCUGGAGAGGCAGGAGUUCAUCACAGAGGAGAUCAGGAAGUUGGAAGCGGCAGGUUUGGUGAGAGGAGUGCUCCACCCGACGUGGUUGGCCAAUCCGGUAGUGGUGCGCAAGGCGAAUGGGAAGUGGAGGCUGUGUAUUGAUUACACAGAUAUCAAUAAGGCUUGUCCUAAGGACCCCUUCCCGUUGCCGCGCAUCGACCAGAUUGUUGACUCCACAGCCGGGUGUGAUCUGUUAUCAUUCCUCGACGCCUACUCAGGCUACCACCAGAUCUUCAUGACAAGAGAGGAUGAAGAGAAGACAACAUUCAUCACCCCAUGUGGUACGUAUUGCUUUUUACGGAUGCCUUUCGGGUUGAAGAGUGCUGGCUCAACGUUCGCAAGAGCAGUCCAAAUUGGUUUUGAACCUCAGCUCCAUAGAAAUAUGGAGGCCUACAUGGAUGACAUAGUGGUCAAAACCAAGGACGGGCCACCUCUUGUGCAAGAUCUGGAAGAGACAUUUGCCAACCUGCGCAAGAUCAACCUCAAGCUGAACCCUGAGAAGUGUGUCUUCGGCGUUCCAUCCGGCAAGCUUCUCGGGUUCUUUGUGUCGCAGCGCGGGAUCGAGGCAAACCCAGACAAGAUCAAGGCUAUUGGGUUGAUUGAGGCGCCCAAGCGGAUCAAAGAUGUGCGUCGGCUCACCGGCUGCGUUGCCGCCAUGAGCCGAUUCAUCUCCAAGUCUGCCGAGCGCGCCCUUCCCUUCUUCAGAAUCUUGAAAAAGGCAGGCCCAAUGGAGUGGACCCCAGAAGCCGAGGCAGCAUUGCAGGAUCUAAAGAAAUACCUUUCCUCCACGCCAAUACUGGUUGCGCCUAAACCACAAGAGCCGUUGCUGCUGUAUCUGGCGGCGACGAAUCAAGUGGUCAGCGCUGCGCGGGUGGCACAGAGGGAGGUCAACGAGGAGGCAGUGACAACGGCAGAACCAGCGGAUGGCAAGCCCAAGAUUCCCCCGGUAGGGCCUGGUGCCAGCAAGGCGAGGCCCCCGACAGAGUCUGAUGCCGCCGAGGCAGUGCCUGCGCAGUCAAGUGAGGUGGUGCAGAAGAAGAAGAUGAUGCAGCACCCGGUUUACUUUGUCAGCUCCCUCUUGCAGGGAGCUAGAUCGAGGUACUCCGGUGUGCAGAAAUUGCUCUUCGGCCUCCUGAUGGCCUCGAGGAAGCUGCGUCAUUACUUCCAAGCCCACGAGAUCACCGUCGUCACCCGCCUCCCAUUGCAACGGAUACUGUACAACCUAGAUGCGACUGGAAGGAUUGUGGAAUGGGCCUUGGAGUUGUCAAGCUUCGGUUUAAAGUUUGAAAGUACCUCGAGAAUUCAGAGCAGAGUCUUGGUGGAGUUCAUUGCAGAAUGGACCUCAACGCCCGACGAAGAAAUCCAGGAGACCACUCUCCCCGGCAAGGAAGCAGACCGCGACUGGAUCAUGUACUUUGAUGGGGCUUUCUCGCUGCAAGGCGCCGGUGCCGGUGUGCUGCUCGUCGCGCCAACCGGAGAGCACCUCAAGUACAUUAUCCAGAUGCACUUCCCCAGGGAGAUGUCCACCAACAACACUGCUGAGUACGAGGGAUUGCUCGCCGGUCUCAGGAUCGCGGCAGACCUUGGGGUUAAGAAGCUCAUCGUCAGGGGAGACUCGCAGCUUGUUGUUAGGCAUGUCAACAAGGAUUACCAGAGCCCAUUGAUGGAGGCCUACGUAGAUGAGGUGAGGAAGCUGGAGGAACGCUUUGACGGUAUCCAAGCGGAGCACGUCCCCCGAAUGGAGAACGACAUCGCCGAUUACCUGUCAAAGCGUGCUGCAUUCAAGCUACCUGUGGAACUAGGUACCUUUUUACUCCGGUUAACUCAACCAUCCGUCGAGCCAUCAACGGGGCAGAACAAGCAGAAGUAGUCAGGUCCCGGCAAGUACUUUCCUACCGAGCCCCCUGGGGCCGCCGGCAAGGGUGCUGCCGCGGACGCUGAGCCUGCCCAAGAGCAACUGGCUCCGGCAGGGCGUCAAGCCCUGGCCGUAGAGACAGCCGUUCCCAUGGCGGAAGAAAUGCCUUUGGCCCUUGCCGUCGAGCCCCAGGCUCCGGCAUGGGCGCAGCAUACCGUCCAAUUCCUCCAAACAGGGGAGCUUCCUCAGGAGCAGGAAGAAGCGGAAAAAGUAGCCCGUCGGUCCGCCCUGUACCAGUUCGUCGAUGACGUCCUGUACAGGAGAAGGCCGAACGGCGUGAAAUUGAAGUGCAUCCCCCGGGAGGAAGGACUGGUGCUGUUGGCGGAGAUACAUGGAGGCAUAUGUGGCUCCCACAUAGGGUCGAGGGCCCUUUCCAGAAAGGCGUUCCGGCAAGGUUUCUUCUGGCCCACCGCCCUCCAGGAUGCGACGGCAGUAGUAACCAAGUGUGAAGCGUGUCAGUUCCAUUCAAAGAAGCUUCAUCAACCAUCCCAAGCCCUUCAAACAAUCCCUCUCUCCUGGCCAUUCUCGGUCUGGGUCUCGACAUACUGGGCCCUUUCCCCCGCGCUGUCGGGGGCUUUGAGUACUUGUACGUUGCAAUCGACAAGUUCACAAAGUGGCCGGAGGUGGAAGCAGUGAGAAAGGUGACUGCUCAGUCACCUGUCAAGUUUUUCAAGGGACUGGUCUGCCAUUUUGGUGUGCCAAAUAGAGUCAUCACCGACAACGGCACGCAGUUCACGAGCCACACCUUCAUGCAAUACAUUCAAGACCUCGGCAGCAAGGUCUGUUUUGCUUCCGUGGCACACCCACGGAGCAACGGCCAAGCGGAGAGGGCGAAUGUUGAAGUGUUGCGAGGCCUAAGGACAAAGACUUUUGACAAGCUGCGCAAGAGCGGAAGGCGCUGGAUUGAUGAAUUGCCGGCGGUUCUUUGGUCGAUCAGAAUGACGCCAAAUCGAGCCACCAGCCAGACACCUUUUGCCCUGGUCUACGGGGCAGAAGCAGUUCUCCCCACGGAACUCAUAUACGGGUCACCUCAAGUGCUAGCUUAUGAUGAGCUUGAGUAAGAGCAGUUGCGCAAAGAUGACGCGACGCUCCUUGAGGAAGAUCGUCUUCGGGCGGCUGUGAGAGUAGCACGCUACCAGCAAGCCUUGCGCCGCUACCAUAGCCGCAAGGUUCAUGCCCGAAGCUUUGAGGAAGGCGACCUUGUUCUUCGGCGCGUUCAGUCGGCCAAGAAUGCCAACAAGUUGACGCCGAAGUGGGAAGGCCCUUAUCGGGUAAUACGAGUCACCAGGCCCGGCGCAGUCCGCCUGGAGACCGAAGAUGCCGUCCCAGUGAGCAACUCCUGGAACAUCGAGCAUCUUCGCAAGUUUUACCCAUAAGGUGCGGCUUGCCGGGCCUCCCGGCAAGCCACCUUUUGUACAAGCUUUGCCGGCAAGGCAUGUGACCCUUUGUACAAAGCCAGGCACAAACCCUGAGCAUAAAUAAAUGAAGCGCUGGCGCCCUAAGUCAUAGCAUGCAUGCUAGGUCGAGUCCCUUCCUUGGUUAGGGUUGAUAGUACUCAGCAGCGACUAACCCCUAGCUUAGAGGUCGAGUGCGCGUCUAUCUGUUUCUCUUCUGUCCUCUUUUGGUUCGCAGGGCACAUGAGCACUUCUACCGAGCUACUUGGAAGAAAGAAAACGGAACAGCGUCCUGACCCCGGCAAACCAGAGUUGCCGGGGGCUGCAAGCACAAGGAUCCAACCGCGGCAAGAUGAGAUUGCCAGGGGCUGCAGAUCUAGAUAAGUCUUUCAUCCUCUGUCAUGUAUUUCGGAACCGGACUGGGGCAUGUGAAACCUCGUUUUUAUCUCUAGGCUGCCGUGCUCCCCUUUUUCCUAUACCUAAGGAUUAUUUCCUGGGUUCGGAUUUGGUUGUAGCCGCGGUAGCAAGGAGGUAGAACGAGGAGCCUAAAGCCCACUUCAUCCCUGCCUCCGCCAAGAGCGCGAGAAGGUCGAGUGGAGUGGGGGGACGGCAAGGUCUGUUGCCGGGUGAAAAACGUUUAUCUUAAACAAUAACAAGGAUUCGCUCCUUGUCGCGGGAUUUACCCAUGAACGAAAAACCCGGCAAGCAUCCCUUUUUCAUUAAAAACAUCCCAUACAGGUACAGUUCGUACGGAAUGAAAAACUUGAGCAAGGGGAUUACAAGUUCUAAAUUUAACGAAGGCCCGCAGGCUUACAAACUAAAAAAGAGAUAAGAUGCCCGUAAUCCCUUUCUUGUCCCUGUCCUCAGGAGGCAGGUCGAGGAGGCGAGAGGGCAAAAGGGGCGCCUAGGCGAGCUACGAGCAGCAGAAAGCACCAAGAGAACACCUCGGUGGCUGCCCACGGGUGGGUCGGUGAUGACGGUGCCGGGAAAGGAGCUGGAAGAUGAGGCGGCAGGACCGGCAAUACGCGAUGAAGGCGUCGGUGCCCGCGUACUCCGAGUUGAUGGCCUUGCCACCCGCCCUCUUCCUCUUCCGCAGCCUCCCGACGCUAGCCUCCCAAGGAGACGGCCCCGAGAAGUUCAAGGAGCUGGCCCCACCCCUGGCAAACCUCUGCCGGAGGAGCGGCCAGGUGCAGAUGCUGCUGCUGCCGCACCCGCCCAGGCGCGGGGCGUCCGACGCCUAGUCGGACUCGUCCCCGUCAUCUGCCCCGCUGUCCUCCUCAUCACUUUCACUCGAGGAAGAGCUUCCAUCAUCGGAAUCUUCGUCGGAGGAGCUUUCCACGCAGCACUUCAGGCGAGUUCCAAACUCUCCGAAGACCUUGACGGAGAGCAGGCCAUCCUCCAUUAAUUUGAAGUAGAGGACGAGCCCCGCCGUCAGGCUGUGGAUGCGAGCAAACGUCUUCCAUCCACGGCGGAUGUACAUAACCCGAGGAGCCGAGAAGUCGACGUAGACCCGCGUGCCCCCGUUCCCACAGCCCCUCAUGUGCAACCUGAGGGUCUGGGGCGGGUCACGCUCCAUCACCCGAGCAAACGGGGCGGGGAGACGAAGACGAUGACACGGAGGCCGGCGCAGCCUGAUGAAGAACUCGCGGGGCUGGUCUCCGACAUGGCCUUCCAUCGGAAAAGGCAACAUUGGCGGGGGCGAAGCCGGCGCGCCGCCUCGUCCUCCUCUUCCCCGAGCACUGCGACCUCUGCCCCGGCCUCGCCCACGGCCUCGCCCCCUCCCCCUUCCCCUCGCGGCCGGCUCCACCACCGCGGGCUCAGGAGGAGAAGGGACGCGCUGUCGAGCGGCGACCCUCGCCGCCACCGUCGAAGGACCAGGAUUCCCUUUCUCCAUGGCGAGUGAAAGGAAGAAGCAGAAGCGAGAGGAGAUAGAUGACAGAAGAGUGCGAGACGCCAUCUCUCCUCCCCCUUCCUUAUAAGGGAGCGGGGUCGGGGCUCGGCUGCCCCGCUCGGCCAAUCCGGCCACCAGAGGCGCAGGGAAUCGGGACCGACCCGCUGCCCCAACCAGCGACGGCCUGGUUUCCCGCCUCCACCGCUUGCCACCCCAAGUGCAUGGAGGACGCGUGGCGAACGUGCAGAACCGAGGGGACGGGCGAAGCGACCUCUCCCCACCCCGUGAUCGUGGGGAGUGGACGCCUUGAAGACCGCACCCUGGCCCCGUUCAGUAAAUGAGCCGCGCCUCCACGCCUCCCUCUUUUUACAGGGAAGGCGCGAGCCGCCUCUUUACUGCGAUGUGACGCAUGCAUGUGGAGACCGCCCCAUGCAUGCCGCCCAUGUCACGCACACCCCUCCACGCCGCGCUGCGGGCGCGGGUCGUGGGUAGUGCAGCGCGCGAAAAGUCUUACCACGGUAAAAAACUGCCCCGCCUGCCCGCGCACCGUUUUGGGCCUGGCCUAACAACGUGUCGUGCUUAUGUGUAGCAACACGAACUUCUUCAACUCUUGGUUCUUCUUCUUGGUCAUCGGCUGAUGUGUCGGUGUACAAAAAGAGGGGUGCGUUUUUGUACCCCUUUACCUGUGCACGGGUAGUCGGAGCGGCGCCCACGGUCACGCCAAGCAGAACAGGGGAGGUAAGCCAAGGUAAGACCGAAGCCCAAGAUAAUCAGAGCAAAGCCAAGGCCAAGACCACAAAGAGCAGAGGGACAAAGCAGGUUCCCCCGGCAAGACCCUUGCCGGGGCAGCCCCGUCAAGAUCCUUGCCGGGGCAGCUCGCCCCACACCAACAGAGCGAGCCACCCUUGAGCCCACGGUCCCCAACGCCAUCAUCCACGUGGGGCCAGGGCUCGGGAAGGCACCUCUGUGGUGGCAUGCAGAUCUUUGUGAAGACAUAUUCAAGGUCAGAUGAGGAUUAGAAGACGACGAUCCUUGGCAAGACCAGACCCCCGGCAAGGCCCUUUCCGGGGACGACAGCGCGCCACGGCAAGACCCUCGCCGGGCCACCCGGCAAGGCCCUCACCAUGGACGCCAGCGGGGCCACGGCCAGGCCCACGCCAACCAAGCUUCCACCGCCGUUCACAUGCAGCUGCCAGCCCAACCAGCUGGGCAGACACCUGCGUGGCGACAUGCAGCCCCCAGGCCAACUCAUCAAGCGCCUGCGUGGCGGCAUGCAGAUCUUCGUGAAGGCUCCACCACCACGCCACCUCAGCUGCCUGCCUGCCUACAUGGCGCCGCACGCAUCGCUGGCCAGGGCGCGUGUCAAAGCGAGGAGGAGCGGCGACGGACGGGACGGGCCUCGCCCCCGUCCCCAAUAAAGCAAGGGGACACCUAAGCUACGCAUUAAAUGCGUCUUGUCCUGUAAUGCGAGCGAUAAGCUCAGGGCACUGUACGCCUUUCCACCUCGUGUGUGCCACUGUGGCAGCCCCUUCCGACUAUAAAAGGAGGCCUGUGGCAUACUGGAGAAGGAUUCGGCUCUUUCGAACCACGCACUCACCACAGCUAGUUCGAGAGCUCAAGAACUCUCUGAAAUACACCCACCAAAGCAGGACUAGGGUUUUACGCAUCCUCGCGGCCCAAACCUGGGUAAAUGAUCCUUGUGCUGUCUACUAGCCCUGCUCUUCUCGCAACCCCGUGCCCCGGCAACCGUAGUAGGGAUUCUUGUGAUCACAUAGGUGUCGUUCCACACCGACAGGAUGACAGGCAACGUACACCAUGAAGCUAAAGCUUUUGACAUUAUUGAGCUCACUGGUCCGCCCACUCCAGGUGAACUAUAUGAACCUGGUUGUCAGCUUCACCGCAAUGCUUUGGAGAGCAUCUUUUAGAAGCCAGAGCCCAACAUGAGCCAAAUGCUGAGCACGAUGAAGCCUCUGCCACAUGACGCUGAUUACCCAAAGGAAUUCUUUGUUGAAGACCUAGAGUAUCUGCCCCGCACUAUUUAUCAUAUCAUCAGGCGAACUCUAUGGCCUGUCAAAGGACAUUCUUCAGCAGCGAAACUUGAAGGAGCAAUGAAGACUUUGGUCUUUUAUAUCUUCAAUGGCAUCAACUUCAAUGCUCAAGACUUCUUUAUCAGGCAGUUGGCUGCAUCAGGCUCUGAUCUCUUUGGACCGAAGUUCUACGCUCCAUGGGUUAUGCGCCUCAUCAAGCUACAUUCAGCUGUGAACUAUCAGCCCUCUGCUCGCAACCAUCUGAUCUUUCUGCCAGAGGUUGAUAUGUCAGUUGAAGCCAUAUACCCAGAGCCUGCCAAGGAGCCUGUUUGUCUUCACAAUGCUGAUCACCAAAGCUUCACACAACCCAUUGAAGGAGUCCAGGCAGUCACUCGUGUUUAUCCUUUGGCUGGCAAUACACGCUUACCUUGCCGUGCUCAAACUGAAGCCACUGAAAGCACUAUUGCUCAAAGGCCUCGGAAGCGAUCUCGUGUUCUCAAUGACCGAGAACUUCUUGUUGCCCUGCAUCAGAAACAGGAUAAGCAUCACUUCUGGCUGAAGUGGCAGAUGCAAAGCCUCUUGGUGGACGUCAAUCGCAUUCGCAAUCUUGCCACCAAGAAUGCCUUUGUUACACAUGAAACCUGUCGGAGGUCAUGGAAGAGUUUGACAUUGCUCAGUGCUGAAGCAGAUCUUCAAGACGAUGGCUUCACUGAAAGAUUCAAGUUUGACUCCACUCCUCCAAGGAAUGCUAUCUUGUGUCGACCUCCGUCUCUUGAAGACUCUGACUAUUCCUCCUCCGCUGCAAUGGUGAAUGCCAGAGUAAUCGAUGAUCAAGAUGAUGCUACUUCACCUCCUCCAACUUCAGCGCGUAUCGACACUGCACCAAGUUCGUCUGCACCGCCAAACCCCGACGCCGACCCUGCAUCCUCUCCUACUCCUUCUGGGAAUGAGUAGAGGCUCUAUGUCUUCAAACCUUUUUGGUCCUUACUGACAAAAGGGGGAUAAGCAUAUGAGUUGAUAGUCUUCAAGCGGGUCCAUAUGGGCGGUUGCUUUAUAUUUUGCCUAGUGUUUACAACUCUCGCUUUUGAAACAUUUGGUUCUUUUGAGUUGUAACACUUAAACUUGAUGGUCGUCUGCUACCUCUUUGCUAUUCUGUGAUGCGAUGAUAAAUUCCGCAUGUGCGAUGAUAAAUCCCGCACGAAGUCAAAUUGCAGACGUCCAUUUUUCAUUAUGCAUGUCAUUAUCUUCGUUAUAUCAAAUCAUGCAUGAUGAAUUGUCUUCAUAAGUGAAGAGAAUCUCCACAAGUACAACCUGCCAUGUGCAUUUGCAUUCCAAAAGCAAAUUACUUAUAUGCACAUCUUCAGGGGGAGCCUUUUGCUACUUAUGAAGACAAUACCUAAACCCCAGUGAACAAAGUCAGAGUGACUAAAGUGAUGCUCAACCAAAAUCCUAUGUCUUCGAGCGAAGACAAUGAGAGCAAAUCUUAUCCAGAGCUGGAUGAGUCAGCUUACUUGCAGCCCAAGUCAAGCUGUCGCGUGUGUUUGAAAUCUGACCAUUGGAACACGAGUGACCCAGGGUCAUUUCAGACAGAUCAGGUCGGGUUGCCUAGUGGCUAUAAAUAGCCCACCCCCUACACCAUAAAUUGGUGGCUGCUCAGAGUUAGUGCAUGACUUCUGUCAUUUGAGAGCAACCCACCUCCGAAGCUUUUGAGAGAGAGAAAUCCUUGCGAGGACAAAGCCCAAACACCCAGAGCCAAAGAGUGUUAGGCAUCACUGAAGUCUUUUUGUCCGCGUGACCUGAAGACUUGUUACACUUGAGGACAGUGAAUCCUCCAGCCGGUUAGGCGUCGCGUUCUGAGCAUCCAAGAGUCAUUGUGGAUCGCCGGUGAACGAAGUCUGUGAAGGUUUGGAAGUCUACCUUGAAGACUUACCUACAGUUUGUCUUCGUGAAGUCAUUGCCUGCUUGCACUACUUGUUUGACUUCACUGUGUGACUACUAUCAUUGUUUGGCUUCAUACCAUCUUCCAUCCUGAUCUGUUCUACCUAGCUGCUAUUAGUCUUCGUGCUUUCACUUUAUUGCAUACUUGACUAUGGCUUGCUUAGUGUAGUCUACCUUCCGCUGCAUAUCAAUAGGUUCAUUUCUAUUUGUUUGUCUUCGAAACUCUCAUGUUUUGAAGACGUUCAUAAAAAUCGCCUAUUCACCCCCCUCUAGUCGAUAACUAGCACUUUCAAUAAUGAACCCCUUGCAACCCACGUUCCACAACCAGCCGAUCCCCGCUGGGCACUUCAAGGUUAACUUGUCCAGUGUGAAAUCGGGGCACGGGGAUUUGCCUCCUCCAGUACAGCAUGUGGGAGAGGACGACGAGACCCCGCCGCGGAUUGGAAGCUGCCAGGGUUGGGUGCUGCUAUGGCCGAAGAAUCUUAUUCACCUGGAGCCGGCCGAGAGCACACCAAUAACCACACAUCAACAAGCAUGUGCGGAGACCACCACCCCGCCUACGCAAUUACCAGCUCCUGUAGUGCCGGGUGAGAGCGGCGGACGACGUGAUGAAGGGGGUGCAAUAGUACUGGCUGCUGUAAUAGGUCCUGUAGAACAAAGAAUGGAUGAUGAGACGGAGGUCGACCCAAUGGGUUUCCUCAAUACAAACGCGUAUGACUGUGACUUAGAUAUGAUGAGUCAACCAUAUGACGAACCGGGCUAUCAGCAUGCUAAUGAGGAUAUGGAUGAUCUGCCCGGGCAGGAAGGUCGUAGCAGGGAUUGCAAAAAGUCUCUCUUCAUGAAAUCCUCACAGGACACGCCUGAAGAUGCUGCCUCAACACAGGCUCAACUAGCCGGGGGUCGUACAGUGCUUAGCCCGGGAACACCGGGGCAGGGGUUAAGGAAGGGUCUGGAAGGUGUGCCCAAGAAAAAGGAGAGGAAGAGAUCGGGGAAGAUAGCUGCCUCCAAACAAGCCAGAGCACAUAGCAGCCAGACGAUGGAUUCUGAAGAGCGUGUACCCGUGAAAUGUGCGGCCAUGUUCCAUCUCAUGGGCGAGCCGAUGCUACCGCCAAAACCGCUGGAGGCACUAUCAGGGGAUCUGAGGAGACUGCACGACCAUGUGGUGUCGACUGAGAAAAGCCUACUAGCCUCGAAGGAUCCAGGAUAUCUGACAUACGCGGCUCGUGUGCCUGAGGGGAAGUGCGACGUCGACACACGGCCCGUGGAGGUGUUCUUCCUGCGGUUUGACCAUAUCUUUGAGAUGUUUCUGACAAGGUGGCUCGAUUUUACAAUCGUUCGCCUUUUUGCGCUACAUAUGAGCUCCGUCAUGAAGAGAGAAGAAGUCUCGCAAAUCUGUGUGGCGGAUCCGUACUACAUGCACGAGUCUUUCUUGAGUCUCGUCGACUUUGAGUGUGAAACCGCUAGGGACUACCUCCAAAACUUCAUGGUACAGAAUACGGACCAGGAAAUUGUCCUCCUGCCUUAUCAUCCAAAGUAAGUCAAUUCCGGACAACCCUUUCGUACAUUUCAAUCAUUCCUUCUUGCUCAUAUGGAGAGUAAUUUGAGGUGUCUUUUCCCCGCAGCAACGGGCGCGCCGUCCUUAUCGUUCUUUACCUGCGAGUCUCCCACACCGUGUAUUUUGACCCUUCUAGAGACUACGAGAAAAAGGACUACACCCACAUAAUGAAUAUUCUAGAUGAUGCUCUCCAAGGCUUCAGCAUUAGAGGUGGCCACAUGCAGAUCAGGAAACAAAGGAACAAGAAGAUGGGUUUUGCGCAUAAAACUAACUUCUGUUGCAUCCAUGUCCCAGAACCAAGUAAGAAGGAUGGAUUCUACAUCCUCCAUCUCAUGAUUGAGUUCAGCACGGAUCACCAAAAGCUUCGCAUGACAAGCAGAAAUGAUGAUCAUAUCCACAAGUGGCUAGAAUCUCAUGGAGAAGCGGAUUAUAAACUUAGAGAUGACUUCUUUCGCAUCCAAAGGGACAUUGCGAUGAUCAUCAUGAAAGAAGUCGUCGAUGAGAAGGGGAUGUUCCACCACGGCCCUAUAUCGCGAGCUGACGUCCGAACUCGCAUAGGCAUGCAACGUCAAGACCUUAUGCCGUUUAACAAGCUAGGGUCCAUCCUCGAUGAUAUGGAAGGAUGGAACUUCUAGUGAUUUAUGAUGCCGAUGAUGAUGAUAUGUGUCGGUUGAACUUGUAUACUUUCUGUAGCGAUGAAACUUUGUGAUGUCCAUGGUCCCUGCCAAACUUGCAUAACGCUACUUUGUUAGUUUGCGUACGAUGACCUGCGUACCUCUAGUUAAUUAGUUUGCGUACUGUAUGUUGCAUCUAGUUGCUAACCCUUUCUUUUUCGUGUUGCUCUAGUAUAUUUUGUUGCAUAUGAUUGUACAUCCUCUUCAUGAAGAUGCAUCUCUAACAGGUACCUAGUUUCUUGAUGGCGAGAUGGCAGUGCUAUGUCGUGUACAAAGGGAAGGUUCCGGGGGUGUACAACGAGUGGCCUGAGUGUUAGGCGCAAGUGAAUGGGGUCUCGGGCGCCAGCCAUAAAGGCUUCAAAAGCAAACAAGAAGGAGAAGCUAGUUACUUGAGGUUCACGCUAGCGCGAGAGAGGACUCGUAACCGCCGCCUCAUGUACUGCAUAGUUCCGCUCUCACUCAUAGUGAUAGCUCUUCUCGCGUAUACCAUUGUUUAGAUGGAUGACGUUGUAGUUGCAAGUAUUCGAGACUUGCAUGUAUCGCUAUUUUUGAGAUGAUGACGAGAUACCACUUUGUGUUGGAUGAUGAUUAUGAUGAGACUAUUUGUAUGUAUAUGCUAUGAUUACAUUUCUGGUCUCGGAGCCAUUUGUAUGUGCAUCAUGAUGACAUUUGUAUCUGCUAAAGAUUCCUGUAUAAAGCCUGUUCAAAUACAAAACAAACAUGCAGAAAAAAACAAAAACUACUAAAAUUAGCAGUAGCGAGUGGAGAAAAGUUAGCAGCAGCGUCACAGUAGCAGUAGCGCGUCCUGGCAAAGCGCGCUAGAGCUAUUAGCAGUAGCAAGCUUCCACGAAGCACGCUGCUGCUACACUUGUAUAGCAGUAGCGCGGGUGUGCACGCGUUGCUGCUAUGGGUUAGCUGUAGCGCCUUAUUAGUAGCGUCGGUCCCUGCGCUACUGAUAUACCUAGAAACCGCGCUGCUGCUAGCACUACAAAAAAAAAAGACACAUCCAUGACAUUUUGGGCCGAACGAAUUUUUUUUUCUGUCAUACUUAUGACACUUCUAUGACAAUAAUUGUGACAAAACACGGUAUCAUCAUAGAUGUGGUGGGGUCCUACUUCUAUGACAAAAAAUCAUGAUAGAAAAUGGGCUUUUCGUCCUGGGCGGGCCGGAGACGCAGCUGCAUGACAUUCUUUGGGCCGUCCAUGACGGAAAAAACCGUGGUAGAAGCGAGGGCGAGGAAAAUAUCGGGGUGUUCCCGGUUAUGGUGGGUGGUCGGGGCCGAGCGAUGCGCGUUUCUCUUGUACACGCACGCGCGUGGGUGCGAGGCGUUGGGCUCUAACUGAACCCGAGCGAGGCGUUGGGCUCUAACUGAACCCGAGCGUUUGCACUGCAGGCUACACGUUACUGAACUCGAGCGAUCGAUCGAUGGCUGUUAACUAAACCCGAUCGAGCGAUUCCUUCGCUACUACUGCUAACUGAAGCCGAUCGAUGCUGCCUCUGGAUGAACAGUGAGCGUUGCUGGGGGGGGGGGUUGGAUGAACAGUUCCCAGUGAGGGUGGAUGAACAGGACCCUGUGGUGUUGCCUCUGGAUGAACNNNNNNNNNNNNNNNNNNNNNNNNNNNNNNNNNNNNNNNNNNNNNNNNNNNNNNNNNNNNNNNNNNNNNNNNNNNNNNNNNNNNNNNNNNNNNNNNNNNNNNNNNNNNNNNNNNNNNNNNNNNNNNNNNNNNNNNNNNNNNNNNNNNNNNNNNNNNNNNNNNNNNNNNNNNNNGGUUUGGAUGAAUAGUCCAGGCGGGGGUGGAUGAACAGGACCCCGUGGUGUUGCCUCUGGAUGAACAGGACCCCGAUCGAUCGAGCCGGUUGGGGCUGGAUGAACAGGACCCCAUGGAGGGCUGGAUGAACAGGACCACCCCGUGGAGGGCUGGAUGAACAGUAGACGGUGGAGGGCUGGAUGAACAGUAGCCCGUGGAGGGGUGGUUGAACAGGAGCCCGUGGAGAGGGCUGGUUGAACAGUAGCCGGUGGAGUAGCGCGCGGUGGAGGCUGGAUGAACAGGAGCCCGUGGAUGAACAGUCGCAGGUGGAGGCUGGAGGAGGUCGACGGUGGAUGAACAGUAGGCCGUGGAGGCUGGAGGGGGUCGACGAUGGAGAUGAACAGUAUCCCGUGGAGUCCCGUUUUGCGGUACGCCACACCCCUCCCGAUGAACAGGACCCCCUUUGUAGCGCUCCAACACAAGUCCGUUUCCUCCGUUUUGCGGUACGCCACACCCCUCCGAUCAACAGGACCCCCGUUUCGACCGUAGGAGGUCUGUUUCCUCCGUUUUGCGGUACGCCAGACCCCUCCUGAUGAACAAGAUCCCGUUUCGAAUGUGGCCGGGCGAACACAAGGCCGUUUCCUCCGUUCUGCGGUACGCCAGGCCUCGUUUCCAUCGGCUGUUCCGUCCAAGCCGGUUGGCUCCCACGCGUUCCGUUGCCUCCCGAUGAACACGACACAUUCCGUUGCCUCCCCAUGAACACGACGACGACGCAGUUUCUCCAUUCCGACCCAGCCAUGUACACGAGCCCUGGCCGUACGUACGCACGAGUAGGCGUUCGAGACCCCGCCCGUAUGUACGUACGUGGCCGUAUUUACUUUCUUGCACCCUGGCCGCUGUACGUACAUGUACAUGCUACGUGCGCGCCUCUACAUUGACCAGUAUGUACGUACACGUUCGCGAUCAGAAUGACAACGCUACGUAUGCUUCGACCAGGUGGGUCCCGACUGUCAGGCACUUCCUUGCGUGCGAAGAUGUAGCUGGUGGGUCCCAGCAGUCAGUGGGGCGAAUUAUUUUUUUUUGCCCGGACGCACUUCCUUGCAUGCGAAGAUGUCGCUGGUAGGUCCCAGCAGUCAGGGGGGAAACGUUUCUUUUCACGAAAUACGGUUGCCCGUUCGGUGGGUCCUUGCUGUCAGGUGGAGGAAUCAUUAUUUUCCGCGUAAUAAGGAGGCACUUCCUUGCUGCGUCCGUGGACCCAGCCGUCAGCCUCUCCACGUACAGUCCACAUCCGAUGGAAGCCGUUCCUUGACCACGUUGACCACGGGGUGCCGAGAGCACCAGGGCGGUGGACGACGGCGAGGCCUAGGAAGGGGACGACACGGAGCCGGGGAAGACGCGGCAGUGGAUGCCCACGCGUAGAGGAGUAUGAGGGUUCACUGGUUCGCUGUGGUGUGAGGCUGUUGUCGCCGCAGAAUAACAGGGGGUGUGGGUGAGUAGAGGGAUGGCCUGGCCAGCGGUGGGAGUAGUAGAUGUGGUGAGGCCUCCGCGACGUCGCAGCCGGCCACGAGAGGCAGGAGCACGAGGCACGACCGGCGCUGCUUUGGGCGGCUGGAGCAAGAAGACCAGAGGUUGAAGAAGCACUACGGCCGUUGGAUGGACAUCGUACGGUCACUGGAGCUAGAAUCAUUCAUAUUGACUAAGUUGACAAAGCACUCCGUCCCCAUCAACUUAGUAGGCCCACAAGUCAGCCUCCCACCAAGGUGGGUCCCAACUAGCAGGGGGAGUAUUCAUUUUUUGUGCGUAAUAAGGAGGCACUUCCGGUGGGUCCGAGCUGACAGCGGGGGGAAUGUUUUUUCGCGAAAUACGGUGGCCCAUCCGGUGGGUCCCAGCAAUCAGGGGGGAAACGUUUUUUCGCGAAAUACGGUUGCCCGUCCGGUGGGUCCCUGCUGUCAGGUGGAGGAAUAAUUAUUUUCCGCGUAAUAAGGAGGCACUUCCUUGCUGCGGCCGUGGACCCAGCUGUCAGCCUCUCCACGUACAGUCCACGUCCGAUGGAAGCCGUUCCUUGACCACGUUGACCACGCCGCGCCGAGAGCACCAGGGAGGUGGAUGACGGCGAGGCCUAGGAAGGGGACUACGCAGAGCUGGGGAAGACGCGGCAGUUGAAGCUCGCGCGGAGAGGAGUACGAGGGUUCACUGGUUCGGCUGCGGUGUGAGGCUGCCGUCGCCGCAGAAUAACAGGGGGUGUGGGUGAGUAGAGGGAUGGCCUAGCCAGCAGUGGGAGUAGUAGGGGGCAGUGAGGCCUCCGCGGCAUCACAGCCGGCCACGGGAGGCAGGAGCACGCGGCAUGACCGGCGCUGCUUUGGGCUGCUGGAGCAAGAAGACCAGAGGUUGAAGAAGCACUACGGCCGUUGGAUGGACAUCGUACGGUCACUUCAGCUAGAAUCGUUUAUAUUGACUAAGUUGACAAAGCCCUUGGUACGCGUCAACUUAGUAGGCCCACAGGUCAGCCUCUGAAACGGUGCACCCCAGAUGUCAGGGGGAGGAAUCAUUUUUUGGGCGGCUGAAGCAAGAAUAUCCGAGAUUGAAGAAGAAGCACGACAUCCGUUGGAUGGACAUCCAACGGCCACAGCUGCCAGAACCGUUGUUGUUGACAAAGCCUUGCAUACGCGUCAACUUAGUUUUUUUUAGGGGACGCGUCAACUUAGAAGGCCCACAAGUGUGUGGCAAAGAACAUAUAGCCCAUUUGCGAUUUGUAAGAAUGUACAGCCCAUUUUUUAAUUCUAAUGGAAUUUACUACAUCCCAUUUAUAGUUUGUUAAAAGUACAGCCCAUUUUUUAAUUGUAAUGGAAUUUACUAUAGCUCAUUUACAGUUUGUUAAAAGUACAACUCAUUUUCUAGCUAGGACAAUGAUUAAUAAUUUCAACCAACCGCUCAAAACAGAAUUAAAAAGAAAUUCCCACAUUUUUAUGGGAUCCGAAAUAUUUUUAUCCCAAAUUUCUAGUCAGACUAAAUAUAAUUUCAAAAUAAAGUUGUAUUACGUUAAAAUCCAACGAAAUAUUACACGCGCAACAAGUAAUGAAAUUAAAAUUUUCAAAUUCCAAAAAUAAUAUAUUUUUUAAACUAAUUACGUGUUUGGUGCAUUUUUUUAUAGUUACUGCCCAGUUAUUAUAAUUACAUCCCAUUUAUUAUUUCUUAAAGUCCAUUUUCCUGUUAAGCCUAAUGCAUACCUUCUAGGAAAGUUUGCAGCCCAGCGGGGCGGAGAAUAACAAGUUGACCCGGAUAUUGUGUACAACUGUCGGCCCAAUUGCAUUGCUAAUGUUGAGAAAAAAGCCUGUGUAGUACAGUACAACCUAACAUGGCUACUCAACCCACAUUCAGCGACGCCGGAAAGGCCCAAACAAGGCUUCUAUACAACUUUUUGAAGUCACUGAGCUCAAUUAAUAACUUAAGAAAAAAGUUAGAUUACAGCGGAACCUAAUUAAAAGCUGUCACGAGCAAAGAAAUAAUUCAACGGGUCCCACUUGUGCGUGUGUGCGUGUGCGUGUGUGUGUGUGUGUGUGUGAGAGAGAGAGACCCAUCGGUCGAUGCUCAUAAAUACAUCUUUCAGCCAUAUGCAUUGCUGAUGCUCAGUAAAAACUUAUAUAGUUGACACAAUCAUAUAGAACAUCAUAGCACACCGAACUUGCAUACAAAAAUUUCAUGCAGGCGGCACAAUCAGGAUGGAAGGAGUGGAUCGCUACGGGUAGGGCUAUGUUGAAACCAACGAACUCGUACAUAACGGUUCAUCGUAUUUAUCAAUGACAGGGAAAUAUCUUGACUACUGUGCAAAGAAAACAGACAGACAACACAAUAAGUUCUGCUAGCACAUUAAGUUGACGUACAUCCCUUUCUAAAAAAAGUUUAGGUACAAAAUUACAACAUGUCACAAUCAAAUGUACUGGCACAUCAGUGCUUCACACCCAUAGCUCGGAUUUAACUAGUAUCUGACAAGAUUCAGUUGUUACCUCAAAUUAGAGCACAUCCAGGCAGCCAGCCCUGCCUCUUCUCCCAAAGAAGCAGUGGCCUCCGCCGCGCGAUGGAGUAGGCCCUGUGCCAUCCAUCGUUCCGAGCAACACGGGGAAAGUCUGACGUUGACUCCUAUAAUGGACGUCGUCGACGGACCCUGGCACCAGCGGUGGCGGCAGGACUUCGAUUGAUGGAUUGACCACUUUGUCGACAUGCACGAACACUCGAUACAGGUACAUCCCUAACGUGGUCCGCGGCGGCCUUGGUGGCGACGAAUAGUACAACCCCGCUUCCUGAACCGGUAUCUCAACACCAAUCACCUUCGGUAUAGUGGACGGCUUCUUCAUCCAUGCCAUAACCAUCAGAGCCCAGCUGUUUGGAGGAACAAACAUACUUACGAGCUCACCUCCAAGGUCGUUGAUAAGCUCAUUCAUGGACUCGCUGUUCCAAGCACGUCGAGGCAUGCCGUGGAAGGUAAGCUUUGUUAAAAACUCAAGCUCAGAGGGCACCGAGCCCCAUCCUGGGUGCCACCGAUCAAAGCUCACCAGCGCGCCAUCGCAGAACAAACGCCGGGAAGAUUCAAACACACGACUGUAGUCGAAAGUUGUCCGGAACCUGACGAAGAAAUCAGCUGAUGGCGGACAGACUUCAACGAGUAAGUCACUUAUUUGGAUGCCGUGCGCAAUAACAAGAGCUUUGACAAGGUCGUCCAGCGAGACGGGAGGCCGGUCGCCGUUGAUGGUUACCAUCAGCACUUUGCCGGCAAACUGGUCAUCAAGCGCCGCCAUGCCACUGUUGAGCGACAGCAUGCAGUGACCGAAGGCAGGAUGGACCUCAGGAUCUCUGGCUCGGAGAUCCGCAUUGACCGGUGACAUGAUGGUGAGCUUGAGUACAGGGAGUACAGGAGGGGGAUUUGGGGGAACUGGAGUAGGAAUCGAGAUUCUAGAGGUGGGGGAGGGGCGGGAGAUUGGGGAUGAAAAGGUAGCUUGAAUUUCGAACACGCGCCAAUAUGCUCUCGGCGCGCAAGCGCACGAAAACACCGGUGGCACCCACAUGUCGGCCUAAGAGUCCUUAUUCUUUCUUUUUUGGAGAGCCUGGCCUUUUUUUUGAGGAUCUUUUGAGAGCCCGGCCUGAGAGUCAUAAUUGACCUGUUUGGCAUUGCGUUACUACUCGGCCCAUAUUCAACGACACCUCACUGGCCCAAACAAGUGUACAUCAUUGAAAAGACACUGAGCUCAAAUUAUAUAACUUGAAAAAAGGAGAUACACUCUGAACACUGGAGAAUGGUGAUGCCCUCAUUUAGCCCACCAGUAGUUCGAGACAAUAAAUAGUUCGAAACAACGAUAUAUACAACAUUCAAACACUAACUAGUGACUACUACUGACAUAAACAACAAGACAUGAUAGUUCAUAAGAAGUCUUGCUACACCACCAAAACGCACCCAUCUGCAGCGCUCAGACUCUCGUGAUCCAGACGAGAAUGACAUUCUAAACAGAGGUAACUAUUACAUAGUAAGAGUGACAUAGACGAGGAUGACCAAAUGACAAGGAAUAUGCAUAACAAAAGAAAGAACUACCCAUCCAGAACAAGCAGCAAAGACAACAAAGUCAUUCGAAGAGAUGAUCCAACACCAUCAUAAUCUGCAGCCCUGCUUCAGCGACCAAUGAUCCGGAGACACCAGUACUUCACCCUUCUGAUGCAACAGCGCAAUUACCUAUCAACCUGAAGGCUUGAACCACAUCACUGCCUGUCGUAAUUGAGACAUCCAAGGAUCAAAGUUAAUCCGGAUGCCUUUGUCAUUCUCACCUUCUUUUGGUUGCAGGCUGUAUCGUUGACAAUCAGGGGAGUUUGCUCCCGAACUCCUAGGGCUUGCCGUGUAGACACAAUUUUCCAUAGCAAACAGAGCCUCUCUGCCAUCAAGGUCCUUGCCAACGGUGAUCUCCUGGUUAAUCGGAUAAUUGAGUCCAAGAAAUAGAGAGUAUGAACCAAGGUUGUUUACCCGCCUCCAACUAAAAAAUCCUGAAGGCCCCAACAAGCUGGUAUCCUGCUCAUAGACGUAACAACCACUGUCCGGAUACUCACGUAUUUCAUGGUGCUUGUAUACAAUGGGGUUUUUGCAAUAUAACUUUUCUGGCUCAUGUGUCCGAAUGAUCAUUAGUCUUUUGCCAUCGUCUGAUCGAGCUAGGAACCAGUUGUGCUUCCCUAUUUUUGGCAAAGGUGGUGUGAUUACAAAGGGCAGUAACUAUAGGGACACUGCAUCAUAUAAAAAAGGACAGACAUUGUUAAUGUAAGAUUAGCAUUGUUCAGAGUAUGAGUAGGAUAAUGCAAGAAGCAACAUUGAUAUGUCCCUGUUGGAACUGGGAGGAAAAUACAGGGAAAUGUAUACUGGGUUCGAAAAUAUAGAAGUGCCAUGCAUGGUUAUACUCAUGUUAUCUCGCAAUCGAUUCUUCACAGGAAACUACCAUGUCAUGCAUGUUAUGUAAUCAUGUUCUAUCCUCACAAACAAAUUCUUCAAGGUAACUAACAGACCAUGCAUUGUUAUAUACUCGUGUUCUGUGGGCAAAUUUUUUGUGAGGAUAUUAUUCUAGCCAUUGAUUGCUGAAGGGCGAAUAUAGGUAUGUACACAUGGUAAGUGUCGUGGAAUUGUCACGGCAGAUGUCCUCGAGCUAGGACUUAGUCGUGGAGCCAUCGCAACUAGGAAGCUUAAAGGGGUUAAACGGGACAAGGAACACGGGGUUUAUACUGGUUCAGCCCCUUACGGUGAAGGUAAAAGCCUACCUCCAGUUGAGGUGGUAUUGCUUAUGGUUUCGAUGACCAGGGAGCUUAAUUGCUAUGCCUGGCUCUCGACGAGAUCUUACUUGUCCCUAAACCGCCGCCGGGUCGUCCCUUUAUAUAGAGAGGUUGACGCCCAGCGGCUCUCAGAGUCCCGGCCGGCUCAUAAGAGUGUCCGGCUCGGACUCUCAACUAUUCUUGCCUUACACUACAAGUCUUGCCAUACGGCGGUCUAUCACUACGGGCCUUAAGCCAUCUCCGGGUCUUAGGCCCAUCAUUGACCCGCUGUCUUCAAGCUCGGUACUGGGCUUCGCGUGAUGACCAUUAUGAGUAACCCGGCCCCUCCUAGCGGGUGACUCUAAUGGUUAUAUCCUCAACAUUAGGCCCCAGAUUGAUUUGAACCUGUUCAUGUCAAUGUUCAAUUCUUUUGAGAGAAAGGAUCUUCCGGCUUCUGGUCGUGCGAAGAUUAUAACCCGCCGUGACGUCAUCUUCUGGAUUCUUGGUAACCCGCCAUGACGUCAUCUUCCAUUAAGUCCAUUUUUUUAUUCCACCAUAUCCGCAACGGAUCUUAUCUUUAAUUGCCAUCCUGAAAAUUGAGGCAUUUUUGUGGUGAGAUAAUCACGCCGUGACCUCCUCGUUUCUCGUGCCCACUUAUGAGCCUCACCUUAUAAAUAGCCCGGCCCAUGAGGCUCCAGUUACUGGUCGCCUCCAUCAUCUUCCUCCUCUCGCCACUGUACUGCCGCUCGAGCUCCACCGCCGCCACCGCCGCGGGUCUCCUCGUCUUCCCCGACUCAGGCCGCUGCAUCAACCUGACUUGACCAGAGAAACGGCGGCGACCUCCGCAACUCUCCAGCACCCGUAAGCCCUUGCCACUCCAUAGAAUAGAUCUGCAUUAGGGUUCUUUUCUGUUCUUCCCGUGUUCGUCGCCGUUCAUCGCGAGCUCUUGAUAGAUUUCAUUAUUACCACCUUUUCUUGAUCUUUAGACUGCAUAGAACUGCUGCGGUAGCUGUUUCACACCCAUUCCCAAUGUACAUAGAUCCCCUUUCAUUGCAUAAAGGCUCCGUUCAAACCCUUGAACUUUUUCUGUGUCUGUUCUAGGUCUAGAAAUUUUUCCUUUUAGCCAACCGUUUGAUCCAAAAUAAUUACUGCGAUCUGUGAAACUUGUUUUCACCACACUUAGUCAAAAAUUCGAUCUGCUGAGCUAUGGAGGCUCACAUUUCCGGCUUAAAAGAAGCCACGCUCCGUAAACUUUCCGGCUCAUUUAAUGAUAAAGCUGUAGACAAUUUGAAUUACUCACGAUAUCUUCAGCGGCUUAGAUAACCCGAUGCACUUAACCAUAUGUCAUUAGGCCCCUCUCAUAAGCCGCCAUUUGAGUAUUAAACUGUAGACAUGUGCCGGCUUAUAAUUGAACCGGACUUUUUCCUUUUGUCAUAGGCUUCAUCUUUCACAAUGCCUCCCAAAGCUCCCAAGGCACCCAUCACGUGCAACUGGAUGAGAUCCAAUGUCACCGACGACACUUUAGCUGAUUUCAUAAAGACGGGUUACUUGCCCAAGAAGGAAAUCAUGUCCUAUCAUGCCCCUGACCCGUCGGAAGAGAGACCUCAACCUAGAGAUGGUGAGGUGGUGAUAUUCGCUGAUCACAUGAGCCGGGGCUUCGCACCGCCCGGCUCAAAAUUCUUUAGGGAUGUUCUGAACUUCUUCGAUCUGCGGCCGCAAGACAUAGGACCCAAUUCCGUGUCAAAUAUAUGCAACUUCCAAGUAUUCCGCGAAGUCUAUCUUGGAGAAGAGCCCAGCCUGCUGCUCUUUAGAGAGCUUUUUUAUCUGAACCGCCAGAAUGAGUGCGCCAACGGGCCGAGCCUGGAAGUUGGUGGAAUCUCCAUUCAACGCCGGAGAGAUUGCCUCUUUCCUUAUGCUGAGCCGCCAAGCCAUCCAAAGGACUGGAACCAGACGUGGUUUUAUUGUCAGGACACUUCUCCGGCUGACGAGAGCCCUCUGCUUGGCUUUCGUGCCCUGCGUCUGGAACCAAAUCACCCUUUGCCAGACAAACUCUCUCAAGCUGAGCGUCAACCUCUGAUCCCCACCAUCAACAAGAUCAAGGCUCUCCUGGGAAACGGCCUCAACGGCAUUGAUCUGGUCCGGGUUUGGAUCUCUUGGCGGGUGAUCCCCUUGAGCCGCCGCCCCGGCUUAAUGUGUGCUUACACGGGCCGGAAGGAUGACCCCCUGCGGCACAGCCCCAACGAUCUUCCUGAGGACGUUGUGGAUGACAUGACUAAGUCUCUCCUGAACGAGAGCUUAGCCGACUGUGGGAGAACCGCCCUGAACCCCUUCUGCCAAGCUAACCCGGCUCCGGCGGUAAGCCACUGACCUGAACACCUUGGUUUUCUUUUUAAUAGUUUCCAUCUAGACCUUAAGAAAUCUUUGUUGUAUGUUUCAGGCUAAUGACAAGUUCUGGAAGGUCAAAUAUGACCAUGAAGCGGCCAAAAAAGCCAAGAAGGCUAAGAAAGCCGCCAGGAGAGCCACUCCCUGCAAGAAGGGAAGCAGGCCUACUGCCUCAGAGCUGCAUCAGCUAAGUGACAUCUCCGAGUCAGAGGUAACCCCUGAAUCUGUAGGCUCUUGUUUUGUUUCUUGUUUAUUCCUAUCCACCUUACCGAUACCGAUUAUCAGCAGGAGGACACCGGAGCGAGUAUCCCGGUGACUGAAGAGGUAACUACACUUUUCUCCGACUCGGAGCCCUUGCCAAGGCUGAAAGUCCGAAGAGUAACUCGGAAAGUAAGAUUUUCACAUCCUUUAGCUUAUCAAGAUCCUCAAUUUCUUUUGAAGCGACAGAUUCAUGAGAGUCGACGGCACACCCGGACCAACAAGGAUGCAGACCUCUCCUCCGGCUUACCUGAAGCAUCAAGGAAGCGCCGGACCGAGGUUAUCUCCAACUUAUAUCCUUUUCAUCCUUUGGCGGGCGUUACUCGUCAACCGCUCAAUUCUUCUUAUUCAAAUUAUCAGGACACUUCACCUUCCUCUGGUGAUUCUAUGCAAUCGAACCUGCCGGCUUUCAAGACCGCACCCGGGUAAUGAUGAUCAUCUUAUAUUGUGCUUAUCUUUACUCAUACUUUUGUACUAACCUUUUGUCCUUUCAGUGCUCAAGCAAAGCUCAGCAAGAGAGCGAAGAAGAAUAAACCGGUCGAAGACCCGGUCUUGACUGAGCCGGAGGUUUCAGCUCAAGAGCCGCCAGCUGCCUCUGCUCCUAAAGCCACCGCUCCAACCGACGAGCCAAUCACAGAGACUUUUGCUAACCCGGAGAUCUCCAGCCCAGCUCAGCCGGCCGAUGACCCGGACGUGGUAAUCACCCGGACGGAAUUUGUCGAGCCGGGGAGACCCACUGCGCUGGCUAAGUGCUCUGCCAAGGAAGAGUUGCUAGAGCGCCGCAGGGCCAAGCUGGACAUCACCAACUACGCUAACUUGAGCAUUGGAGAUAUCAUCUCCGGCUAUGUCAAUCAGGUGCACAACAGCCGGGACCUGGAGAUCGACAUGGUGAAGCAGAUACAGCAGAAAUCUGAGGUACCACUCUCUUGCUUACUGCAUAGUCAUCUUUACCAUACUAGCCCCCAAGUCUACUACUUAUGAUAGAAUAUGUUGUAGACUUAACUUCCGGCUUACUUUCAUGAACCGGCAAUUUGUAGAUAGAACCUUUCAGCAUACAUUAGCCCCCAAGUGCCAAGUGUCUUUGCUUGGAAAGUGCUUGGGACUUUAAAGUUGUAUAAUAAUUAUUCAUACUAUAACCCGGAAAUUGUACAGGCUGCUUGCAAGAAAUUUUAGGCUGAUAUCUCUGAGCUGAAGAACCGCCUGAAGACUCAGGAAACUGAGACCCGGAAGGCCAACGCUAAAUUUGAGUCCAGUGUUGCUGCUCAAGAGAAGCUGAAGAAGAAGUUUGAAACCGAAAGGAAGACUUGGGCCGAAGAGAAGGCUGCUCUGGUCAGCCGGGCCGAACAGGCGGAGGCGGCUCUGACGGAGAGAACCGCCGAACUCUCCGGCUUAAAACGCCAUGUGUCACAGAUGGUCGCCGCAAUCUUCGGUAAGUCAUUCUACAGGCUUUAAACAAGUUUAUAGUCUUUAUGUCUCAUAAUUCCCAUCAUUGCUAGCGGCUUAUCUUACUUUGUUAAACAGGUCCCAGAAGCGCCAACCUCAACCAGAACAUGCUGACCAAGCUGAAGGCCGUGUACACUUUGGUGGAGCAACUCUACACCGGGUCACAACGCGCCUUGGCCGCUGUGGCCCUGUCCAAUGAGGUUCCAACUCACCUGGCGGACGUACUUCAGCGGCUUGCCGUUCUUCCUCAGCGUUUCCAAGAGCUGCGACGGGCCUCUGCAAGAGCCGGAGCCAUAGCUGCUCUGAGCCGGGCCAAGGCUUUCUUUCCAGAGCUAGACCCGGCUGACAUCGCACUUAGAUACCCCAGCCUGAAGGAAGACGGCACCCCCUUCGACCAAAAAGACUUUGCAGCCUGUGUGAAGAUCAUGCGCCCGGUGGCCACCCUGAUUGGGAAUGACACCGACCUUACCAAGUACCAGCCGGGCUACGACGCAGAGAAUCAGAGGGUCCCUACUCCGCGUUAUGAAGCCAUCAGCUUGGUCCCGCCGACUCGUAAGCACACCUUUGCCCCAGAAAUUGACCCGGCCGGGUUAAUUGACGAGGAGGCUCAGUUUGAAGCAUUGAGCGGCAUUGACUGGAAAUCGUCAACCUUCCAGGUCAUGGGAACAGCCGGAGGAGCGGAGAGGGAUGAGUUGGAAGCUUCAACUCAACAAGCAUCUUGACUUGUAGGCGGCUCAUGAGUACAUCUUAAAACAAUGCCUCAUCUUUUGGACUCGGGGAGUCUUGUAAUAGAGUAGGACAAAUACUUAAUUUUGUCGUGCCAUCGUGCACGUGUUGAAUGCUUAGCUCCGUUGAAACUGAUUUUUCUUAUUCCUCCGGGUUAUAAUUGAUCAGUUAUUUUCCUUAAGCUCGAAUAGCUGUAUUGAACCAUCCUGCAUAGAAAACAAGUCACAAGUCUCUAGGCGGCUUACCGCACUGAGAAUCAUAAACCUUAUAUAUAUAACCCGGAAUAUGAACGAAGUCACCAAAGACUGGCCCUCAAUUAUAUCUUUGAUGUAACUGUAACAGCAUACUUACAAACCUUCAAGCAUACUUCCGGUUCAUGUAACCCGAAUAGUAUGGUUAAAAUCUCAAUGCCGGUUCACCAGUAUCGAUAAGGCUUAUUGCGUGUUACCCAAGUUAAGCCGGCGGAGCCAAAAACCGCCCUUGCACACUGCUGAUGUGACCAAAAGAACUUGUUGUAAGUCAGAAGAUCAAAACUUAGGGGCUUCCAGUUCGAAUACGACCAGAGAACCUUCCAAAGGGGUUAAGCUAAGAUUCGAAUGCGAUCAUAUAGCCCCCAGUGGCUUUGGCAAUGCCGAUCAAGAGGGUACCGACAGCUAUGUUCUAUUUGGUUCGAAUACGACCCAUGUUUGAACAGGAAGCCCCCAAAUGACCUUAAGAGUUGUUUAAUGACGGUGAUUCGAAUACAAUCCACGUCGGUUCCCAAAGGGGGUUGAGCUAUGAUUCAAAUAUGGUCAAAGAAAACUCCCCAAUGAGCUCGGCACUUUGCCAAUCAAGUGGGUAUCGACAGCUAUGUUCUCUUUGGUUCGAAUAUGACCCAUGUUUGAACAGGAAGCCCCCAGGUGAUUAUACUGCUUACGGCUAGAUUCGAAUACGAUCAUAAGCCGGAUCCACCUCCAAGUGACCACGUGAUGUUGUAAUGGAAAUAACAUGUUUACCUUUGGAGGAGAAAAGGACAGAGGUCCUGCUUUAUUAUUUAACAUAAUAUAUACAUGGCUAUAGAGAUAUGUACAUUAUGAGAGCCGGUGGCUCAAGUGUAAUAAGGCCGAAGCUGAGCUAUGUUCCACGGCCGACGGGUUUCUUCCUCCGACUUGCGUGAAUCUUUAUGCUCCCGAACAUCAAUAAGGUAGUAUGACCUGUUGUGCAAGUUCUUGCUGACCACAAAGGGCCCUUCCCAAGGCGGGGAUAGCUUGUGUGCAUCUGUUUGAUCUUGGAUGAGCCGGAGCACCAGGUCACCCUCCUGGAAGACCCGGGACUUAACCCGGUGACAGUGAUAACGGCGCAGGGCUUGUUGGUAAAUCGCUGAACGAGCUGCUGCCACAUCACGCUGUUCGUCCAACAGGUCAAGGGCAUCUUGGCGCGCCUGUUCAUUAUCCACCUCAACAUAAGCCGCCACUCGAGGCGAGUCAUGACGGAUGUCACUGGGGAGGACUGCUUCCGCUCCAUAAACCAUGAAGAAGGGCGUGUAACCCGUAGACCUGUUAGGAGUAGUAUUGAUGCUCCAUAACACGGAGGGUAGCUCCUCCAGCCAACAACCCGGCGUCCGUUGCAAAGGGACUAAAAGCCGGGGCUUAAUGCCCUUCAAAAUCUCCUGAUUAGCUCUCUCAGCUUGACCAUUGGAUUGAGGAUGAGCCACUGAUGAAACAUCAAGUCGAAUAUGCUCCCGUUGACAAAACUCCUCCAUGGCGCCUUCAGACAGAUUGGUACCAUUAUCAGUUAUAAUGCUGUGUGGAAAGCCAAAGUGAAAUAUCACCCUUUUCAUGAACUGAACCGCCGUGGCUGCAUCACACUUGCUAACUGGCUCUGCUUCAACCCACUUUGUGAAUUUGUCAACUGCCACCAAAAGGUGGGUCUUCUUAUCCUUGGACCUUUUAAAAGGCCCAACCAUAUCAAGCCCCCAGACCACAAAUGGCCAAGUGAUUGGUAUCAUCCUCAACUCUUGAGCUGGCACAUGAGCCCGUCGCGAGAACCUCUGACAAUCGUCACAUUUACUGACCAAGUCCUCCGCAUCAGCAUGAGCCGUCAGCCAAUAAAAACCAUGACGGAAAGCCUUGGCCACGAGAGAUUUUGAGCCGGCAUGAUGGCCACAAUCCCCUUCGUGAAUCUUACGCAAAAUAUCUUGGCCUUCCUCAGGGGAAAUACAACGCUGGGAAGUUCCAGUAACACUACGACGAUGCAGCUCGCCAUUGAUGAUGACCAUUGACUUAGCCCGCCGGGUUAUUUGUCUGGCCAAAGUUUCAUCCACAUGCAAAUCUCCCCGGGUCAUGUAAGCCAAGUAUGGUACUGUCCAGUCUAGGGUGAUGUGGAGAGCCGCCACCAAAUGUGCUUCCGGGUCAGGGACAGCCAAGUCUUCCUCUGUAGGUAACUUAACAGAAGGGUUAUGCAAGAUGUCCAAGAAAGUAUUAGGCGGCAUCGGCUUUCGCUGAGAGCCCAGCCGGCUUAAAGCAUCAGCCGCCUCGUUCUUCCUGCGAUCGAUGUGCUCUACUUGGUAACCCUGGAAGUGUCCAGCAACGGCAUCAACUUCACGGCGAUAAGCCGCCAUGAGAGGGUCCUUGGAAUCCCACUUGCCUGAUACUUGUUGAGCCACUAGAUCUGAGUCGCCCAAACAUCUUACUCUGCUCAAGCUCAUCUCCUUAGCCACCCGAAGACCAUGGAGCAAAGCCUCGUACUCGGCCGCAUUGUUAGUGCAUGGAAACAUCAACCUUAGCACAUAACGGAACUUGUCACCUUUAGGGGAAGUCAACACGACUCCAGCCCCCGAGCCCUCCAAUUGCCUAGACCCAUCGAAGUGAAUAGUCUAAUAUGUAUUAUCCAGCUUUUCUUCAGGCACUUGUAGCUCUGUCCAAUCGUUGAUGAAAUCCACCAAGGCUUGAGAUUUAAUAGCAGUGCGUGGUACGUAUUUCAGACCAUGAGGCCCGAGCUCUAUAGCCCACUUAGCCACUCUUCCUGUGGCUUCUCUAUUUUGGAUGAUAUCUCCAAGGGGAGCAGAACUAACCACAGUGAUAGGGUGACCCUGGAAAUAAUGCUUAAGCUUCCGGCUUGCCAUGAACACACCAUAAACAAGCUUCUGCCAAUGUGGAUACCGCUGUUUGGACUCGAUGAGCACUUCACUGACGUAAUAAACCGGCCGCUGAACCGGAUACUCCUUACCCUCUUCCUUGCGCUCCACCACCACAGCCACACUGACGGCUCGUGUGUUAGCAGCUACAUACAGUAAUAAGGGCUCCUUGUCAACCAGAGCAGCAAGGAGUGGGGGCUCCGCCAGCUGUCUCUUCAAAUCCUCAAAAGCAGUAUUAGCAACGUCAUUCAAGACAAAGUCAUCAGUUUUCUUCAUCAACUGGUACAGUGGCAUGGCCUUUUCACCCAAACGGCUUAUAAACCGGCUCAAAGCAGCAAUGCGGCCUGCUAGACGCUGGACGUCGUUUAGACACGCCGGCUUAGCCAGAGAGGUGAUUGCCUUGAUUUUUUCCGGGUUAGCUUCAAUGCCUCUGUUAGAAACCAGGAAACCCAAGAGUUUGCCUGCAGGAACACCAAAAACACACUUGGCCGGGUUAAGCAUCAUCUUGUAAACCCGGAGAUUAUCAAAGGUUUCUCUAAGGUCAUCGACCAGAGUCUCCUUUUCCCUGGAUUUAACCACGAUAUCAUCCACAUAGGCAUGAACAUUGCGCCCAAUCUGGUUAUGAAGACAAUUCUGCACACAACGCUGGUAAGUCGCCUGUGCGCUCUUGAGUCCGAAAGGCAUAGACACAUAACAGAAGGCUCCAAAGGGAGUGAUGAACGCCGUCUUCUCUUGGUCCUUAACUGCCAUUUUAAUCUGAUGGUAUCCAGAAUAAGCAUCCAAGAAACUUAAACGCUCACAACCCGCCGUGGCAUCAAUGAUUCGAUCAAUACGGGGGAGAGCAAAAGGAUCAGCCGGGCACGCCUUAUUUAUGUCCGUGUAGUCCACACACAUCCACCAGGUGCCAUUCUUCUUGAGCACGAGCACCGGGUUAGCUAACCAUUCUGGGUGAAAGACUUCAACAAUAAACCCAGCCGCCAAGAGCCGGGCCACCUCCUCACCAAUGGCUUUCCGCCUCUCUUCAUUAAACCGCCGUAGGAAUUGCCUGACCGGCUUAAAUUUCGGAUCAACAUUGAGAGUGUGCUCAGCGAGUUCUCUAGGUACACCUGGCAUGUCAGAAGGUUUCCAUGCAAAGAUGUCCCUGUUCUCACGGAUGAACUCGAUGAGCGCGCUUUCCUAUUUCAGAUCCAAAUUGGCAUUGAUGCUAAACUGCUGAGAUGAGUCACCUGGAACGAAAUCAACAAGUUUAGUCUCAUCAGCUGACUUAAAUUUCAUCACCGGCUCAUGCUCCGUGGUCGGUUUUUUCAGGGAUGUCAUAUCUGUUGGGUCAACAUUGUCUUUAUAAAAUUUCAACUCCUCUGUUGCACAAACAGACUCUGCAUAAGCCGUGUCGCCUUCCUCACAUUCCAAGGCUAUCUUUCGGCUGCCAUGAACCGUAAUGGUCCCAUUGUGACCCGGCAUCUUGAGCUGUAAGUAUAUGUAACACGGCCGUGCCAUGAACUUGGCGUAAGCCGGCCGCCCAAAUAUGGCAUGGUACGGACUUCUUAUCUUGACCACCUCAAAGGUCAAUUUUUCCACCCUGUAGUUGUAUUCAUCUCCAAAGGCCACUUCCAGUUUGAUCUUACCAACUGGAUAAGCCGACUUACUAGGCACCACACCAUGGAAAACAAUAUUGGACUGGCUGAGGUUCUUGUCAAUCAACCCCAUGCGACGGAAGGUUUCAUAAUAGAGGAUGUUGAUGCUGCUGCCUCCAUCCAUGAGCACCUUAGUGAACUUAUAUCCUCCCACCGGAGGAGCCACCACCAGGGCCAAAUGACCCGGAUUAUCAACCCGGGGAGGGUGAUCCUCCCUACUCCACACAAUAGGCUGCUCAGACCAUCUUAAAUAGCGUGGAACCGCCGGCUCAACAGCAUUCACAGCCCUCUUAUGAAGCUUCUGAUCUCGCUUACACAGACUGGUGGUAAACACAUGGUACUGUCCACCAUUGAGCUACUUUGGAUUGGUCUGGUAUCCCCCCUGUUGCUGUUGAUGACCCUGGCCGGAUUGCUGAUUAAAGCCCCCUUGAACAUUCUGAGGAUUGGAAUUUAAGCCGCUGCCCGGGCCAUGAAAGCCGCCGGCGCCUGAGCCGCCGCCCGAGCCAUUGUUGCCAUUAAAGGCAUUGGAGUUCUUAAAGGCCUUCAUGAUUGCACAAUCUUUCCAUAGAUGAGUAGCUGGCUUCUCCCUGGAGCCAUGCCUUGGACAAGGCUCAUUCAACAACUGCUCAAGCGUUGGGCCUGAACCGCCGGCUCGGGGAGGUGGCCUCCCUUUACGUCGCUGGUUGUUACCCUGUGAGCUGGCAUUGGCCACAAACUCCAUGCUGCCAUCAGCCUUACGCUUGUUACCUCCUUGGUUUGCCGGGUUAUGCUGAGGACCCUUGCCAUUGCCGUUCUUUUUUUCCUUCCCUGUCCUUUCAUCAUCUGAAGCGGGGUCCUUUGUACUAUCAGAGUCGGCGUACUUGACGAGAGUCGCCAUCAGCGUACCCAUAUCAUUGCAGUCGCGCUUAAGCCGCCCGAGUUUCAUCUUCUGGGGCAGGAAACGACAAUUCUGCUCCAACAUUAAGACUGCAGAGCCGGCAUCCAUCUUAUCAGAUGAAUGUAUUAUCUCUUUGACCCGGCGAACCCAAUGUGUCGUAGACUCACCCUCCUGCUGUUUACAGUUAGUCAAAUCCACAAUUGACAUAGACUGCCUACAGGUAUCUUUGAAGUUUUGAAUGAACCGGGCUUUCAGCUCAGCCCAAGAUCCGAUAGAAUACGGCGGCAGCCCUUUCAACCAAGUGCGGGCAGUCCCAUCUAACAUCUUGGUGAAGUACUUGGCCAUCGCCGCUUCGCUGACCUCCAGCAAUUCCAUGGCCAUCUUGUAACUCUCGAUCCAGGCUCCGGGUUGUAAAUCAGCCGUGUAAUUAGGCACCUUCCUAGGCCGCUUAAAGUCCUUGGGUAAACGUUCAUUGCGAAGAGCCGGCACUAAACAAGGGACACCUCCAGUCCUUGUAGGGAUACCCACGUCGGCGGAAGCCGUCGGAUAAGCCGGGGGUGUUUGGUAAGCCGUCAACUGAGGCAUCUGCUCCGCCUCUUGCCGUGCUCUGUCUUGGUCUGCUGCGUGAAAGGCCCCGUUAUGAGCCGGGCCGUGGCCAGGUGGCAAGUCACGGCGUCAGACAUUACUUGAGCCGGUCGCUGAGACCAUGUGUCUGCUAUAACUCGGGCUCCGGCCUGGAUGAGGAGUUGAAUGGAUCCUGUCCCGGCUAUAAGAGUAUGCCUCUUGCUGCACCAGAGCUGUCUGAAGGAGUUCUCUGACCCGGCGGGUUUCAACAGCCAUUGGAGAGUCGCCAUCAAUUGGAAGAGCCGCCAGCCGCGCCGCCGCGGCAACCAUGUUUUCCAGCGGGUUGGCAUAAUGACCCGGUGGUAUUGGCACGUACUGAGGCGGGGCGGGGUUCACCCGGGGAGGUCCCAUCACUUGGGGCUGAAUUGGUGCCCCUGCCCCGGGCACUAUAAUCUCCGGCGGGUUACUAGACCCUGCACCCGGCGUGUUGAAGAGAUUUCGAGGAUCGUAAACCGGAGGGAGUCGAGAUUGGGCCUUUUGAUGCCUCCUUAUCAUGACCUCAUUGGAUGCGUUUUGAUCCAUCGUGAGCCGGAAGGACUGUGCCUGAAUCAGCUGAGUCUGGGCGUCGAGAGCCGCCCUCUCUGCAGCCAUCCUGAUCCCCUCCGCCGCUAGAUCCUCCUUGGCCUUUGCUAGAUCCAUCUUUAACUGUGCCACCUCCGCGUCAUGCUGAACUUGAUCCGCCGGAGCCACCGUAGCGGUCAACAGGACCGUCAACUUGUCUGUGAGAUCCAUCAGCACCUGAGCUGGUGAGGGCACCGGGCUUCCUGACCCGGAGGCGGGGUUCUGAACAGGUUGCGCGCCGGCCAUGAAGAUGCCAACCCGACUCGGCGGUUCAAAGGGGUCCGGAAUACUGUCGCCGUCGGAACAACCCCUGAGCCUGCCAUCUUGAAGUUGAUACAACGAGUUUGACUCAUCCGUGGACGACUCGCCGUCAGAGCCGGCAGCCGUCUCAUCGCCAGAUCCAGACCCUUCAGAGAGUCCUCCAUGAACACAUCCCACAAAAGCGUGCUUCAAGGCAGGUAGAGCCCGGGUGGGUCGUGCACGCUGAGCCAUCUCGAUGAGAUCGGCGCAGAGAUCCGGCUUAGGGCCCGGCUCACCAAUCUUGCCAAUGAAGACAUGAAUUCCGCCAAAGGGGACCCGGUACCCGCACUCAAUUGAGCCGGCGUCGGGGCCCCAAUUUGCAUCGUCGAUGUAGAGCUUGCCGCGACGACUCUUGGUCAUCCGGCCCACAGCGUAUCCCUUGAGCCCUUCGAAGCUGCCCUUUAAGAACUCAAAUCCACCGUGCGCUGGCCCCAUGGUGGGCGCCAACUAUCAUGGAAUUGGCACGGCAGAUGUCCUUGAGCUAGGACUUAGUCGUGGAGCCAUCGAAACUAGGAAGCUUAAAGGGGUUAAACGGGACAAGGAACACGGGGUUUAUACUUGUUCGGCCCCUUACGGUGAAGGUAAAAGCCUACGUCCAGUUGAGGUGGUAUUGCUUAUGGUUUCAAUGACCAGGGAGCUUAAUUGCUAUGCCUGGCUCUCGACGAGAUCUUACUUGUCCCUAAACCGCCGCCGGGUCGUCCCUUUAUAUAGAGAGGUUGACGCCCAGCGGCCCUCAGAGUCCCGGCCGGCUCAUAAGAGUGUCCGGCUCGGACUCUCAACUAUUCUUGCCUUACACUACAAGUCUUGCUAUACGGCGGUCUAUCACUACGGGCCUUAAGCCAUCUCCGGGUCUUAGGCCCAUCAUUGACCCGCCGUCUUCAAGCUCGGUACUGGGCUUCGCGUGAUGACCAUUAUGAGUAACCCGGCCCCUCCUGGCGGGUGACUCUAAUGGUUAUAUCCUCAACAGUAAGCAUUACAGGAUUUCACUACUUCCAAAUAUAGAGUUCUCCAUAUGCACAUUUACUUCCCUAAUGUAUGGUUAGAUGAAACCAACUGUGUGGUGCAUGUUUCUACAUCAUGAAAAUGAGGAAACUAACAUGGCCAUUGAUACGCACUUAUAUUAGUAGUAGUAUAUAGAUUACUGUAAAAUAAGGAGAAUAUCCAUAUAUUCCUAACCGUUUGAUUAUUCAGGGGUACAAAUUGGCUGUAAUGACAUGAUCACAAUCGCAUGAAUUAACUCAUCCCAAAUAUAGCUGAUUUACGGCGUCUCUAAUACAUUGCCAUAGUUCUACUCAAAUUCUGCUCAACACAGGGAUAUGCCAAUCAUCACAAAAAAGUUCAAACAGUGUCAUGGCGUCAUCAUUAACAUGAGACGGAAACAACUUACACGUGCCGUCCCAGCAAUAGGUGGUGCCAUCUGCUUUGUCGAUCGCGUAGAUGAUGCCAUUGUGUUCAAUAGCAUCACAGAAGUGUGUAUCAGCUUUGACGAUGAUCCACUGUGAGCUGAGUUGUCUCUAGCUAAAGAAGGCACCGCCGUAAAGAUAGGCGAGUCCGCGGUCGAACAAGGCAAUUAGCUUGAAGUCUGCGUAAUUCGCAUGUCGUGUGGGCACUUGGCAGAUUAUAAUCUUCUGCAAAACAAGGUCCGCCCAACUGACGUGGUAAUCUAGAUGACUAGGACCGCGAUGGCAAAACUCUAUAUAAUCCAACGGAGGAAGGAUAAUCUCAUGGGAGGUCUGGAAGUUCACGAGCACCAACUUUUUACCGUCUUCUCUGCAGGCAGCCAUCCAGUGGGAGUUCAUGCCGACCCAGUACAUACCUGCCAAGAAGUUUCGGGCGAUGGUGAUCGGAUCGAAGUCGAGGGAAAUGAUGUACGGCGACCCACUACAUACGUGCAAAGAAGUUUCGGCUAAUGGAGAUCGGAUUGAAGUCGAGGGGCAUCAUGUACGCCUUCGCAUCAUGGUGAGCCAAUAUCGCAAGACCAGAUAGCAGCAAGCAGGGUGUCUUGAAAAGCUUUGGCCUCGCUUCGAUGAUGGUCGUGUGCAUGCCCCUCAAGCAUGCAGCCAGCCGCAGGGCGCUCAACAUAUCCAUACAGGAACAAUAGAGGUCGAGGACGUCACUGGGGAGGUUGCUCCAAUCGCGUCUCAUAUGGAUCUUGCGCGGUUCGCGUUCGGCCAUGGUGGAGUUUGGAAGGUGGGGUUUUGGGGGGCUUGAUUUACGGGGGAGAAGGCUGUCGGUGCUGGAGCGGCUAGCGAGGGAAUAGUGGUAUUGGGGGAGGCGAGCGAGGCGAGGGUAUGCGGGGGCACAGUGAGAUAAUGAAGAGUGACCUCAGGAUCUCCGGCGAGACGGAGAUGGAGAUGGAGUGGUGCUAGGGGAGAGGGAGACAAGGCGAGGCAUGCUAUACAGCGGCGGUGAAAGUGACUGCACAGUGCACAAGGUGAGGCUGACUUUGGUAACCCGGACACGCCGCCUGGACUGGUGUCACCUCGGGCGCAGGGUCUUGUCACUUCACUGUGAGGACCGGAUGAAUAAUAGUAUUUUGACCAUCAAGUGUACCAUAGUUGUACUACUACUACUAGUAGUAGGAGUGGUAGGAACAUGAGUACACUCCCGUGCUAGCAUGCCUCUGGGUUCACUUCAUCCUCCAGCUAUCAUCCAUAUUGCCAGCAGAACCAAAUUCUCGUGCAUGUGGAACCGUGAAGAAGGACUUUUCUUUUUUGAGGAUAACCGCAUAUUCCUUAACCAUAGUAGGAACAUGAGUAGUACUCCCUCCGGUCCUCUUUUGUCUGCGCAUAACUUUUUUCAGUAUUUCUCUAAUUAGUCUGCGUAUAUACCCUUUUGCAUGCGCCCAUUUCCCUCCAUGCCCCGCAUUCACAGCAUUAAUUAGCAUACGCAUGAGCAGCUGCAGCCAGACUCCAGCCAAUAAACUGCAGCAUGCAAGUGGGCCAUUCUGUGCGUGUGGGAGAGAGAAAAGGCAACCGAAGAGCCCGUCCAAUCCAUUGCAUGCAGCACUCAAACCACCGCAGAUCUCCUCAUGCAUGCGCAUAACUUCUCCCAUUUACUUCUCCAUCGGGAACCGAUUUUCCUCGGCUUUUUCACUACUACUCGAUCUUCAUUUGCAUCCAAACCACACUGCAUUCACAUUGUUUUAACCUCUUCACAUCCUCCUGGAGUAAUUCCGAAGCCCCUAUAAAUAGUCAUCUUCUUCAGUUAGACUAGCCAUCUAAUCCUAAUUCUCCAAACCAUAGCCCUCCGGUCCAGCGGUUCCAAAUGGCGAAAGAGAUCGAGAUGCAGGUUUUUAGCAUCCAACAUGUCCUCGUCGUAGGCUCGUUGAGCAUAGUUGCCACAGUCACCGACCACCCAAGGGUUGUUCGGAAGUGGAUCAUUAAUGUAUCCAACUCCCUCCAAAAGGUGGAGAUGAAUGUCAUCGGUCUCGACGCAGAGUACACGGAGCGUGCCACUGGGAAGAUCCAACGCGCCGCUGUCCUUCAGCUGUGCCUCGAAGAUGAUGUUUUGGUGUACCACAUCAUACACGCGCCCUCCAUACCAGGUGAGCUUCACGAUUUCUUGUCUCGGGAGGACAUAUACUUCUGUGGGGCAGCCAUCGCAGGGGACAAACAGAAGUUGGAGCCGUACAACCUUGAUUUGAAAAGCAUCGCUGACCUACGAACCAAAAUAAAAAUUCCUGUAGAAGAUUGUGAUAAACCGACACCAUCCCUAUUCGACGUAGCAAAUUUUGUGCUAGGAACAAAUCUUUAGAAGGGUGACGCGAUGCUGGCAUUAAGUUUGUCUGGAUGGGAGAAUUAUCCCUUGACGUACGAGCGGAUAAAAUAUGCUGCCCUCGAUACCCGUGUGAGUUUCGAGAUAGCUGCAAGGUCUGGAGAGCUUGUUGCGAAGCCGUCUCCCACAGAAAAUGAGAACAAGAAGAAGAAGAAGAAGAUGCUGCACCAGCAGCAGGGCAUUAUGGAUGGAUGAACUAUUUCCUCUCUUGUAAAAAAAAAUUAUUCCCUCUCUAGGUAUAUUGAUAUAGAUGGACUAUUUCGAUGGUGUGCAUGUCUUUGGAACAAGUAGUAGCGUGGGUCCGCUUGACUAUAAGGAACUAUUUAUCCGCCUAGCUUUCUCUACUACUCCUUCCAGUGAUAGGUAUGCAAUGCAUGUGUCCAUAGACAUGACAGCUUGUCCAUGAAAGUUCAACUACGGCGACCAUCACGUUUCAUCCACUGCCACUCGUGAUUCCCACGACGCCGCUCCAACCCACGGCACCACGUCCCCCGACGUGCGCCUCACCCCUCUCGGCCGCACCGCCCAUCUGCCUUUGUGUGCAUGACAUGUGGGCCACCUUAAAUGCGACGAGCAUCAAGUUUCUACCACAGCCGCACGCGAUUCCCACGAUGCCGCACGAACCCAUGACACCACUCGUCCCCCGACCUGCGGCUCACCCCUCUCGACCCCACUGCCCCUCUAAAUUUGAAUUUGAAACUUAUAAAAUGAAAAGAUUCAAAACAAAUAAACUGGGAAAGAGGGAGUAUAUCGUAGGAUGUGUCCCAUACGAAACAAGUCCCCUGGUUUGUCACCGCAAAGAUGCGGUUAGAAAGGAGCACAGCGUCUUCGUACUCGUACGGCAACAAAUCAGCCGCAGACAGCAUGGUCCACCUUUGACCGCCAUGUGCAAGGUUCGUGCUAUCUUAUUCAAUCUCACCGUGGUUCUAUCGUACCAAUUCAUGCGGUGGCCCGUUGCAUGGCUGAUCCCAAUGCUGGACAAAGGUUCUACCGGAAUGGUGUCACCGUUGUAAAUGUUGUGCAAAUUGAUGUUGGUACCCUCCCGUACAUAUGCAAGCCAGUCUCCACUCGCACCGAGCCUAACCUGUGAAACAGUGGGCAGGGGGAGAAUUAGGAAAUGGACACGGAAGUAGUCUUUAGAAUGCAUUUACUACAUGAUCAAACUCAUCUUACCUGCUCAUCGGUGGAAAUCCGAGUGCCCCUCAAUGUCGGUAUCUCAAGGGGCGUCAACUUGCAACUACGGCCACGCCGCGCUGGAGAGACCCCCAAGGAAACAUCCUCGCGCGUUCCACGGAACAUCAAGAUGCAUUUGUAUGAGUAGUUUAUCUUGUGAGAGAAAAGGAUGAACGAGGGAAGGCCUCUAGAGAUAGAGAUAGACACUACUACUAACAAUGUGCUAGCCCGUGCGUUGCAAUGGAUCCAAAGUAGUAGAAUAAUACUUGUUCACGUGCUUGAAAUAUAAACACUCUAGUUUUGAUAUACAUGUGUCAGCAGACAUGACAGCUUGUCCAUGGAAGUUGAACCACGACGACCAUCACGUUUCUUGUUUCUACCACUGCCACACCCACACGUGAUUCCCACGACACCGCUCCAACCCUACCUGUAAGCACGACGUCCCCCGGCAAGGACAUGGAUCCUCUGAUGUGGCUAUCACUGCCUUACCCUGCCUUUCCUUCGCUGACUGGUGGGACCCACACUUGUGGGUCCCACAUGUCAGUGAUAGAAUGGUAGGAUUGUUCACGUCAGGGAAUCCUCAUCCCCCCGACGUGCGCCUCAUCCUUCUCGGCCCCACCGCUCCUCUGCCUUUGUGUGCAUGACAUGCGGGCCAGCUGAACUGCGGCGACCAUCAACUUUCUACCACAGCCACACCCGAUUGGACGCGGUUUGCCUGCUCUGCUGCUGUGCUCCGAUCCGUACUCCCGCACCAUCGAAUUUUCAUCCAGCGGCUGUGACACAUUUCGUCCCGGGCAUCAAUCCUCAGAUGGAGUACUUCUGUACUACAGGUAGUACCCGCCGGUGUGGCCAUCUACGCCUCGUAACGCCCCGACGCCCAGCUGUGGCACCCUCGCCACGGCCACGCCACCACCGGCCAGUUCAUCUCGAAUGAGUGAGUCGCGAACCACACCACCACCAUGAGAAUGACAUGUGGGCCAGCCGCAUUUAAGGUCCACAUGUCAUUGACUCAUAGGUCGGGCACUAAGCCACUGAAGUUCCGUCCCAUGGGCCCGGAGAGGGAAAUGUAACUCCUGCGGCAGGCCUUGUGGUGCUCCCGCAGUACGAGCUCGUGCCAAACCCGGAAUUUGUUUCUUACUAUCUACCAACUACUACUAGUAAGGUACACGUGCAUUGCACGCAUGAGAUUCUGGUGGUUUGAGCAUUAUGCUUCUACAUGUGGAGUCUUCUAGAUUCUACAUGUGGCAAAAUCUGGUGGAAUGUAGAUGAUAUCCAACGGCCAGUAGUGCUAGGAUUUUCCAUCUUUGUACCGUCGGAUUGGCUUCAUCCAACGACCAACUUUCAAAGUUAUGGUUUGGUUUGCAGCCUAAGGUUGCCACGCCUAAGCUUAGGCGUGCCACAAGUGUGUUUGGUUGUGUUCUCGUCUCAGCAUAGUUGUUCCCUCUUCAUGCAUGCUCAACUCAACACCCCUCUUCCUGUAUGCUCUCUUCAUGCAUGCUUCUAGUGUAUUUGUGCUAAUCUAGUGUGGACUCAUGCACCCUCCAUACACUCUACCAAACACCCAAAAGUGGGUCGAGAAGGGAACUCUUGGGAUCAUGCACCCUUCAUACACCCUACCAAACACACUAGGCAUGUGUUUGGUUCAUUGCUACACUUGUGGCUUGCCACACUUUUCUAGCUACAUGGUCCACAUGUCAUAGACUCAACUUCUUGCCAAAUCUUGCCACACUUGUGGUUGCCAUUUUGUUAGCCACAUUUUUUGUGGCAGACACACUUUGCCUAAGCUUAGUUGUGGCAAAGUUAGUCAUGAAUGAAGUUCAACCAUGGAGUCUUCUAGAUUCUACAUGUGGCAGAAUCGGGUGGAAUGUAGAUGAUAUCCAACGGCCAGUAGUGCUCGGAUUUGCCAUGUUUGUACCGUCGGAUUGGCUUCGUCCAACGACCAACUUUCAAAGUUAUUCACACACUAUAUAGGGGGUAUACAUAUAGAUGUGCCGGCCCGUUGCAAUGGAUCCAAAGUAUAUCUAUUUAGUGGAGUGCACUCUAAACACAUUAUCUAUUUAUUUUUCUCUAACCUUUCGUGGCCAUGCAACCAAGCCACAUAAGCUUCAUGGGUGCCCCCACAUCAUCUUAUUCAUACUACGUUGACUGAAAAAAAGAUAAAUCACCCAAAACAAGAUCUUCCCGUUUUUUGUUCCUACGAUGCUGUGCCGUGCACGUACCUACUAGUUGUAUAGUGGUAGUACUAGUUGUGUAGUACAAACUUGGUACUAGUAGGAGUAGAGUAGUACGGAAUGCUCCUACUCUAUCAAAGAGCCCCAUCUGACACCAAAUUUCUUGGCUUCCGUGCUACAGCUAGAUCUUCCCCUCGUUUCUGUUUUCCAACCCGGCGGCGGGCGGGGUGCGGUUUGCCAAUAGUCGGUUUGCUCAACGGCGGUCCCACAUGAAAGUGAAAGUGCUAGGCAACACGCCUUCCCUAAGCUAUGUGUCGUGCCGGACGGGCCGUGGAGUACUCCCGAUUCCCGGGCGUGUGUGGGGGAGUGCGACGCGAACGCGGCAGGCCUUUUCCUUUUACUAGCAAUGUGCCCGUGCGUUGCGACGGAUCCAAAGUAGUAGAAUAGUAGUACUUGUUCACAAACUUGAAAGAAAUCACUCUUGUUUUGAUAUACUCCUAAUAUAUUACUCCCUCUGUUCCUAAAUAUUUGUCUUUUUAGAGAUUUCAAAUGGACUAUCACAUACGGAUUAUAUAGACAUAUUUUGAAGUGUAGAUUCACUCAUUUUGCUCUGCAUGUAGUCACUUAUUGAAUUCUCUAGAAAAACAAAUAUUUAGGAACAGAGGGAGUACUUUUCACUCAAAAUAUAUUUCUCAGGCUGUUUUGAUGAGGUGAGGGAGGGAUGUGGUUGCUUUCAAAAUAAUAAGGGGUUUUCUGCAAAUUGGAGCAGAGAAGUGGGCCAUUGUUGCAAAAAUGCCACAACUUACCUCACAGCCGUUAGAUGCAGAUCUAAUGGUCAGAAACGACGGAUGGCAGACACACCACCAUCACCAACUGAGUCUUUUAUAGGAGUAGGAGUAGAGAAACAUGUAUAAAUUGUAACAUUUGGUUCUACUCCUUGGCACGAUCGAUAGAUAGAAAUAAUGAUUGGAAGGCGGGGCUAUUUCCGCCAGAUAAGCAGGGUACGUAGUAGCUAGGUUUGCGCAUCGUCGGUUUGGUCACACGCGGUCUGACAUGUUCUAGUGUUUCUAGCAAGAUGCCCGCGCGUUGCACGAAGUUGAUGGAAAAGGUAAGCACAACUUAUAAAUUGAUGGAUGGAGUACUAGUUACAGUGCUGCAUAUAAUUAAGCAAAGGGAUCGCACAUGUCGGUAUUGACUGGAACGAGAAUGCAACAACACAAUAAGAAUUAAGGCCACGAUGAUGAUGCGAUCGUAGUGGUGGUUACUGAAGGCAAGAAGAAAGAUGCAUCCAUCAAUGUACGACCUCCUCCUCCUCAACUUAGUGCGCCGGGCCACCGACCGGCGUCUAAGGAGCGGCGGCUUUUGUGGUGAGGUCGAGGUGCUUCUCAGCAAAGGCAUCCAAGGCUUCCAGCCGGUUGAGGAAGGCCAACGUCGUAGCAUCCUCACUGGCCUUGUAGACACCUAUGUACAUGAUUUGCUCAUACACGUGGAUGUGUAGGUCGACAAAUUCUUGCAGGGUGAGGUGCCUCGCGGCGAGCACGACCUCCAGGUGGACAUUCUUCGUGGCAUCGGCGGGCAGUCGCAGGGCCACCAGUGCUUGAAAGAGGUUCCGGCCAUGGACGCCGAUUAGGGUGGCAGGCAAUGAGGAGCCCGGGCGCGCGGGCUGGAGGAGUACGAUGAUGUCGUCCGCGAACUUCUUGAGGACGGUGAACUUGUUGGUGGUGGCAAUGAUCAUCUGGUCCAACUGAGAGUCAUAGUUGGCGUCGACAGCGGCCAUCCACCAGCCGGUCUCCAAUACCGUCUGGAGACGAUCCUCGGCGCCAUGCCGCAGGCCGACGUCGUGGACCAUCUGGCACAACCGCUGGCCGCUCGCGCGCAUCGCCACCAUGGGUCUGUAGUGAGCUCUUUUGCGCUUAGUGUAGGUGCUUAGGCAAAUGCUUAGGUGCGUACGAUGUGGUAGAUGCAUUGGAAUGGAGGGGCGCCUUUAUAUGAGGGCAAACUGCGUUGCAUUCACAUCGUGCAACCUCUUUUCCCGGUCCUCCUCCCAUUACUUCCCUCAUGCAUUAAUUGAAGGAGGAUGCAUUGGCCGUUCAACAUUUCGGGAACCGCUACUCCCUCCCUCGUCUGCAUUAAAGCCGUAUCGGGAACUACGCCGCCCGCUGUCAAAUUGAAUAGUACUGCGCCACCCGCUGCACGCCCGGCUGAACAUGCCUCCAUCAAACAGCUCCGUUAAACCCGCAUGCAAACCGAGAAACCUACUCUGGCCACACGUCCGUUCAUGACCGGGCCGGAAUUAAACGCAACACCGGCCGAGCUCCUCCCGUCCGCCCUCAGUUUAAACGAGGCCAGACGCCGGCCAAGCUCCUCCCGUCCGCCCUCUAUUUACACGAGGCCAAACAAACAGCGGGCAAGAAUCGCACCCCUCUGCCGCUCCCCCAUCUCCUCCUUCACCAUUUUCUCCACUCUUCCGACGGCUUCCGAGGAGCCGUUCUUCGGCAUAUUACCCGGCUGGGUGGCCCGCCGAGCGCUCCGGAUAUGGGCGAGGCCACUCGGUGCUUCACCAACCUCGCUUGCCCGAUGGAGCCAGUUGCCGCCCCAAGCAGGCGCGUGGUUCAGCAACUCACCACUCCAGUUCAGCUUGAUGAGGAGUGGCGAGUUGCUGCACGCCGGCACGGCGGUGAGCACACCGGUACAGGCGUCGUCGCUGCCGCGUCGUACCGCGCCACCAGUGUCUGCGGUGCCGCGCCUCCCGUGUCUGUGGGCGCGCCUCCCGUGCCUGCGGCAGCGCCAUGCAGGCAGAGACAGAAGCCGGGUGCAUGGAGAGCGACGAGUCGGUGGCCAGCUUCUUCGUGUCCGCUGCCAUCAUCGAGGAGAAGUAGAACACGGGAGGCCGCCGCCACUUGGGUCCCAUGAAGGCCACCGCCGAGGCGACGACUGCGCAUUCAGGUGGUUUCUUUGCUUCUUCGUCUCUUCCGAGGACCUUCGUCGACCCCGCAAAGUGUCUGCCCGGCAUGAGGAAGACAAAGGGAUCCGCGGGCGGCCAUUUCGAUUAUGUACUCCCUCUCCAGCUGGCGGGAAAUUUUUGUUCUAAGAAUGGAUAAAUUGUAUGUAUCUAUAACUAAAAUAAGUCUAGAUACAUCCAUUUCUAGGACAAGUAUUUCCAGACGGAGGGAGUAUUAAUUAUACCAAGAGAGCCGGAUUGGCACCGCUUAGUUCAUGUAAAUGUAAUGAAAUCCAUCAUGUUUAUAUGAGGAUCCGGCUUUUUUAUACGAAAUCCUUCAUGCUUAUAUGAAAUCAGUCCGUGUUUGCACGAAUUUCAUCUGGUUGGUUAGAGUUGUGAAAAUGUAUGCCGCUGGCGUUUGAUGUCGUCCUCCGCGGAAGGAAGUGGGAGGAAAUUUGCCUGCUACCGUUGGAGAUGCUCUUAUGCUGGAAAUAAUAGAGUGACAUCCAAUCCAUUUGAGUUAAUUGCGUGUAUGAUUGUCCCUCUAUAAAAAGUUAAUUGCAUGUACAGUGUACACGUGACUUGCAGGGUGGCUCCAGCUUCAUACAGAAAGUUAAAAAGAAACAAGUCCAUCCUUAAUCUUGUAUUCUAAGUACUCUGUGGGUUCCACUGUCAGUACAGUAGCGAAAGAAGUAUAUAUUAAAUAAGUAAUAUAUAAUAUAAAAAUCUAAAGUUAAAAACAGAAUUCGAACUCAUGUCAUCGCGUUGCGAGCAUCCGACGCUAACCAGUCCAGCACAUUUUUGUUGUAGACCAUGCUAGAGAUAUAUCUCCAUGUCUACUGUUAUACUCCAUCCGUUCCUAAAUAUUUGUCCUUUUCAGAUUUCAAAUGGACUACCACAUACAAAUGUGUAUGUAGACAUAUUUUAGAGUGUAGAUUCACUCAUUUUGCUCCAUAUGUAGUCACUUGUUGAAAUCUCUAAAAAGACAAAUAUUUAGGAACGGAGGGAGUAGAAAACAGAGUUGGUGAUGAUGGUGUGCGUGCCGUCCUGCAAUAUACGCCGUCGGAUUUAUAUCUAGCGGAUAGGCAGAAAACUAUGGCAAUUUUGCAAAAAUAUACCCACACCCCUCUCCACGUUCGCAAAUACGGCCUUCCCUCGUUCAUCCUUUUCUCUCACAAGAUAAACUACUCAUACAAAUGCAUCUUGAUGUUCUGUGCAAUGCACGGGCAUCUAGCUAGUUUCUUUUAAAAUAGUUACUGCGAUAAUUGGGUUGAAGUGAUAUAUUUUAUGUCUGCCCCGAAUGAUUUCAGAUCACUAGUAGUAACAAAGAAAAGGUUGCCUUGCUAAUUAACAGAAAACAGGGUGAAAACUAUCACAUGAGGCCGGUAAAAACGAGGCACACUGGGUUCAGCAUCAUCGUCACUACAGCUGUGCGCGCACGAGAAGUCUACAUAUCGAGGGGGCUACUGAGCGAGGCACAGAGACACAAUGUUUGAGAGUGAAACCAAUUGACAGAUUACAAUCAGAUCGAGUUGUCACCCUUCUACUGUCAUUGUNNNNNNNNNNNNNNNNNNNNNNNNNNNNNNNNNNNNNNNNNNNNNNNNNNNNNNNNNNNNNNNNNNNNNNNNNNNNNNNNNNNNNNNNNNNNNNNNNNNNNNNNNNNNNNNNNNNNNNNNNNNNNNNNNNNNNNNNNNNNNNNNNNNNNNNNNNNNNNNNNNNNNNNNNNNNNNNNNNNNNNNNNNNNNNNNNNNNNNNNNNNNNNNNNNNNNNNNNNNNNNNNNNNNNNNNNNNNNNNNNNNNNNNNNNNNNNNNNNNNNNNNNNNNNNNNNNNNNNNNNNNNNNNNNNNNNNNNNNNNNNNNNNNNNNNNNNNNNNNNNNNNNNNNNNNNNNNNNNNNNNNNNNNNNNNNNNNNNNNNNNNNNNNNNNNNNNNNNNNNNNNNNNNNNNNNNNNNGGUGUGGGUGUGUGUGUCGGGGGGGGGGGGGCAGUGACACUUACAUAUCCCUACUCUUAUAAAAAUAGAGUUGGUGAUGAUGGUGUUCCUGCCAUCCUGCAAUAUAGGCCAUCUGAUUUAUAUCUGACGGAUAGGAAGGAAACUGUGGCAAUUUUGCAAAAAGAUACCCACACCCCUCUCCGCAUUUGCAAAUAAGGCAUUCCCUCGUUCAUCCUUUUCUCCCACAAGAUAAACUACUCAUACAAAUGCAUCUUGAUGUUCGGUGCAACGCAUGGGAAUCUUGCUAGUAGGGAGAAGGAGUUUGUGUGACACAUAUCUAGCUAUAUUAAGGGAUAGGUAGAUAGCAUUUGUGCGAGGCAUACUUAAAGCAUCACGAAGAUAAACAAAAUUGUGUGCAUGCAAGUGCCGGAAAAAAUGAAGCGAGAAACAAUGUGUGUGUGUGCGCGCGCGUGUGUGUGUGAGAGAGAGAGGGAGAGAGAGAGAGAGCGAAAUCUCAAAACAAAAGGUGCUCUGCUGGAAUCCCAUUGUAUGUAUUCAUAUGGUUUCGGAACUCGAGUUAACCUUAGGCAUAUGUGUGAGAGACAUUAUUAUACUUUGAGACAUUAGUGGCUGUGGGUGGGCGGAAUUAAAGGGGUGGGCGUGUUCGACAGAGAGAGCAUGUGUGUUUCUGUGUGAGAGACUUGUAGGACGGGGUAGAAAGACAAAUUCUAACCUUGACGGAGGGAGAGAAAUACACGAAGUGCGCGUGUGUGAUUCCGAUGCCCACAUGGAAAUGAGAUAUGUAUGCGUGUGAGAGAGAUUGCACAAUUCAUUCACGUAUCACUAUCUAGCGAUCGUAGACGUGCAUCGCUUGAACAUAAAUCAAUAUCUACUUCAUAUCGUGGCCAAAGGUACAAUAUCGAUUCAACGCUAUAAAGAUUGGACACUCACAUAUCACAUUUUUUCUAUUUAAAUAAACCUUUUCAGUUGUGCAUGCCAAAGUUACAGUGAUGUUUCUUCAAACAACCAAUGUAGCUAUCAUGUACAUGCACCAUUGUUACUCUUGCAUUCAAAAUCAUUAGUCUAGGAUGAUUUAAGGUUCUAUUAUGAAGUAAUAUAUGUAAUAUUCAUAUAUGAACUCAACAGGUACGCAAUUUAUGAAAUGGAGGCUAUGUAAUCAUAUGAGGUAACACUUUUAAGUAGCGGACUACAAUAUCCAUUUAUUUUUGUGCACCUCUACACUAACACGUCAAUGCAUUAUGUUUAAAGUAAAUAACCAAUUGCACUAAAUUAUCUAUUUACACGAGAAAUACAUAGGCUGAGCGUUUGAUCCCUUUUUUUGUGAACGCGCCACUACACCCGUACGAUUGGCCGCGCCCGUGUGAACGUCCAAGUUAUCGGCGCAUCAUCCCGAGUUAUUGUCUUUUUUUCUUGGUUGGACUUCACACUAGUUAUUAACUGUUGACGCGUGCCCCGUGUACACAGUCUCGCAUGACCUUCCCGCUAGCACAGUCCAAAAUUAGUUGAAACUGGAUACGAACGAUCCCGCGGGCGGCAACAUCUCCCGCCUCCUUCUAAAAUUUCCGCCACCUUAGUCUUUAGCAUGCGAAAUUCCCCUUUUGUUCUUGGUGCACGGAGACCAACAGUUACAAUACCGCCCUCAUCUACAUAAUAGGUCGAGGCUGCUUUGGUAACUUCCGGUUGCCCCCACUACACAACACCCCCAUUUCCUCUCCACCUCCCGCAAAAACGACUAACUCCACAGCACCAGAGCAUCUCACAUCACGCCGCCGUACUUCAUCAGCCUUUCUCCCCCCCUCUCGAAACCCUAGACUGCUCAUCCACCGGCGUACCAGAGCCCAUUCAUUGCCAGCGGCGUCCACCUCGCCGAAUCUGCUUCUGCGGCCGCAUCUACCCCUCCCACCUCCCCUAGAAAUAUGUAGACUGCUCACCCACCACUGUACCACAGCCCAUUCAGUGCCGGCCUUGUCCACGGCGCCGGAUCUGCUUCGCCGGUACUCUCAUCAACCGCAGCGCAUCUGCAGCGGCUCAUUCGUACUCCCCACCGGAGAUGCUUCGUCCACACCCCCCCGGAGCCGCCCCACCGACUCCCCCAUCGACGGCCUUUGAUCCUCUUCGCCGACACCUUCCUCAACCCUACCAGAGCCGCUUCACCGACACCAUCGUCAACCCCACCGGAGUAGCUUCGCCUAUACCAUUUUCAACCCUACCAGAGCCGCUUUGCCAACUCAGAAGUCCACGGCCUCAGAUCCGCUUCCUCACACCCUCAUCCAACCUACCGGAGCAGCUUCUGACGCCCCGUCCACGACCACAGAUCUGCAUCAUCGACACCAUCCUUAACCCAACCACCGGAGCAGCUUCACCUACCGGAGCCACUCCACAAACACCCUACUCAACGGUUCUAGAUCCCCUUACCGGACCCCGACAGCCAGCGCAGGGUCAUCACCCUUGACGUUUCUAACCUGAUUCCCACCAUCGGGAAAGAUGCCAAGGACCCGCCACGGCCUAGGUACUUGUCACCUUUAAACCCGUUCAGCAUCACCUGCCCGAUGUACUUCAAAUAUACUAACAGGUCGCUGUUACCUGAUAUGUAGCUGGCAAAAACUACAAGGACGAUGUUUCUUCUAGAUCUAACAACUUGGCCAACCAAGAUCCUGGACCGAGGCAUUGCUAUGAUCUUGUAAGCGUGUCUCUCUCUCUUGUAUUGUUCUGUGCCUGCCAGCGUGCUUUGCUAGGAUUUUCGACCAGUAAUCCCUUUGUGCAGACAAUGAUUUCUACUACUGGCUGCUAAAUUAGAUAUGUAGACGUCAUACAUGAUACUACCUCGUACCUCCGUUCCUAAAUAUAAGUCUUUCUAGAGAUUCCACUAUAGGCUACAUACGGAGCAAAAUGAGUGAAUCUACACUCGAAAAUGCAUCUAUAUACAUCUGUAUGUGGUCCAUACUGGAAUCUCUACAUAGACAUAUAUUUAGGAACAGAGGCAGUACGUUACACAAAAUCGUAGGUGGCAUGUAGGAAUUCUAGUACACUACAUUAGGCUCCCUUAAAGUGCCUGCUAGUCCAGCACACAGAGUCAUGGCUAGUUUAUGCUACGCACACAAUCAUUAAUUGGUGGUUUAAAUAUGCGCAAGGGAUAUGCAAUGUAUUAUCAUAUAGAGAUGUCUGAAAAUUAGUCGUAUCAACUUGCAGACAGGGUUACACAAUGAAAAAGUACAAGAUGUAUGUGGCAAUUUCAUGGAACAUCGCAAAAAAAGGAGAGCCAGCGGUGAGCCUAUACAGUGUGCUAUGGUACGUUACUCCUCCAUUGCAAUCAUCAUGACAUGUUAUUUGUAUGUCAGUUCUAUUGGCCAAGUUUCUUAGGGACAGUUAUUACGAGUUAUCCUAAGAAAAUAAGCACCUGUGAAUAUAAGCUCCAUGUAAUAAGCCAACCAGUUCUUUUCAUUGCGUUUUCAGCUUAUCUUUGGUAUGAUCAGUGAAAAGUCUAGAUUGCAUUAUAUUUUUUUCAUUUUGCUGCCCAUAUGAAAAUUAAUUUGACUUGCAAACAUCACAAAUUGAACCCAGUGCAGUAAUUAAUAUGAUAGUAAAACAUACCAUCACUAUUUGCUCAAAAUGCAAAUACAAAGAUACCAUCUACUUGGCACAAUCUACUUUGGUCAAUGUUUUCCAUAGAGAUCCCAUUGCCUAAUUUAGACGAAAAAUGCAUGACCCAUAUUUAAGUGAAGAACAAUUAUUUAUUGAAAUUCGAUGGUCCAAGUGGCUGGUUAUUAUCAUAUAGCAGCACCAUCUGAAAGCAUCAUAUAGCAGUAGCAGCAGCUCAUAGCAACUCAUCAUACAGCAGCAGCAGUGUGCAAUUCAUCAUAUACCAGCAGCAGCUCAUAGCAAUUCAUCAUAUAGCAGUAGCAGGAGCAGCUCAUAGCAAUUCAUCAUAUAGCAGCAGCAGGAGCAGCUCAUAGCAAUUCAUCAUAUAGCAGCAACAGGAGCAGCUCAUAGCAAUUCAUCAUAUAGCAUCAGCAGGAGCACCUCAUAGUAAUUCAUCAUACAGCAGCAGCAGGAGCAGCUUAUAGCAACUCAUCAUAUAGAAGCAGCAGCAGCUCAUAGCAAUUCAUCAUAUAGCAGCAGCUCAUAGCAAUUCAUCAUAUAGCAGCAGCAGGAGCACCUCAUAGCAAUGCAUCAUAUAGCAGCAGCAGAAGCAGCUCAUAGCAAUUCAUCGUAUAGUGGAUCAGAAUGAAAAUUUGGCAAAAAAUCAGAGGAGAUCCUCACCUUGUUGGAUGAGCUCUUCCUUCAACAGCACCUCAAGGCCACGGCCUGGGAGGUGGGGAGGGGGAAUAAGGUGCCUUCUGCCGCAGUGUGGCAUCAACCGUAGUUGUGCAGCGCCUACUGGAGUAGUGCGUUGGACAAACCACAGUGGAGCAACUGCUGGAGACCAUGAGAAUGAGGGGCGGCACCAGAGGUAGGAGCAGCCAGGGAGAGUUGCCCCUACCCGCCGACCAUGUAGCCUAGAUGGACAAAGCAUCGUCGAGGACCAGGCUAGAUGGGACUAGUGGCGACGGCUUGCUGGAGGAACCCUAUGCUGCAGGUAGGGGAUCGAGGUAGAGGGAAAGGGGAGAGGAGAUGCAAGCGGGCAUGGCAAUGAACGCUUGCGUGUUUGUUUUUACUUGAGGGUGAGGUGUGACGCGGGCGUCACCAGUUGCAUUUUGAGUGUAAUAUAGGCAGACAACAGAGUCAUUUCACUAUUCCCCUUCCCUUCAAUUUUUAGUGAGGUUCUACCUGAAACACCCCCCUCCAAAGAGAAAUUAGUUAAGCCCAAGCCCAUAACUCAAAAAUGACUUCUUUACAUCUUUUAUGGCUUAUUUUGACAAUAAGCCCUGAAAAGGCGGAAUAGAACUAGCCCUUAACCUGCAAUUCAAUUGUGCGUGCAAUGAUGAAUCACUCCUGCCUGCUAUAGUGUACAUUUGGGCAUCAUCAUACAUGGCAUAACCUAAUACAUGUGCAUUCCAUUGUAGAAUCUUGAAUAUGCAAUGUUUAUGUUAGUUCAUAUGUUGCACAUGAUGUUUAAAUGCCCCUUAAAUCUGGUCAGUCAAGUGAUGGUCUUUAAGCCUCCUUCUUUGCUUCUUUUCUUGAUAUGUAAGAUUUGCUCACACAUCUGUUCAAUUGCUUGUUUGCAUCAGCCAACCAUACUAGGACUGUUUGCUUUGAUUACUUGUUGUUCUUGACCUAACACUCUAACAGAGCUUGUCAACGAUUUAAACACUAAGGGCUGCUGUAGUGGGGCCUUUUCUAACUCAUAGGUGACAUAAAGGUUUGGCUGUACACUAAAGUAGGCUCUCCAAGAGUACCUGGAGAUCCAGUUCGAAGGUAUGCCUAGUUUUUACAUAGUACAGACAUAGUAAAUGCUCAUUUCAUUGUGUGCAAGUGCAAGAGAUGCAGCAUGUUUCAUUAUGUGGUGUUGUUUUGUUAUAAUCUCAUCCUUUUGUGUUCACAGACUGGAAAGUAUGCAUAUUUAUCUUCCAAGGAGACGAGUAACUAGUUUGUGUCACCUUGAAGAGGGGGUGCAAUGAAGAUAAUAUUGAGGAUUUCCAAGUACAAGAUGUUAGGAAGGAGCCUUGCAAGAGAAGUAGGACCACCGCUGAGCCUCUUCAACCUGUUAAGGUAAGUCACUGUAUCCAACUCAACAGUUCAAUUCCUUGUUUGUUUCAGGCAUAGUUAAUUUGCUCUUUUCAAUUGCUUUAUUUGUCCUCAGUUAAUGAGAUGCCCAAGGAAUGAUGCCUGAUGUUGGGUACUUGUAUAACUAUUAGUUGACAUAAUUAAAUGCCUUACCAUUUAAUUACUAUGCCGAAGUGUGCCUGAAGGUUUGAAGUCUAUUAACCAACUAUUAUUGCAUGAGGCUCACAAUCUAGUUUAUACUAGGCUAAUGAUUGCAUAGUUUUGCUUGCUGUAGUAUGUUUGUAUGAAACUCUCUGCUGUUCAUUAUGCUCCCUAAGACUUUAAUUGAGCUACAGAAUGGCCAACUGCUUGCUUACUUCUACGCAACGUGCUGUCUAAAUUUGUAACUUGUCUGUGUUUUGGAUUGGGCCCCAACAUCAUGCUCCUCUAGUGAGCUAAGAGAGAUUUCUGUAUGCAGGCUGCACAGACUACCUUUUUAUAAUUUUUAAAAUAUCACCUGCUUAUGCUUCAUGACGUGUAACAUUAUUGUUAGUCCUGUUUUGCCAUGUACAAAAUAGUCUGUCUUGCUCGCUCCACAGUUGUAACUAUAUUUUUGCCCUAGUCAUGUGUACUUACAGAAACAUUUCAGGAUGAAGUGACAUCAACACAAAGAUCUGCGAGCAGUGCGGCAUGGCCAUUACCGAAUGAUUAUGGAUUGGAAUUGGAAUGUGCUGAUGUUCUCGAGCAUCAACUAGAGGUGGCAAGACAACGUGUACAUGAUUCUGAACGUACAAUCAACAAGUUGAGACUGGACAUGCAGGUAUUAGAUGCAGGAGUCAAAAAAAUGAAACAAGACACUGAGGUAACAACGAAGGAAUUGGAGAUUUUGCAGACUAAAAUUUGUGCUAUCUAAAUCCGGCCAAUCCUAUUUUCUGAAGAGAUUAUAGUUCAAAUGGUAAGUUAUGUUGAUGCGCGUCCAUGAUGUAUGAGUUGUAUUUGCCCAGUGUAUGCAAUUUGCUGUUUGUGUAUGCUUUAUUAUCAUUGGUGCCGAACCAUAAUGCCCAGUGGGUAUAAUCAGAUGUAAUUUCUUUAUUGUAUAGUGUAGGAUUAUUCUACGUUUCUAUGCCUUAGUCUCUUUAUUGUAUAGUGUAUGUUUUUUAGAGGUGAUAGUAUAGAGUAGGAUAAUUCUUUGAAUAUGCUAUAUCGUCAAACGGGGGCCAACUCGCCCAAACGUUGUAGUGACCAUGGCCCUCCACAUGCCGUACAAUCCAUGGGCCAUCUACGGGACAGACGAUCCAUGGCCUUCUAUGGCUGUCGGAUUCGUGGGCCUUCUAUCUGCUGUCGGAUCCAUGGGCCUUCUAUGGGCCAUCGGAUCCAUGGGCCUUCUAUGGGCCGUCGGAUCAAUGGGCCUUCUAUGGGCCAUCGGGUCAAUGGGCCCUCUACGUCCCGUAGGAUCCAUGGGCCUUCUACGGGCCGUCUCAUCUAUGGGCCUUGUACGGGCCGUAUAAGGGGCCAUAAACAGGCUAGAGUGGAAAUCGUACGUUUUAUGGGCUGACCAUAACGGGCCGUUAAUAGGCCGUAUUUGAUGAUGCUAUGAAAAUGGCCCAACAGAUUAACGGGCCGUAAACGGACCGACAAUAUCCACGGGCUGAAUUUGGUCCACAAGCAGAAAAGGCCAGUAACGGGCCGUAAGUAACCGAAUGCUAGAAAUGAGCCCAAGAAUAAAUGGGCCCUCAGAAGGCCGAAAGGUAACACGGGCUAGAAACGACCCAGUGGAAUAAUGGGCCGCUAAUGGGUAUAAAGCGAUACACUGUUCAUUACGGGCCGGUUUCACCACGGGCCAUUAAUGGGCCAAGAGUUACAAAGGGGCUCAUAUGGGCCAAAAUACGUCAUGGGCCAUACAUGGGCCGGAAGUUAAAACGGGCUGGAAUUAUAUUGGACGGCCCAGAUGACGCUACUGGGCCUAAUUCGGAUAGGCCGUAAAUGGGCCAUGGGUUAGCGGGCCGUAAAUGGGCUAUAUGCGAACAUGCCGUUAACAGGCUUGCCGUGGGCCGGCCCGCCACCUUUUGACCAAGUCAAACGGGCCGACCUUUUCACAGGAAUGGGCCUCUGUUGGGCCGUGCCACGUGUCGACGUAUCAUAGUCGCUUUGGGUCCAAUGAGUGGAUGACAUAUGUCCCAACGGUGAGCCGACACGUGUUUCCUCUAGCCAAUGAUGAUUUUACACGUGGAAAAUCCCCAUUGGUCGGGGCUGUUAACGUGUUAUCGGAUCCAAAACCGGACCCGAUAGCUUAACGGCGUUCCGUUACGGUGGAUGCCACAUGUCGGUCACCCUUGACGAAAGCACUUCUGUGACGCGCGAUUUAUCGUCAUGGAAGUGGACACUUCCGUGAUGAUAAUUUUGGUAAUGUCAUGGAACACUUCUACGGCAGCACAGGUAUGACUAUCUUUCAUAAAUUUGUCAUGGAUGUACAUGCAUGACAGAAAACGUGACCUACUGUGACAAACACGUAUCAUCACGGAAGUGUAUUUUUUUGUAGUGUAGGCUUUUCCCUAGUAGUGUAUAAAACCCCGAGGAGCCCUCAUGCAUACGAGCGAUCGAACACAGAGGAUCGCUCACUCACACACGCAUAGCAAGCCACACCCAAGGAGAGGGCGUAGCCUAAGCCUCGGCCUUCCUUCCUUCCUCCUCCAUAUAGCUCUAGGAGCAACUCUGUACUGAUACACAUCAACUACACUCGGCAGGACUAGGGGUGUUAUCUCUCCGGAGAGCCCCGAACCUGGGUAAGUCUUGCGUCCCGCGCUCGCUCAUGCCGACCUCGCCUCUGGAGCCCACCAGUGCCCUCGAGCCUCCUCCUAUCUUUAGCCAUCCCUUGGCAUCUGUCGUGCGCCCACCACGAUAGUUAGCGCCCACCGUGGGGCAGCUCGAGCUCCUGGCCGGGAGCAUGCUUCAGACGGGGCUCCUCUCCGACUCCGACGAGCCUGUCAUGUUGGCGGACGACGUCAUCGACGCACUCGCCGCCUCCUUCGCCGCGCUGCGCAUCUCCGAUGCGCCUGCGGCCGACGAGUACCCCAGCGAGGUACUUGACUUUUCCGAAUCCCCCCUCUCCCUCAGCGGCAGCGCUCCCGCCGGGGCAAUGGACCUUUGCGUGGAGGUUUUCAUCACCGACACCGGCACCUCUUCCUCAUCGUGCGCGGAGAGGAAGGCCGCAGCGGAUCGGGCCGGCUCGCCCAACCCACUGCGCCCCAUGAUGCAGAGCCUUCGCGUUCCCAUCAGCACCGACAUCGACGCGUCCAACGUCGCCGAGGCCCGGACUCGGCUCAAGGAGGACAACCAGCGCCUGCUGGACCUGACCGAGACGCUCGCCGCCACGCAGCGUCACGUCGACUCCGUGCAGCUGGAGCGCAACGCCGCCUACGGCUUCACGCCUACCGCGGCCGAGCCAAGCCGGGUCGCGGACGUGCGAGCCCGGGGAGGCGCGAUCGGCCGUGCUUUCGGCGCCAUCCCGCCCGUCUACGAGACUCCCAUGAAGAAAAUGCGCGCCGCGCAGGCGAGGAGCUGAAGGAUCGCCUCAAGCGGGUGAACGACCUCCUCGACGCGGCCAACGCGCAGCAGGACCGCCUCAACCAACUCGCCAAGCCGGCGGGAUCCAGCUCCGCCCGCAUCGGCGGACCCGGCGACCACCAGAACACGGCGUCUUCACCACCCGGCGAGGCGCACUCCGGCCGGACCCGGCGCAACCCUGACCCGGCAACUGCCGGCGGCUUGGGCGAUGAGCCGGUCUUGGAGGACCGAUGUCGGCUCGACCCUCUGCUCCAACCCGGUUGACGUCCGACUACGGUUGACUUGGGCCCCCGCGGCACGGUCACCGACCGGCUGGGCCCGCGCGCCAUCGAUGACACCGACGCCCGCCACCGCCCCGACCGACUCGCCCUUUCCCAGGAGCUGGAGGAGAGCGGCCCUGUCAGGUCAGCGUGCUUCAGACCACGCAUCAGGGAUGAGCCCUUUACUAAAGGGUUCUUGCUCCCCCGCGAUACCCCCAAGUACAACGACACCGUGAAGCUGGAGGACUGGCUCACCGACUACACCACCGCCAUCGGCAUCGCCGGCGGUAACCACCGUCUCGCCGUGCGCUACGCGCCGCUCAUGCUCCAAGGGUCGGCCCGCACUUGGUUGAACAGCCUGCCGGCAGGCAGCAUCAACGAGUGGGUCGACUUCGAGCAGGCCUUUGCAUACAACUUCACCGGCACCUACAAGCGACCCGGCCGCCCCAGCCAGCUCGCCAUGUGCGUGCAGGGGCCGACGGAAACCGGCCGCGAAUACCUCGCACGCCGGACCGAGCUCCAGAACAGUUGCGAGGGCGUCCACGAAGUCCAAGCGAUACGGUACUUCGUCAAUGGGUUCCGGGAUGGCACCCUCCUCAAGCACAAGCUCUUGCUCUCCGAGCCGGCCACCAUGGCCACGCUCAUGGUGACGGUGGACAAGUACGCCAACGCUGACUCCGCCAUGAAGAUCCAGGUGGCACUGGAUGAAGCCGGCGAAGCAAAGCCGGUUCCCCCUCUGAAGCCGGCCGGCAAAGGAAGCCGGCAGCAGCAUAACCAGUAGAACAACAAAUGCAAGGCCGAUCAGCCGGCCCAGCACUACGAAAACCGGCUCGUCGCGGCCGCCGCGCAGGCGCCCGCGACCGACCCGGCCGCCAAGCGCCGGCAGACCGGCAAGACGACGUGGCAACCCGCCAUGAGCUUCGAGGAGAUGCUCGAUGCUCCCUGCAAGUACCACAGCGAUGCAAGGCCGUCCAUGCACACGCUUCGGCAGUGCGCCAUCACCAGGCGCAUCAUGAGGGGCGACAUCCUACCUCCUCCGGCGCCGGCUCCGGGAGCGGGGCAGCCGCCUCCGCCUCUGCCUCCACCACCACCUCCGGCUGGCGGCACGAUGCACGACGACGUCUACCCGUCCCAGAACGUGACCUAUGUCGUCUUCACCAGCCUCGGCGACGACAAACACAGCGAGCGCCUCCUUCGGCAGGAGGUGAACACCGUCGUCCCAGCCAAGCCGGAAUAUAUGCACUGGUCGGAGCGCCCGGUCACCUGGACUCGGGAGGACCACCCGGCCGUCAUGCGGAGCCUGGGUGGUUAUGCUCUCGUCCUCAACCCCACAAUCGUCGCACCUCGGUGCACAUGCAAGUUCUCCCGGGUUCUCAUCGACGGCGGCAGCAGCAUCAACAUCCUCUACCGUGACACCAUGACCAAGCUCGGCCUCGAGGCCAAAGACCUGGAGCCGACCUGGACGAUCUUCCACGGCAUCGUUCCUGGACUCUCAUGCUCUCCAAUCGGCCGGGUCCGGCUCGACGUCCUGUUCAGCGACAACAACCACUUCCGACGCGAGCCAAUCUGGUUCGAGGUGGUGGACCUGUCCAGCGCGUACCACGCGCUGCUGAGCCAGCCCGCGCUCGCCAAGUUUAUGGCGGUCCCCCACUACGCCUACCUAAAGAUGAAGCUGCCGGGUCCGAAGGGCCUCAUCACCAUCACCGGCGACUACCGCAAGUCCCUGGAGUGCACCCGAGACGGCGCCAAAUUGGCCGAGUCGCUGGUCAUAGCCGAGGAGCGGCGCGAGCUCGACCGGAUUGUCGCCCUAGCCAAUGAGACGUCGGCCGUGCUGAUCUCGGCCGACGAGCCGGCGGACGAGGCCUUGUUCAAGCCCUCCAAGGAGACCAAGAAAGUGAAGCUGAACCCGGAAGACCCCAGCUGUAGCAAGUACGUUGUCAUGGGCACCCACCUCGACAGAAAAUAGGAAGGCGAGCUCGUCGACUUCCUCCAUGAGAAUCGGGAUAUUUUUGCAUGGACCCCAAAGGACAUGCCGGGUAUCCCGAGGAAAUAAGCCGAGCACAAACUCCACGUCCGCAAGGAUGCCAAGCCUGUCUGCCAACCCCUACGGCGUUUCUCUGAAGAGAAGAGAAGAACCAUCGGUGAAGAGGUCGCCAAGCUUUUGGCGGCCGGCUUCAUCCUGGAAGUGUUUCACCCCGAGUGGCUGGCCAACCCAGUCCUCGUCCUGAAGAAGAACAAGACCUGGCGCAUGUGUAUCAACUACACCAGCCUGAACAAGGCCUGCCCCAAGGAUCCGUUCGACCUCCUGUAGAUCGACCAAGUCAUCGACUCCACUGCCGGGUGCGAGCUCCUGUCCUUACUAUAUGCUUACUCCGGCUAUCACCAGAUCAAGCUGGACCCGGCCGACGCCCUGAAUACGUCCUUCAUCACGCCCUUUGGGGCGUAUUGCUACAUCACCAUGUUGUUCAGCCUGAAGAACGCCGGUGACACCUUCCAGCGCUGCAUGUAGAAAUGCCUGCUGCCGCAACUCGGCCGCAACAUCCACGUCUAUGUGAACGACAUCGUGGUGAAGACCAAGCAGCACCUCACGCUCCUCGACGACCUGAAGGAAACCUUCGCUAACCUGCGUGAAUACAAGGUCAAGCUCAACCCAAAGAAGUGCGUUUUCGGUGUCCCGGACGGAAAGCUACUCGGCUUCCUCAUCUCGGAGCGCAGCAUUGAGGCAAACCCGGAGAAGAUCAAGGCCAUCGAGCGCAUGCGCAAGCCGGCUCGGCUGCGCGAUGUCCAGAAGUUCACCGGCUGCUUGGCCUUGGUCAGCCGGUUUCUCAGCCGGCUGGGCGAGAGGGCCUUGCCCCUGUAUCAGCUGAUGAAGAAGAUGACACCGUUCGAAUGGAACGACCUGGCGGACAAGGCUUCCCGGGACCUCAAGCGCAUGCUCUCCACCGCACCCGUCCUGGCCGCACUGGCCAAGAAGGAGCCGCUGUUGCUCUACAUCGCCACAACCUCGCGGUCGGUCAGGACGGUGAUGGUGGUUGAGCGACCAGAGAAGGGCAAGAUCCAAGCCGUCCAACGUCCCGACUACUACCUGAGCGAGGUGCUCUCCGCCUCCAAGCAGAACUACCCACAGUACCAGAAGAUGUGUUACGGCGUGUACUUCACCGUCAAGAAAUUGAAGAAGUACUUCCAAGAGCACGUUGUUACCGUGGUCAGCACGGCCCCUCUCGGCGAAAUCAUCGGGUGCCGGGAUGCCUCUGCCCGGGUCGCCAAGUGGGCGCUCGAGCUAGCCGGCCACACCAUCCUCUACGAGCCCGACACUACGAUCAAGUCCCAAGCUUUGGCCCACUUCCUCGUCGACUGGAUUGAGACCCACUACCUGCCGCCGCCGCCGGACUCGACACACUGGCGCAUGCACUUCGACGGCUUGAAGAUGCGUCUCAGCCUAGGGGCCGGCAUUGUGCUGUCCUCCCUGAAGGGCGACCGGCUCAAAUACGCGCUCCAGAUCCACUUCACCGCCUCCAACAACGUCGCCGAGUACGAAGCCCUUGUGCAUGGCCUCUGGCUUGCCAAGGAACUCGGCAUCCGGCACAUCCUGUGCUAUGGCGACUCGGACCUGGUGGUGCAGCAGUGCUCCGGCGAGUGGGACGCCCGCGACACCCACAUGGCGAGCUACCGCUUCCUCAUCCAGAAGCUGUCCGGAUUCUUCGCGGGCUGCGAGUUCCUCCACGUCCCGCGUGUUCGGAAAAUGAGGCAGCCGACAUGCUCGCCAAGAUUGCCUCGUCCCGGCAGUCCAUCCCGUCCAGCGUCUCCCUUGAGCACCUGCACAAGCUGCCUGUCAAGCCGUCUCCGGACUCUGAGUCCAUCUACGUCUCGGACGACCCGGCCGCACCUCAACCCGUCCCGGGGACUGCCAAACCCGGCCCGAGGACUGCUGAACCCGGCCCGGGGACUGCCGAACCUGGUCUGGGGACCGCUUAACCCGGCCCGGGGGCCGCAGCCAUCAAUCUGACCGCUGCUGUUGCCGACCCGGGGGCUGCCGCCCCAGAACCCGCCAUGGUGGUCGUCUUCGCCAUGGUGAUGGCACCAUCAUGGGUCCUGCCCAUCUCAGAGUUUCUGGAGAACGGGGUCCUCCCCAUGGACGAGACCGAAGCCCGGCAAGUGCAGCGCCGGGUGUCCGCCUACAACAUCAUCAACAACGAGCUCAUCAAACGCAGCUCCAUCGGCGUGUUCCAGCGCUGCGUCGAGCAGGACAAGGGCAUUGAGAUCCUCCUCGACAUACACCAAGGCGAGUGCGGGCACCACGCCGCCUCGCGAUACCUGGUGGCCAAGGCCUUCCGCCAUGGUUUCUACUGGCCCACGGUCCUCGAAGACGCCGAGUCACUCAUCCUCAAGUGCGAGGGAUGCCAGCGGUUCAGCAAGCGCAGUCACCAGCCGACGUCAGCACUCCGGACCAUCCCGAUCGCCUGGCCCUUCACGGCCUGGGGACUCGACAUGGUGGGGCCCUUCAAGACCGCUCGAGGCGGCAUGACGCAUUUGCUGGUGGCGGUGGACAAGUUCACCAAAUGGAUCAAAGCAAGGUCAAUCAAGAAACUGGACGGGCCAACGGUCGUCCGAUUCAGCAAGGACAUCGCGGUGCGCUACGGCAUGCCGAACAGCAUCAUCAUGGACAACGACACCAACUUCGCCAAGGGUGCACUCGCGUAGUACUGCUCCGUCUCUGAUACGUCUCCGUCAUAUCUACUUUUCCAAACACUUUUGCCCUUGUUUUGGACUCUAACUUGCAUGAUUUGAAUGGAACUAACCCGGACUGACGCUGUUUUCAGCAGAAUUGCCAUGGUGUUAUUUAUGUGCAGAAACUAAAGUUCCCGGAAUGACCUGAAACUCCACGGAACUUAUUUUUGGAAAAUAUAAAAAAUAUUGGUGAAAGAAUCAAGGCCAGGGGGCCCACCACCUGUCCACGAGGGUGGGAGGCGCGCCUGCCCCCUGGGCGCGCCCCCCUGCCUCGUGGGCCCCCUGGAGCUCCACCGACCUCAACUCCAACUCCAUAUAUUCGUGUUCGGGGAGAAAAAAAAUCAGAGAGAAGGAUUCAUCGCGUUUUACGAUACGGGGCCACCGCCAAGCCCUAAAACCUCUCGGGAGGGCUGAUUUGGAGUCCGUUCGGGGCUCCGGAGAGGGGAAUCCGUCGCCGUCGUCAUCAUCAACCAUCCUCCAUCACCAAUUUCAUGAUGCUCACCGCCGUGCGUGAGUAAUUCCAUCGUAGGCUUGCUGGACGGUGAUGGGUUGGAUGAGAUUUAUCAUGUAAUCGAGUUAGUUUUGUUAGGGUUUGAUCCCUAGUAUCCACUAUGUUCUGAGAUUGAUGUUGCUAUGACUUUGCUAUGCUUAAUGCUUGUCACUAGGGCCCGAGUGCCAUUAUUUCAGAUCUGAACCUAUUAUGUUUUCAUGCUAGUUUAUUUUCCCUUUUCUUGCUUUCUUCUUGUGAGUUCAAUUAACCUUAAGAAAACAAAAAAAAUUAGUGUAGCUUUUAGUUAGUUUUCUUUUCUUGCUGUAGUAGUAAUAAUUAAAAGAAAACCCAAAAAGAUUUCCCGUUCUUCUUUUGUUUGUUGGGAGCUUUCCCGUGUAAAUAGUUUUAUUUCUGUUCUUUUCUUUGGGGGUCGAUAGGAGAAGACCAUGAUUAAAUUGUUGAAGUAGCUCUUAUAUGCAUUAUUGUUGAUUUAACCAAGAGCCCAUAUUGCCUUGUCUUCUCCUGUUUAUUGAAUGCUCGCAGAUUCCAGCUUAGUCCAAUGCACGUGCACUCUUAUUAUUAUUCACAUCGUUCGGUCGUGCAAGUGAAAGGCAAUAAUGACGAUAUAUGAUGGACUGACUGAGAUGAGAGAAGCUGGUAUGAACUCGACCCCUCUUGUUUUUGUAAAUAUGAUUAGUUCAUCGUUCCUGAUUCAGGCUAUUAUGAAUAAACAUGUUUGCAAUGACAAUUAGAGAUUAUAGUUGCUCGUGCCAUUCUUGAUUAGCUAUGAGUUAUAAUGGUUUACCUUGCGUGCCAACAUGCUAUUAAAAUGGUUGUGAUGUGGUAUAGUGGGGUGGUAUCCUCCUUUGAAUGAUUCAAGUGACUUGACUUGGCACAUGUUCACGCAUGUAGUUGAAACAAAAUCAACAUAGCCUUCACGAUAUUUAUGUUCAUGGUGGAUUAUAUCCUACUCAUGCUUCUACUCAAUGUUUAUUAAUUUUAAUGCAUGUUCAUGACUGUUGUCGCUCUCUAGUUGGUCGCUUCCCAGUCUUUUGCUAGCCUUCACUUGUACUAAGCGGGAAUACUGCUUGUGCAUCCAAUCCCUUAAACCCCAAAGUUAUUCCAUAUGAGUCCACUAUACCUUCCUAUAUGCGGUAUCUUCCUGCCGUUCCAAGUAAAUUUGUAUGUGCCAAACUCUAAACCUUCAAAUGAAAUUCUAUUUUGUAUGCUCGAAUAGCUCAUGUAUCAACUAGGGCUGUCCGUGUCUUCCAUGCUAGGCGGGUUAUUCUCAAGAGGAGUGGACUCCGCUCCUCACUCACGAGAAAAUGGCUGGUCACCGGGAUGCCCAGUCCCAUGCUUUAUGCAAACUAAAUCCAAAUAAUUGCAAACAAAACUCCCCCUGGGACUGUUGUUAGUUGGAGGCACUCGUUGUUUCGAACAAGCAAUGGAUUGAUGCUUGUUGGUGGAGGGGGAGUAUAAACUUUACCAUUCUGUUUGGGAACCGCCUAUAAUGUGUGUAGCAUGGAAGAUAUCGCCAUCUCUUGGUUGUUAUGUUGACAAUGAAAGUAUGCUGCUCAAAAUAUUAUUUAUCUCUGCUUUAAAAUCGACCUCUGGCACCUCUACGAAUCCCUGUUUCCCUCUGCGAAGGGCAUAUCUAUUUACUUUUUAUAUGUUGAGUCAUCACCUUCUUAUCAUAAGCACCAGCUGGAGAGCACGGCUGUCAUUUGCAUCCAUUACUAUUAGUUUAUAUUGGGUAUGACUAUGACUGGAUCUCUUUUACCAUGAAUUACAAUGUCUAGUCAGUCCUUGAUCUUUAAAGGUGCUCUGCAUUUAUGUUUUGCGGCCCCAGAAAGGGCUAGCGAGAUACCAUCUUGUUAUAUUAUAUCAUGAUUGUUUUGAGAAAGUGUUGUCAUCCAAGAUUUAUUAUUAUUGCUCGCUAGUUGAUUAUGCCAUUGAUAUGAGUAAACAUGAGACCUAAGAGUUAUUGUGAAUGUGGCUAGUCAUAAUCUUUGCUGAAAACUUGAAUGCUGGCUUUACAUAUUUACAACAACAAGAGCAAACAGAGUUUGUAAAAGUUUUUCUUUAUCACUUUCAGUUUAUCAACUGAAUUGCUUGCGGACAAGCAAAGGUUUAAGCUUGGGGGAGUUGAUACGUCUCCGUCGUAUCUAAUUUUCCAAACACUUUUGCCCUUGUUUUGGACUCUAACUUGCAUGAUUUGAAUGGAACUAACCCGGACUGACGCUGUUUUCAGCAGAAUUGCCAUGGUGUUAUUUAUGUGCAGAAACAAAAGUUCUCGGAAUGACCUGAAACUCCACGGAACUUAUUUUUGGAAAAUAUUAAAAAUAUUGGCGAAAGAAUCAAGGCUAGGGGCCCACCACCUAUCCACAAGGGUGGGGGGCGCGCCUGCCCCCUGGGCAUGCCCCCUACCUCGUGGGCCCCCUGGAGCUCCACCGACCUCAACUCCAACUCCAUAUAUUCGUGUUCGGGGAGAAAAAAAUCAGAGAGAAGGAUUCAUCACGUCAAGCCCUAAAACCUCUCGGGAGGGCUGAUCUGGAGUCCUAAAACCUCUCGGGAGGGCUGGAGUCUGUUCGGGGCUCCGGAGAGGGGAAUCCGUCGCCGUCGUCAUCAUCAACCAUCCUCCAUCACCGAUUUCAUGAUGCUCACCGCCGUGCGUGAGUAAUUCCAUCAUAGGAUUGCUGGACGGUGAUGGGUUGGAUGAGAUUUAUCAUGUAAUCGAGUUAGUUUUGUUAGGGUUUGAUCCCUAGUAUCCAGUAUGUUCUGAGAUUGAUGUUGCUAUGACUUUGCUAUGCUUAAUGCUUGUCACUAGGGCCCGAGUGCCAUGAUUUCAGAUCUGAACCUAUUAUGUUUUCAUGAAUAUAUGUGAGUUCUUGAUCCUAUCUUGCAAGUCUAUAGUCACCUACUAUGUGUUAUGAUCCGGCAACCCCGAAGUGACAAUAAUGUAACACCCCGGAUGUAACUUUCCAUAUUUGUAACUCCAACUCUUGCCAUUUUCGGCCAUGUGUUAUGAUAUUCCCUUCGUGGUCGGGUUUUGUUUUUCGUUUUGCAUUUUGUUCAUGUCAUGCAUAUCAUAUCAUGUCAUCAUGUGCAUUGCAUUUGCAUACGUGUUCGUCUCUUGCAUCCGUGCAUUUUCCCCGUUGUCCGUUUUGCAAUCCGGCACUCCCACCUCCUCCGGCGCACCCCUCUUGUUUUCUUUUCGCGAGCGGGUGUUAAACAUUCUCGGAAUGGACCGAGGUUUGCCAAGUGGCCUUGGCAUACCACCGGUAGACCACCUGUCAAGUUUCGUUCCAUUUGGAGGUCGUUUGACGCUCCAACGGUUAACCGGGUAACCGCAAAGUCCUUUUGUGUGUUGCAGCAAAACCCCCCUCUAAACAACCCAAAACCCCUCCAAGUCACUUCCAUGCUCUAGGUCGUUCGAUCACGAUCGUGUGGGCGAAAACCGCACUCUAUUUGGAGCCUCCUAGCUCCCUCUACCUAUAAAUAUGUGUCUCUCCCGGAUUUCUCACGCAGAUGAAACCCUAGCCCGCUCCCCUUGCGCCGCCGGACACGUCCGGCCCGAGCCGGACGAACNNNNNNNNNNNNNNNNNNNNNNNNNNNNNNNNNNNNNNNNNNNNNNNNNNNNNNNNNNNNNNNNNNNNNNNNNNNNNNNNNNNNNNNNNNNNNNNNNNNNNNNNNNNNNNNNNNNNNNNNNNNNNNNNNNNNNNNNNNNNNNNNNNNNNNNNNNNNNNNNNNNNNNNNNNNNNNNNNNNNNNNNNNNNNNNNCGACCGCCGCCGCUCCUCCCGCGCGCCGCCCGCGCCCGCCGGUCGCCGUCCCCUCGCCGUCCGGGACCGCGCCUCCCCGAGUCCUCCUCUCCUCCGCCGCGCCUCCUCCUGCCGGCGAGCUCGAGCUCCGAGCCGGCCCGAUCCAGAUCCACCGGAGAUGGUUGACUUCUCCCCUCCCCCGAAAUAUUCUAAGUCCCAAAUUUUUGCAAUAUAUGCUCCCGUUCAUCGCAUCAUAACUCUCUGCAUAUAGCUCCGUUUCGUGCGUGUAAUAUAUCGAAAUGUUCGUCUCAAGAUUCUAUUCAUUUUGUUCCAUUAUGCAUGUUCAUUUGAGUCCAUCUUGAUGCCCAAAUCUCUGGUGCAAGAGUACUAGUUGCUGUUAACUGCUGUUACUUAUCAGAACUUGAGGAUUUGUUAUUUUUGUUUCAGUUAAUCUGUGCAUCUUAUAAGUAUGAGCUCUACAUGUGUUUUGAUCUAUGCCAUGCCAUCUUUCAGAGGUAUAUGCCAUGUAUUUUUGCGAUCUCUGUGGUGACUAGCACAAGCAUGCAAACUAGGCUUCGUGAUGUUUCUGAAUUCAGGGACUUGGUAAAUUUACUAAGUAUGUGACUGCUGUUAUUUUGUUGCUGUGUAUCCAUGUGUCUACAGAGAGAUCCAUGCUUAUUUUGGUGAUGUUAAGUAAGGAUGUUUUGUAGAUAUUGUUGUAAUUGUUCCAUCCAUGCCCUUGUUUGCAAUUAUGGAGUGCCAUUGCAUGACUCAAUCUUGCUCUACUUUUGCUAUAAAAUAUUCCUGGCAGAUUGUUUACGUGAUAUUCAAUUUUGCCAAGCUUGUUGUAGUUGAUCCUUUCAUCCUAUGUAUUUGCUCUUGCCUGGGAUAGCUUCAUAAACAUUCCAUCUUGCUGUAGGUAUGCUUGUUUGGUCAUGCAUUGCCUUUUGUUGAGUGAAUCAAGCUCACCAAGAUGCCUUCAUAUUACUGUUUCUGUCAUGCUCUGUUUUCUGCCAAGUCUGAAACCUGUCAACAAAACUUGCUAUGUUUACAUGGUUACCAUCAUAUCUUCUGGUUCCUUUUGGCUUAUGGUCAGUAAGGGACUUCUGUCAUAUGCAUUUAGUAGAUUCAUGCCAUGCCUUGUUUAGCUAUGUUAAGUUCCUGUAGCAUGUUGAUUUCUUGCUCUGAACAUUACUACCUGAUACUGUUUAUGCCAUGUCCAGUAAUUUCACCAAGUCUGUGAACCUGAUAUCUUUUGCACUUUUGCCAUGCUUGUUUGAACCUGUUAUGUUGUGAUCUAGCCGUAGCUCAGUCUUCAUCUUUUGUCAAACAUCUCCUGUAGGUUACUGCCAUAUGAUUUGUUGCUAUGUUGGAGUGCUGUAGCAUAGUUUCUUGAUGUAUUCUAAGUGCUAUCAUGCUGUUAAUCACAGAUUCGUGUCAUUCUUGUUUUGCUUGCCAUUUGCAAACCGUGCAUACGUUUCCGGUGAUCUUUAUAUCGAUUUCGACCGAAACCAUCUCAUCUUUCCAGUGGCAUGCUUCGUUUGCCAAGUUACUGCCUUGUUCAUCAAUUUUCCUCCGGAGCACGCAUACGCAUCGCAUAUCUCGCAUAUCAUACAUGUUUUGCAUCAUGUUGCUUGUGCAUUUCCCAUGAUUGAUUGUGGUUCCGUUGCUUGUGUUCUUGUUUUGGGUAGAGCCGGGAGACGAGUUCGUGAACGAGGAACCUGUUGAGCACGCUUACGAGGAUCAAGCUUUCGACAACUCUGAGAAUCUUGCAGGCAAGAUGACCAUACCCUCGAAAUCACUUCUAUCUUUGCUUGCUAGUUGUUCGCUCUAUUGCUAUGCUGCGCUACCUAUUCACUUGCUCUUCAAGCCUCCCAAAUUGCCAUGAACCUCUAACCUUUGUCACCCUUCCUAGCAAACCGUUGUUUGGCUAUGUUACCGCUUUUGCUUAGCCCCUCUUAUAGCGUUGCUAGCUGCAGGUGAGAUGAAGAUUGCUCCAUGUUGGAUUAUGUUUAUGUUGGGAUAACACAAUAUCUCUUAUAUUAUUAAUGCACCUAUAUAUUUGGUAAAGGGUGGAAGGCUCGGCCUUAUGCCUGGUGUUUUGUUCCACUCUUGCCGCCCUAGUUUCCGUCAUACCGGUGUUAUGUUCCUUGAUUUUGCGUCCCUUACGCGGUUGGGUGAUUUAUGGGACCCCCUUGACAGUUCGUUUUGAAUAAAACUCCUGCAGCAAGGCCCAACCUUGGUUUUACAUUUGCCUCACCUAGCCUUUUUCCCUUGGGAGUCGCGCUCCCGAGGGUCAUCUUAUUUUACCCCCCGGGCCAGUGCUCCUCGGAGUGUUGGUCCAAACUAGAGCACCGUGCGGGACCAUCCCUUGGCAACUUGGGUUACAUCGGUACCUGUACGCUUCGCUUAUCCGGUGUGUCCUGAGAACGAGAUACGUGCGACUCCUAUCGGGAUUGUCGACACAUCGGGCGGCUUUGCUGGACUUGUUUUACCAUGGUCGAAAUGUCUUGUAACCGGGAUUCCGAGACUGAUCGGCUCUUCCCGGGAGAAGGAAUAUCCUUCAUUGACCGUGAGAGCUUAUAAUGGGCUAAGUUGGGACACCCCUGCAGGGUAUUAUCUUUUGAAAGCCGUGCCUGCGGUUAUGUGGCAGAUGGGAAUUUGAUAAUAUCCGGUUGUAGAGAACUUGACACUUGACUUAAUUAAAACGCAUCAACCGCGUGUGUAUCCGUGAUGGUCUCUUCUCGGCGGAGUCCGGGAAGUGAACACGGUUUCUGGGUUAUGUUUGACGUAAGUAGGAUUUCAGGAUCACUUCUUGAUCAUUGCUAGCUUCACGACCGUUCCGUUGCUUCUCUUCUCGCUCUUAUUUGCGUAUGUUAGCCACCAUAUAUGCUUAGUCGCUGCUGCAACCUCACCACCUUACCCUUUCCUACCCAUAAGCUUAAAUAGUCUUGAUCUCGUGGGUGUGAGAUUGCUGAGUCCUCGUGACUCACAGAUACUUCCAAAACAGUUGCGGGUGCCGAUGAGACCAGUGCAGGCGAUGCCACCGAGCUCAAGUGGGAGUUCGAUGAAGACCUUGUUCGUUACUAUGUUUCGUUUCUAGAUGAUCAGUAGUGGAGCCCAGUUGGGACGAUCGGGGAUCUAGCAGUUGGGUUGUCUUCUUUUCUUUUGGUUCCGUAGUUGGACCUAUGUGUGUACUCUGAUUGAUGUAUAAUUAAUUUAUGUAUUGUGUGAAGUGGCGAUUGUAAGCCAACUCUCGUUAUCCCAUUCUUGUUCAUUACAUGGGAUUGUGUUAAGAUGACCCUUCUUGCGACAAAACCACAAUGCGGUUAUGCCUCUAAGUCGUGCCUCGACACGUGGGAGAUAUAGCCGCAUCGUGGGCGUUACAAAUUAUCGGGACCACUCCCGGUGAUGACCGUAGUUUGAGGAGUUCAUGUAUUCACUAUGUGUUAAUGCUUUGGUCCGAUACUCUAUUAAAAGGAGGCCUUAAUAUCCCUUAGUUUCCGCUAGGACCCCGCUGCCACGGGAGGAUAGGACAAAAGAUGUCAUGCAAGUUCUUUUCCAUAAGCACGUAUGACUAUAUUCGGAAUACAUGCCUACAUUACAUUGAUGAAUUGGAGCUAGUUCUGUGUCACCCUAUGUUAUGACUGUUACAUGAUGAACCGCAUCCGGCAUAAUUCUCCAUCACCGAUCCAAUGCCUACGAGCUUUUCACAUAUUGUUCUUCGCUUAUUUACUUUUCCGUUGCUACUGUUACAAUCACUAGAAAACCCAAAAAUACUACUUUUGCUACCGUUACAGUUAUUUCCAUACUACUUUGCUACUAAAUACUUUGUUGCAGAUAUUAAGUUAUCCAGGUGUGGCUGAAUUGACAACUCAGUUGCUAAUACUUGACAAUAUUCUUUGGCUCUCCAUGUGUCGAAUCAAUAAAUUUGGGUUGAAUACUCUACCCUCGAAAACUGUUGCGAUCCCCUAUACUUGUGGGUUAUCAGUCUCCGGCAUCCGCCUUGACCUGGCUUCCGUUGCACACCCGCAGUCCAACGGCCAGGUUGAGCGGGCCAACGGCCUCAUCCUAUCCGGCAUCAAGCUACGGCUCAUCGAGCUGCUCAUCCGUUCACCCGACAGCUGGCUCGAUGAGCUGCCAGCCGUCCUCUGGAGUCUCCGAACGACACCGAACCGGUCGACCGGGUUCACCCCAUACUUCCUCAUCUAUGGAGCGGAAGCCGUCAUCCCGACCGACGUCGAGUUCGACUCGCCGCGCGUCGUGAUGUACACUGAAGCCGAAGCCAAAGAAGCCCGCAAGGACGGCGUCGACCUACUCAAAGAAGCACGUCUCCUAGCGCAUAGCCACUCAACCAUCUACCAGCAAGGCCUGAGGCACUACCACAGCAAGAAGAUCAAGCCCCUCACUUUUCGGGAGGGAGACCUCGUCCUCCAACUCGUCCAAGAGCAGAACGGCCAACACAAGCUGUCCCCCCAUGGGAGGGCCCGUUCAUCGUCAGCAAGGCCUUGCGCGAUCGCAACGCCUACUACCUCAUCGACGCCCGCAAGUCAAACAAGCGCAAGAGAGACACCGCCGACGAAGAAACAACACGGCCGUGGAACGCGGAACUCCUCCGCCCGUUUUACAGUUAGCCGUAUGCACGUAUGUAUCGCUGCCCUUUGUAAUCAUCUGAAAACUAUGGAGUCCACGAACGACGCUCGGGGGCUGCCCUUUACGACCAAGCUAUUGUGUCUCCCGUAUUUAUGCAUUAUUUACCUCUUCAUCAAACCCGGCCACCGGUCCGACUCGCUCGACCCGGGGGCUGGCCAGCUUGGUCACCACCCACCGCCUUACUCAGCGAUUCCUGACGCGCUGGGACUGCCGCGGCCUCCUGCUUUGCCCUAAGCCACAGAACUGGCUUCGGCUGUUGGCCGGCAAGCGCGCAAGUCCAGAGCACCAGCACGCCAUGAACACUAAGUCAAGGACCGCCGGGUCACCCAACCGAGCCACACCACUUUAAGUUGCCGCACGACCGGCUGCUCGCCAACCGGCUUCGCCGGAUUGCCGCUAGCCGGCCCAGUGGGUGUUUCGCUCACGCUCAACGUUUCGAACGCCUAAGUACUGCGCGCUCCUCNNNNNNNNNNNNNNNNNNNNNNNNNNNNNNNNNNNNNNNNNNNNNNNNNNNNNNNNNNNNNNNNNNNNNNNNNNNNNNNNNNNNNNNNNNNNNNNNNNNNNNNNNNNNNNNNNNNNNNNNNNNNNNNNNNNNNNNNNNNNNNNNNNNNNNNNNNNNNNNNNNNNNNNNNNNNNNNNNNNNNNNNNNNNNNNNNNNNNNNNNNNNNNNNNNNNNNNNNNNNNNNNNNNNNNNNNNNNNNNNNNNNNNNUCAACAGAAGAAAAGCAAAGGCGCAGGCACCCGCGAAAUUCAUACAUACCGCCGGGUCGAUCGCCCGGCCCCGUCACUUGUAACACUGCCGCACGACCGGCUGCGCGCCAACCGGCUUCGCCGGAUCGCCGCCAGCCGGCCCAGUGGGUGUUUCGCUCACGCUCAACGUUUCGACGGCUUAAGUACUGCGCGCUCCUCUCAAAGGCUGAACUCCUUGUCACGGACCGGAGCCUCGGCCGUCAGACUCGCGGGGGGGAAGCCCGAGAGGGGAAAAGCGCAAGAAAACGGCUCAAAAGACGAAAAGCAAGAGCGCAAACAUCCACGAAAUUUAUACUUCACCAGUUCAAAUUUAAACAGGCCCAAGGCCAGAAUUCAUCUCACCCGGAUACCCCCAGUGGGUGGGUGGACCUGCUACCUAACCGAAAUUUUUACUAAGUUAAAAACAGGCAGCCUCAUGCAUCUCCCUCGGUGGCCUCCGGGUUCGCUGAGGUGCCGCUGUCCCCCCCCCCCCUUGCUGUCUGCAUGGAGGUAGACGUCCGUCUCCUCGGAGCUGCCCUCCGGGUCGUCUAGGAGCAGGCCGUAGUCGUCGGCAGGCAUGACUCCGUCAUCCUCCGACCGCUCUUGCCGGAACUCGUUGUGGAAGGCGAACCCAGCGAUGUAGCUGGCCCGAGCAGCAAUCCGGCCAGCCUCCGCCUGCAGCUGGCUCUCCGAGCCGGCUCGCUGGCCCAUCAACGUGUCCAGCGACAGGUCCGGAUGCCAAGACAUCGCGAACCUGAGCGCCAUCUUGGUGCCAACACGAGCGGCGGAACCCCGCCAGUCGUGGAGCCGAUCCGGCCCCGCCUCCAACCACCGCGCCAGACGCGUGAAGCUAUUCGGCGUGACGGAACCCGGCCAGAGGGCCGUCGUCAUCGCCGCGCCGGCCUUAGAGAGCCGCCCCAUCUGCUCGCUCAAGACUCGUAGACGAGCCUCGACGGCGGUCACGAUCUCCGGGAAGGUCCAGGCCACCCGCGGGUCAGUCCCGGAGCCGAUGAUCCCCUGCGGGUCGUGCUGAAAGCGGACGGCCUCCUCCGCUAGCUGGCACGUCUCCGGGAAGGCCCUUGUCAAGAAGAAAAGCAAGUCAGAAGAAAGUCACCAAGGACAAGAAGCCGGGGUCCUAGCCCGGCAAAACCCAAGGAAAGAACUUACUGGAGAAGGACUCUUCCAGGUGCUGUGCUUCAAGCAAUGUACCGCGCCGCUCAAGGGCAAGGGUGCGGUCGUGCUCCUGCAAUGACUUCUCCAGCUCGGCGACCUUGGCAAGGGUCGCCUUCAGCUCGGCGUCCUUGGCCUCGGCCGCCUUCUCUGCCUCCUCGCGGCGAUGGGUUUCCCCCUGACGGGUCUCCUCCGCCGCGGCCACCAGCGCCUUCAGGCGCUCCACCUCGGCCUGGAGCUGACCCUUGUCGUUGGCCAGCUUGCCGCGUUGCUGGUCCACCUCGACGAGGGCCCGCUGUGCCUCCACAACCUUGGCGGCUUCCUCCUUCAGGCGUUCCACCUCGGCCUCUAGACGACCCUUGUCGCCUUCCAGCUGCUCCCGUAGCCGGCUGGCUUCAUCGAGUGCCCGCUGGGCCCCCGUUGCCUCCGCCCACGCCCUCGCCACCUCGGCCCCAAGCCGGUCUGCGUCAGCAACGAGCCGGUCGUAGUGGAAGUCGGCUCGCAUCAGCCAGGUCCUCCAGGACAUCACCUUGGCUGCAGAAGAAAGAUUUAGAAACAAAGUACUAUUUUAAGAUUCGGCCCAACUGCUACACAGUUGGCCCGAAUCUUGGGGGCUACACCCAGUGGGUGCGCUAGCGCGCCCCCACUAAAAAAGUGCACGCAAGAAAUGUACCCGCGGCGACGUGGAGCUCCUCCUCCUUGGCAGCGAGCUGCUCCUUGAGCCGCCGGUGCAUCUCCAGGAGCCGGUUGAAGACGCCGACCCAGUAGGAGUGCAGUUGCUGCAAGAAGCAACGAUCAACACAAGACAACGGUUUAAGAUUCGACCAAACUGCUACGCAGUUGGCCCAAAUCUUGGGAGCUACACCUAGUGGGUGCGCUAGCGCGCCCCCACGAAGAAGAAGCAACAGAAAAAUAAAGGCAGAAAGCAAGGAAAACUUAUGAACACGGCGCGCUCCAGCUCCCGUGUCUGCUCCACCUCGGCCUGGGCGCAGGCGCUGGGUCAUGGCGUCCAUCGCCGCGUCCUCCUAGGUCAGAGGCCCGAAGAAGCCCUCGCUUGUCCCGCUCCGCACCGGCUGCGGCCCGAUGGCCCGGCGCUCCCCUGGCCUGGGCACCAGGGCGUGCUAUCCGCUGGCCGCCUCCCUGGCGGCCGGCACCUUCUUUGGCACCAUCACCGGUUCAGUGGCCGGAGUGGCCUGCGGCUCCACCACCAGCGGUGCCUCGCUCAUCAACGCCUGAGGCGCCCCAUCCGGCGUCGUCCGCGACGUCUCCUCGAAGACGGCGUCACCGCCGCCUCCGUCGGCCCCCGUCCGCUCGACCACGUCGGUCCGCGGCGGGGUGUCGUCCCCGAUGACCACGACCUCCCGGUCGAGGUCCAUCACAUCCACACGACCGCCUUGGCCACGCUCCCCCUCCAGCGACGGCACGAAGACCGUCACCGCUGCCACCGUCCCUGCCAGCAUCUCUGGCCACGCCGGCUCCUCGCCGGCUCGCGCCCACGUCGCUGCGGCGUUAACCCAGGCCUGGGUCGACGCCGCCUCCAACUCUGCCUCGGCCCGGUUCCAGUCCCGCCAGGCCAGGGCUUCGGCGUCGGCCGGGUCUAGGCCAAGAUCCAGAUCCACCCGCUCCUCCUCCUCGAACUGGUCGACGGUGCCGGAGCGGCUCCUCCGGAACGCGGCGCCCUCUUUGGACGCGGCGUCCGCCGCCGCCAGCGCCAACGAGAUCGCGACCUGAAACACAAGACAAAAUAAAUACGCAAGAACCAAGCAGAGCCGCUCAGCCACUCGGUUCAGGCAAGAAGAGAACUCACCACGGCACCACCGGAAUGGCAGGCCUCGCCGCCCUCUCCUGCGGAGCGCCACGCCUCCUCUUGGCGGGAGGCUUCGCGCCCCCGGCCGGGUUCGCUGUGCGCUUCACGGCCGGGGCCCGCGGCGCGACGUUGUCCUUCCCGUGCGGUCGGCUCACCGCCGGCGCCCCCCGAGAUGACCCGGCUCCGGCCGCGCCGCCGCCUCCUCCACCUGGCGCCACUACGACAGCAACUCGCAUUAGCACCCCAAGACCGUCCCGCGACCGAUGACCCAAGAAGUGAAGACAAACUUACCCGCUCUGCGCCCUGUGCCCGCGUCGGCGGUCGUCCCCUCCCCUCCGCCGUGGGCCUCAGGCUCCUUCGAGGCAACGCGCACCACCUUCAUCCGUGCCCGGUCGUAAGGAUGCCCGGGCGAAUGAGAAGAUGGGCGGCAACAAAGUACGAAGACCAAGGAUCUCAUCAUCGGUGUCGGGUUCGCAUGGCUGUACGGGGGCUUCCCGAACUCCCAGUCGUCCCGCAGGUUGGCCUUGGAGAUGUUGUUGACCCGGCACGCGACCUGGUCCGCCCCCAGCCGCAGGUUCGCCAUGCGGUUGGGGUCCUGAAGGCCGGUCAUCUGACCGAUGAGGUGGUUGCGCUACUGCAACGGCAGGACUCGAUGGACAAUGAAAGCGGUGAUGAGGUCAGUGCCGGUGAGCCCUUCCCGCUCCUUCAUCACCGACACCCGCUUGCACAGGUUGAGCACCCCCUGUGACGGAUGCUUGGGGUAGUAACCCCAAUUCCGUUUCUCCCUCGGCAGCGAGUUGAUGAAGGGCGGCAAGUUGAUGCGGUCCGCGCCGAGGUUGCGGACGUAGAAGAAGGAAUUCUUCCAUUUCUUGGCAGAAUCCUCCAACGGCAUCUUGGGGCAGUCAGCGCCUGACCGCUUGGAGAUGACGGUGGCCUUGCACUCGGACAUCUCCCUAGCCCUCGGCCCCUGCUGCUUCAAUGAGAAGAAGCGCACCCAGAGGUCGAUCGAAGGCUCAACCCCCAGGUACCCCUCGCAGAGGGUGACGAAGCCCAAAAGCUGCACGAUGGCGCCGGCGCCAAGAUGAUGGGGCUGGAGCCCGAAGAACUCCAGGAAGUUGCAUAAGAAGGUGCUCGCGGGAAGCCCGAACCCGCGCUUGAAGUGCGGGAAGAAGGCCACGUCCUCCGUGCCCUCGGGCCGCGGCUCCCGCUCGCCCUGCGGCAGCCUCCGUCACCCCCGGCAGGCGCCUGGUGGUGCGAAGAUAGGCGAUGUCAUCGAGAGUGACAGUCGAGCCCAUCCACGAGCCCGACGGCAGCGCCAUCGACAAAGGUGCAGAAGAAAGAAGGAAGAAGAUGACGAAGAAGCUCUGCUCGAAGCAACGGGCAUCGCGAUGCGCGGCGGGUGCAAGAAGCAGAGGAAGGAAGAAGAAGGCAGGGGGCGCGAGCGAGAAUGAUUUCUGCUGCCCCCUGCUCGCCCCAAUCUAUAAGCCACAGUUUGAAACAUGGGGGAUUGGGAUCAUUUGCGUUCGCGUUUCCCACUUCCCCGCAAUAACUGCGCACGUACGUGCGCAAUAACUGCCUUGAGAAUGGCAACCGACUUGCGGACGCCGCAAUAAAUCCGUGCACGUGGGCCGAGGGCGCGCGGCCGCGGGCCCCAGCACGUCGCCCUAUCCUGUCGCGCGCGUGGCCUGCCAGGCCCCUCCGGCUUCCGGGCGCCCCAUGGCGCUCGCACGAAGUCCAAAAGAUUGCCUCAAGAUUCGACGGAUUCUUCGGUUUCCCGCCCCUACUGAGGUACCGCGAUCCGGCUUCCGGAAGCCGGCACACAGUGGGUGUUGCUGGACCCGGCGGUCACAAAAUUCGCCUCCUCAAAGGGGGAAACGGCGAAGGCCCUCCCAUCCGAAGACGGCGGACCUUCAAAGCUUCGGGGACUACUGUCGGGGGGAUGAAUCCCGGGAAGGCAACGGAACCCGGAUCCUUUUCAAAAAUGAUGGGGCCAACAUCGCCCCUCAAGCCGGCACGUGCUUGGCUGGGUCGCCCAACCCGGCCAAGCCCCUCGACCCGGCCAAACUCUCCAACCCGGCCAGACUCCUCAACUCGGCCCCAACAACCAGCUCAAGACAGACGAACCCGGCACACCAAGACUUCUCCAACAAGCCAGCUCCACCCUUGGCGCGUUCAUCAACCCGGCCACGGGUCAGCUCCCAUCCCAUCCCAGCCAUAUGAUGGGACGAGUCUCCACCUACCGAUGACCGAGGCAACAGUGCCCCGCCCAUGCCUCUGGCCAGGCGGGGCGUGGCAACAGUGCCCCACCUACCCGCUGACCAGGGCCGGCGUGGCAAUAGUGCAACCAUCGCUACCAAUGACGCUAGCAAGCGGCGACCUGACGGAGCGCCACUGUAGCCGACUCAACCUGGCCACUCCCUGACAAUCGACAAGACGGCCAACAGUGCCCCCGUACCUGGCGGGCCCCGCGUUCGGAGAACCCGGCGAGCCCUGACGGGUUCCAGCGCCGGCUUCCCGGACAAUGACAAUCCGGCCCCACGGCCUUGUAACAUUAUCCUUGUACCCCUGGGGGUUGGCCUAUAAAACCCCUAGGAGCCCUCAUGCAUACGGGCGAUCGAACACAAAGGAUCACUCACUCACACACGCAUAGCAAGCCACACCCAAGGAGAGGGAGCAGCCUAAGCCUCGGCGUGCCUUCCUUGCUCCUCCAUACAGCUCUCAGAGCAACUCUGUACUGAUACACAUCAACUACACUCGGCAGGACUAGGGGUGUUAUCUCUCCGGAGAGCCCCGAACCUGGGUAUGUCUUGCGUCCCGCGCUCGCUCAUGCCGACCUCGCCUCUGGAGCCCACUAGUGCCCUGGAGCCUCCUCCUAUCUUUAGCCAUCCCUUGGAAUCUGCCGUGCGCCCACCAUGACACCAACCUAGACUGUAGUCCUAAAACGCGGACACGGCUAUUCGAAUAUAUAUAACUCUGCAGAGGGUGUACUCUUUACCCGCAAGUAAAGGAUUUCUUUGGUCAAUGCCGAGACGUUGAAUAAUUCCGAUUACGGUCUUUGGGAUGAAAACACACCUGACCCGCACAUACCAGCUUUAAUCCAUCAAGCCAUGGAAUGGAUUGAGCAGAAACGCGCCCAAGGCGUGGUAGAGCCGCGAGGCGCUACUGGGCCAAGCCCAAUCGCUCGACUGCGCGGGAGGGCUGCGACCUCGAAGGCGUGCUCGCUAGAAUAUGCUUUCCUCACGGGAAAGCAACUUCAACGGAACCCGUCUCCACUUAAGACGAGCUGGCGCGACACUGGGUCACUGACAGUGGGCCUGCCUGGCCCACUGGUCAGGUUUGACCAGUCCACGCGCGCGCCAUCUCCUCCGGCCGAACAGAGGCGGCGCUCCGACGAUGCUCGCCGGCGAAUGGCGGCACCCCUCGGGGAUCUGAGCACAUGGGUGUGUUCAGGAGGUCUAGGCGAACCUGUGGGUACCCUCCUUGGUCGCUAGAGUGGAAGGAGUCGCCGACGGUGAGCUCCCCGAUGGAGGGCGGUGUCGGGUGAGACGGGGCUUUCGCCUAUGGUGGUCGCCGAGCUAAAUUGAUGACGGGGAUGGAUCAGUGGGUGCUCAAGGAGGUCGGUGGUGAAGAAAUAUGUGAGGGGGAGGCACUGGCUGCGUCGGAACCGACUGGAACAAGGCGGCGGCCGAAGCUGCCGGAGAUGGGGGANNNNNNNNNNNNNNNNNNNNNNNNNNNNNNNNNNNNNNNNNNNNNNNNNNNNNNNNNNNNNNNNNNNNNNNNNNNNNNNNNNNNNNNNNNNNNNNNNNNNNNNNNNNNNNNNNNNNNNNNNNNNNNNNNNNNNNNNNNNNNNNNNNNNNNNNNNNNNNNNNNNNNNNNNNNNNNNNNNNNNNNNNNNNNNNNNNNNNNNNNNNNNNNNNNNNNNNNNNNNNNNNNNNNNNNNNNNNNNNNNNNNNNNNNNNNNNNNNNNNNNNNNNNNNNNNNNNNNNNNNNNNNNNNNNNNNNNNNNNGAGGAGUGUGGUGAGGAUCAUAGAGAGCCCGGAGUGAGCUUUUAUAUCCCGUCGGGGCCGGUUCCGGCGGUGUCCAGAGGAUAAGCACGACGGCGGCGAUCAUUACAGCGGUAGGCGUGGCCGAUGGAGGUAGGCGAGGGCGAUAGCGGCCUCAAUUACUCCUGGGGGUGCUGGGUGGCUCGGGGUGAGGCACGCGUCGGGGGCGGAGACGUGGCCGUGGGGGACUCAUCGGGCGAUGGUCCUGGUCGUCGUGGACGGCGGUGGACGACGCUAGGGGCCAAGCGGGGGUGUCGGCGAGCUUCUAGGUGGUCGUGCCGAUCUAGAGAAGGAUCAGGAUGAGAGGGGGAGGCAGCAGAGACACGGCAGGAGCUCGGUGCCGACGCGUGCAAAACGCAUGCUCUGGCCGUGCCCGGAGCACGUACACAGAGUGCUCGACAAAAUGCCAGGGCCACCUAAGGGUCUCUGAUGGCAGUGAAAAUUGAUAGGAUUGUGAAACUGGUUAUGAGAGAGCUAAUGGACAUCCUGGUUUGGCCAAAUGACCAAGUGUCCAGUGCAGUUUAGGAAGUGGCAACAUUUCUGUCAUGCACAUGAAGUGUUCGACAGAAUGCUAGAGCAAGCUAGAGGAUACUGUUGAUGAUGAAAUUUGGCAGGAUGAGGUCUCUUUAGAUGAUAGAGAUGGCGGUGGAGUAAUUUUGGCAAGAUGAGAAACUUGCUAGUGCAAGUUUUACCAGAAUUCAGUUCUGGACAGACACUUCAGUGGCAUGUGUGGUGAACUUAAAAGAUGCAAAUAGAGCUGAUCUCCUGGGGUUAAGGUUUUGGUUGGAAGGACUACAAUAUGGCAAAGCUUCGGAAUUAUUGGAGCUAGAAAAAAGAGGGUUGCAGUUGUAACUCAAAAAUGGGACAUAAUUGAAAAGAGGAUGUUUCACUCAAAAUUUUCAAAAGACAUAGUUAGGUUUUUAAUCAAAAGUGAUUUAUAGGCAUCACCUGACCUCUCAUAAUUUUUGUGGGAUUUUAAACAUUUAUUUAAAAUAAUCGUAGUGCAACAGAAGUGUUUCAAGCAUUCAAAAUGCUAGUAAAAGAAUUGUUUGUGGCAUAUUUUAUUAUGAAAAUAUGCCCUACUGUUAUUUGUGAUAUACUCCCUCGGUUCCUAAAUAUUUGUCUUUUUAUAGAUUUCAACAAGUGACUACAUACAGAGCAAAAUGAAUGAAUCUACAUUCUAAAAUAUGUCUAUAUACAUCCGUAUGUGGUAGUCUAUUUGAAAUCUCUAAAAAGACAAAUAUUUAGGAACGAAGGGAGUAAAUGACAAGAUUUAUAAAACAACCACAGACCACAAUAUUUCACAAAAAUAAUCUUCUAUGGAGGGAAGAAUUUUGGAAAACAGAAAAUAGAAAAGGCUGUGAGAUUAAUAAAUGACCUAGUAUAAUUCAAAGUUUUAUUUCUGGCCAAGUUUUACUUAAUAAAAUUUGAUUAAAUUUUUGGGGUGUUAUAGUUAGCUUUAUUAAUACUCAAAUCACUGUUACAUCAUCCGUUAAGAACCCCGAAAAAAUCCGUUAAGAAAUUAACGGUAAAAUCCGGGGGUGACUCAAACCAAAUAGAGGGCUGGUUUUCACACACCCAUUUAGGUAGCACAUGCGCUACUACAUCUGACUCCCUAUUAUAAUAAUCAAUACAAGCCUUCCCGAACUCACAUAACUCGCGACGACAAUCAUCCAAUAUAGGGGCUGCCACCAUAGAAUAACCUCCAUCCUGAUUAAAAGGCUGAACCACUGUGGUAUUGUCCAUUAGAACUAAAAUAAUGUUGCAACCCAUCCGAGUAGCAAACUUCAACCCUUCAUACAAAGUAGUGGCCAUGGCCAAAGUGACGUGAGGAACAUGAGAUAAUUUUUUAGUUGAUGCUGCUAAGUAGGCCCCCGGAUGAUCAUGAAUCACCGGGCCACAAGAUCAUGAAAAAUCUGUAUCUGAAAAGGAAGCAUCGACAUUGACGAUUGUCUGUCCGACUAGGCCUUUCCUCCACUGAUUUGGUGAGGGGUGGAUGAGGCAAACCGGCCGCAUGAACAAAGUUCAGUGACAACGCCUGAAUUGUUGGGGCCGUUCUCAACGAAGAAAGAACAUACUCCGAUCGGACUAUGUAGUGCCCCUGUCACCAUAGAUACCAGCAGGUGCUCGCUACGAUAUCUGAAAAUUGUACCUGUUCCAUUUAUGGACUUUGGACUACUAGGUCACAUAGGAGGUAUUCAAUAAUAGUAGCACCUGAUCUAUCAAUAUUAGUAGACUCAUCGAUAGGCUUCCUAAGAACAAGACCUUCCCAGACCGAUCUUGCCCUCUCACACUUGAAUAAUGCAUGCGCAAUAUCUUUUGCUCCACUUUUACAGAUCAUACAUUGAGAUGUAUUACCAAUAUGGCGAUUUUCUAAAACACAUAAGCAAGGAAUCGCGUUGUGCAAGAAACAUCAUAAGAAAAAUUUCACCUUGCCAGGAAGCCGCACUCUCCAAGCCUUCUACCAAACAGGGUGCGGUGAAGAGCCUUCUCCCGUAGAGUUUUGAUCUUUGUCAAAUAACAAUCUUCCCAUUGCUUGUAAUAAGCCAACCUGACACUAAAAAUACCGUUAUUAGUGAGGUUCCAAGCCAUAUAAUCCUCAGUAUAUUGAUGAUGGAUGAGAAUUUGGAGUAUACAGUCAGCAUCAUCGAGGAGAAGUUGUCUCUAAUUAAAGUCUCAUCCCACUCUCUGUGGCCAAAUCAAUGAGCUCAUUGACCGUCGUCAACACUCUAUUACCUCUGGCGGUGAUGAUCCUCCUUGAAGAGCCAUUUGGUAUCCAACAAUCAUUCCAAAUAUGAAUUUUUGUCCCAUCACCCACUCUCCAUAUACAUCCCUUCUUAUAAGUUUGGACACCAAGCCCAAAUACUUUGCCAAACAUAGGAUGACCCCUUCUUCAAUUCAUAAUUUAAUAUAUCUCAUGAGGGGUAAUACUUAGCUCUCAAUACUCUUGCACAUAAUGAUCCAUGGUUUUCAAUAAGUCUCCAGCAUUGUCUUGCCAACAUAGCUAAACUAAAACCGUGUAUAUCUCAUAAUCCUGUACCGCCUUUCUCCUUAGGCACACACAUUUUCCACCACACAAACCAAUGCAUCUUGUGUUGGUUCUCACCAUCACCCCACCAGUAAUGUGAAACUGUGUCAGUGAUUCCCUUACAUAUUUUUUGGGAGUUUUAACACACUCAUCGCAUACGUCGGGAUAGCCUGAGACACCGCCUUUAUGAGAGCUUCUUUUCCACCAAAGGACAAUGUCCCGUCCUUCCUCCAACAUUCACAAUUUGCAUGAUCUUUCAAUAAGGUUGUUGCCGCGUGUGUGCAGAACACACGCGAGACACUGUGGACUGUGGACGUCCUUUGCUGAAUUGGCGGUAGGGUGCAAGGUGAGGAUCUAUCACCAUAGAAAAUGCCGAAAUGACAUGGUGAUUUACCCAGGUUCAUGUUGCAUGGUUGCGUAAUACCCUACUCCUGCUUUUAUGUGUGGUUUUCUUUAGUUGAGCUACAUGUCCUUCCCGUGAAUGGGGAAGAGUAGUGUGCUCCUACUGGUGUUCUACAAACACUACAAAAAAAGACAACCCAUGACAUUAUGGGCCGAACAAAAAAAUAUGUCAUGCUUAUGACACUUCUACGACGAUAAUUGUGACAAAACCACGUACCAUCAUAGAUGUGGUGGGCUCCGACUUCUAUGACAGAAAAUGGGCUUUUCGUCCUGGGCGGGCCCGGGACGCAGCUGCAUGACAUUCUUUGGGCUGUCCAUGACGGAAAAAAUCGUGGUAGAAGCGAGGGCGAGGAAAAUUUUGGGGAGUUCCCGGUUACGGUGGGUGGUCGGGGCCGAGCGAUGCGCGGAGGUUUUGCGCUUUUCUCUCGUACACGUACGCGCGUGUGUGCGAGGCAUUGGGUGAUACGUCUCGAAUGUAUUUAUAAUUUUUAUUGUUCCAUGCUAUUAUAUUAUCUAUUUUGGAUGUUUUAUAUGCAUUAAUAUGCUAUUUUAUAUGAUUUUUGGGACUAACCUAUUAACCUAGAGCCCAGUGCCAGUUUCUGUUUUUUCCUUGUUUUAGAGUUUCGCAGAAAAGGAAUACCGAACGGAGUCCAAACGGAAUGAAAAUUUCGCGAUGAUUUUUCUUGGACCAGAAGACAUCCAGAGGGCUUGGACUACACGUCAGGAAAGCCACGAGGCGGACACAAGGUCGGAGGGCGCGCCCCCACCCUUGUGGGCCCCUCGUGACUCCACCAACCUAUUUCUUCCGCCUAUAUAUUCUCAAAUACCCCAAAACCUUCCAAGGGAGCCACGAAACCACUUUUCCACCGCCGCAACCUUCUGUACGCGUGAGAUCCCAUCUAGGGGCCUUUUCCAGCGUCCUGUCGGAGGGGGAUUCGAUCACGGAGGGCUUGUACAUCAACACCCACUACAAAAAAAAGACAUCCAUGACAUUUUGGGCCGAACGAAUUUUUUUCCUGUCAUACUUAUGACACUUCUAUGACUAUAAUUGUGACAAAACCCGGUAUCAUCAUAGAUGUGGUGGGCUCCUACUUCUAUGACAAAAAAUCAUGAAAGAAAAUGGGCUUUUCGUCCUGGACGCGCCGGAGACACAGCUGCAUGACAUUCUUUGGGCCGUCCAUGACGGAAAAAACCGUGGUAGAAGCGAGGGCUAGGAAAAUAUCGGGGUGUUCCCGGUUAUGGUGGGUGGUCGGGGCUGAGCGAUGCACGGAGGUUUGCGCGUUUCUCUCGUCCACGCACGCGCGUGGGUGUGAUGCGUUGUGCUCUAACUGAACCCGAGCGAGGCGUUGGGCUCUAACUGAACCCGAGCGAUUGCACUGCAGGCUACGCGUUACUGAACCCGAUCGAUCGAUCGAUGGCUGUUAACUGAACCCGAUCGAUCGAUGGCUGUUAACUGAACCCGAUCGAGCGAUUUCUUCGCUACUGCUGCUAGCUGAAGUCGAUCGAUGCUGCCUCUGGAUGAACAGUGAGUGUUGCUGGGGGGGUUGGAUGAACAGUUCCCAGUGGGGGUGGAUGAACAGGACCCCGUGGUGUUGCCUCUGGAUGAACAGGACCCCUAUCAAUCGAGCCGGUUGGGGCUGGAUGAACAGGACCCCGUGGAGGGCUGGAUGAAUAGGACCACCCCGUGGAGGGCUGGAUGAACAGUAGACGGUGGAGGGCUGGAUGAACAGUAGCCCGUGGAGGGGUGGUUGAACAGGAGCCCGUGGAGAGGGCUGGUUGAACAGUAGCCGGUGGAGUAGCGCGCAGUGGAGGUUGGAUGAACAGGAGGCCGUGGAUGAACAGUCGCAGGUGGAGGCUGGAGGAGGUCGACGGUGGUUGAACAGUAGCCCGUGGCGGCUGGAGGGGUCGACAGUGGAGAUGAACAGUAUCCCGUGGAGUCCCGUUUUGCAGUACGCCACACCCCUCCCGAUGAACAGGACCCCCGUUUCGACCGUAGCGCUCCAACACAAGUCCAUAUCCUCCGUUUUGCGGUACGCCACACCCCUCCUGAUCAACAGGACCCCCGUUUUGACCGUAGGAGGUCCAUUUCCUCCAUUUUGCGGUACGCCAGACCCCUCCCGAUGAAUAGGAUCCUGUUUUGAACGUGGCCGGUUGAACACAAGGCCGUUUCCUCCGUUCUGCGGUACGCCAGGCAUCGUUUCCAUCGGCUGUUCCGUCCAAGCCCUCCCGAUGAUCACGACGACACAUUCCAUUCCGACCCAGCCGGUUGGCUCCCCAUGAACACGACGGCGAUGAUGUUUCUGCAUUCCGACCCAGCCAUGUACACGAGCCCUUGCCGUACGUAUGCGCGAGUAGGCAUUCGAGACCCCGCCCGUAUGUACGUAUGUGGCCAUAUUUUCUUUCUUGCACACUGGCCGCUGUACGUAUGUGUACAUGCUACGUGCGCGCCUCUACAUCGACCAGUAUGUACGUACACAUUCGCGACCAGAAUGACAACGCUAUGUAUGCUUUGACCAGGUGGGUCCUGACUGUCAGGCACUUCCUUGCGUGCGAAGAUGUAGCUGGUGGGUCCCAGCAGUCAGGGGGAAACGUUUUUUUCACGAAAUACGGUGGCCCGUCCGGUGGGUCCCCGCUGUCAGUUGGAGGAAUAAUUAUUUUGCGCGUAAUAAGGAGGCACUUCCUUGCUGUGGCCGUGGACCCAGCUGUCAGCCUCUCCACGUACAGUCCACGUCCGAUGGAAGCUGUUCCUUGACCACGUUGACCACGCCACGCCGAGAGCACCAGGGUUGUGGACAACGGCGAGAGGCCUAGGAAGGGGACGACGUGGAGCCGGGGAAGACGCGACAGUGGAAGCCCGCGCGGAGAGGAGUACGAGGGUUCACUGGUUCGGCUACUGUGUGAGGCUGCCGUCGCCGCAGAAUAAUAGGGGGUGUGGGUGAGUGGAGGGUUGGCCUGGCUAGCGGUGGGAGUAGUAGGCGGUAGUGAGGCCUCCGCGGCAGCACAGCCGGCCACGGGAGGCAGGAGCAGGCGGCACGACCGGCGCUGCUUUGGGAGGCUGGAGCAAGAAGACCAGAGGUUGAAGAAGCACUACGGCCGUUGGAUGGACAUCGUACGGUCACUGGAGCUAGAAUCGUGCAUAUUGACUAAGUUGACAAAGCCCUCCGUCCCUGUCAACUUAGUAGGCCCACAAGUCAGCCUGCCACUAUACUGGGUCCCAGCUAGCAGGGGGAGUAUUCAUUUUUUUGUGCAUAAUAAGGAGGCACUUCCUUGCGUGCGAAGAUAUAGCUGGUGGGUCCGAGCUGUCAGCGGCGGUAACAUUUUUUUCGCGAAAUACAGAGGCCCUUUCGGUGGGUCCCAGAUGUCAGGUGGAGGAUUCAUUAUUUUGCGCGAAAUAAUGAGGCAUUUCCUUGCGUGCGGCUGUGGACCCAGCUGCAGCUUCUCCACGUACAGUCCACUUCAGAUGCAUGUCGGUUGUUGACCACGUUGACCAGGCCGCGCCGAGAGUCACUGCUUGUGCGUCAACCUUUUUUUAGGAAAGCCUCAAAUCUGUGGAAAAUAGCAUACAACCCAUCUGCCAUUAUUUCUAAUAAUUUACAGCCCAUUUGCUAAUUCUUAAGGUUUUUUUGGAGCCCAUAUUCUUUUUGUUAGCAUUACAGCCCAUAGUGUGGCCACAGUUAAAAAAUUAUAUGAAUUUUUGCAUAUUUCAGUGCGGUCCGAACUAUUUUUAAUCCCGAAAUUUUGAGUCACAUUCAAACUGAUUUUAAAAAUAAAUGUAUAUCAAUAUAAAAUCAAACAAAUUGUCCACGCAUAAAAAUCAAUGCAAUUUAAAAUCUCGAAAUGAAAAAAAGAAAUUUGAAACUAAUUGCCGGUUUGAUGUGUUUAAAAAUGUACAGCCCAUUUCUCAUUACUGAUAGGCCAUUUUGUCGGCCAGCCGAAUGAAGCUCUCCUCGCCUUGAAAGAUUUGCAGCCCAACAGGCCUGACAAAGCGACUUACUUGGCAAAUCACAAACAAACUGGGUUGUGGCCGUGGACCCAGCUGUCAGCCUCUCCACGUACGGUACUCUUCCGAUGGAAGUCGGUCGUUGACCACAUUGACCACGCCACGCCAGAGCACCAAGGCGGUGGAUGAUGGCAAGGACUGGGAAAGGGACGACGCGGAGCCGGGGAAGACGCGGUAGUGGAUGCCCAUGCGGAGAGGAGUACGAGGGUUCACUGGUUCGGCUGCGGUGUGAGGCUGCCGUCGCCGCAGGGCCUGGCUAGCGGUGGGAGUAGUAGGGGGUGGUGAGGCUUCAACGGCAGCACAGCCGGCCACUGGAGGCAGGAGCAGGCGGUCUCGCCAGCGCUGGUUUGGGCGGCUGGUGCAAGAAGAGCAGCGAUUGAAGAAGCAGUAGGACCGUUCGAUUCAAAUCCAACGGUUACUGCUGCUAGAAUCGUUUGUUGAUAAGUUGAGAAGCCCUGUGUACGCGUCAACUUAGUAGGCCCACAGGUCAGCCUCCAACCGGUGCGCCCCAGAUGUCAGUGGGAGGAAUCAUUUUUUCGCGUAAUAAGGAGGCAGUUGAUUGCGUGCGGCCAGGCCAGCGGAGGGAGUAGGGUGGGCCGGGGAAGCCUGCGCGGCAUCACAGCGGGCCACAAGAGGAGGGAGCAGGCAGUCCCACCGGCGCUAGUUUAGGCGGCUAGAGAAGGAAGAUCAGAGAUUGAAGAAGCACGUCGGCCGUUGGGUGGACAUCCAACAGUCACUGCUGCUAGAAUCGUGUGUUGACUGACAAAGCCUUGCGUAAACAAGUCAGCCUCGAAAUCGGUGGCGUGUACAACUCAUUUGCUAUUAUUUUUAUAAUUUUUACUCAUUUUUUAAUUCAUAUGGAAUUUAUUGCAGCCCAUUUUCCAUUUUUAGAAUUGCUGCCCAUUUUCUAGUCAGUACAAGGGUUAAAAAAUUAACUGAAUAUGUGGGAAAUUUUGAAAAUUUGCAAAUUUUUGCUAGGGAACAAAAUAUUCUUAAUCCAAAAAUUAGUAGCCAUACUAAAACAAAUUUAAAAAUAAAUUAGUACUAUUUCAUGUUAAAUCCAAUGAAAUACUCCCUCCGUCCCAAAAUUCUUGUCUUAGAUUUGUCUAAAUACGGAUGUAUCAAGUCAGGUUUUGGUAUUAGAUACAUCCGUAUCUAGACUAAUCUAAGACAAGAAUUUUGGGAUGGAGGGAGUAUAAGAUAUCAGUGAAGAACAAAAACAAAAAAAGAAACUAAUAUCUCAUUUUCUAUAAUAUUUUUGGAAUUUUCAACCCCUUUUGAUAUUACUUUUAACAGACACUGACCAUACUCUUUGAACAGGCCGGAAUGCAUCCCUCCUCGUCUUGAAAGAUUUGCAGCCCAGUAAGUCGGAGAAAACAAAUAGGCCUAGCUUGGGUAUUCUUCAAAAAGAAAUACUGGGCUACCUAUUUUCCCAAAGAAAAAACCGCUGGGCUGGUCAUGUUACUAGACGGGCCAUAGAGACCGCACAACCCAGUUUAUAGCCUGCUCCUCCGAAUUACUACUAAAAAAAGUUGUGCAAUUCUUUCGUAAUGGACUAUACGUUGAAAAUGAUGUGGGUCCCAGAUAUCAGCAGGGUGGAUUAGAUUAAAAAACGAAGGGUUCAUCUGAGUAGUAAAAGAGGUGCUUGCUUGUGUUCGGGAGUGGACCUGGUGGGUCCGUACUUUCAUACUCACAACUACAGUCCUCUCCCGAUUCACUAUGUUGACAGGGACCGUUUAAAAAAACUAUGUUGACAGGGCCGGACGGCGGCGCCGUGGCGAGCGCACCAAGGGGGAGGAUAAAGUGCUGUCGCCAAUGUGCUGGGCUGGGUUGGACAUUCUUAUUGAAAAAUAAAAAUGGACAGGAACUAUUUACGACAUUGACUACGAUUUGCAUGGGUCCACUGGUUGCAGGAAGAAAAUGUUGGGAGAAAGAAGACUGGUCGCUAUCUUUGCCUAAGAAUAAUAUCGACUGAAUGUAACGACACUAUCAUAGGAAAUAAUAUCCUCCUGUUAAAUCGUGAAUUUAAAGAACUGGUGCAUGAGCAUUUAGCUUUAUUUAUUUAUUUACUUAUUUAUGUUUAGGGGACCAUGACCAUGUACCCGGGCCGGAUUCAUGUGAGAGCCUCCCUUCCAGUUAAUUAUGGGCUUCUCUAUUGGGCCUUCAUCAGUGGGCUAUAUGUUAUCAACAAGUGGAAAAUGUGUUCCGUACGAAAAAUAGUAUGCGCUACGUACGGUACGGGGCACUAAAGGAUCGAACCGUGCAACGACUUCCAAAACAUUGUGUUUGUCGUUCUAACAACACAUUUAUUCAACCAACAGACGAAAUAUACUACUGAUUGUACAUUGAAAACAGCAGCAACAGCAACCAGGGCUGGGGGUGCAACAGAAGCAGUAAGCAUGCCAGAAGAGUGAAGACGCAGCUCUCUCUUCCAAACCAAACAUCAGCCAUCAUUACAAAAGGGCUACCAAAAAAGAACAAGUGUAUGCAUCAAACUAAAUAAAGAUCCUACUACACCAAGUGUACGCAUCUAACUAACUGGCUCAGUUAGACGUUACUAUUUAUUAACCUAUGGAGAUUGGCUGACGGCUUGAACCAGAUGGGUGCCUGAUGGGGGAAACUCCAGCCAGCAGGUCGAAGUCUGAUACUUGCGACCCUCUGUCACGACCGGUUUUUCAAUAAAAUAAUUAUUGAGAAACCAAUCCCUGUUACGGACCAGCGAGGAAGAAUUCCUUCUCACUGAUAGACAAUACAUUGGUCACAGAAGAAAAAUACCAGGAGUACUAAAUAUAAUACAAAGUUGAGCAGAGACUGCCCAACAAUUUAUUACAUGCACGCCGAUAAAACAAUACGGAGGAUAGGGUGGCAAACUUCUAACUCACGAUAAAAACGGUGGUGGAAAUAUCAUCGCGAAGCGAGUGACAUGAUUCCAGAAUACUACAACUCUUCGAGCGUCGGAGUGAGGCUCGAGAAGACUUAUUGCGGGUGGCGGAAGCGUAAACGAUACAAGUGACCAAAAUCCGGGAUCGCGCAGGACUGACUGGGACUCCUCUAGGCAUCAGACGCGCUAUCAAACUCCUCAUCCAAGAGAUCGCCUUCGUCAACAUCUGGCCAAAUCAACAAGCCAGGUGAGUACUAUGAAAGUACUCGCAAGACAGUUCGGACAUAAGGUAUAACAAAUGCAAACAUGAAGCACAUGAAUAAGUUAACCAGUGCGAUCAGACACAGAGAUAAUAAAUACUGGGUGCCAAGCGAGGGUCUGAAUGACGCCUCGAGCGGAAACUGCAGAAUAGCAAUACUGGUGCCAAACGAGUGUCUGAAAGACUCCUCGAGAGGAAAAUGCGGAAUAAUAAUACAGGUGCCAAACGAGUGUCUGAAAGACUCCUCGAGCGGAAAAUGCAGAAAUAAUAAUACGGGUGCCAAACGAGUGUCUGAAUGACUCCUCGAGCGGAAAAUGCAGAAUAAUAAUGCCACAGUCGGGCGUCGGGGCGACACCACAUAAAGGGCUUAUAUCGAAAGUGAGAAACGAGUACACGCCACAGUCGGACGUCUGCGCGACGUCACAUAAAGGGCUUAUAUCACAACUCAUUAAUACAAUAGCUCGGAGACAUAAAUUAUCACAAGCAUGAGACACAAAAAAAUAAAGUUAGUCCAUCAACUGGAAUAACAAUAAAUCUGAGAUUUUUACCGCUUGAGCUUGUUCACCGGGGGCAAGAUUUUCACACGGAUAGAUUUGGAUGUAAAGUCUACAUUACUGAUCAUGGAUACGAUGAUUUGGAAAGGAUUGACUCUGCAGAGUUUGUACUUAACCACAGCCAACGGAUUUCAGUAGUCACGGGGACUAGUUCCUUCUACGGUGUUCUGGAAGGAACACGUCUAACCAGUACACACCCAAUUUAACCAUCCGAAGCCAGGGAUCACCCUCGGAAACAUUCAGGAAAAACCCUGAGUCGGGGAGGCUACAACCUCGCGUAGCAUGGGAUCAAAUUUCUAUACGCGCGCUAUAAGGGGGUGCCCCCCCCCUCUCGGUCCCAACCGGAAACACCCAUGCCCCCUGACCGAAUGACUGGCUUUAAUCCUGGGCCAAGGUACCAUCAUCCCGGCCUCUCUGUUUGGUGUGUACACGGAAAGAGGUUACCAACUUACUAAACCGUAUCCUGGCAAUGAGACAUGUGGUAGCACGGAAAGGGGAAGGGACGAUAACACGGCUCCAACCAUGUUAACGUCGGGAAAGUCGGAUGACACAAGGCUGGCAUGCUACAACAGUACCACCUUGCUGCCCUUCAUGUCACCACAUGAUUAGGCCACCUCUCAUCAGAGGUCAUCGCAACUUUGGAACAUGCGGGAAAAGAUCGAUAACGUGGCUCCAACCACGUUAACGUCGAAGAAAGUCGGAUGGUGCAAGGCUGGCAUGCUACAACAGUACCACCUUGCUGCCCUUCAUGUCACUACAUGAUUAGGCCACCUCUCAUCAGAGGUCAUCGCAACUUCGGAACAACCGGGUCGUUGCCUUACAAGCAACGAGGUACUUAUCGACACUCACAUGCCACGCACAAACUUUCACAUGAACAUGCAAAACAUCUUCCAUAUCAAAUGUUCAAACAUGCUUGCCUGGUUCGGAGAAGUCGGAGUCUAGCUCGGCGAAGUUCGCGGCUCCGUCCCCUCUCCCGGAACCUACGGCAAUCACGAAACGGGUUACUAACGUGAAAACCAACACAUGCACAGAAACUUUGCCAAAUAUUUUUCAAAUAAAUCCCAUAAAAAACUAGACAAAAUUUGGAGAUUGACAGAAAAAGAAUCACUCAAAAAUACCUUUUCAUUAAAAAGUUAUAAAGGUUUCUGUCCAGGGACCUUUCUGUAAUGAAACAGAAAAGUUCCAGGGUUUUAACUGAGAAAACAGAAAACGCUUCGGCUGGGAAUGCGCAAGCACAAGGGGAAAACGUAUUUAGCCCGAAGGCGCCAACAGAAAACGGUUCGGGGAAAUAAAACAGAGGCUGACACGCGGGGCCCGCAUGUCAGGUUUGAAAGCUCGCCGGCGCCCGAAGACGGCGGUGGACGCCGGCGUCGAACCACGGCGAGUUAGGAGAAACGGAGGGUACCAAGAGCUUCAGUGUCUUCUUCCGCGUCGGUGGGUGGUGGACUCGUCCAACGGGGAGCACCACGUCGACGACGACACUAUCUCCGGCGGACGGCGGUUCGGGUGAGGUUGGGGAACUCCGGUGGAGGGCUGCAAAGUGCGAAUUGAGGCGCGGGUCAGAACGGGUGAUGCAAGGAGAAGCUACUUGCAAGAGAAUGGGGGCUGCGGAGCACACACGGGGGCGAAUCGGGCUGGAUCCCGUGGCGGAUCGCGGCGGCCGGAGUCGAGGAAGGAGACCCCCUCGCGGCUCUUCCAGUGGCUGGGCGUGCUCUAGGGGAAGUGUAGGGCUGGUGGGUGCUCGAGUUGAAGCUUGGGGCCCCUAUUUAUAGGUAGAUCGACGGGGUGGCCGUGAACGGAGAAUCUCCGGCGAGCGAUUAUGGCGGAGCAGUGGAUUGGAAGGUGGUUUGAGCGGUCGGGCAGCAUCAGUGGAGAUUACUGGAGUUGUUCCACUGCUAAACGGAGCUGGCCCUGGCGUAAUGGCAUCUGCCCACGGUGAGGUGACCGCACGGGCUCAACGGCGGCAGAGAGCGCGCUCCGCGCCCUGGGGUUCACGACGAGAGCGCCAGCGCAUUCGGGGGAGUGGACGGCCACGCGGCGGGCUCCGGUGGUUUGGGCGGCGCUGGGUGGAGUCGGCGGCGCCGUGUCUCCCGCUGGCGUCCGCAAAGCCGCCGCCGGCGUCGGUCACGGGGCGGCGCACCUUCUGCUGCUCGUCGCCGACGCCCGCAAGUUGCCAGGCACUCGUGCGGUGCAGGAACGAGAGGGCGAGGACGAGGAGCAAGGCGACGCGAGGGUACUGGCGAGAUCGACGCCCGUUUCUGAAGAAAACGACAGCAGCCACUUAACUGAACUCUGAACUUACUGAAUCUUGACAGUGACCAAGCAUUGCAGGUGUUCGACAGUAGGUUUUGGUAAAGAGAUAAAUUUUUCUGGAGCUGUAACUUGGUGAGAUGAUCACUCAAAGCACCCAGGGGCUGCAUGAAUUUACUUGGAAUUUUUGGAGAAAGUUUUGAAUGAAUUUCACCAAAUUUGGCAAAUCUGGUCCAAACUUGCAGCUGAUGUAGUUUGAAAUUUUUGAACUGGAGACCAGUGGAUCUUCAUGGUUCCAGGUUGAGGGUUCAAAGGACUAGGAGGGGAAAAAGGUUUGGUGGCAAAAAUCAAAACAGAAAAAGGAGUUCCUUUGUAAAUCUCCAAGUGCUAUAAGAGAAGACAGAAAUUUAUUUGAAUAGAAUUUGAAUGGAAAUGAUCACAUGAGGAGGUUCAACUUGCUGGAUUUGAUGCAAAUCAUGAUCCAAAGGUGAGGGAAGGGUUAGGAGAGAGGAUUUGCACUAAUGCCAUGGCAAGAAGGAAUAGUUGAAAGUGGCAAAGGACUUUCCAAAAGCCAUAGUGCAUUCUCAAAAAGGAUUUUCAAAGGUUAUUCUCUCAAAUGAAAAAAAACAUUUUGUCUUGAGCCCAAAUGAAAAGCAAGAACCCCCAAGGUCAAAGGCAGAUCUUGGGUGAAUCCAAAUAAAAUUUUUGCCAUAAAGAAAAAUAUUUGAGAGUGAGAGUUCUCUUGAAGAAUUUUUUUUUUAAAAAUCACUCCCUUCAAGUCAAAUAAAAUCUUUUGAAAAAUCCAAAUAAAAACUUGGGUGUCACAACACCUACCCCCUUAGGAAAAAUCUCGUCCUCGAGAUUUCUGCUGAUCCUCAAAUAGAUAUGGAUACUCUGCUCGGAGGAAAUCUUCCCUUUCCCAUGUGGCUUCAUCCUUGGUGUGGUUGCUCCACUGGACCCUGAAAAACUUUGUCGUUUUCUGACGGGUCCUCCGUUCAGACUCUUCUAAAAUCUUUACUGGCCUUUCUCUGUAGGUGAGAUCUGGUUGCAUAUCAAUGUCCUCAUGAGGUAUAUGUUUCUCCGGGUUACUCACACAUUUCCUCAACUGCGAGACGUGGAAUACGUCAUGGACGUCUGAUAGCUCCUUGGGUAGGUCUAGCUGGUAGGCUACCGUGCCUCUUCGUGCCUUCACACAAAAUGGUCCAAUAAAUCUUGGGGCUAGUUUCCCCUUUAUUUUGAACCGUUGCAGACCCCUCAUAGGAGAUACUCGGAGGUAUACGGAAUCACCAGGUUCAAAGCUGACCUCACGAUGCUUCUGAUCAUAGUAGCUCUUUUGUCGGCUCUGUGCUGUCUUGAGUCUGUCCCUGAUUUGUUUAACUUUUUCCUCGGCCUCCUUAAGCAUAUCUGGGCCGAAGAUACGGCUGUCACCUGUUUCUGACCAAUUCAAUGGGGUACGACACCUCCGUCCGUACAAUGCUUCAAAGGGUGCCAUUUGCAAGCUGGCUUGGUAACUGUUGUUGUACGCAAAUUCGGCAUACGGCAAACUCUCUUCCCAACUGGUUCCAUAGGUGAGCACACAGGCUCUUAGCAUAUCCUCCAGGAUUUGGUUUACACGUUCUGUUUGUCCAUCUGUUUGAGGGUGGUAUGCUGUACUGAAAGCUAGUUGCGUGCCCAGAGCUUGUUGUAGGUGAUCCCAAAAUUUGGAGACGAAUUGGGUGCCUCGGUCUGAUAUUAUAGUCUUCGGGACUCCAUGCAAGCAAACUAUACGAGAUAGAUAGAGCUUUGCCAGUCUUUGAGUGGAGUAGGUAGUCUUCACGGGAAUGAAAUGAGCAACCUUGGUUAGUCGGUCUGUGAUGACCCAUAUGGCAUCAUUUCCGCGUUGUGAUCGGGGUAAUCCGACAAUGAAGUCCAUUCCUAUUUCAUCCCAUUUCCACUCCGGUAUUUGGUUUGGCUGGAGUAGCCCUGCUGGCUUUUGAUGCUCGGCCUUGAUACGCUAGCAUGAAUCGCAACAAGCAACAAAUGUGGCUAUAUCUCUUUUCAUACCGUGCCACCAAAAUCUUUCCUGGAUGUCCUUGUACAUUUUGGUUCCUCCAGGAUGGAUCGAAUAUGGAGCGGUGUGGCUUUCCGUCAAGAUCUGUUGCUUGAGUUCCUCAAUGUUAGGUACGCAAAGUCUGUUUCGGUACCACAAUGUUCCUUCACUGUCUGUGACGAACUCUGAAGUCUUACUAGUAUUCAUUUUCUUCUUUAUGCCUUCGAUGCUGGGAUGUCCCUGUUGGGCCUUCUUAAUUCGUUCCAUCAAGGUGCGUUGUAUCUCCAGGUUUGAUACGGUGCCCUCGGGGACUAACAUUAUGUUGAGCCUAGCGAACUCUCGCUGAAACUCAGGCCUCAAGUUUUGCUGACCGUCACUGUCUGGGCUGGGGUUUCGACUAAGGGCAUCGGCCACUACAUUUGCUUUUCCUGGGUGGUAGUGGAUGCCGACGUCGUAGUCUUUGACCAGUUCCAACCAGCGUCGUUGGCGUAAAUUCAGCUCUGGCUGUGUGAAGAUAUAUUUGAGGCUCUUAUGGUCCGUAUAUAUUUCACAACGAUUUCCCAACAGAAAGUGCCUCCACUCCUUGAGUGCAUGUAGGACCGCUGCUAGCUCCAAGUCAUGUGUUGGGUAAUUUUCCUCAUGCUUUCGCAGUUGCCUGGAGGCAUAUGCAACAACUUUGCCAUCCUGCAUUAGUACACAUCCGAGACCUUUUCGGGACGCGUCACAAUAUACUUCAAAACUCUUGUGUAUGUCUGGCACAGUUAAGACUGGUGCGGUUGUCAGUUUUUUCUUGAGUUCUUGGAAGCUCUGCUCACAUGCUUCCGUCCAUACGAAUCUCUUGUCCUUCUUGAGCAGUUGGGUCAUAGGUUUUGCCACAGUGGAGAAUCCUUCAAUAAAUCUCCUGUAAUAUCCGGCCAUUCCUAGGAAACUCCGCACAUCUGUGACGUUGGCGGGCGGUUUCCAGUCCAGUAUGGCCUUGACCUUUUCUGGGUCUACGGCUACGCCUUCUUGGUUCAGUAUAUGGCCUAAGAAACCAACUUGUCUUAGCCAAAAUUCGCAUUUGCUAAACUUGGCGUACAACUGAUGCUUCCUCAAUUCUCCCAAAACCACUCUGAGGUGCUCAGCAUGCUCUUCGGGUGUCCUUGAGUAAACCAGAAUAUCAUCAAUGAAUACCACCACAAAUUUGUCCAUGAAUUUCAUGAACACUUUGUUCAUGAGGUGGACGAAAAAUGCGGGGGUGUUUGUUAGACCAAAAGGCAUCACUGUGAACUCGUAUAAUCCAUAUCUGGAAGUGAAUGCUGUCUUGGGGAUAUCCUCUGUUCGUACCUUCAGUUGAUGGUAUCCUGAUCUCAAAUCAAUCUUUGAAAAUACUUUAGCUUGUGCGAGCUGGUCAAACAAAUCAUUUAUCCGUGGCAUCGGGUAUUUGUUUUUGAUGGUGACCAUAUUGAGGGCUCGAUAGUCUAUGCAUAGUCUCAGUGUCCCAUCCUUCUUCUUGGCGAACAAUACGGGCGAACCCCAUGGUGAGGAGCUGGCUCGUAUAAACCCCUUGUCCAGUAAUUCCUUUAUCUGCUUCUUCAACUCCACCAAUUCUGAGGGUGCCAUUCUAUACGGCUUCUUAUAAAAGGGAGCGGUGCCAGGUGCUAAUUCAAUGCUGAAUUCGAUCUCUCGGUCUGGUGGCAUACCUGGUAGUUCUUCCGGGAACACAUCAGGGAACUCGCAUACCACUGACACUUUUCUUAAUUCUGCGAUGUCCAUCUUGUUCAGUUUUGGUUUCUGUGAUCGUGGCCUUUCUUGAGCGGAAACUCUUAUUGUCUUGCCGUGAUGGUGAGUGAGAAUCACUGUCCGAUUGAAACAGUCGAUGAAUCCUUUGUUGGUGGUUAACCAGUCCAUUCCUAAAAUGACAUCCAGUCCUUUACUUUCCAACACGAUGAGAUUUGCGUGGAAUGGUAGUCCUUCGAACUCAAUGACCACUCCUUGGCAGUAACCCUGAGCAAUUUGCUUGUUUCCGGGGGACUUGAUGAUCAUAGAUUUUUCCAAGGGGAGUAUCGGAAAACCGUGUUGUGAAACAAAACUCUUCGAAACAACCGAAUGGGAAGCUCCAGAAUCAAACAAAACCAUGGCAGGUACUGUGUUGACAGGGAACGUACCGAGCACGAUGUCUGGGGCAUUCUGCGCUUCUUCCCUGGUCACAUGGUUCAGGUGACCCUUCCUGUGGUUGUUGUUGGGAUUGAAGUUGUUGCGCUUGGGAGCUGGAUUGUUUUCACCAUUGUUCGGCUUGGGUGCCGAGUCUCUUGGUUUCGGGCACUGUUUAGCAUAAUGCCCUUGCUGACCGCAAGCAUAGCAGGUGACCCCUGGACGGUAUGUGAACUCCUUGUCUCUGGCAUGAAAUUGUCCAACGGGUCUUGGCUCAGUAGUCGUGGAUCUCCUCGUGUCUGUCCUUGGGACCUCAGUCUUGCCUCGGUUGCUGCGGGUAAGAGUCGUCUUGUCCCUCUUCCGCUUGCGGAUAUCUUCCAGACUACGGCGCUCAUUCUCCAGGGUGAUGGCCUUGUCCACCAGCGUCUUAAAAUCCGGAAAGGUGUGUACAAUCAGCUGGCAUCUUAGUGCUGGUGCCAGGCCGUCCAGGAAUUUUUCCAUCUUCUUGUUUUCUGUCAUGUGCUCGUCGUAGGCAUAACGAGACAGUUGGGUAAACUGGCCGUUGUAUUCUGUGACGAACAUGCCUCUUUGCUUCAGGUCAUUAAACUCUCUCUUCUUGAUCUUUAGGAUGCUCCUGGGAAUGUGUGCCCCACGGAAGCCUUCCUUGAAUUCUUCCCAGGUGAUGUUGUGUUCCCUGGGGUGCAUGUGUAGGAAGUUUUCCCACCAUGCUGCGGCUGCUCCAGUAAGGUAGUGUGGCGCAUAAAGCACCUUCUCAUGAUCUAAGCAUUGAGCGAUAAUCAGUUUCCUUUCAAUCUCGCGAAGCCAAUCAUCAGCUUCCAGUGGCCUAUCGGUGUGAGCAAAAGUUGAGGGGCGAGUCUUCUGUAACUCAGAUAACUUGGAAUGUGGUUGAUAGGGUUCACGGUGGUUUCCCAUAUUGAUGACAUGGUUCAUCAUCUCCUGGUGCUGUUGCUGGCUUUGCUCGAAGAGACGGCAUACUUGAGAUAGUGCCGCUUCGCUGUCCUGUUGGCUGGACUGACCCUGAGUGAAAUUGUUGCUGGUCUGUGUUCCAUAAACCUCUUCUGCAUUUUUCCAGUCUGGGGUAUCAUUUGCAAAACCCUUGAGAAAAACUGUGUAGCGCAGGAAAACUCUUGCAAAGGCAACACAAAUGAUUUUUCAUGGAGGAGAAGUGCUUAACAUAAAACUUUCAUGCGAAAAGCAAACACACGAUACAACACUCAGGAUGCGCGUACACAAUCCUGACAUGCUAUUAAAACUAGCGUACUACUCCGGAAGGCAGCAAACACACCAAUACAAACUAGCGUACAGAUAAAACAGCACAUCAUACAAGCAGACAUAACACGCGGCUACUCGGUGCUCUCAGUCGGAGAUGGUGAAGAUCUCCUUCCCCUUGCCGAUGGCAAGGCUCAGCGGUCCAGGAGAGUCAACCUCCUCCUCUCUAGCUGGUUCCUGGCGUGCGACGCUGCGCUGCGGUGAUGGUGCGGGGGCGAUUGGUGGUAGAGCGCGUGCGGCAGGCGGUGCGGCUCUGACUGGAGUGGGAGCGAUGACUCGGUCGAACUCCUCAGUGGUAGGCAGACGGCGAGCAGUGGCCAAAACGGCCGGUGCAUACGAGGCUGAAGACGAGACGAAUGUCAGAGGCGGCGCCGUGUGGAGAAGCUCCUUCCUGCUGGCAGGACCGCCCCGGACUAAGUCCAUGCGGGCAGCCACAAGAUCAUCUACGAGGUUGUCGAAAGAUUCCUCCAGAGCCUUGAGAUACUCCACAACCAUCUCGAUGGCUUCGUCUCUUUCUCCCCGAUGGCAGGAAAACGCAUAGUGGCUGGUGUAUGGCACAUGGCAUGGGAGGUAGCGGUAGCGACGAGUCUUCAUCGUAGGAAGGAUGUCCCGAAGGCGAGCUAUCGCCUCACGGGCAGCCAUCUGCAUGGCAUGCCUCUCCGUAGGCAUGGCCCUUCCCACAAAACGGAAGUGGCGUGCAGCUGAACGUCCUCCCUUGAACUGCACCACAGCCUGGUGCAUAGACACGUCGUCACUGAGCUUGUGCUGAUAGAGGGUGAACUCCGGGCGAGCUGCUGGCCCGAUCGCGAGCUUGGUGAUGGAGACGAGGAGCUUGACAAACCCCUCGGGCACGUUGGUGAACACUCGAUUCUCACAGCCGCUGCCAGCCAUCUACAAAAGUAGGCAAAAAUUCUGAGUAGUCAUGUCAUAAAUUUUAUGAUGACCAACAGAAGAUAGCUACAAUUGCAAAAUGCUGAAGAAGCACUAAAGACGCUAAUAACCGAUUAGCGAUCGCACCUAGUGGCUUCCUAUAGUCAGCCUGGCUCUGAUACCAAGCUUGUCACGCCCGGUUUUUCAAUAAAAUAAUUAUUGAGAAACCAAUCCCUGUUACGGACCAGCGAGGAAGAAUUCCUUCUCACUGAUAGACAAUACAUUGGUCACAGAAGAAAAAUACCAGGAGUACUAAAUAUAAUACAAAGUUGAGCAGAGACUGCCCAACAAUUUAUUACAUGCACGCCGAUAAAACAAUACGGCGGAUAGGGUGGCAAACUUCUAACUCACGAUAAAAACGGUGGUGGAAAUAUCAUCGCGAAGCGAGUGACAUGAUUCCAGAAUACUACAACUCUUCGAGCGUCGGAGUGAGGCUCGAGAAGACUUAUUGCGGGUGGCGGAAGCGUAAACGAUACAAGUGACCAAAAUCCGGGAUCUCGCAGGACUGACUGGGACUCCUCUAGGCAUCGGACGUGCUAUCAAACUCCUCAUCCAAGAGAUCGCCUUCGUCAACAUCUGGCCAAAUCAACAAGCCAGGUGAGUACUAUGAAAGUACUCGCAAGACAGUUCGGACAUAAGGUAUAACAAAUGCAAACAUGAAGCACAUGAAUAAGUUAACCAGUGCAAUCAGACACAGAGAUAAUAAAUACUGGGUGCCAAGCGAGGGUCUGAAUGACGCCUCGAGCGGAAACUGCAGAAUAGCAAUACUGGUGCCAAACGAGUGUCUGAAAGACUCCUCGAGAGGAAAAUGCGGAAUAAUAAUACAGGUGCCAAACGAGUGUCUGAAAGACUCCUCGAGCGGAAAUGCAGAAAUAAUAAUACGGGUGCCAAAUGAGUGUCUGAAUGACUCCUCGAGCGGAAAAUGCAGAAUAAUAAUGCCACAGUCGGGCGUCGGGGCGACACCACAUAAAGGGCUUAUAUCGAAAGUGAGAAACGAGUACACGCCACAGUCGGACGUCUGCGCGACGUCACAUAAAGGGCUUAUAUCACAACUCAUUAAUACAAUAGCUCGGAGACAUAAAUUAUCACAAGCAUGAGACACACAAAAAUAAAGUUAGUCCAUCAACUGGAAUAACAAUAAAUCUGAGAUUUUUACCGCUUGAGCUUGUUCACCGGGGGCAAGAUUUUCACACGGAUAGAUUUGGAUGUAAAGUCUACAUUACUGAUCAUGGAUACGAUGAUUUGGAAAGGAUUGACUCUGCAGAGUUUGUACUUAACCACAGCCAACGGAUUUCAGUAGUCACGGGGACGAGUUCCGUCUACGGUGUUCUGGAAGGAACACGUCUAACCAGUACACACCCAAUUUAACCAUCCGAAGCCAGGGAUCACCCUCGGCAAAGUUCAGGAAAAACCCUGAGUCGGGGAGGCUACAACCUCGCGUAGCAUGGGAUCAAAUUUCUAUACGCGCGCUAUAAGGGGGUGCCCCCCCUCUCGGUCCCAACCGGAAACACCCAUGCCCCCUGACCGAAUGACUGGCUUUAAUCCUGGGCCAAGGUACCAUCAUCCCGGCCUCUCUGUUUGGUGUGUACACGGAAAGAGGUUACCAACUUACUAAACCGUAUCCUGGCAAUGAGACAUGUGGUAGCACGGAAAGGGGAAGGGACGAUAACACGGCUCCAACCAUGUUAACGUCGGGAAAGUCGGAUGACACAAGGCUGGCAUGCUACAACAGUACCACCUUGCUGCCCUUCAUGUCACCACAUGAUUAGGCCACCUCUCAUCAGAGGUCAUCGCAACUUUGGAACAUGCGGGAAAAGAUCGAUAACGUGGCUCCAACCACGUUAACAUCGAAGAAAGUCGGAUGGCGCAAGGCUGGCAUGCUACAACAGUACCACCUUGCUGCCCUUCAUGUCACUACAUGAUUAGGCCACCUCUCAUCAGAGGUCAUCGCAACUUCGGAACAACCGGGUCGUUGCCUUACAAGCAACGAGGUACUUAUCGACACUCACAUGCCACGCACAAAGUUUCACAUGAACAUGCAAAACAUCUGCCGUAUCAAAUGGUCAAACAUGCUUGCCUGGUUCGGAGAAGUCGGAGUCUAGCUCGGCGAAGUUCGCGGCUCCGUCCCCUCUCCCGGAACCUACGGCAAUCACGAAACGGGGUACUAACGUGAAAACCAACACAUGCACAGAAACUUUGCCAAAUAUUUUUCAAAUAAAUCCCAUAAAAAACUAGACAAAAUUUGGAGAUUGACAGAAAAAGAAUCACUCAAAAAUACCUUUUCAUUAAAACGUUAUAAAGGUUUCUGUCCAGGGACAUUUCUGUAAUGAAACAGAAAAGUUCCAGGGUUUUAACUGAGAAAACAGAAAACGCUUCGGCUGGAAUGCGCAAGCGCAAGGGGAAAACGUAUUUUGCCCGAAGGCGCCAACAGAAAACGGUUCGGGGAAAUAAAACAGAGGCUGACACGCGGGGCCCGCAUGUCAGGUUUGAAAGCUCGCCGGCGCCCGAAGACGGCGGUGGACGCCGGCGUCGAACCACGGCGAGUUAGGAGAAACGGAGGGUACCAAGAGCUUCAGUGUCUUCUUCCGCGUCGGUGGGUGGUGGACUCGUCCAACGGGGAGCACCACGUCGACGACGACACUAUCUCCGGUGGACGGCGGUUCGGGUGAGGUUGGGGAACUCCGGUGGAGGGCUGCAAAGUGCGAAUUGAGGCGCGGGUCAGAACGGGUGAUGCAAGGAGAAGCUACUGGCAAGAGAAUGGGGGCUGCGGAGCACACACGGGGGCGAAUCGGGCUGGAUCCCGUGGCGGAUCGUGGCGGCCGGAGUCGAGGAAGGAGACCCCCUCGCGGCUCUUCCAGUGGCUGGGCGUGCUCUAGGGGAAGUGUAGGGCUGGUGGGUGCUCGAGUUGAAGCUCGGGCCCCUAUUUAUAGGCAGAUCGACGGGGUGGCCGUGAACGGAGAAUCUCCGGCGAGCGAUUACGGCGGAGCAGUGGAUUGGAAGGUGGUUUGAGAGGUCGGGCAGCAUCAGUGGAGAUUACUGGAGUUGUUCCACUGCUAAACGGAGCUGGCCCUGGCGUAAUGGUGUCUGCCCACGGUGAGGUGACCGCACGGGCUCAACGGCGGCAGAGAGCGCGCUCCGCGCCCUGGGGUUCACGACGAGAGCGGCAGCGCAUUCGGGGGAGUGGACGGCCACGCGGCGGGCUCCGGUGGUUUGGGCGGCGCUGGGUGGAGUCGGCGGCGCCGUGUCUCCCGCUGGUGUCCGCAAAGCCGCCGCCGGCGUCGGUCACGGGGCGGCGCACCUUCUGCUGCUCGUCGCCGACGCCCGCAAGUUGCCAGGCACUCGUGCGGUGCAGGAACGAGAGGGCGAGGACGAGGAGCAAGGCGACGCGAGGGUACUGGCGAGAUCGACGCCCGUUUCUGAAGAAAACGACAGCAGCCACUUGACUGAACUCUGAACUUACUGAAUCUUGACAGUGACCAAGCAUUGCAGGUGUUCGACAGUAGGUUUUGGUAAAGAGAUAAAUUUUUCUGGAGCUGUAACUUGGUGAGAUGAUCACUCAAAGCACCCAGGGGCUGCAUGAAUUUACUUGGAAUUUUUGGAGAAAGUUUUGAAUGAAUUUCACCAAAUUUGGCAAAUCUGGUCCAAACUUGCAGCUGAUGUAGUUUGAAAUUUUUGAACUGGAGACCAGUGGAUCUUCAUGGUUCCAGGUUGAGGGUUCAAAGGACUAGGAGGGGAAAAAGGUUUGGUGGCAAAAAUCAAAACAGAAAAAGGAGUUCCUUUGUAAAUCUCCAAGUGCUAUAAGAGAAGACAGAAAUUUAUUUGAAUAGAAUUUGAAUGGAAAUGAUCACAUGAGGAGGUUCAACUUGCUGGAUUUGAUGCAAAUCAUGAUCCAAAGGUGAGGGAAGGGUUAGGAGAGAGGAUUUGCACUAAUGCCAUGGCAAGAAGGAAUAGUUGAAAGUGGCAAAGGACUUUCCAAAAGCCAUAGUGCAUUCUCAAAAAGGAUUUUCAAAGCUUAUUCUCUCAAAUGAAAAAAAACAUUUUGUCUUGAGCCCAAAUGAAAAGCAAGAACCCCCAAGGUUAAAGGCAGAUCUUGGGUGAAUCCAAAUAAAAUUUUUGCCAUAAAGAAAAAUAUUUGAGAGUGAGAGUUCUCUUGAAGAAUUUUUUUUUAAAUCACUCCCUUCAAGUCAAAUAAAAUCUUUUGAAAAAUCCAAAUAAAAACUUGGGUGUCACACCCUCUCUCCUACUUUGGGCUGCAGAGCGUGGCGGCACAUAUCAGGGUAUGGUGCAUGCAGAGACGCAUGGUACGCUAUGUACACACAGUUUUGCCUGAUGAACGAAACCGCGCUGCCAUCAUGAUCCUUGCCGUCGGUUAUCUCCUGGUUAAUCGGAUAAUUCAGUCCAACAAACAGAGAGCGUGUACCAAGGCUACUUACCAACCUCCAGUCAAAAAUUCCUGAAGGCCCAGAGAAGUUGGGAUCCUGCUCAAAGACCUUGAAGUGAUUGUGAUUGUAUUCCGCGAAACAACACGUCUGGUACGUGCGAACGAUCAUCAAUCGUUCGCCGUCGUCUGAUCGAGCCAGGAAGCACCUGCAACUGCCAUGCCGCUUUUCUUUGAAAGGUUCUGGGAUUAGGAAGGGUACGAACAUGAGGCGACUUACAACAUCAUAUCAAGUUGGAGACAAAUAACCCUCAAAAAAAGUUGGAGUCAAAUAAAAAAGGGCUCUUGAUUGUAUGACAUGGCUAGCCAAGAUGGAUUUAAUCCCGAUAUUCACUUUAUCAAAAGGCUCUAAUGGGUUGGUUCUGAAUCUUGCAAGCUGGGAAUCAAUGAGAUGUGUAGGCAUCUUUGUUGUACUUAUUAUUUGAAUCUUAUUUGUUGGUUCUGAAUCUUGCAAGCUGGGAAUCAAUGAGAUGUGUAGGCAUCUUUGUUGUACUUAUUAUUUGGAUCUUAUUUGUUGGUUCUGAAUCUUGCAAGCUGGGAAUCAAUGGGAUGUGUAGGCAUCUUUGUUGUACUUAUUAUUUGGAUCUUAUUUGUUGGUUCUGAAUCUUGCAAGCUCGGAAACAUGGCAUGAUGAUGCAGAGGACAACAACCAUAACAAACAGUUCAAACUUGGUAGUAUUAUCUUUGUGAAAGUGCGACAAAUGUGCUGAUCGUGUGCGUCCUGAGAAUAAUAAUUCUAAUUGUUGUGCAUGUUGAUCCCGUGGCACUGAUAGAAUGAGCCAAUGCAUUGCUUGUUUUAAGUAUAAAUUUCUAUUAAAGCUAAUUAAAUUUAAGUAAAGUGACCACUAACUCCUGUUAUUACAGGACCAAUACAGACCCGCUCAUGAACCGACGUGUGGCCGGAGUAGGUUUCUUAAUGGAGGCGUUUGAAUGCGCUGAGGGUGCAUCUUCUGCCGGGUGUGCAGAACUGCUGCCGCCGCCUACACACUCGUUCACUUGAAGAGACUCCAAUGGCGAUCCGAGGGGUGAGCCUGCUGGAUAUGGACUUCAGCAAGGAGUUCCCCUUUGAGUUCGCCAUUCAGUCCUAUGGCUGCACCAAGUUGAAUGUGAUGUACACCAACGAUCCAGACUCGGUGAAGCUCUGCCUCGCCGAGUUCAAGCAGUACCUACAGGACGAGAAAGCACAAGGUUGCAGGACUAGACCUUGUGCCCAUCCAUUCUUCUCCUGACAGGGACCAGCAGAUAGCCGUUGCCUAGGAAUGUGUGCGGGACGAGGUUCUCAUCUACCACUUCUGUAGGGCCAUCAGAGGUUCUGGAGCAUUCGCCUGUUUCAUCGGCAGCGCUGACUGCACCUUCGCUACGGUGGAGAGAAGGAAGAACGCGAUGAUUCGGCCAUCUGGUGCAACAAGCUUGUCGACAUCCAGAAGCAAUACAAGAUCAUCAGCAACGAGCAGGAGAAGGACUCCGUGGUUGACCUCGCCGAGACCAUCAUCGACCCCUGAUACGCCAACAUGAAAGAAGACAACGAUAACAAAGACCUGAACACGUGGGAGGUACCUCUGAAUCUAGCCUACAUAACCUACACGGCCAAGGAUGCAUACGCAUGCUACGACAUGUACAGGUAGAUCUUGGACAUGAGGGCGUGUCUGCAUCCCGUAACCGACGAGUACACGGACAGCCGCAGCGUCAUGAUCAAGCAUGCCAGGAAGGUCUAGAUGUUGUACUUUAUCUGUUUAUAAGCGCCUUUAUCAUCUGAGUGUUUCAUGCAUUAUCCUAAGUGUUGUAAUUAUCUGUUUUGUCCGAAAUUUUUCUUUUAAGAACCCAUUAACCUGUUUGGUUUUUUUAGUGGCUAUUUGCUUAUGUAUGUAACUAGUUCACUUGUCCGUUAAAAAAAACUAGUUCACUCGGCUGCCGUGCUUUGAAUCUCCUUCCUCCCAACAUAUUCCCCUCCUCAGGUGGACCCAGCAGGUCUCGUACACAGACAUAUGGGACCAACCACCUAUCCAUUUGUAUUUCUUUAUUUUGUUCAAUCUUUCGUCCUCUUCCUAUACAGCUCAGUUCUAUUUUUCCUUUUCAUUAAUCCUAUAUCUGAAUUUUCUCCCACUUUCUUUUUCGAUGUAAACUGAGUUUUCUCCCAGUACUUUUCCCUAGAACCAACAACUGUCCCACGUCUAGCCUAAAAAAUAAUAAUACCCCACGUACUAUUAACUCAUCAAAUUUAAAUGAUAUUUUAUUUUGUAAGUUGAAAGUUUUUACAAAAUAAUAAUAAUUCUUAUUUAUAUGUAACUUGGCAAGUUAACCCCUAGUGAUUGCGUACAUAAGCUUGCAAAGAUUUUACUGACCAAUGCAGUAAUAGACGUGCAAUCAUGUGUUUAUGUUUUUAUAACAUUUCUCCGUCUAGCCCAACAUGAUAUUUUCACCCAGCCCAGCAAGUCCGCGGAUUUCGAGAAAAAUGCAAAUGGGCUUUAAAUUCUAGCAUACAUAUAAACGGGCUGCAUAGAUGCUACAUCAUUGUUUCACCCAGCCCACCAAAUGGACUAAAAAACAAAUGGACUGGCUGACAUGUGGGCCAGUAGGUCGAAGCCUAAGAAGGCGUUGGAUUUACAUCCAACGGCCGGCAUUCUUCUUCAAUCUCUCGUCUUCUUUCCCCAGCGCUGCCAGGACCGCCUGCUCCAGCCUUCGGCGUCCAGCGGCAUUGUUUUGCACUCCUCAGCGAAACGCUACCCCACCGACGGCCAGGCCAUCCCUCCACUCCGCACCUCCUGUUAUUCUCUGCCGAGUGUAGGCCCACCCCGCACCCGAACCAGUCAAGUUUCCCACUCCUCUCCGUCUGCGACUCCACUGCCGCGUCUUCCCCAUCUCCGGGUCGUUCCAGUCUGGGGCCUCGCCGUCGUCCACCGCCUCGGUGCGCUCGGCGCGGCGUGGUCAACAUAGGAGAGUCAUCGGAAGAGGACUGUACGUGAAGAGCCUGACGGCUGGGACCCACGAGGUCGAUGGUCGCAUGCAAGGAAAGUUCCUCCUUAUUACGCACUGUACGUGGACUGUACGUGGGAAGGGCUUCUGUAUUUCACGAAAAAAUGUUCCCCCCGCUGACAGGUCGGACCCACCACCUAUAUCUUCGCACGCAAGGAAGUGCCUCCUUAUUACGCACAAAAAAUGAAUACCCCCUGCUAGCUGGGACCCACCAUAGUGGGUGGCUGACUUGUGGGCCUACUAAGUUGACGGGGACAGAGGGCUUUGUCAACUUAGUCAAUAUGAUCAAUUCUAGCUCCAGUGACCGUACGAUGUCCAUCCAACGGCCAUAGUGCUUCUUCAACCUCUAGUCUUCUUGCUCCAGCCGCCCAAAGCACAAAGCAGCGCUGGUCGGGCCGCAGCGGCCUCACCACCCCCUACUACUCCCACCGCUCGCCAGGGCAUCCCUCUACUCACCCACACCCCCUAUUAUUCUGCGGCUACGGCAGCCUCACGCUGUAGCCGAACCAGUGAACCCUCGUACUCCUCUCCGCGUGGGCAUCCACUGUCGCGUCUUCCCCGGCUCUUCGUCAUCCCCUUCCUAGGCCUCGCCGUCGUCCACCGCCUUGGUGCUCUCGGCGCGGCGUGGUCAAUGUGGUCAACGACCGACUUCCAUCGGAAGAGUACUGUACGUGGAGAGGCUGACAGCUGGGUCCAUGGCCGCAGCUGGGUCCACGACCACAGCCCAGUUUUUUGUGAUUUGUCAAGUAAUUCGCUUUGUCAAGCCUGUUUGGCUGCAAAUCUUUCAAGACGAGGAGAGCUUCAUUCGGCUGGCCGAGAAAAUGGCCUAUCAGUAAUGACAAAUGGGUUGUACAUUUUUAAAACACAUCAAAUCGGCAAUUAGUUUCAAAUUUCUUUUUUUCAUUUCGAGAUUUUAAAUUGCAUUGAUUUUUAUGCGUGGACAAUUUGUUGGAUUUUAUAUUGAUAUACAUUUAUUUUUAAAAUCAGUUUGAAUGUGACUCGAAAUUUCGGGAUUAAAAACAGUUCGGACCGCACCGAAAUAUGCAAAAUUUUGUAUAAUUUUUUAACCGUGGCCACAAUAUGGGCUGUAAUGCUAACAAAAAGAAUAUGGGCUCCAAAAAAACCUUAAGAAUUAGCAAAUGGGCUGUGAAUUAUUAGAAAUAAUGGCAGAUGGGCUGUAUGCUAUUUUCCACAGAUUUGAGGCUUUCCUAAAAAAAGGUUGACGCACAAGCAAUGACUAUUGGAUUUCCAUCCAACGGUCGUCGUGCUUCUUCAAUCUCUGCUGUUCCUGCUCCAGCCGCUCAAACAAGCGCCGGCGGGACUGCCUGCUCCCUCCUCCCCGCGGCCGGCUGUGCUGCCACGCAGGCCUCACCGCCCCACCGUACUCCCAUCGCUGGCCUAGCUACACCUCUACUCACCCACACCUGUUGUUAUUCUCCGGCGAUGGCAGACGAACCAGUAAACCCUUGUACAGUCGUACUUCCCUCCGCGUGGGAAACAACUGCCGAGUCUUCCCUGCCUUCGGGUCAUUCCCAUCCUAGGCCUCGCCGUCGUCCACCGCCCUGGUGCUCUCGGCGCGGCCUGGUCAACGUGGUCAACGACCGACAUGCAUCUGAAGUGGACUAUACCUGGAGAGGCUGACAGCUGGGUCCACGGCCGCACGCAAGGAAAUGCCUCCUUAUUACGCGCAAAAUAAUGAUUCCUCCACCUGACAUCUGGGACCCACCGAAAGGGCCUCUGUAUUUCGCGAAAAAAAAGUACCGCCGCUGACAGCUUGGACCCACCAGCUAUAUCUUCGCACGCAAGGAAGUGCCUCCUUAUUACAAAAAAAAUGAAUACUCCCCCUGCUAGCUGGGACCCAGUAUAGUGGCAGGCUGACUUGUGGGCCUACUAAGUUGACGGGGACGGAGGGCUUUGUCAACUUAGUCAAUAUGCAUGAUUCUAGCUCCAGUGACCGUACGAUGUCCGUCCAACGGCCAUAGUGCUUCUUCAACCUCUGGUGUUCUUGCUCCAGCCGCCCAAACCAGCGCCGGUCGUGCCUCGUGCUCCUGCCUCCCGUGGCCGGCUGCGAUGCGGUGGAGGCCUCACCACCCCUUACUACUCCUACCGUUGGCCAGGCCAUCCCUCUACUCACCCACAGCCCCUGUUAUUCUGCGGCGACGGCAGCCUCACACCGCAGCGAACCAGUGAACCCUCAUACUCCUCUACGCGUGGGCAUCCACUGCCGCGUCUUCCCCGGCUCUGCGUCGUCCCCUUCCUAGGCCUCGCCGUUGUCCACCGCCCUGGUGCUCUCGACGCGGCGUGGUCAACGUGGUCAAGGAACGGCUUCCAUCGGACGUGGACUGUACGUGGAGAGGCUGACAGCUGGGUCCACGGCCGCAGCAAGGAAGUGCCUCCUUAUUACGCGCAAAAUAAUUAUUCCUCCACCUGACAGCGGGGACCCACCGGACGGGCCACCGUAUUUCACGAGAAAAAACGUUUCCCCCUGACUGCUGGGACCCACCAGCUACAUCUUCGCACGCAAGGAAGUGCGUCCGGGCAUAAAAAAUGAUUCGCCCCCCUGACUGCUGGGACCCACCAGCUACAUCUUCGCAGGCAAGGAAGUGCCUAACAGUCGGGACCCACCUGGUCGAAGUGUAUGUAGCGUUGUCAUUCUGGUCGCGAACAUGUACGUACAUACUGGUCGUUGUAGAGGCGCGCACGUAGCAUGUACACGUACGUACAGCGGCCAGGGUGCAAGAAAGAAAAUACGGCCACGUACGUACAUACGGGCAGGGUCUCGAACGCCUACUCGCGCAUAUGUACGGCCAGGUCUCGUGUACAUGGCUGGGUCAAAACGGAGAAACUGCGACGUCGUCGUGUUCAUGAGGAGCCAACCGGCUGGGUCGGAACGGAAUGCGUCAUCGUGUUCAUCCGGAGGGCUUGGACGGAACAGCCGAUGGAAACGAGGCUUGGCGUACCGCGGAACAGAGGAAAUGGCCUUGUGUUCGACCGGCCAUGUUCGAAAUGGGAUCCUGUUCAUCGGGAGGGGCUGGAGUACCGCAAAACGGAGGAAACGGACCUCCUACGGUCGAAACGGGGGUCCUGUUGAUCGGGAGGGGUGUGGCGUACCGCAAAACAGAGGAAACGGACUUGUGUUGGAGCGCUACGGUCGAAAUGGGGGUCCUGUUCAUCGGGAGGGGUGUGGCGUACCGCAAAACGGGACUCCACGGGAUACUGUUCAUCUCCACCGUCGACCCCCUCCAGCCUCCACGGGCUACUGUUCAUCCACCGUCGACCUCCUCCAGCCUCCACCUGCGACUGUUCAUCCACGGGCUCCUGUUCAUCCAGCCUCCACCGCGCGCUACUCCACCGGCUACUGUUCAACCAGCCCUCUCCACGGGCUCCUGUUCAACCACCCCUCCACCAGCUAUUGUUCAACCAGCACUCUCCACGGGCUCCUGUUCAACCACCCCUCCAUCCGGCUACUGUUCAGUCACAAUGAAUAUAAGAAUGCGCACAUCAGAAGAAUAUUGUGGAACAGUUCAAUGGGUAACAAACUUGGCAUCAAGGGAUUGAGGUCCAUUGUGGAUGCAAUGAAACCCACAUGCUCCCGACCUAUAGAUUCGUAUUCGGAAUAUGAUCCUAAUGACUAUUCUAAGCUCAAGGAGUCAAAGGCAGAUGGCCUAUCCUGUUCACCCAAUAAGGUGCCUGUUCUAAUUUGGCAAGGUUUUAUUGGUUGCACAUAUCUUGCAUAAGGUGUCUUGCAUUUCUUUUGCUUCGUUGCACCGCCAUCUGCUUAGUUUACUCAUGAUAUAUGUGAAGAUGCCAUGCCCAUCCAUUAUCAACACCUAUUCCAUUUGUCGUCAUACCAUGUUUUUUCAUUCAAAUGUUGUUCUUGUGUUUCAGACAUCCAAAAGGAAGAGGGUGAUUGCAGAACCUGAAGGAGUACAAGCAAAGUCCUUGAAAAAGGUGGUGCUACCAGAGAAAUCACCUAGCACCCGACGUAUAUUGGCGAUAGAACCAGUACCGCAAAACCUAGGAUGUCGCAACCAUGCUGGUCGAUGCUUUGCUCUUCUGAGUACAUAUUGUCCUAUCGCUGUCCUUACAUUCAUACCUGGUGGAUUAUGUGACAUCAUUGUGCAAUAUAGCUUUCUUAUCCACUGUUCACUCCAAAUUAUCAGAUCUAUAUUAAUGCUUAAAUUAAUGUAGAAGAAACCAAUGCCUAUGAAGAAAGUUAGUUCUGCAUUGUUCUUGUAAGUAUCUGUUGUCCUUCAUCACUGUACUUAUAUUUGUCAGCUAGUUCUUCAUGUACACUUUGCAGCUUAUUUUACCUUGUCCUCCAUUUUUCUACACAUCAAAUCUACAUUUACUCUUGCCAAAAUAUUGAAUAAAACCAAUGUUACUGAAGAAGUUUAGCUCCGCAUUGCUCGUCAGUGCCUUCUGCCUAUAUGCUGUAUUUACAUUUGUACUCUGCAUCUUAAGUUAAAUAAUCGCCAUUUGUUCCUAUAUUUUCACAUCUAUAUUACUCUUAACAAAAUGUAGAAUAAAGGCAAUACUCUUGAAGAAGAGUGUGCGGUAAAGUUCUUGAAUUGCCCCCCCCCCCAUCAAUAUGGACAAGGCCUUUAUAGAGCAUGUCUUCACUACUAAUGUAAGUUUGUCCUCCUCGAGCCUUCAAACAAUGUUGUGUAUAUUUGGAUAGCUAUGACUGAAAAUGCUGUUUAUUUUUAUCGUCUGCAUCAAAUUUCUUGUUCAAAGUUUAUAAAGUAGAAGUACAUAAACAUAAGUUUGUCCUUCUCAAUUUCAGUCUUUUAGUUGUACAAUCUAGUUCCUUAUUCGUACCAUGUAAAUUAAACUAAACAUAGAAAGUUAUCUUCUUUAGCACUAUGUGUAUGCUUGUGUUCUUGAUCUAUAAUCGAGUGGUGUGGUGAGACUACCAACAACAGCACAAUGUCAUAUCCUGCUAUGUCUCAACUAUGAACAAUGCCUUAUUAUAUUAAUGUUAUUUAAAUCGUGUCUCUUUAUUUACCAAUCUGAAAUGGUAUAAAUUGACAGUACACUCACCAUUCAUGCUUAUACGUUGUUUAGAACUACAUCUAUGCUUGUGUUCUUGAUCUGUAAUCCAGUGGUCUGGUGAAUCUGGCCGCUCCUACACAAUGCCAUUUCCUGCCGUCUUAACUAUGAACAAUACCUAUUAUGUUAAUGUUAUUUUAAAUAGUGUCUCUUUAUUUCUGACAAAGAAAUGAGAUGAAUUGACAGCGCUGAUGCUUAUACGUGCAAAACCUGUUAUCUACCUACUUGUUUCUCUUUCAGGGUGACAACACUGCUGCUAGGAAGAACUGCCACAAUGAUAGUGAGACGACCCCAUUGUUUGUCCCUCUAAAACAUAUUCCACAGGAGAAGGCAACACAUAUUGAGGGUAGGGAUACAACCACGAAGUCACAUCUUGAUGUAGUGUCAAAACUUACUCAGUGCAAGCUCGAUGAAGUAGUCGCCUGAAUCUAUUUGACUUCUUCAGUCUGAAAUUCAUGAGAAAUACAUAAUUCCGCUCAAAUACGAUUGGAACUCCAAUCUGUAUGCAAGAUUAACCUUAAGUACAUGACGUUUAUUGAUGCUGUGCAGCUUAAGUUGGUGGAUAUGAGCACCAAAGAAGCGCAGUCUCAUCAGGUUGCUAAGCUGCUUGCGCUGUAGCACCUGGGCCGAGCUAACCUUUCUUGAACUGUGUUGAAGUGAUGUCGGUUUUGUCUAUUAUUUUGUCCGCCUGUUAACUUCCACUGGUGGCGACCUGCCCAGUUUAUGUAAUCUGCUGUCUGGUUGCCCUUUAUUAUCAUUUGCGGUGAACUUUGAUGCUGAGGGGAUGUAAUAUGCUGUAAUUUCUUUGUUGUAUAGUCUAGGUUUAUUCUUGGUCGGUAUGCUGUAAUUUAGGACGGAAGGUUCAGUGGAUCUCAGUGUUGUCGGUCUUCAGGCCGGCCCGUUACUCAUAUGGACCAAAACGUGGGCCUAUAAUCAUCUUGGGCCAUUAGCGGGUCUAAACCUAUAGUAGUUUCCUUCCUUUAACAGGCCGAGUAAAGUUCUGGCCAGCUGGGCCAGAGAAUACCAUGGGCUUUUAACAGGCUAAAACCUAGAUUGGGCUGGCGUUGAGCCGAAAAUUUCACAGGCCAAAACUUCCUAAGGCCCAUGUUGGGCCCAAAUAGGAUGAGCAGUUAACAGGCCAAAAUAUAUCUCGGUCUUGUUUGGCCAAAUAAAAUUAUCAGCUUUAAGCAGGCCGGUAUCCACGCGGGCCAUAGACCCAAAAGUGUCACGGGCCAUUAUCAGAUGGGCUGUAAGCAGGCCGGAUUCAACGCGGGCUGUAAUUAGGCCCAACUGUUUCACAGGCCAUUAACAGGCCGAUAGGCCAGUUGGGCUGAAAUUUGUCCACGAAGACUACGGGCCGUUAAGAGGCCUAAAGUUUCUUCGGACAAGAAAUAGCCCAGUUUCUGCAUGGGCCGUUAAAUGGCCUAAAGUUAAACCAGGCCGACAACGUCCCAGAUACACCACGGGCCUCUAACAGGCGAAACUAUUAUCGGGCCGAACUGGUAAACGGGCAUUUAACAGGCUGAAAUAAAACAUGUCUUAGAAUGGGCCCAAAAGAACAGUGGCCUGUUAACGGGCAUGAUCCGAUAUGUGCCAUAAUUUGGCCCAAAACACAGCAGGCUGUGAACGGGCCUGAUCUGGUAUGGGCUUCAAUUUGACCCAAAACAUGGUAGGUUGUUAACGGGCCACGCACUAUUGUCUGAAAAAACAUGGUGGGCCUUUAGCUGGGCCGGCCUUUUCAUCGGACUGGGCCUCGGUUGGGUCGUGCCACAUGUCGACGUAUCAUAGUCACCUCCUGUCCCAACGGUGAGCCAACACGUGUUUCCUCAGGCCAAUGAGAAUUUUACAUGUGGAAAAUCCCCAUUGGUCUGGGCUGUUAACGGGUUAUCGGAUCCAAAACCGGACCCGAUAGCUUAACGGCGACCCGUUCCAGUCGAUGCCACAUGUCGGGCACCCUUGACGAAAGCACUUCUAUGAUGCACGAUUUAUCGUCAUGGAAGUGGACACUUCCGUGAUGAUAAUUUUGGUAAUGUCAUGGAACACUUCUACGAUAGCACAGGUAUGACUAUCUUGAUUCUGUCAUAAAAUUGUCAUGGAUGUACAUGCAUGACAGAAAACGUGACCUACUGUGACAAACACGUAUCAUCAUGGAAGUGUAUUUUUUUUGUAGUGUAUGCCAUGACUUGUUAGAAUAGCUCUCUAUGCUUCACUUAAAUUUUUAUGAGCUAUGGAAUUGCUCAAGUGCUUCACUUAUAUCUUUUUGAGCACGGUGUGCUUUGUUAUUUUUGAAGAAAUGCUCUCUUGCUUCACUUAGAUUUGUUUGAGAGUUAGUAAAUUUUUUGAAGAAAUUCUCUCUUGCUUCACUUAAAUUAAUUUGAGAGAAAGAAAUAUUAUGCUCAUGAUCUUCACCUAUAUCUGUUUGAGCUUAUCAAAAGCAACAUGAAAAUUAGUUCCAAAGUGAUAGAAAUCCAAGAAGGAUAUAAUAAAAAAAUCAUGAAGAUCAUUAGACAAAAUAAACUUGAUUCCUUGUAAUAGUCUUGAGAUAUGAUGAUGUGAUAUGUGAGUCAUGUUGAUGAGUAAUUGUGCUUUAGUAAGAAUAUUGGUGUUAAAGUUUGUGAUUCCCUAUGCAAGCACGAAAGUCAAUAGUCAUGCAAUGAAAUUACAUCUUACUUGUGGUGCAUUAUUCGGUGUUAAUUAUGUUUAAUGCUCGCUUAUGAGAUUAUUCGUUUCUUGGUUGGUUGCUUCUCAAUCUUUUGCUAGCCUUCAUUUUGCACUAAGUAUGAUCACUACUUGUGCAUCCAAAAUCCUUUAAACCAGUCUUGCCACAUGAGUCCACUAUACCUACCUAUAUGCGGUGUUCUUUUUCCGUUCUAAGCAAAUUUGUAUGUCCCAUCUCUAAUUUUCAAAAUAAAUUUCUCUUUUGUGUGCUCGUACCGCUCGUGAGGCGGUGAGGGGUGGCAAAUAUUUUCCAUGCUAGAUGUGUUAUUCUCACGACGAAUGUUUAUUCACUUGUCAUUGCACGAUAGUAAGGCAAAGGUAUUAGGGAUGCCCAGUCCCGAAAUGAAAAAUGAAUUUACUUUAUGUUGUCAAAUAAUAAAUUCCUUGGAAAGUGUUGGUAUGGAAGGCAACCGUGGAUUCGGCUAGCCAUGGAAAGUGAAAGUAUGGUGGAAAAAGGAAUAAACUUUAUUUUCUGUUUGGGAACCGCCUAUGAUAUAUCUAGCAUGGAAAGUGUUGGGAGCUCUAAGUCGUUUUCAUUGGUGGGAAAAGCAUGCCUCUCAAAAUGUUUUUAUCUCUGUAGGAUCAAAAGUAUGUCUAGAGGGGGGUGAUUAGACUACUUGACCAAAUAAAAAUCUAGCCUUUUCCCAAUUUUAGUUCUUGGCUGAUUUUAGCAACUUAGCACAAGUCAAGCAAUCAACCUACACAUGCAAUUCGAAGAGUAUAGCAGCGGAAUGUAAAACAAUUGCAUAUGAAGGUAAAGGGAGGAGUUUGAGGGAGCAAACGCAAUGUUGACACGGAGAUUUUUUAUCCGUGGUUCCGAUAGGUGGUGCUAUCGUACAUCCACGUUGAUGGAGACUUCAACCCACGAAGGGUAACGGUUGUGCGAGUCCACGGAGGGCUCCACCCACGAAGGGUCCACGAAGAAGCAACCUUGUCUAUCCCACCAUGGCCGUCGCCCACGAAGGACUUGCCUCACUAGGGUAGAUCUUCACGAAGUAGGCGAUCUCCUUGCCCUUACAAACUCCUUGGUUCAACUCCACAAUCUUGAUGGAGGCUACCAAGUGACACCUAGCCAAUCUAGGAGACACCACUCUCCAAGAAGUAACAAAUGGUGUGUUGAUGAUGAACUCCUUGAUCUUGUGCUUCAAAUGAUAGUCUCCCCAACACUCAACUCUCUCUCAUAGGAUUGGAUUUGGAAGAAAGAGGAUUUGAGUGAAAAGCAACUUGGGGAAGGCUAGAGAUCAAGAUUUAUGUGGUUGGAAUGGAAUAUCUUGACCUCAACACAAGUGUAGGUGGUUCUCUCUCAGAAAAUAUGUAUUGGAAGUGUAGGCAUGUUUUGAUGGCUCUCUCCACGAAUGAAGAGUGGGUGGAGGGGUAUAUAUAGCCUCCACACAAAAUCUAACCGUUACACACAAUUCACCAAACUCGGUGGGACCGAUUCAGAGAACUCGGUCAGACCGAUUUGGUUCAUAAUGUGACCGUUAGGCAUUUCGGUGGGACCGACAUGUCAACUCGGUGGGACCGAUAUCAUUAGGGUUAGGGCAUAACAUAAUCUCGGUGAGACCGAUUACACAAACUCGGUGAGACCGAUUUUGGUAAUAGACAAAUAGAGAGUUGGCCAGGCAAACUCGGUGGGACCGAUUCGCUCAUCUCGGUUGGACCGAAACGUUAUGAAAGGGAAACAGAGAUCUUGCAUUGCAAUCUCGGUGGGACCGAUCGCUCAUCUCGGUUUGACCGAAACGUUACGAAGGGAAACAGAGAGAUUACAAUCCCAUCUCGGUGAGACCGAGAUCCCUAUCGGUGAGACCGAAAAGACUAGGGUUUCUGGCAAUGGCUAUGUCAACUGAACUCGGUGGCUCCGGAUAGAAAGAAUCGGUGGGGCCAAGUUGGACUUAUGGUUUGGGACAUAUGUUUAUAUGAGAAAGUAGUGGAGGGUUUUGGAGCAUAUCACUAAGCAUUUUGAGCAAGAACCUCAUUAAGCAACACCUCAUCCCUUCUUAAUAGUAUUGGCUUUUCCUAUAGACUCAAUGUGAUCUUGGAUCACUAAAAUAGAAAAUGUAGAGUCUUGUGCUUUGAGCUUGAGCCAAUCUUUUGUCCUUAGCAUUUUGAAGGGUCUACUUUCUAAUCCAUGCCAUGCCAAUCAUUGAGCUUUCCUGAAAUAUUUAUCUUGGAAUAGCAUUAGCUCAGUGAACUAUAUGUUGUUAGGAAUUACCAAAACCACCCAGGGAUAGUUGCACUUUCAAUCUCCCCCUUUUUGGUAAUUGAUGACAACAUAUAGAUCAAAGCUUCGACAAAUGAUAAGUAAGAUUGAAAAACAUCGUCACUUUGAGAGGUAUGUGAUAAGCAAGAGCUCCCCCUAAAUUUGUGCAUUAUUUAAAAUUUGCUUUUGAAUGCAAAUGCACAAUCGAUUAGGAUCAUGGGUUAUUCUUCCAUGUCACAUACAUCUUGGUGGAGCGCUCAAAAUGAUAGAAGUUAAAGCAUGCACUCAUCACCAAAACAAGUGAAUGAUCGUCUAGGAUAUAAGAGAUAAUAUCAUCUAACAAGCAUUAAGGGUAGCAUAUGAUCAAACAAGUAUCUCACAAGUAGCUCACACAAGCACACAAUAAAGUUUCAAACCAAACCAAAAAUAAGUGCAAAGAGAGAUAAAAACCAACACACUCUCUCUCUCUCGAAGCCUAUGAUCUAUACAUUUUUCUCCCCCUUUGGCAACAAGUUACCAAAAAGUUCAAAAAAGCAUAGUGCUAAAUGUCUCUCAGGCUUGAUCUUCGGGAGGUGGUGUUGAGAGAACUCCAAGAACGAAGGCUUCAGAUGAAGUAGGUGGAGCUGGUGGAGUAGCUGCUGGAGGUGGAACUGGAGCUGUAGCUGAUGGUGCUGAUGUUGUAGCUCUAGUGUCUGUCACUGGCACUGCAGCAGAUCUCUGUCCUCUGGGCACUCUGGCAAAAGCAUCUGUGGUAGACUUGCCCUUCUUCUCCUCUGCUUCCUCCUGAAGUUGCUCAACUGCAGUUUGGAUCUCUGUUACCUUGACAUCAAGGUCAUAGAAUUUCUGCUCAAUGAUCCUCUCCAUACUCUCCUGGUUCUUGGUCAGGGUGGCCAAGCCCUUCUCAAUCCUCAGGAUGGAUUGGAUUAGAUAUCCAAGCUGGUCUUGCUUGCUCUUCAAGAAUACCUGAGAUGUCUCUUCCACUGUUGGCAUCUUUGCAGCCUUCUCAGCUUUAGCCUUCUCUCUCUUCUCAUGUGCUUGAGCUGAAGAUGGUUCAUUCUCAUUCAUCACUACAGUGUUAUCUUCAAAUUCAGGAUAGAUGGGCAGGUGCUCCUUGUCCAAAAGAUAUGUGAGGGAGACCUGGCUUAGGGGGUCCUCGGACGGCCGGACUAUAUAGUUUAGCCGGACUGUUGGACUAUGAAGAUACAAGAUUGAAGACUUCGUCCCGUGUCCGGAUGGGACUCUCCUUGGCGUGGAAGGCAAGCUUGGCAAUACGGAUAUGUAGAUCUCCUCCCUUGUAACCGAAUCUGUGUAACCCUAGCCCCCUCCGGUGUCUCUAUAAAUCGGAGGGUUUAGUCCGUAGGACAAGAACAAUCAUACCAUAGGCUAGCUUCUAGGGUUUUAGCCUCUACGAUCUCGUGGUAGAUCAACUCUUGUAAUACUCAUAUCAUCAAGAUCAAUCAAGCAGGAAGUAGGGUAUUACCUCCAUCGAGAGGGCCCGAACCUCGAUAAACAUCAUGUCCCCCGCCUCCUAUUACCAUCCGCCUUAGACGCACAGUUCGGGACCCCCUACCCGAGAUCCGCCAGUUUUGACACCGACAUUGGUGCUUUCAUUUAGAGUUCCACCGUGCCGUCACCGUAAGGCUUGAUGGCUCCUUCGAUCAUUGGCAACGAUGCGAUCCAGGGUGAGGUUUUCCUCCCCGGACAGAUCUUCGUGUUUCGCGGCUUCGUACUGCGGGCUAACUCGCUUGGCCAUCUGGAGCAGAUCGAUAGCUACGCCCCUGGCCAUCAGGUCAGGUUUGGAAACUUGAACUAUAUUGCCGACAUCCGCGGAGACUUGAUCUUCGACGGAUUUGAGCCCAUGUCAGGUGCGCCGCACAAUCCCGACGAGCAUGAUUUAGCUCUGCCGUCGGACCGUGUUCGGGAGAUCACACCUGCAACUACUCCGGCCCUCAAUCCAGAACAAAUUGCGCCAUCCGAGGAUGGGUGGAUAGACCCCGCCAUGGAGGCCGCACUCUCAGUGGCGAUAGAGCCGAAUACUGACUUCACCCCUUACGAGAGCCGUGUUGCCGAACCAUUGGAUUCGUCCCCGGCCACGGGCUCUGAGCCGCUUGCGUCCGUGCCUAUCGAAUCCGAUUGGGCACCGAUCAUGGAGUUUACCUCCGCGGAUAUCUUUCAGCACUCGCCUUUUGGCGACAUACUAAACUCGUUGAAGUCUCUCUCCCUGUCGGGAGACCCUUGGCCGAACUAUGUCCGGCUAGAAUGGGAUGUGGACGACGAAGAAAUUCGCGGCCCACCCACCACCCACUUAGUAGCCACUGUCGACGAUUUAACCGACAUGCUCGACUUCGGCUCCGAAGACAUCGACGAUAUGGAUGACGAUGCAGGAGACGAACAAGAACCACCGCUCAUAGGGCGCUGGACGGCCACCUCAUCGUGUGACAUAUACAUGGUGGACACCCCUAAAGAAGGGGAUGGCGACAAGACAAUGGAGGAUAAUCCCUCCAAGAAGCAACCCAAGCACCGACGUCAGCGGCACCGCUCUAAGUCUCACCAUAGCAAAAGCAGCGAUACUGGCACAAGAGACAAUAACGCUCCGGAUAGUGCCGAAGACGACGACAAUCCCCUCCAGCCAGACCUCGAGCGGGAGGAUGAACAAGCUAGCCCUCCGGAACAGGCAGCAAACGGAGAAUCAGAGGAUGACAAUUACAUGCCUCUCUCCGAAGACGAAGUGAGCCUCGGCGACGAAGAAUUUGUCGUGCCUGAGGAUCCCGUCGAGCAGGAACGCUUCAAGCGUCGGCUUAUAGCCACAGCAAACAGCCUAAAGAAAAAGCAACAACAGCUUUGAGCUGAUCAAGAUCUGCUAGCGGAUAGAUGGACCGAAGUCCUGGCAGCCGAGGAAUACGAACUCGAGCGCCCAACCAAGAGUUAUCCAAAGCGCAGGUUGCUACCUCAACUCGAGGAGGAAGCAGUGAAACCUACAUCACCAGCGUAUGAUGUGGCUAAUCGGCCACCUCGUGGCCGAGACAGAGAGGCAUUUCAGCCCGAAGUCCAGCCCGCGCCCCCCCGCCAAUCAAACAAAAAUACCAAGGCCUGGGGCAACACGCAGGACCUGCGAGACGUAUUGGAAAGCAAGGCAAAACAUGCAAGAUCGAUCUACGGAUCACGGGGUCGCGCCCCAACGUGAGACGAUGAUUGUCACGCCGGAUAUACCAAAAGAAAAUCCGGUCGGGCCGAAUACAGCAGACAAGACUCGUAUGAACUGCGUCGUGAUAUAGCCUAGCACAGAGGCGCCACACACCCCCUAUGCUUCACUGAUGAAGUAAUGGAUCACGAAUUCCCAGAGGGUUUUAAACCCGUAAAUAUUGAAUCAUAUGACGGUACAACAGAUCCCGCGGUAUGUAUUGAGGAUUUCCUCCUCCACAUCCACAUGGCUCGCGGUGAUGAUCUACAUGCCAUCAAGUACCUCCCACUAAAACUCAAAGGACCAGCCCAGCAUUGGCUGAAUAGCUUGCCAGCAGACUCCGUUGGCAGUUGGGAGGAUUUGGAAGAUGCAUUCCUUGACAACUUCCAGGGCACUUAUGUGCGACCACCGGAUGCUGAUGACUUGAGCCAUAUAACUCAGCAGCCAGGGGAAUCGGCCAGGCAAUUCUGGACCCGGUUCUUAACUAAGAAAAACCAAAUUGUCGACUGUCCGGAUGCAGAGGCCUUAGCGGCAUUCAAGCAUAACAUCCGUGAUGAGUGGCUCGCCCGGCACCUCGGCCAGGAGAAGCCGAAGUCUAUGGCAGCCCUCACGACACUCAUGACCCGCUUUUGCGUGGGCGAGGAUAGCUGGCUGGCUCGCAGCAACAACACAUCAAGGAAUCCGGGCACUUCAGAUACCAAAGAUAAUAACGGCAGACCAUGUCGUAACAGACAUAAGCGCCGCAACAACGGUGAUAACACCGAAGAUACGGCAGUCAAUGCCGGAUUUAGUGGCUCUAAACCCGGUCAACGGAAAAAAGCCAUUCAAAAGAAGUACUCCGGGCCCGUCCAGUUUGGACCGCAUACUCGAUCGCUCGUGUCAAAUCCACGGCACCCCCGAUAAGCCAGCCAAUCACACCAACAGAGAAUGCUGGGUGUUCAAGCAGGCCGACAAGUUGAAUGCCGAAAACAAGGACAAGGGGCUGCAUAGCGAUGACGAGGAGGAGCCCCGGCCGCCAAACACAGGAGGACAGAAGAGGUUCCCUCUACAAGUGAAAACGGUGAACAUGAUAUACGCAACCCACAUUCCCAAGAGGGAAAGGAAACGUGCACUAAGGGACAUCCAUGCGAUGGAGCCAGUCGCCACAAAGUUCAACCCAUGGUCCUCUUGUCCGAUCACCUUCGAUCGAAGGGACCACCCCACUAGUAUUCGUCAUGGCGGAUCUGCCGCAUUGGUCCUUGACCCCAUCAUCGACGGAUUUCACCUCACCCGAGUCCUUAUGGACGGCGACAGCAACCUGAACCUGCUCUAUCAAGAUACAGUGCGCAAAAUGGGUAUAGACCCCUCGAGGAUCAAACCCACUAAACCCACCUUUAAAGGUGUCAUCCCAGGUGUAGAGGCCCAUUGCACGGGAUCAAUCACACUAGAAGUAGUCUUCGGAUCUCCGGACAACUUCCGAAGCGAGGAGUUAAUCUUUGAUAUCAUCCCAGGUGUAGAGGCCCAUUGCACAGCUGAGGCACAAAGCAGCCUUCCAAGGCAAACCGCCAAUUCAGCGAUAAAACCGCCGGACACCUUCAAGCGAGUCCGGAGCAACCUGCAACAGGACCGCCUGGCACGUUCAGAGCUUGCCUAGCAAUUCGGCCCCCGUCCUAGUCUCAGUCAAGCGACGGAAUAUGUGCCGCGUGUACAUAAUUACGCACUAAAAAUACCAUGGGCAUAGGCGGGGGCACGACCAGGGCACGUCCCACAAUGCGGCUCAACCACCCCAGGGGUUGUAUACCUUUAUCAUUUCUUCUCUUUCAGGACAUUACUCUCUGGAAGCCCUUUCCAGCAGUCCGAUUGCUGGACACAUUAUGGGAAGGAACACCCAAGGAGGCAAGAAGCUAAGAUGUACAAGGGAAUCCUCAGGUGGUCUCUGAUAACAAUCGAAGUACCCAUUUUUAAUACCCAUACGCAGCUUACCCAUGGACAGGACAUGUCAAAUAGUCCUAUUUUUUGCUUAUUGCACUACUUGUAUCAGUACGCUUCAACGUAUUAUUUAAAUAACAAUGCAUAGCAUUAGUCUAUUAUUGCAUUACCCUUCCUUUUUCUUGUCUAUUUUAUUUACGACAACUUGCACCUGUACAUUCUGGUACGACCAGUACGCCAGGGGCUUCAGUAUACCCCAUAAUACGGCGUAAGAAGUCCGAACACUUUCGACAGUGCGGCACCCCGAACUUAUAGCAUUAUAUGCAUCAGCUCCGAAUCAUGUCUUGGGUCAAUAGUUGGGUUUGCCCGGCUCCCAUGUUUUGGUACCUUACGUUCCGCAAUAUCGGCUAAGGUAGCGCUGGGAGAACUACUGCGAUUGUGUCCCGGUUCUUCCGGACAAGCACCUCAGUAGAGAAAGCCGAAAACUGACUGUCAUGAUAAGGCGAGAGCUGGUCGCUGUUCGAGAGGUCUCAAGUCCUUAAAGACUUUUUCCGCUUCGGGCGAGGAGUCGGCCUUGCCCGACUUAGGCGUAUAUAGCGCACCAAAUUCGGCCUUCCGAAUACUAGGGGCUUCGCCAAAAUUUAAAAUUGUAGACUUCUAUGGCUAAGUGAGAGUGAUAAAGCCUUAUAGUCCGAUUGCCUGGUUCGUUGUGCUGAACACCUCCCUCGAAGGACCCAAAAUUGGGAUAAAGAGUGCUCAGGUUUAUCCCGAACACCUCAGUACUAGUUACAUGGGGGCAGAAGGCGACGAAUGGCCAAUUCUCAGAUUUUAUAAACGGCCGCACAAAAGGUAAUAUUUUAAAUUAACAAGCGUUGCAUAGCGCAAAUGAACUCGUUUCACAUUACCGGAUCACAUGAGUACGUUCAUUCAAAUAUUACAUGUUUAGCACAUUCCUCCGCCACAAGGCGGGAACUCUUCAGGACACUGUCAUUUCGGGGUGGCGAUGCUCCUUGCCUUCCGGCGACCCCUCCUUCACCAGCUUUACAGCGUCCAGCUUCGCCCAGUGCACCUUCGCCCGGGCAAAGGCCCUGCAUGCACCCUCGAUGCAGACGGACCGCUUUAUGACUUCAAGCCAUGGGCAGGCAUUCACAAGCCGCCUCACCAGACCGAAGUAGCUGUCAGGCAGGGGAUCGCCAGGCCACAUCCGGACUAUAAGACCCUUCAUGGCCUGUUCGGCCGCCUUGUGGAGCUCGACCAGUUGCUUCAGCUGGUCGCUCAAGGGCAUUGGGUGUUCGGUCCCAGUAUACUGAGACCAGAACAACUUCUCCGUCGAGCUUCGCUCCUCAGCCCGGUAAAACUCCGCGGCAUCCAACACACUGCGGGGAAGAUCUGCGAAUACUCCUGGAGAGCUCCGAACUCGGGUAAGUAAAAGGAAAGUUUCCUUCACAUGCUUGCUUUGCAUAAUGAAUUCUUUACCCGCUGCUAUCUUCUUAACCGCCUCGAUCUCCUGGAGGGCCUUGUGGGCUUCCGCCUUGGCGUUUUGUGCGCUUUCGAGGGCCUUCGCAAGCUCGGACUCUCGUGUCUUAGAGUCAAGCUCCAAGGACUCGUGUUUUCUGGCGAGAGCCUCGAGCUCUUGCUGUACCUCGCCUACCCGAGCUUCUUGCUUUUCUUGCUCGAUGCGCUCCUUGGCCGCUUUGUCUUCGGCCUCGGACAGCGCCUUCUUCAGGGUCGCCACUUCGGUCGUGGCCUCUGGCAAAUUCAUGAUGAUCCUAUUAUUUUACAACUAAAUUUCUUUUUAAUAUAUAGACAUGGUAUCGCUUACCUUUGUUCUCUUCGAACUGCCUCUUGGUAAGGCCGAGCUCUUCCUUGGACCGCUCAAGGUCCUGCUUCAGUGCAGCGACCUCCGCAGUACGUGUGGCAGCGGCCCGCAGUGAAGCCUGCAUAUGCACAUAGACAUAUUCUGAUUAGACUCCUGAGUCAUUAUUUGAUCCUCUAUUCGGCCUUUCUUCACGAACGCCAAACAGAGCAUCAGGGGCUACUGUCUAUCCAGUAAUAUUUUCCUAUAAUUUAGUUACUUACCUGAAAACCUGUUAGGAGGCUGGCACAAGCUUCAGUUAGUCUGCUUUUGGUGGACUGAACCUUCUCGAUAACCGUACUCAUGAUAGUGCGGUGCUCUUCAUCGAUUGAAGCACCGCGAAGCGCUUCCAGCAAGUUGUCCGGUGUCUCUGGAUGGACAGAGGCCACCGGCACGGGCGGCUUGCCCCUCUUAACGGGGGGUCGCCUGACAGAGUCCGGAACCACUGGAGGUUCCAGCGCAGUGUUCGGCUGGAGGCCGAAUUCGGAGCCCAUGGGAGUCUUUCUCCCUUUGCGCCCAGGGUCCGGAAUGUCGCCUCGCGGCGCCUCCAGGACUACCUCCCCUCGGCUCGGUGCCCUUUGAGACAACACCUCGGCGUUGUCCGUAGGGAGAGGGGUGGAGGUGGUCGGAAGUGAAUCGCUAUUCAUAUCCGACGGGUCCAAAGAACCAUCUGACGAAGAUACGUCGAUAUGGGCUCGGGAGGACUGCAUAAUCAUGUUCGGCGUGAUGAGAAGCAGUACAAUAAAACAUACCAUGAAUUGCUAUGGUAUCCGGAUACUUACGACUUCGCUAGGGGCUUGUCCCUGGGCAACCACUCGUCGUCGCUGUAAGAGGCCGUCGUGGAGCAGUCCGGAAGGAGGGUCCUUCCCUUCUUGGACCCUUCGGCCUCCCCGGUUGGGGCGGCUUUCCUUUUCUUGUCUCCCCCGGCUGGGGGGGGAGAACUUUCCUCUUCCUCCUCCUCGUUUUCAUGGGAGGAGUGCGCCUCAGAGUUUUCGGACGAUGAGUCCGAUAUAACCUUGCGCCAGAGACCCUUUCGGGUCCCCGUGGCCUUCUUCUUGGCCUUCUUCACCGGCACCUUGUAAGGCGCCGGAAUUAGCAUCUCCGUUAGGAGAGCAUCUGCAGGAUCUUCAGGCAGGGGGGCUGGGCAAUCGAUCUGCUCCGCUAUCUCUACCCAGUCCUGUUAGAUGGCACGGAGGCUUAGACCCCGCACAUGAUUAAACUGGGGAAAAUAAACAUCCUGUGAGAUAUAAAAAAGUUACCGGAUUGGCAUGGCGCUUUGCGCUGAGUCCGCGGUCCUCGGUAAGGGGAGGAGGUACCUCGUCACCCUUGAAAAGCACCUUCCAGACAUCCUUGUGCGUCGUGUCGAAGAGCUCUCGCAGCGUCUGGUGCUUGGCCGGGUCAAACUCCCACAAACUGAAUGCCCGUCGUUGACACCGGAGGAUCCGGCGGAAGAGCAUGACCUGGACCACGUUGACAAGCUUGAUUUUCUUGCUCAUCAUGUUUCUGAUGCAUUUCUGGAGUCCAGUCAGCUCCACCAAUGAACCCCAGGACAGGCCCUUCUCUUUCCAGGAGGUGAGCCACGUGGGGAUUCCGGAUUGGAAUUCGGGGGCCGCCACCCAGUUGGUGUUGCGCGGCUCGGUGAUGUAGAACCACCCCGAUUGCCACCCCUUUAUGGUCUCCACAUAGGAGCCUUUGCGCCAGGUGACAUUAGGCAUUUUGCCCACCAUGGCGCCUCCACACUCCGCUUGCUGGCCGACCACCACCUUCGGUUUAACAUUGAAGGUCUUCAGCCACAGGCCGAAGUGGGGCCUGAUGCGGAGGAAGGCCUCGCACACGACGAUAAACGCCGAGAUGUUGAGGAUGAAAUUGGGGGCCAGAUCGUGAAAAUCCAGCCCGUAGUAGAACAUGAGCCCGCGGACAAAUGGGUGGAAGGAAAAUCCCAGUCCGCGGACAAAGUGGGUAAGGAAAACCACACUCUCAUGGGGUUCGGGAGUAGGGAUGAUCUGCCCCGCAUCUGGCAGCCGGUGUGCGAUGUCCGCGGACAAAUAUCCGGCUCCCCGUAGCUUUGUGAUGUUCUCCUCCGUGACGGAGGAGACCAUCCACUUGCCUCCCACUCCAGACAUGCUUGGAGUGGCUUGAGGGGAAAAACGCGAACUUGGGUGCUGGAGCUCGAGUGCGCAAGAAUGGAUGAGCAAGGACGAAGAAGGCGUGGGUAAAAAGAGGAAUCCUUGUCCCUUUAUAGGGGCGGAGGAAACUAUAUGCCUCCCCACCUGCCCAGUAAAACUCGCUUAUUCCCCAAGCGCCGUAAUUGAUGGCGCGGUUGGAUUACCCACAUCCGUAUUGAUGAGAAUCCCGUGAUAAGGGGACACGAUCUCUGCUUCGACAAGACGUGCCAAGAAAACCGCCUCGCAAUACGUGCAGUAGCUGCUUGAGAAAAACGGUUCGAAUAAUGACCGGGCCAUGGUAUGAUGUCAUGCUACCAAACGUGUUAGUAGAUUAGAUUUGUGGAAAUAUUAUUCUCUCUACGGUGGUAUGUGGAACUUGUUCAAGAUCUUCUAUGGAGUAUUCGGAGGAAGAACCCGCCUUGCAAUUCUGAAGACAAAUCUGCGUGCCGCACUCAUCGUCAUUGAAGCCUGGUCCAGGGGCUACUGAGGGAGUCCUGGAUUAGGGGGUCCUCGGAUGGCCGGACUAUAUACUUUAGUCGGGCUGUUGGACUAUGAAAAUACAAGAUUGAAGACUUCGUCCCGUGUCCGGAUGGGACUCUCCUUAGCGUGGAAGGCAAGCUUGGCAAUACGGAUAUGUAGAUCUCCUCCCUUGUAACCGACUCUGUGUAACCCUAGCCCCCUCCGGUGUCUAUAUAAACCGGAGGGUUUAGUCCAUAGGACAAGAACAAUCAUACCAUAGGCUAGCUUCUAGGGUUUUAGCCUCUACGAUCUCGUGGUAGAUCAACUCUUGUAAUACUCGUAUCAUCAAGAUCAAUCAAGCAGGAAGUAGGGUAUUACCUCCAUCGAGAGGGCCCGAACCUGGAUAAACAUCGUGUCCCCCGCCUCCUGUUACCAUCCGCCUUAGACGCAUAGUUCGGGACCCCCUACCCGAGAUCCACCGGUUUUGACACCGACAAUAUGUGCCUGUGCCCAUCUUUGAGUUGAUGAGCUCCUGAAUGUGCGGGGCAUACCCACAACUUCUCUUCUGGUCAGCAGCAGUCCUCUUGAUUGUCUCAACAAUCAGGCUCAUAACUUUGAACUUCUGUGGGACAUCAAAUAUAUGCAGCAAGUUGAUGGCAUGUCCUCUGAUCAUCUUGUGAUCACCUGACUUGGGUAGCAGUGUGUGCCUUAAGAUCCAGUUUAUGGUUGGCAGACCAGACAACAAGUAAUGGACAGAUCCAAACCUAUGUGUAUCCAAGGCAGCAUCUGGGAUCUCUUUGUACAUGUUGGCCAUAGUGUUGUGGUCUUUCUUCUUCUCUGCAUAAAUAUCCAAGUCAUCCUCAUGUUCCUUAGGAGCAUUUAUAAGCUUGGCCCAUUCCUCAACUGUAGACUGGUACCUAGUACCCUCAGACAUCCAUACUAUCCUUCCAUCUAGAUAGAAGUGUGAAGUGGAGUAAAACUGCAUGAUGAGCUCAUCAUUCCACUUGGUGAGCUUCUAGGCAAAAAAAGUGUCCACUCCACAUGCCUUGAAGCUAUCAAGCACACCAGGGAAGUGAUCCUCAUUUUCCUUGAUGAAUUCCCAGUCAACCCAUCUCAUAUCACACACAAUGGGCUUCUUGUCAAGCAGAAUAGUCUCAGAAGUCCUGCUGUUCCUUAGUGUGAAAUCUGUAGUCCACAGCAGGCCUUCUCCUGAUAGCAUAUGGAUCAGACUGUCUCCAUAGUCUCAAUCAUGCAUCCUUCCUGAUCUUCAUGUUCUCUGCAAUUGGGUGUGCAUCAGUGUGGUCAGGGAUCUUGGGUUUCAGCUUCCUCAAUACAACAGAAUCAUCUUCUUCUUCUUCAGCAGCUUGAGGCAUUGGGGCCUUGUUCUUCUCUUCUGCAGGGAUGUUCCUAGUGCUUCUCUUGGUUUUUGGCUUUGGAGCUGGAGCAGCAGCCUUGGGAGCAGCUUUGGGCUUAGAUGGAGCAGCCCCUGAUUUGAUUGCAUCUCCCAUGAGCUUCUGAGCUUUGGGUGCUAGUGCAGCAUCCUCUUCCUCUUCUUCUUCAGAAGGUUCUUGCAUCAUGGAGGGCUUUCCAAUGACUCUGGCCAUGGUUUUCUUAACCCUCUCCUUUCUCUUCUUCCCUUUUUCAGCUUCUUCAGCAGCUGAUUUUGAAGCUUCAGUAGUUGAUGAUCUGACUUUUGACAUGGGCUGUCUUCUUGCUGGCAUCUUUGUUUUCAUUCCUGGCUUAGUUGCAGCAGCUGAGCCAUAUUCUUUCUUAAGCACCUUCUUCUUUGAAGUGGCUUCAUCAUCAACAGCCACAUAAUCUUCAUCCUCAGAGUCAGAAGUUCUCUUCUUCCUUAUCCUGGUAGCAACCUUUGGCAGAUUGCUUGGAGUGCUCCUGCUGCCUUCAUCAUAGCUACUAGAGGGAUCUGAGCCCUCACUCAUCUGCACCUGUUGCUCAGACCUGUUCUGACUAUCACUCUGGUCAGACAUCUCUGCAAAUACUCUGAUAGCAGACCCUGUGAAUAGGUUAUAGAUGAGGUAGAGUAGAUGAGCAUCACAAAGUACAGGAGUUUUGCAAAAAGGAUGACUUAAAAACUUAGUUUUAGUUCUUCACAGAAAGCAUUUCGGAGCUACCGAUUUGUAAACUCGGUGAUACCGAAGCAGCUUUUGGAACCUAUACUAGUGAACUCGGUUAGACCGAGUCACAGUUCGGUGGUACCGAGACUGCUACGGUUUCACAGAGAAUCAAACUCGGUCACACCGAUUUGCAAUUUUCGGUCAGACCGAAAACGCAUGUGCUCUGGCCUAAGCCAAAAUCGGUGAGACCGAUUUCUACAAAUCGGUCGGUCUGAGAUGAAUUCGGCGGAGACCUAACCCUAAAUUUUCAAAUCAAAACUAAUCUACGGGAUGUUUUCGCUGGACAGGAUGAUCUCAAUCGUGGCAAGAAUCAUGGCAAAGCAAUGUGCUAAGAAUCGGAGAUAAGGAUUAGCACAAAGUUCAAGUCCGUACCCUAGUUCGGCGACGAACCUGCUACGGCGGCAAUGGCGGUGAAGAUUGCCGUUGACGGCGGCGGAGACCAGUGGCGGGAGGUCGCUAGCGACAAGAGGACGAUCCGGACACCCAAGGAGGCAGAGCAGGUUACGCGCGGGCUAGGAGGUUCGGAAAAAUUUCCAAAAUUUGGCCCGUCGGUAUAUAUAACCUGACCCUGUCGGUGUGACUGAGUGGAACGUCUCGGUGGCACCGAGAUGCAAAACUGCAAGCAGUUACUGCAACUCAGUGUGACCGAAAGGUUCUAAUCGGUUGCACCGAGAUUGAAAACCCUAGAUCAACUUAGUGACUCGAUAGGACCAAAGGGGAUGAAUCGGUCAGACCGAGAUGCACAAAGAGGUUUUGGAGAUUUAAGUCUAUGACGAAUCGGGAACUCUGAGUGCUCCUCACACAGAGUGGUUCGAAUCUGACUUGAUCAAACUUUGUGAUGUAGCAUGAAUAGAGUUUGAGACGAGAAAAGCAUAGAUAGCUAGAGGGAGUUCUUAGGCAUUCUUGUCCAUCCAUUUGGCAAAAGAUAAAGAGCCAAACAAUCAAAACAACAAAUGGAUGUCCUCGAAUGAGUAAAAUAUGCAUUCAACAUGCUCACACAAUAAAAUGGCAAAUGAAAUAUGUGACAAAGCAUGCGCAAACACUCUAGCAUCUAUCAAGCAAUUAGGCGAUGACUAGGUCAUCUAUAUAUGAGUAUAUUUACUUAGGAGUCAAAUGAGAACAUUUGAUCAUAGGUCAUACUUAUCGUUUAAGCACAAGUGGGGUUACCACUUUUACAUAAAGCAUUGUUGUGUUCACACCAUUAGAGUUGCUUUAGCUCAAUUUAUUAGAGUAAAGCUCCCCCUAGAUGUGAUAUCCCCCCCUAAGAGGGAUGAACUAACCUUGGGUUUUGUCGAUGAUGACUUCAUGUAGGUGUUGAAGAUGUAGAUGCUCAAUGUUGAUGUAGAUCAUUCGGAGCAAUCCUUUGGAGUGAGUUGAACUUUCAAUACCUGCACGGGUUAGUCCCACAAGGAACAAACAAGAAUAUCCAUAGACAUAGAGUGAUGCAUACACAAGAUGAUGUCCAUGAAAGCAUUAGGUUUCCUUGUCCCUUGUCUCACCAACAAGAGGGUUUGUGACUCCUUGAACUAGUGCAAGAUACGGAAGUUGUUUGCACUUGUCCUCGCCAAAAUGAUAAGAGUGAAGUAUGUUGGCGGAGUCACCCUCAAGAACUCUCUAGUCCUUCUUCUUCUGGAUCCACACCAUCUUGAUGGGAAUCCUUGGAGUUGUAGUUGUACUUGAUGAAGUAGAACUUGAUGUAGUCUUGGGAACCCACUUGACCAAGGCCUUAGGUGCUUCUUCAAAUGCAUCAAUUUCCUCUUGAAGCUUGUCCUUGCCUUUUUGCUUGUGGUCUUGUGCUGGAAGAUCAUCUUGAGCUUGUGUCCCUUUGAAAGAAGUAGGAUCAUACUUCUCGUGUUGAGGAACAAACUUUGUCUUGGGGUAUUGAUCUUCUUCCCACUCAACUCCAUUGGCAUUGAACUUUCGUUCAAAACCAACACCUUGAUUCUUCCGGUGUCUUCCUUGCUUGCGCACAAUUUCCUCAAAUUUCUUACUUCCGGCAAGGCUCUUGUAAACACCUUUCUCUAUAAUUCCCUUCAAUAAGCUAUUUUCUUGCUCAAGUGUAACUUGGCUAACAACAUUGGAUUUAGCAUGAUUGUUGUUACUACUAGAUGAAGCAUCUUUCUUGUUCUUGUUGCUAGAUUUAACUUGUGGCAUGUAAGUAGACAAGAGUAAACGCUUGGCAAUGUAAGAAGAACUUUUCUUGCGAAGAUCAUCAUUGAGUGCCUUUAAAAACUCAUGCUCUUGCUCAAGGUUGAGCUUUUCAAAGCGUAGCUUAUCAUGAGUCUUUAAAAGUUCUCGAUGAUUUUCCAAGGUAGUUUCAUGAGCUAACUUAAGAGUGUUUAGUUCUUUAGUUAGUUGCUCAAUCUCCUUCUUAUCAUCGUCAUUCGUUUUAUCUUGAUUAGCAUGAUCAAUUGACGUUUCAUCAUAGUCUUCAUCACUAGAGCUGUCAACAAGGAAAUCAUCAUCACCUAGCAAAUCAUCUUCAUCACUAUUGAAAUCAACAUACUCGGGAUGUGUUACCUUUGGACCUUUGGCCAUGAAGCAUCUUCCAAUUCCUUCAUUUGGUGAGUCAAAUAUGUCAUAGGAGUUGGUUGACACAAGUGUUAGACCGGCAACACCUUCAUCUUGAGUAUAUUCGGAGUCGGAGUGAUAACUUCUUUCGGAGUGAUGGUUGGAGUCGGAGCCGGAUACCCAUUCACCAACAUGAGCUUGAUGUCUUCUUUUUGUGUAGCUCCUUGAUGACUUUUCCUUCCUUUCUGAAUCCUUGCUUCUCCGAGAGGGUCUACUCCUCCUUUCUCUUGGUGGUGAUUCUUCUCUUCUACUUCUUCUUUUGGGAGAAUCUUCCCUUCUUUUGUAGGGGGUCGUACACUCAUUGGAGUAGUGUCCGGGUCUUCCACAAUUGUAGCAAUUUCGCUCACGACUAGAAGAUCUUUUGUCAUUGUAGGACCUUGACUUGGAACUUCUUUCUUUGCUUCUACUCUUGUAGAACUUGUUGAAGUUCUUUACCAUUAGGCUCAAUUCUUCAUUUAAGGUCUGUUUCUCACUUGAUGAUGUGGGAGCAUCACACGAGGCUUUGUAAGCACCACUAGACUUGUUGUGAAGCUCUUCCUUAUCCUUGAGUGACAUCUCAUGAGCAACAAUUCUUCCAAUGACUUCCGUUCGCUUGAGAUCUUUGUAAUUGGGCAUCAUUUGGAUCAAUGUGCACACGGUAUCAUAUUUUCCAUCCAAGGCUCUUAGGAUCUUCUUGAUGAUGAAUUUGUUGGUCAUCUCUUCACUUCCUAAGCCGGCAAUCUCAUUUGUGAUGAGAGCAAGCCUAGAGUACAUUUCAGCGGCACCUUCACCAUCCUUCAUUUUGAACUUGUCAAGUUGACUUUGAAGCACAUCCAAUUUGGAUUCCUUGACGGAGUCGGUACCUUCGUGCAUAUCAAUCAAUGUAUCCCAAAUUUCCUUUGCAUUCUCAAGAUGGCUGAUUUUUUUGAAUUCUUCGGGGCCCAAUCCGUUGAAGAGAAUAUCACAAGCUUGAGCAUUGUAUUGUAGCAUCUUCAACUCUUCUGCGGUAGCUUCACGGUUAGGUUCUUUCCCAUCAAAUAAUUCACCUUGCAAGCCAAUACACACAAUAGCCCAAACGGCAGGGUUAUGUCAAAGAAUAUGCAUUUUCAUCUUAUGCUUCCAACUAGCAAAAUUUGUACCAUCAAAGUAAGGACCUCUAUGGUGGUAAUUUCCCUCGCUAGACGCCAUACUCUCCUAGGUUGUGAAACCAAGGCUAUGACCACCAAAAGCUAUGGAAAUCAAAGCAAAUGGAGACCAAUGCUCUGAUACCACUUGUAGGAUCGAAAGUAUGUCUAGAGGGGGGUGAUUAGACUACUUGACCAAAUAAAAAUCUAGCCUUUUCCCAAUUUUAGUUCUUGGCUGAUUUUAGCAACUUAGCACAAGUCAAGCAAUCAACCUACACAUGCAAUUCUAAGAGUAUAGCAGCGGAAUGUAAAACAAUUGCAUAUGAAGGUAAAGGGAAGAGUUUGAGGGAGCAAACGCAAUGUUGACACGGAGAUUUUUUAUCCGUGGUUCCGAUAGGUGGUGCUAUCGUACAUCCACGUUGAUGGAGACUUCAACCCACGAAGGGUAACGGUUGCGCGAGUCCACGGAGGGCUCCACCCACGAAGGGUCCACGAAGAAGCAACCUUGUCUAUCCCACCAUGGUCGUCGCCCACGAAGGACUUGCCUCACUAGGGUAGAUCUUCACGAAGUAGGCGAUCUCCUUGCCCUUACAAACUCCUUGGUUCAACUCCACAAUCUUGACGGAGGCUACCAAGUGACACCUAGCCAAUCUAGGAGACACCACUCUCCAAGAAGUAACAAAUGGUGUGUUGAUGAUGAACUCCUUGCUCUUGUGCUUCAAAUGAUAGUCUCCCCAACACUGAACUCUCUCUCAUAGGAUUGGAUUUGGAAGAAAGAAGAUUUGAGUGAAAAGCAACUUGGGGAAGGCUAGAGAUCAAGAUUUAUGUGGUUGGAAUGGAAUAUCUUGACCUCAACACAAGUGUAGGUGGUUCUCUCUCAGAAAAUAUGUAUUGGAAGUGUAGGCAUGUUCUGAUGGCUCUCUCCACGAAUGAAGAGUGGGUGGAGGGGUAUAUAUAGCCUCCACACAAAAUCUAACCGUUACACAUAAAUCACCAAACUCGGUGAGACCGAUUCAAAGAACUCGGUCAGACCGAUUUGGUUCAUAAUGUGACCGUUAGGCAUUUCGGUGGGACCGACAUGUCAACUCGAUGGGACCGAUAUCAUUAGUGUUAGGGCAUAACAUAAUCUCGGUGAGACCAAUUACACAAACUCGUUGAGACCGAUUUUGGUAAUAGACAAACAGAGAGUUGGUCAGGCAAACUCGGUGGUACCGCGCUCAUCUCGGUUGGACCAAAACGUUACGAAAGGGAAACAGAGAGCUUGCAUUGCAAUCUCAGUGGGACCGAUUGCUCAUUUCGGUUUGACCGAAACGUUACGAAGGGAAACAGAGAGAUUACAAUCCCAUCUCGGUUAGACCGAGAUCCCUAUCGGGAGACCGAAAAGACUAGGGUUUCUGGCAGUGGCUAUGUCAACUGAACUCGGUGCCUCCGGAUAGAAAGAAUCGGUGGGGCCGAGUUGGACUUAUGGUUUGGGACAUAUGUUGAUAUGAGAAAGUAGUGGAGGGUUUUGGAGCAUAUCACUAAGCAUUUUGAGCAAGAACCUCAUUAAGCAACACCUCAUCCCUUCUUAAUAGUAUUGGCUUUUCCUAUAGACUCAAUGUGAUCUUGGAUCAUUAAAAUAGAAAAUGUAGAGUCUUGUGCUUUGAGCUUGAGCCAAUCUUUUGUCCUUAGCAUUUUGAAGGGUCCACUUUCUAAUCCAUGCCAUGCCAAUCAUUGAGCUUUCCUGGAAUAUUUAUCUUGGAAUAGCAUUAGCUCAAUGAGCUAUAUGUUGUUAGGAAUUACCAAAACCACCCAGGGAUAGUUGCACUUUCAAUCUCUCAAAUUUUUCUUUGAGCUCUGGCACCUCUACAAAUCCCUACUUCCCUCUGCGUAGGGCCUUUCUUUUACUUUAUGCAAUUUUUAUUUUCAAUUUGAGUCUCCAUCUUCUCUUAUAUAGCACCAACUAGGAGGCACUAUGGUCGUACUUGAGCAUUCGGUGUAGCUAAUAUGGGAGUGUGUUUCAUGAAUGGAUCGAUGAUUGAGCAUGAUGGGCUAGGGAUAACUUAUUUUAGCAUUGAUAUUUUGAAAGACAUGGUUGCUUGUUGAUAUGCUUGAGUAUUUAAGUCUCAUGUCAAAACUAGACUAUUGCUUUGAACCAUAUAAAAGUCCAAAUGUCCAUGCUAUAAAGAAAAGAAUAUGAUAUGACAUGUUAGGCAGCAUUCCACAUCAAAAAUUCCGUUUUUAUCAUUUACCUACUCGAGGACGAGCAUGAAUUAAGCUUGGGGAUGCUGAUACGUCUCCAACGUAUCUAUAAUUUUUUAUUGUUCCAUGCUGUUAUAUUAUCAUUCUUGGAUGUUUUACAAUCAUUUUAUAGUCAUUUUAUAUCAUUUUUUGGUACUAACCUAUUGACCUAGUGCCAAGUGCUAGUUGUUGUUUUCUGCAUGUUUUUUACAUCACAGGAAAUCAAUACCAACGGAGUCCAAACGCAGUGAAACUUUUUGUGGAUUUUUUGGACCAGAAGACAUCCAGUGGGCCGGAGAAGCACGUGGGGGGUUCUCCGAGGGGAGCACAACCCACCAUGGCGCCCCUAGGGACCCAGGCGCGCCCAGGUGGGUUGUGCCCCCCUCGGGUGCCCCCUGAACCGCCUCUUUGCUCUAUAAAUACCCCAAUAUUCCAGAAACCCUAGGGGAGUCGACGAAAAUCAAUUCCAGCCGCCGCAGAGUACAGAACCACCAGAUCCAAUCUAGACACCAUCACGGAGGGGUGCAUCAUGUCCAUUGGUGCCUCUCCGGUGAUGCGUGAGUAGUUCUUUGUAGACCUACGGGUCCGUAGUUAGUAGCUAGAUGGCUUCCUCUCUCUCGUUAGAUUCUCAAUAUAAUGGUCUCUUGGAGAUCCAUAUGAUGUAACUCUUUUUGCGGUGUGUUUGUUGGGAUCCGAUGAACUUUGAGUUUAUGAUUAGAUCUAUCUUUUUAUCCAUGAAAGUUAUUUGAGUCUUCUUUGAUCUCUUAUAUACAUGAUUGCUUAUAGCCUCAUAUUUCUUCUCCGAUAUUUGGGUUUUGUUUGGCCAACUUGAUCUAUUUAUCUUGCAAUGGCAAGAGGUGCUUUGUAGUGGGUUCGAUCUUACGGUGCUUGAUCCCAGUGACAGAAGGGGAACCGACACGUAUGUAUCGUUGCUACUAAGGAUAAAAUGAUGGGGUAUAUUUCUACAUAAAUAGAUCUUGUCUACAUCAUGUCAUCGUUCUUAUUGCAUUACUCCAUUUUUCCAUGAACUUAAUACACUAGAUGCAUGUUGGAUAGCGGUUGAUGUGUGGAGUAAUAGUAGUAGAUGCAGGCAGGAGUCGGUCUACUAAUCUUGGACGUGAUGCCUAUAUAAUGAUCAUUGCUUGGAUAUCGUCAUGAUUAUUUGAAGUUCUAUCAAUUUCCCAACAGUAAUUUGUUCACCCACCGUUUGCUAUUUUCUCGAGAGAAGCCACUAGUGAAAUCUACGGCCCCCGAGUCUCUUCUUUAUUAUAUUUGCCUUUGUGAUCUAUUUUCUUUUGCUUUUAUUUUCAGAUCUAUUAAACCAAAAAUACAAAAAUACCUUGCUGCACUUUAUUUUAUUUGGUGUUCGAUCUAUCAAUGUUUACAACUCUCUCACGUCCGUUUGCCUAUCUUUGGCGCCGUUGCUCGAAAGGGAUUGACAACCCCUUUAACACGUCGGGUUGCGAGUAUUUGUUAUUUGUGUGCAAGUGUCAUUGACGUAGUGUUGCAUGAUUCUCCUACUGGUUCGAUAAGCUUGGUCUCAUCACUGAGGGAAAUACCUACCGUUGUUGUGCUGCAUCAUCAAUUCCUCUUUGGGGAAAUACCGACGUAGUUCAAGCCAACAUCAAGGACACACCAAAGCUUCCAGGGUUUCCUGUCCAGACACGGAGUCACCUUAUAGCUCGGCCUUGCAGUAGUCGUACAGCAUCCCACCUGUCUGGCCCAUAAGAGAAAGGCCGGCUGCCCGAGGACCCCCUAGUCCAGGACUCCCUCAGGCGCCGCACCGAAGCCAGAGGAGGUGGCUUUCCCGGCCUUCUUCCUCUUCUCCGCCUUGGCCGUGGAAUCUCUCGCAAAAAACAUCGCUGCGGGUGCUCUGAACGCUCGAGCCUGGAGAGGAAUGGAGAGGCCGAGGCAGAUAGAAGGGGAUAUAGGGUCCCGACCUCAGCCCCUAAACCUUUUAUAUCACGGAGCAAAUCAUAUGCCAGAUCUUGUCCAUAGAUCCCCGGAUCGACAGCGCGCGGCAAGGCAUCGCGCAGAACAGACGCUGCACGUGGCAGAUUUUGUGCACGAAAAUCAAGGAGCCGUGCCCCCACUUUCCCCACUAAUGCACGUCGUUACCACUUCUGCGCGCGCACACACAAAUUCAAAUCCCAAGAUUUUCGGGCGAAUCAAUCCGAUUGAUUACCCCCGGUUCCUUUCCUAAACGAUGCAUGUCAGUCCAACUGACCACCCUCCAAGGGGAUUCGUGCACUCGGCCAUGCUAAACACCUGAUUGAAGUAAACUUUAGGAUUGCUAUAAGACGAGCUCGACGCCCCUCCGCGGGUUGACUUGGCCCUUCAACAGGCUCCAAGGCGCAUGACUCGUAAACCUGGACUCGUAGAAGGCCAGCGCUGGCGUUCCCCUGGGAUAAGGAGUGGCAUCUCUCCAGAGAAUCAGGCCUCGCGCCAGCGUCGCCGCUCGAGUUGUUAUGGCAUGCUCUCACUCGGGCCUCAAGUCUAUCUCCCCCGGGAGACAAAUGAAUGCCACCAGGUUUUUCUCGGCGAUCGACAACACCCGGUUAUCUGGGAAAACUUGUAGUCCAGAAUCCAUUGUGUUUUCAUCCAAGGAGCAGCGAACCACGACUCGAAAACAUAUUCCGAGUGCCCUAGAAGCACUCAGACUUAAACAAAGGAUCGGUUCGUUUACCCUAUGAAACCUGAACCGACUCGGGGGCUAAUGAUGAGGUCACCUAUUACAGGUAGGGUCAAGGACCCAUCAUAUGGGACCCACAUGGGGCCCAUCACCACCAUUGGUAGGUCCUAGGACCAUGCCGGCAUUCAGAUGCACAUAUCAGGGAGUCCACUCGGACAGCUCGACAGCACUCGGACAACCACCCGUCACUCGGCUGGACAACCACCACUCAGACUAAAGAGGUGAAGGGACGGCGUGGGAGCUGCAACGGUCGAGGAAUCCUAAGUCGCCCUUGAAGCAGAGUCAAGACUACUGUUACCUAUAACUGAUGUAGUAGAAGCUCAUAAUACCUGUAACUGAUGCAUUCAAUGUCACUUAAUUCCCCGGCGACUGAUGUCUACUAUGCAACUUUAUUCUUGUAGACUCGUGUUGGGCCUCCAAGCACAGAGUUUUGUAGGACAGUAGCAAUUUUCCCUCAAGUGGAUGACCUAAGGUUUAUCAAUCCGUGGGAGGCGUAGGAUGAAGAUGGUCUCGCUCAAGCGACCCUGCAACCAAAUACAAGAAAUCUCUUGUGUCCCCAACACACCCAAUACAAUGGCAAAUUGUAUAGGUGCACUAGUUCGGCGAAGAGAUGGUGAUAAAAGUGUAAUAUGGAUGGUAGAAAUAUAUUUUUACAAUCUGAAUAAAUAAAAACAGCAAGGUAGCAAAUAGUAAACGGGCACAAAAAUGGUAUUGCAAUGCUUAGAAACAAGGCCUAGGGUCCAUACUUUUGCUAGUGCAAUCUCUCAACAAUGCUAAUAUAAUUGGAUCAUAUAACCAUCCCUCAAAGUGCGAUGAAGAAUCAUUCCAAAGUUCCUAUCUAGCGGAGAACAUAAGAAUAAAUUUUUUGUAGGGUACGGAACCACCUCAAAGCUAUUCUUUCCGUUCGAUCUAUUCAAGAGUUCGUACUAACAUAACACAAAGCUAUUCUUUCCAUUCGAUCUAUCCUAGAGUUCGUACUAAUAUAACACCAAAGCAAAUUCAGAUUCAUAAUACUCAAUCCAACAUAAAGAACCUCAAAGAGUGCCCCAAGAUUUCUACCGGAGAAACAAAGACAAGAACGUGCAUCAACCCCUAUGUGUAGAUUACCCCAAUGUCACCUCGGGAAUCCGCGAGUUGAGUGCCAAAACAUAUAUCAAGUGAAUCAAUAUGAUACCCCAUUGUCACCACGAGUAUUCAUAUGCAAGACAUAUAUCAAGUGCUCUCAAAUCCAUAAAAGUAUUCAAUCCGAUAACAACGAAAUCUCAAAGGGAAAAACUCAAUUCAUCACAACAAGAUAGAGAGGGGAAAACACCAUAUGAUCCAACUACAUUAACAAAGCCCACGAUACAUCAAGAUCAUGCCAUAUCAAGAACACGAGAGAGAGAGAGAGAGAGAGAGAGAUUAAACACAUAGCUACUGGUACAAACCCUCAGCCCCGAGGGUGGACUACUCCCUCCUCAUCAUGGUGGCCGCCGGGAUGAUGAAGAUGGCCACCGGUGAUGAUCCCCCCUCCGGCAGGGAGCCGGAAUAGGGUCUAGAUUGGUUUCUCGUGGCUAUAGAGCCUUGCAGCGGUGGAACUUCUCAUCUAGGAUUACCCGAAGGGUUUUGGAAUAUUUGGGAAUUUAUAGGGCGAAGAGGGGGUAUGGGAGGCCACUGAGGUGGGCACAACCCACCCGGGCGCGCCUGGGCCCCCANNNNNNNNNNNNNNNNNNNNNNNNNNNNNNNNNNNNNNNNNNNNNNNNNNNNNNNNNNNNNNNNNNNNNNNNNNNNNNNNNNNNNNNNNNNNNNNNNNNNNNNNNNNNNNNNNNNNNNNNNNNNNNNNNNNNNNNNNNNNNNNNNNNNNNNNNNNNNNNNNNNNNNNNNNNNNNNNNNNNNNNNNNNNNNNNNNNNNNNNNNNNNNNNNNNNNNNNNNNNNCCAUAAAAAUCCACAAAAAGUUUUGCGGUGUUUGGACUCCGUUUGAUAUUGAUUUCCUGCGAUGUAGAAACAAGCAAAAAACAGCAACUAGCACUAGGCACUGGGUCAAUAGGUUAGUCCCAAAAAAUGAUAUAAAGUUGCUAUAAAAUGAUUGUAAAACAUCCAAGAAUGAUAAAAUAACAGCAUGAAUACUUCAUAAAUUAUAGAUACGUUGGAGACGUAUCAGCGACGUGGAGGACAUGGGGCUGCGGUGUACUCUAUAUAAGUUGCCGCCCACCUCCUUAGUGGGGGUCAAGAAAUAUUUGUAACCAUACCCAUCAAAUCAAAACCAAGCCUCAGGGCACGAGACGUAGGGAUGUUUCCUCCUCCAAGAGGGGCUUGAACUCGUUAAACACCGAGUGUUACACCUGCGCCAUAGCUAGGUUCUGCCCCUUAUUCGUACCCCUAGAACUCAUUGUCAGGAUCGUAACCCCGACACCCCCCCCCCCCCGGGUACGCCCGCCGAGCUUGUCGCCAGCUCGUGGCCCUUCUGACCUCCUCCCGAAGCUUCCAGGGUGUCUUGUGGUCCAAUAAAAAUCAUCGUCCAAGAAAAAUCAUCAAAAAGUUUCUUUCCAUUUGGACUCCGUUUGCUAUUGAUUUUCUGUAAAGACAAAAACAAGGAAAAAACAGCAACUAGCACUGGGCACUAGGAUAAUAGGUUAGUCCCAAAAAUGAUAAAAUAGCAUAAUAAUGCAUAUCAAACAUCCAAGAUUGAUAAUAUAAUAGCAUGUAACAAUCAAAAAUUAUAGAUACGUUGGAGACAUUGAAGAAUCCCCCAGCUUAAUUCCUGCUCGUCCUCGAGUAGGUAAAUGAUAAAAACAAAAAAAUUGAUGUGGAAUGCUACCUAACAUGUUUAUCAUGUAAUCUUUUUUUAUGUGGUAUGAAUAUUCAGAUCCAUAUAAGAAUCAAAACAAAAGUUUAAUAUUGACAUAAAAAUAAUAAUACUUCAAGCAUACUAAAAAGCAAUCAUGUCUUUUCGAAAUAUCAUGGCCAAAGAAAGUUAUCCCUACAAAAUCAUAUAGUCUCGUAAUGCUCCAUCUUCUUAACACAAAGUAUUUAUCAUGCACAACCCUGAUGACAAGCCAAGCAAUUGGUUCAUACUUUUAACACGCUUCAACUUUUUCAACUCUCACGCAAUACAUGAGUGUGAGCCAUGGAUAUAGCACUAUGGGGGGAAUAGAGUAUGAUGUUGGAGGUUGUGUGGAGAAGACAAAAAAGAAGAAAGUCUCACAUUGACAAGGCUAAUCAACGGGCUAUGGAGAUGCCCAUCAAUUGAUAUCAAUGCAAGGAGUAGGGAUUGCCAUGCAAUGGAUGCACUAGAGCUAUAAGUGUAUGAAAGCUCAAAAGAAAACUAAGUGAGUGUGCAUCCAACUUGCUUGCUCAUGAAGACCUCGGGCAUUUGAGGAAGCCCAUCAUUGGAAUAUACAAGCCAAAUUCUAUAAUGAAAAAUUCCCAAUAGUAAUAUAUGGAAGUGACAAAAUAGGAGACUCUCUAUCAUGAAGAACAUGGUGCUACUUUGAAGCACAACCACAGAAAAAGAUAGUAACAUUGUCCCUUCUCUCUUUUUCUCUCAUUUUUUCGUUCUUUUUCUGUUUUUUUAUUUUGUUGGGCACUUUGGCCUCUUUUUUUCUUGGGCUCGUUUGGCCUCUUUUUCAUUUUUUAUAUUCCUCACAUAGGACAAUGCUCUAAUAAUGAGUAUGAUCAUCACACUUCUAUUUACUUACAACUCAAGAAUCACAAAUCAAUACUAGAACAAAAAUAUGACUCUAUAUGAAUGCCUCCCGCGGUGUACCGGGAUGUGCAAUGAUCUAGCGUGACAUAUAUAAAAAAUAUGAACGGUGGCGGAGCCACAAAUACUAUGCAAACUAUAUGAUCAUGCAAAGCAAUAUGACAAUGAUGAUAUGUGUCAUAAUAAAAUGGAACGGUGGAAGUUGCAUGGCAAUAUAUCUCAGAAUGGCUAUGGAAAUGCCAUAAUAGGUAGGUAUGGUGGCUGUUUUGAGUCAGAUAUAAGGAGGCUUAUGUGUGAUAGAGUGUAUCAUAUCACGGGGUUUGGAUGUACCGACGAAGUUUGCACCACAACUCGAGGUGAGGGGCAAUGCACGGUACCGAAGAGGCUAGCAAAAUGCAGAAAGGUAAGAGUGCGUAUAAUCCAUGGACUCAACAUUAGUCAUAAAGAACUAACAUACUUAUUGCAAAAGUUUAUUAGCCCUCGAAGCAAAGUGCUACUAUGCAUGCUCCUAGGGGGAUAGAUUGGUAGGAAAAGACCAUCGCUCGUCCCUGAUUGCCACUCAUAAGGAAGACAAUCAAUAAUAAACCAUGCUCCAAUUUCAUAGCAUAACGAGAGACCAUACGUGCAUGCUACGGGAAUCACAAACCUUAACACAAAAUAUUCUUACUAAACCACAAUUACUCACUAGCAUGACUCUAAUAUCACCAUCUUUAUAUCUCAAAACAAAUGCAAUGAAUCAAACUUCUCAUAUAUUCAACGAUCUUGAUGAAAGUUUUUAUUAUAUCCCUCUUGAAUACCCAUCAUAUUAGGACUAAAUUCAUAACCCAAGCAAAUUGCCAUACUAUUUAUAAGACUCUCAAAAUAAUAUAAAUGAGGCACGAGAGUUCAUCAUUUCUUUAAAAUAUAACCACCGCCGUGCUCUAAAAGAUAUAAGUGAAGCACUAGAGCAACUACCUAGCUCAAAAGAUAUAUGUGAAGCUCAAAGAGUAUUCUAAUAAAUUCAGGAAUAAUGUGUGUCCCUCUCAAAAAGGUGUGUCCAGCAAGGAUUAUUGUGGAAAACUAAAAGGCAAAUAAAUCAAAGACUCAUAUAAUACACGACGCUCCAAGCAAAAUUCAUAUCAUGUGGUGAAUAAAAAUAUAGCCCCAAGUAAUUUACCGAUGGAUUGUAGACAAAAGAGGGGAUGCCAUCCGGGGCAUCCCCAAGCUUAGACGCUUGGUUGUCCUUGAAUAUUACCUUGGGGUGCCUUGGGCACCCCCAAGCUUAGGCUCUUGCCACUCCUUAUUCCUUAGCCCAUCAAAACUUCACUCAAAACUUGAAAACUUCACAACACAAAACUCAACAGAAAACUCAUGAGAUCCAUUAGGAUAAUAAAACAAAUCACCACUUUUGAUACUGUUGUAAACUCAUUCAAAUUUCAUAUUAGCAUUAUAUCUACUGUAUUCUAACUUCACCAUGGUUCGUGCCCCCCGAUAUUACCCAUAGAUUCAUCAAAACAAGAGAACAACUCAAUGAAAACAGAAUCGGUCAAAAACAGAAUAGUCUAUAAUAACCUAAAUAUUGCUCACUACUGUAACUCUAAAAAUUCUGAAAAAUUAGGACAACGUGGGCAAUUUGUGUAUCAAUCUUGUGUAAAACAUUCAAAGUAAAAACACGUUUUUGUGAAUUUACAAAAUUCCAGAACUGGACGCAGAAGUUUCUCUUUUUCACAGAAUCAAAUCAACUAACUUCCAAAUCAUCCCAAAGGUCUUACUUGGCACAAACACUAAUUAAAAUACUAAAACACAAUCAUAACAGUAGCAUAAUUGCAUAAACUCAUAAAACAGAAAAGAGAGAUAUUGGGUUGUCUCCCAACAAGCGCUUUUCUUUAAAGCCCUUUUAGCUAGGCAUUGAUAAUUUUAAUGAUGCUCACAUGAAAGAUAAGAAUUGAAGCACAAAGAGAGCAUCAUAUAGCAUGUUAAAAUUAGAUUUAGUUCUAACAUACUUCCUAUGCAUAGGCAUUUUAUAAGAAAAUGAAUUAUCAAAACAAGCAAAAACUAGCAUAAGCAAGGAAGAAGAAUAAACAUUGACAAUCUCAACAUGAAGAGAGGUAAUUUAGUAACAUGAAAAUUUCUACAACCAUAUUUCCCUCUCUCAUAAUAAUUACAUGUGGGAUCAUAUUCAAAUUCAACAAUAUAGCUAUCACAUAACAUAUUCUCUACAUGAUCCACAUGCAUGCAAAGUUGACACUCUUCCACUAUAGUGGGAUUAUCGUCAGAUAAAGUCAUGACCUCUCCAAGCCCACUUUUAUCAAAAAAUUCAUAAGAUUGAUCAUUCUCCAAAGUAGUAGGAUCAUUAUUACCUAGAGUUGACACUCUUCCGAACCCACUUACACUAUUAUCGCAAACAUAUUCAUCAUGAGGCUUAAAUAAAUUUUCAAGAUCAUAAGUAGAAUCACCCCAAUCAUGAUCAUUGCAAUAAGUAGUGGACAUAUCAAAAUUAGCAUCCCCAAGAUUGGGGUUUUGCAUAUUAUUAGCACAAUUGACAUUAAUAGAAUUUGUAAUAACACCAUUGCAAUCAUGCUUUUCAUUCAAGGACUAUCGUUAAUCACUUCAUAAAUUUCCUCUUUUAGCACUUCAUCACAAUUUUCAAAUUCACGAAUUUCAAGCAAAACUUCAUAAAGAUAAUCUAGUGCACUCAACUCACUAGCAAUUGGUUCAUCAUAGUUGGAUCUCUUAAAAAUAUUAGCAAGUGGAUGAGGAUCCAUAAAUUUUUUGCUUCUGAUUUGGAAUAAACAUACAAUUAUGCCAAGCGAACAAGCAAACAAACCAAGUAAGACAUAAAGGCAAAUGGAAAGAAGGCAAAUAAAAAGGCAAAUAUUUUUGUAUUCUCUGAAAAAUGUUUUAGAAGUGGGUGACAGGAAAACGAGAGGCAAAUGGAUAAUAAUGUAAAUGCAAGAGAUGAGAGUUUAUGAUAGGUACUUGGUAGGCUUGAUGUAGAUCCUCCCCGGCAACGGCGCCAGAAGUUCUUCCUGCUACUUCUUGAGCUUGCGUUGGUUUUUCCCUUGAAGAGGAAAGGGUGAUGCAGCAAAGUACAGAUAAGUAUUUCCCUCAGUUAAGAACCAAUGUAUCAAUCAAGUAGGAGGAACACAAGUCUCCAAUGAUAGCACCUACACAAACAAACAAAUACUUGCACCCAACGCGAUAAAGGGGUUGUCAAUCCCUUCAUGGUUACGCAAGGAUGAGAUCUGAUAGUGAUAGAUAUAAAAGAUAGGUAAAAGUGCAAAAUAAAAUAAAAGUAAAUAAAUUGCAGCAAGGUAUUUUUGGGUUUUUGACUUUGUAGAUCUGAAAAUAAUAUGAUAAAAGAUAAACCCCGGGCCAUAGUUUUCACUAGAGGCUGCUCUCUUGAAAGAAAGCAUACGGUGGGUAAACAAAUUACUGUUGAGCAAUUGAUAGAAAAGGGGAUAAUUAUGAAGAUAUCUAAGGCAAUGAUCAUAUAUAUAGGCAUCACGUCCGAGACAAGUAGACCGACUCAUGUCUGCAUCUACUACUAUUACUCCACACAUCGACCGUUAUCUAGCAUGCAUCUAGUGUAUUAAGUUAACAAGAACGGAGUCACUACAAAAAAAGACACAUCCAUGAUAUUUUGGGCCGAAUGAACUUUUUUUCUGUCAUGCUUAUGACACUUCUAUGACGAUAAUUGUGACAAAACCCGGUAUCAUCAUAGAUGUGGUGGGCUCCUACUUCUAUGACAAAAAAUCAUGACAGAAAAUGGGCUUUUCGUCCUGGGCGGGCCGGACAUGCAGCUGCAUGACAUUCUUUGGGCCAUCCAUGACGGAAAAAAACCAUGGUAGAAGCGAGGGCGAGGAAAAUAUCGGGGAGUUCCCGGUUACGGUGGGUGGUUGGGGGUCGAGCGAUGCGCGUUUCUCUCGUACACAUACGAGCGUGGGUGCGAGGCGUUUGGCUCUAACUGAACCCGAGCGAGGCGUUCGCCUACUGAACCCGAGCGAUUGCACUAUAGGCUACGCGUUAUUGAACCCGAGCAAUCAAUCGAUGGCUGUUAACUGAACCCGAUCGAGCGAUUCCUUCACUACUGCUGCUAACUGAAGUCGAUCGAACCCUGCUGCCUCCUUCCCUUGAUGAACAGUGAGUGUUGUUGGGGGGUUGGAUGAACAGUUCCCGGUGUGGGGUUGGAUGAACAGGACCCCGUGGUGUUGCCGCUGGAUGAACAGGACCCCGAUCGAUCGAGCCGGUUAGGCGUGGAUGAACAGGACCCCGUGGAGGGCUGGAUGAACAGGACCCCGUGGAGGGAUGGUUGAACAGUAGCCGGUGGAGGGCUGGUUGAACAGUAGCAGGUGGAGGGCUAGAUGAACAGUAGCCCGUGGAGGGGUGGUUGAACAGGACCCCGUGGAGAGGGCUGGUUGAAUAGUAGCUGGUGGAGGAGCGGUGGAGGCUGGAUGAAUAGGAGCCCGUGGAUGAACAGUCGCAGGUGGAGGCUGGAGGAGGUCGACGGUGGAUGAACAGUAGCCCAUGGAGGCAGUUGACGGUGGAGAUGAAUAGUAUCCCGUGGAGUCCCGUUUUGCGGUACGCCACACCCCUCCCGAUGAACAGGACCCCGUUUCGACCGUAGGAGGCCCAAGAGAAGUCCGUUUCCUCCAUUUUGCGGUACGCCAGACCCCUCCCGAUGAACAGGAUCCCGUUUUGACCGUGGCCGGUCGAACACAAGGCCAUUUCCUCCGUUCUGCGGUACGCCAGGCUUCGUUUCAAUCGGCUGUUCCGUCCAAGCCGGUUGGCUCCCGAUGAACACGACGUAUUCCGUUGCCUACCGAUGAACACGACGCAUUCCGUUGCCACCCGAUGAACACGAAGACGACGUAGUUUCUCCAUUCCGACCCAGCCAUGUGUGCGAGCCCUGGCCGUACAUAUGCACGAGUAGGCGUUUGAGACCCCGCCCGUAUGUACGUACGUGGCCGUAUUUUUUGGCGUGGGGUUGUAUGUACGUGUACACAGUUUAGACGGGGCAACCUGAACUGCUACGUGGGGGGCUCUACUAUGACAUGUGCCGCUACUUACUCGGCCAUGGUUCAUCGUUACAGAGCGACCGAUCGACCAGUAUGUACGUACACAUUCCGGCAAGACAGAAAACGGUACGUACGCUUCGACCGCGUGGGUCCCAGCUCUCAGGGAGGAUAAGGACGCACUUCCUUGCGUGCGAAGAUAUAGCUGCUAGGUCCCAGCUGUCAGGGGGUUUUUUUCCGUAAUAAGGACGCACUUCCUUGCGUGCGAAGAUGUAGCUGGUGGGUCCCAGCAGUCAGGGGGAGAAAAUAUUAUUUUUCAGGGUAAAAAGGAUGCAGUUGCAUGCAUGCAUCCAUGGGCGUGGUGUGUCCCCACUGUUAGCCUCUCACGUACAGUCAUCUUCCGAUGACUCUUGUUUGUUGACCAUGUUGACCACACCGUGCCGGGCGCACCAAGGCCGGUGGACGACGGCGAGGCCCUAGACUGGAACGACCCAGAGAUGGGGAAGACGCGGCAGUGGAGUCGCAGAUGCAGAGGAGUGGGAAACUUGACUGGUUCGGGUGCGCGGCAGCACUGCCGCCCAAGGGCGAUAGGAGCAAGAACAGAGGUUGAAGAAGGAGCACGGCUAUUGGAUUAACAUCCAACGGUCAGCUGCUAGAAUCAUUUGUUGAUUAAGUAGACAAAGCCCUGCGUACAAGUCCGCUUAGUAGGCCCACAAGUCAGACACCAAAUCUGACGAGUCCCAGCUGUCAACGGGAGGAAUGGUUUUUUUUUUUUGCAUAACAAGGAGGCACUUCCUUCCGUGCGAAGAUACAGCCGGUGGGUCCCAGCUGUCAGGGGGAGGAAACAUUUUUUUCAGCUUAAUAAGGAGGAACUUUCCUUGCAUGAGACCAUGGACCUCGUGGGUCCCAGCCGUCAGGCUCUCCACGUACAGUCCUCUUCCGAUGACUCUUGUUUGUUGACCACGCCGCGCCGAGCGCAGCGAGGUGGUGGACAACAGCGAGGCCCCGUACGGGAACGACCCGGAGAUAGGAAGACGCGGAAGUGGAGUCGCAGAUUGAGAGGAGUAGAAGGGUUAUAACUAGUUCUGGUGCCGCGUGGGGCUGCAGUCGGUGGAGAAUAACAGGAGGUGUGGAGGGGCGGAGGGAUAGCCCGGCCGGCGGUGGGGUAGCGCUUCGCAACAAUGCGUGCUAAGCAAAGCCGCUAGCCGCCGGAGGCCAGACCAGGCGGUCCCGGCGAUGCUGGAGGAAGAAGACGAGAGAUUGAUGGUGCAUGCCGGCCGUUGGAUAUAAAUCCAAUGGAUGUGGAUGUCAUAAUCAUUUUUUGACCAAGUUGACAACGCCCUGCGUAGGCUUCGACCUAUUGGCCCACAUGUCAGCAUGCAAAAAUGUGGCAUAUAUUUAACCCAUGUUUUCUAGAAUGUACAAUCCAUUUGCUGGGCUGGGUGAACAAAUAAUUUCGCGUCAAUGCGGUCCAUUUAAUAUUUUCUAAGAAAUCCCAGCCCAUUUGCACUUUCUUGAAAUACAUGAAUUAGCUGGGCUCAUUCUAUAUGUAAUGUUAGGUUAGAAGGUGCAAUUAAUAUCAAAAAAUAAACAGAAGCGGCACAUUUUUUAUAUAUAAUAUUAACAAAUUAGCGAGUUAUUGCUCAAAAUAAAAAUGAGCGCGUUAUUAUUACAUUGGUCCUUAAAAAUCUUCGCAAGCUUUUGUACGCAAUCACCAGGAUUUUCCUUGCCUGUGAGUCAAAAACAACCAGGAUUUAUCUUGCCAACAUCUGUUAAACAUUUACUUUUAUAAGUUAAUAACAUGUGGGAUGUUUUUAUAAUGUAUAUAUAAGUCUCUAUAAAAUAUACGAUAAUCGUAAUAGUAUAAAUAUAUAUAAUGUGGUUAGAAGGCAAAACAUAAAUUGGACACAGCAUUAUUAUUCUUAUAUAUAAAUAAAUAGAACAAAGAUUUGUGUUUUAUUGAUAAAAAACAUUGGGCUGCCAAUCUUUAAGAAAAAGUAAAACCUACGCUGGGAGGCCUAUAGGCCGGUAUGGACCUCAAAAAAUAAGUUGAAACCACUGUCUCCGUAUGUCGUGGGCUACGCAUGUUAAAAAACAAAACCUAGGCCUAGCUGAUACUUGUUCGCCCUCUACAAAAAAAUGAUACCAGCUAGAUCCCCGAGCGAACUGGAUUAAAGAGGGGGCCGGCGGCGCGACUAAAGAAGCACAUCAGACGCGAUUGUUUUUCUUCGGUGGAUGGCUCUCGAUGGCUUUUUUUACUUGCCUCUUCACCAUACAACUUGUAUUUUUAGCCUCCCAGUCCGUGGUGGACCAGCAACCCAUUUGCUGGGCGGGCCAACCUACAGAAACCAGCACUCAAUUUUUCAUCAAGCCCCAAAAACAGUGCAGUACUAUGUUUGUUUUGAGGCCGAAAACAUUACGGCAGGAGUUGAGCGGGGGAGGGGGGAAGAUAGAGCAAAAAGAUUAAAAAGAGCUGAUGCGCCGUUGCUACCCUAACAAAGCAGGUGCAAUUCUUCUCGGGAAGAAGGUGUGCCGUUGACACCCACACGUCACAAAUCCCAUAGUAGACAUACUAACAAGUUCACACACAAGUACAACAGAAAAGGUAAACAUUCAUAUCAAACUCAGGUUCACAGGACACGUUCAUAUUCAUAGCCAACAUUCACAAUCAACAACUCAAAAGAUUCAUAUAUACACAAGUUCAGCAUGUCUAUGCAUCCAAAUGAUUAAUAAAUCACACGACAAUAUUCAUAGAUAAUUCACAAAAAGAUUCAGAUAUACACAUGUUCAGUAUGUUUAUGCAUCCAAAUGAUUAAGAUCAUAGCCAAUAUCAUCCAUGGACGAACUUUAAUUACCUAGGGUACAGACUGGUAAAUGGUGUUCAGUCGGAGGUACUUCUUGCUAAAAUUAAUGCUUGUACGAGUAAACUUUUGAGUACAUAAGAGGCAGCACAGACAAUCUGAACUUUGCUUGUAGGUUUAUCCUCAAAUAGUGGCCUUGUGCCGAGGGAGGUUUGAGCAACUUGCCCACUACUUUCAUCCAACUAGUUUACUAGCUCAUCUUGGUCCUGUAGCUCGCCAAAAUUCUACAUUGCAGACAAGAAAGGAGGCGGUUGAGAAAAUGAACCACCCAAAUUUGUUGUGCAAUUCAACUGAAAUGGAGCAUCCCUGGCGUGCACCCUGAUUAAGUGUCAGAUGAAUAUACGCGUCAACCAACUUGUUUGGAAUCUUUAGACUCCAUGCCAUACAGUUCGCUACCAUAUGUGCCGAUAACCAAAAGGCACAAGUUGGGACCAAAGACUGGACUGCGUUUUUCUGGGCUAUGCGCCAAGCAAUAUUUGUGGCGGGUUAAUGCCGGUUGAUACUCGAAUGAAUAUAGGCACUUCUUCUUGUGAACAUCGAUGCUUGUCUGAGUGAACUUUGGAGUACAUAGCAGCAGCAUAAGUAUCUGUCCAUCUGAUCUUUUUGUGCAGUUCUACUGAAAUCGCCCAAUGUAAUGAUUUGCCUGCGAGUUCAGGCUCCAAGUUACUCCUUUAUGAAAUCGGCAAACAGUAGCACAAUACCAAAUUACCAAUACAUAUGACAAGCACAAUAAUCAGGAUAAAGACUAGUACCAACCUGUGUGAGGUAGCAUAUCAAUUACUAUUUCCUUUGACUGGAAGCCGAGAUAAAUGAAGCGACUGACAGUAAAGGAAGGAAGGAAGCCGAGAUAAGCGACUGACAGGAAAGGAAGGAAGCUGUCGAGGCAAUGAAGCGCCCAAAGUUUUUGUGCAGUUCCACCAAAAUCGAGCAUCCCUGUUGGCACAUAUAUUGAGAGAGUGAGAUUACUGUAAUAGUGGGACUAGUUGAUGAAACAUACACUAACAAAUAGAAGCACCCUCAUUAUCUUAAUGGGUAAAGUUAGCAACAUAGUAGUCUUGCUUGAAGAGAGGUAUUAGUUUAUUUAAUCAGUGCCAAUUAGCUCAACACUCAAAGCAUUGCCAUGUAUCAUAGGUUGCAAAACUUUAACGUGCAAGGAUAAAGGAGUUUCUCAUGACUAUUGCACAAUACAAAUAGAGAUGAUAGCAAACUAAUAUGGAUGAAGGCCUUAGGCCGGUACCAACCUGAGCAAAAAAACUUAUUCAUGUAGUCCCAGAAGAUAUGAUAAAGCACUCACUGGAAUCACUCGAUAGUAUAUAUUUUUGUGCACUUCAAAUGUAUGGUUGAAAUCACUCUUGUUUACCAGUGCUGAGAUUAUAUCGAAAGAUUAUCAAGAACUUUCAGCAGAGUUAAAGCACUGGCUGGGAUACAGUUCAUUGUAUUGUCUUGUGUAGUUCCACUAAAAUGUAUGAUUGGCACAACAUGAUCCCUGUUUGCACAAGUAGGAACAAGGUGAAACCUUCAUUAGCUUAGUGAGAAAGGAUAGAAAGACAUUAGCAUAUUACUCUAAUAGUAGCAUCAAAUUCAUGAUAGACAAUACGCAAAACAUUGCCUCAUUGAACCAAUGGCAAUAAAUUGACAUGCAAAACAAUAGCACUAUUAUUUCAUGACACUACGCAGAUUCCCUCCCUGCUCCACCACAUGAUUCACCUCCACAGACACACAUACACACGUACAUGAUUCAGCAUAGGGUGCUACUAAAGAUUUGUUUAACUCUGACAGGAAAAUUAGGUAGCAAUAAAUUAGUGGUGCUUAAGUACUCCUAAUUAAUUAAGUGACCUUGCAGGAGAGACAACAGAAGUGGAAGGGCUCCCUGGAGGAUCGUCUCACAUGUAAGGUAGACAUUGCUGGAGCCCUUGAAUGGCCUCGACUGAGCCCUCGGGCUUCAGCAAGAUCACCUUGGCACUGUUGAUCGUGUAGAGCUGGGUCACAUAUGCAUCCAGAAUCCAGUUAAUUAGUAUGAUGUGUCGUCAACCCAAGUACUACUCUGCUGCAUUUCUCCAUCUAUCUCUACUCUACUCUACUUUACUUCUCUUAUAAAAAAAUAGAGUUGGUGAUGAUGGUGUGCCUGCCAUCCUACAAUAUAUGCCGUCUGAUUUAUAUCUGACGGAUAGGAAGGAAACUAUGGCAAUUUUGCAAAAAGGUACCCACAGCCCUCUCCACAUUUGCAAAUAAGGCCUUCCCUCGUUCAUCCUUUUCUCUCACAAGAUAAACUACUCAUACAAAUGCAUCUUGAUGUUAUGUGCAACGCACGGGCAUCUUGCUAGUCUUCCAAGUAAAUUAACACUAGUAGCAACACAGAAAUACAAUACCACUAGCAAAAUGUCAGGAUAACAUAGGACGGUACCAUCGUGUGAUCUCCAUUUCCUCUUUAUUCUUCUUCUUCCUCCUCUUCAUGCUCUGUUUCUCUUUCUCCUCAACAGUUGGUGAAACCAAGUACAUGAUUGGCCUUCUAUUUCAAAUUGGUUUUGUCAGUGAGGGAGUACAAGUGUACUAGUAAACAAUAGCAUUAUUUUCUCAUGGCAGUCGCAAAAUAGAGAUGAACACAUGCAUUAAAUAUCAUUCUUACCUAAAGGAAAGUUAUGGUGCCAAUAUGGAUGAUGAGGAUUGGAACACAGAUCUCCCUUUGUGCAGUUCCACCGAAAUGAACCAACUGUUCCAUUCUGACAUUCCAGUUAAACAGCACAAAAGUCACUUCUUUUAAGAAGUGUUUUGUGCAGUGCACCAAAAGGUCACAACAGCAACCAGGUGAAAUGGAUAUCCCUGUUUGCACAAAAAACUACAGAGGAAACAGUCAGAGUCUCAAACAAUUACAGGCAAAAACAUUUGGGUAAACUUGUCAUCGCUUAUAACAGUGGCAUGGCUUCAUUUUACCAGGGGCAUUAGAUUAAGAAUAGCUAAAUAUUUGGUAUAAGGGAAUGGGACAGUGGGCGCACCAGCAGCCCAGCACCAUGUACCUAAACUGGGGCAUAAACUGGUGAUUCAGAGUUUGUUGCCCCGAGAAACAAACAUCCAAGAAACAUAUCUGGGUUGGUCCCAUUUUUGUUCACUCUAGCCACCUACUCCUAUGUGUGGAUAGCAAAUCUAGUCCUGUUCAUACCACUGUGUACAGCAUUUCCCCUAUAUUUCCCUUUUCGACCAAGAGACCGGUUGGAUGACUAGUCUGUACUACUUUCACCCCCUUUCCUUCAUGUUUGUACCAAGUCCGAUGUACAUACUAAAUUCCCCCACCCCCACUUUAUUUCUUGUUUGAACCAAGUACAAGAUUUGACUCCAUGAAGUAGCUUUACCUCUAACAAUAGAGAAAAAAAUAGGUGACGUUGGACCAUCCGAUCGAGAGGGGCUGAGAGGUAGAAAAUGAUGCACAUGCAGCGACGUAGCAAGCUGGGGAAGUAGAGCUAGGGCGGUUUCGAAGGAAGAUAUACCUGAAGGUCAUCGGGAUGUGGAUAGGUGGGUGGCAGGAGGCCGGAUCCGCCCACACUAGGGCAACGACGAAGGGAUCGGAGGACCUCCCGCAUCGGCGCUCGGCUAGAGAUAACGGUGCGGCCGACAGUGGGUCUCCUCCCUCGCUGUCGACGACGGCCUAAAUGCUGCCCCUCCUCCCCUUCACCGGCGGAGGGGGAUACGUCCGAAUCUGUAACCAACGGUGAGGAUAGAAAGACAAUGUUACCACCGCUAUCUUGUUUAGAUCUGGAGAGGAUGAGAGUGUGUGAAUAGAGCAACCCUAGCAAGCAAGCGCGGAUGCUCCGGGCUAUAUAUGCACGUAGUGGGGUAGUUUUCCUUUUUCACUCCAUCAAAACAAUCGUUUAAAAUUGUGUGCGUGCCAGGUCACCGUUUUUUCUUGAGUUGUUGAUUGUUUUUUGAGAUAGCUACCCGCUUAUUCCAAGUGGUGUUACGGUGUGCCAGCUCGCACUUUGUAUCGUUCAAGUCUGGUACAAGACCCUCCAUUAAAUGAACAACCACCGCCUCAUAAAAUUUGGGAACAAGCCCACGGCUAAAAUUAUCAAAAACGUGGGCUGCCCCAACAUGCAUUAUUAUUUAUAUUUUCUAUGUCGGAGUAUCCUCAAAACAAAAUGUGAGAGUACAAUAUUUAUUGGGCCCCUUUGUAAUUGGUGCUAAAUUUUGACCAAAGAUUUAACUGACAAAAUGUUAGUGCAUAUUAACAAAAAUUAUAUCGUUUGAAUCGUAUUUCAACAUAUUUUUCAAUGAUGUAAUUUUUUGUGAUAUGCAUGAACAUUUGGUUAGUUAAAUUUAUAGUCAAAAUUUGGCAAGGUGCAUUAAAUCAACACAUGCAAGUAUCAAAAGGAAAGUAACGCCAUGCAUGCAUGCGUUGUAAUUAAUGCAUCGGUAAACGCAAAUUAUUGAAAUAUAUCGAGUGCAGUGCUUUGAUGUGUCGCGUCAACUCAUACAACAACGAGAAGUUUGAUUACUACAACGCCCUCUGCCUCGCGGACUGAGCUCCGGUGCCUUAACUGCACCUGCCUUUGGCUGUAUGACAAGUGGACCACCCACCUGUUGGGCCCACCUGUGAUACACGCAAAGGCAAGAGCAGUAAGUCAAUGAAGCUGUGUCCCUCCCUCGCCCAUGAGCAUGGUGGCUGGCAGGACUAGGAGAAGCUUUUGCUACACGCUCUCCCUCCCGCACGCGGUGGACAUGCAGCUGUUCAUUCGGUGUCAGAUGACCAGAAGUAUAAUGUAGUACUCCUCCACUGCAGUAGCACUCCAUCAUUGUUCGACUUCCCGAAGAGGCGAAGAGCCAAGCGCAGCCCGGACGCUCAUGUGGCAGUUUCAUGUGUAGAGUAGUCUAGGAUAGCGUGUACCAUGCCUGUAAGCUUAAAAUUGUUGGGGUCGGCUCCAUGCUAUGAGGCCGUCUCGAAGCAUUUUUUGGUUGAUUAAAAUAAUCUUUUGGACCUACCUGUCAUCCUAGUGAUUGUAGUUUGCACGCUCAUCUGGUCAAGACAGGAAUAUAUAUUUUAAUUUGUAGUGGGGUAAAUGUUAGAGGUUGCAGCAAACAUAUUGUACAUUGCGGGUCUUUCAGCCAAGUUUAGAGGCAAGCAUGUGGGGCCAGUGCUAUGAUGUGUCGCGUCAACUUGUACAACGAGGAGAAGCAUGAUUUUACUACUACACGCCUUCUCCCUCGCCCAUGCGCGCGGUGGCUCGCAGACGAGGAUGGGCUUUAAAUUAUACUACAACAAGCUAUCCCUCCCGCACACGGUGGACGGACAUGCGUCAGGGGAUUCGAUACUGUAGAAGUAGUAGUAACAUCAUUGUUCAUCUUCUCGAAGAGGCGAAGAGCCAAGCGAAACCCGAACGUGGUAGUUGCGAACGCUUGCCUGGCAGUCUUUGUGUACGGGUGGGGCGUGGUGCGGAGCCUUGGAGUACGCAUAUAGCCAGGCUCUUGCAUGAGAAAAAAUUGCUAUUUGAGCCCACUAUUUUAGUACACUACUUGCUAGUAUAGCCCUGUAAACUGGAAAGGAGUAUUUGCCUUUCUAGAGAUCUCAAUAAGUGACUAGACUACACCCUAAACGAGUAGUACAUAUGGAGCAAAAUGAGUGAAUCUACACCGUAAAUAAAUACGUAGUUCUCUCGUUUUCCUCUCCGCCUUGGUCGCGGUGCACAAUAUUGAGUACUCCUAUAUGACUAGUCGCUCUAUCUACAUGCGCGACAUCAAAGCAUCCGGGCCUGCGUGCCAUCCACCAAAUCACAGCGAGGUGCUACAGUCGAGACUCACCAGUCACCCCGGUGUGGCCGUCAUGACCCGUCAUAUCACAAAACCCACACCUUUACCAGCAGUGGUAAAGUGGCCUCAAAGUUGGACUGGAUGAAGCAACCAUCAUUUCCCUGUAACGCUCGUUGAAGCCCUUUCUCCCCUUUCUUGAAGAAAACCUCACUCCAGGCUACUCACUUCUGCCAUUUUUCUUCUGUACCGACAAAGGAAAGGUGGGCGAAUCAGUGAUGCUACUAUAUUUUCAUUCCAAGAAUCUUCUUUUCGGGAAGCACCGACCGAUUCUCAUAGCCUAUUCUUUUCCCGUUUUCAUUGCGAUUGUGCUUUCCUUUCGAUUGCUUUUUGUUUGUCAGUUCAUUCCUGAUGGAUCCUGGAGCACUAGGCAAAGAUUUGCCGGCAGACAACCCACUGGAGACAGCGAUCUCCAGGAAGCGAGCACCAACCAACGAGUUGACCAUGUUGGUGGGCCAACCCAUGGAGACGAAGAACUCCAAGAAACAAGCACUGGACAAAGAGUUUAUGACAUUGGCCGAUGAACUCCUCAAAGAAAGCUGGAAGAACAGCAAGGGCCCCACCGUGCCUACCCCAGAAACUCUAAUGGCCACCUAUGCGAGGCUCAAGGCCGAGUUUGAGGAGAUAGUCUCCGUUGAGAAGCAGUAUUCCCCUGGCAAGGUGAUGGCCCCAUCGAGGACGAGGAGAUGGCCUCCGGAGGGAUGGGAUCCCCCGGUGAGCUACACAAGGUAAAAAAAUAAUGGCUUACCAUAGUUGUGGUUUUUGAUUAUUUGCAAUGUGCUUGCUAAUAUGUUAGGGUUGUGCAGGUGCCGGUGGACGUCCUUGAUGAUUCCGAUGUCGUGGCCCGUCCUGUGGACAACGCCCCAGAGAUCGUUUUCGAUGUCGCGGUCCGUUCUGUUGACAUCGCCCCAAAGAAUGAUUCCGAUGCCGCUUUCCAUCCUAUGGACAUUGCCCAGAGAUCAAUUCCGAUGUCACAGUCCGUCCUGUGUACAUCGCCCCAGAGAUCGAUUCCCAUGCCGUUGUCUGUGUUGUGUUCAUUGCCCGAGAGAUCGAUGACAAGAAAUAGUUGGUCAUGCUAAUCCUUCAAGGUAGUUUGCAUUGUGUUUAAUUACCAAAACAAUGUGUGUUAUCAAACCAUCUUAGGGCUAGUGCAUUGUCUUGUGUGGGCGGUACUUGCUACUUUUGUUUGAUAGUGAAUCAUGUGAACCCUCUCCGAGUUAUGGAAACAGAUGUAUCCUCACCAGCUUUUGAUGUAAUAUAUGGCAUGCUUAGAUGUAAGUUUGAACUGUUUAUCAUAUCAGCAGGGCUUGUUUGAUGAUUCUUGGUGUUAGUAGGCUAGCUACUGUGCGAGCUAUAGUACUUGCAAAACACUCACCGAAGAGAAAUGUUGGGGCUGAUGAGCUCCUGGUAUGCUUAUACUGAUCCCUCGUCGAUCGGCCAAUAGCCCAAGCUCCUAAAAUUGUAGGCUUAGCGAUCGAUCAGACAAUAGUCGACACGGAUACAUUCAGGCCUCAUUUGGUUCAUAAGGUAGGAAAAUCGUAGCAAAAGUACAGAGACGUACAACACAAAAUCAUAGCAGUAUAGAGACGUACUCCCUCCGUUCCAAAAUAGAUGACUCAACUUUGUACUACUAACUUUGAAAUGGAGGGAGUACAAAUCCUAGGCGGGCUAGUUUGGCCUAGUGGAUUUCAGUGAUAUGACGUGGUACAGUGUCGUCCAGUCUUCGCGUGUGGUAGCAGUAUUGUGGGUAAAGUAAGUUUUCUUGAAGAAGCGGAAUUCAACGAAGUCAUGAUGGUUCCUUUGUCCGACCAACUUACAGUGGGAAAGGUUGGGCCUGCGCUACGACUGGGGUGGACCAGGAUAAUUUUGUGCAUGGUAGGUGGACCAGGAUGGUCGACGUCCCACAUGUCGGCGAAUGAAAGUAUUCUUUCCGAUAUAGAGGACGAGCAACGAGUAUUCAUUGUUUAUUUUUUAUGAAAGCUAUUGUCUCCAUUGUUACGUCGGAGGAGUGUGAAACACGGCAGCCCAGUGAACUUGGCAUGUGCACCACUCCCUCCUUCCUCAUGUAAUACUACCAUAGUGUUGACUAUAAGGUUGGCUAUAAGGUUACAACUUUUCUCACUUUCUCUCUAUCUAUUUCCUCUCAAAUGUUUUUUACCUUUCUUUUUUUUAGACACAAUUGUUUUUUAUGCCUCUUUUUUUAGAAUUAGUUUUUUUAUACCUAGGAGCACGUGUAGAGACGGGCUCUUGCAGAGCCCACUCCUUGAGUUUGUCAAUGCCUCUCUCUCCUCCACAUAAGCGGGCUUAUAGCCUAGUAUUUUACUGGUACUACUUGCUAUGAAUGCGAGCAGCUGGCGUCUGAGGGGGGAGCGCGCGCGGGGAGGUGGGGGGUUCUGGUGGGCCAAGGUGGUCAGAAGCGGGCUUGGAAGCGGUCCGGACUCCCGCAUGGCCCACCUCACAUUAUCACCAUAUAUUUCUUGGAGUCCGUGCAUGGCAGGCGGGCGAUCUCUUCUCCCUCCCCCGUCUCUCUCUUCUCAGCCGACUCCCGCCGAGCGAUUAGAUUUCGGCUAUCGAUGGUUUAUUCAAUUGCUGUCCCACAUGUCAGUGAAAAUGCAAGACAACGUGUGUCCCCUCUGGUGAGCGGCGUGCGAGCCGGACUGUCAAGGGUGCGAUGCGAACGCGACGCGUAUGAGUCGUAAGUGUGCCGCCUUUUCCUUUUGAACUUGCAAAGCAUAACAUUUUCGUGCGAUCGAUCGAUAGAAAUCCAGAACAAAAUGACGAGGGCAUUGCUUUCCCGCGCGUUAGGCGGGCUAGUUUGUGAUAUGACGUGCUACAGUGCCGUCCACUUGCUCUUUUUAUGUAAGCAAGAGUCUACACUCUUAAGUGGGAGGAGUGCGAAACACGGCGGAUCUGAUUUUGAUCGAGGGAUAACUGUUCCCUGCGAAAUAAUGGAGCGCUGUUAGCGAUUAUAGCAUGAUAGUUAGGGCAUCUCCAGCGCUGGCUCACAAAUUUACACCGGCAUCUGUCCGAGGACACUGAUGGAUGUCAUCCAAUGCUGCCCGCAUACCUUUCGACAACAGUAUGAACUAACCGGACGAAAUUCGUGCAAACAAAGCAAAUUUCAAAUUACAUUUCGAAAACUUAUCCUAUAAACUGGACGAAAUUCAUUACAUAUUUUGCACAAACCGUACUAAAACCUACUGUAAACCUAAUCUAAACGAUCGCCGGCGCCCGACCACCAUGUACGGCCAUGAACCCGAGAAAGCCGGCCAUUGCCUUUGCCUCCUCCUCAUCUGCCUCGAUAACCUCAUCCUCUGGAGCACAAGGUUCUGAAGAUUUCCGCCUCCACGUCGCCGUCAAGAGGCUAAUCGGCCGCCGAUGUUUAUCCCACCAAGCUUGGCGUCGACUGAGUGGAGGAGCGAUGGCCUUCCUGGGACCAGAGCGGCGGCGACCUACCAUGUACUACUCUUCCUCGCUACCGGCUGCGCCCGCGCACGCGCGCCGGCUUCGUGGUCGUGGCGGCAGAGGGCGGCCGGGGGGGAGCCGGCGAUCUCCUUCAUCUGCUCCUACGACAGUACGUCCAAGAGAGCUUUGGAGCGCGCCCGGAGCGGAGCCGCCGAUGUCCUUCGUCUGCUCCUGCGACAGUACAUCCAAGAGAGCUUUGGAGCGCCAGGAGGCCAUGGUUGGAGUGGUGCCGACAGAAGGAAGGGACCGGAGGAGAAUAGGUGUGGGUCUUUGGCUAUGGCUGGGAGCUGGGGCUCAAGUUAAUAUAGCGGGCGAAUGGCAAUGAACCGCGGUAGACGGAUGGACGACUGGCGCUGGAGUAGGUUCGCCAGCAGCCGCGUGUCAUUAAUGUGGGCGGUGAAUGGAAGUAUGGUCGCGGUGUCGUUAAAGCAGAGUAGUCACUUGCACCGGGAUGCCGCGCGGGUGGCGCUCUCUCGGCCGUCGCGCUGCUGCAAUGUCGGCGCCAGUGAGCAGUCGCGUCGGGCGUGAAUACGGAUGCUGCUUCAGUGACUUAACUGCAUGUGCGUUGGGUCACUGACAUGUGGGCCCGACGGGCAUCUGGCCCGCAUGUCAGUGACACACCAACUGCACCUGCAGUUAAGUCUGGUGAAUGCGGCAUUGACAUUCUGGAGAGACGGUGACCAUUUCAGGAGGGAAGCGCGUGCUAGCGAUGGAAGGGGUUUCGGUAGACCAGGGCGGUCAGACGCCGGCGUGGUGGUAAAAUGUGAACUCAUGGAUGACGAGCCUUUGAAGCGUAUGCGGCACGUAUUGACAACCAGGCAUCCAUGCAACCGCUCUUGCCGCCACCUAGCCUUCGAAGACCACCAUUAGACACCACACAACCAUGCAUAACUUACGAAUAAUGGACAAAUCGAUCAGACACACACUCGUGUGCAGUGGCACUAUGAUCGGUCGCUCACGAUAGUACAUACUACGUACCAUAGUACCCUCUCUAGCUAGGCUGUUUUAUAGAUUGUCGUUGUGAUGGACGAUAUACAUGAGCAAGGCGCUGAGUCACGAGUAUGACCGUUGGUGUUGAGCCAGGUGAAUACAUGCUCGGUGUUCACGGAGGCCUCCAGCGAACGUCUAAACAGUAAUGUCAGGCACUGCCGGGGCGCGCAGGCGACGGGAUCGCUGUCGGUGUCGAAACCGGCAGAUCUCGGGUAGGGGGUCCCAAACUGUGCGUCUAGGAUCGAUGGUAACAGGAGACGGGGGACACGAUGUUUACCCAGGUUCGGGCCCUCUCUAUGGAGGUAAUACCCUACUUCUUGCUUGAUUGAUCUUGAUGAAUAUGAGUGUUACACGAGUUGAUCUACCAUGAGAUCGUAAUGGCUAAACCCUAGAAGUCUAGCCUAUGUGAAUAUGGUAGUGAAUAUAUGCCUUCCGGACUAACCCCUCCGGUUUAUAUAGAUACCGGGGGGAUCUAGGGUUUACAUGGAGUUGGUUACAUAAGAAGGAAUCUUCAUAGUUGGUCGCCAAGCUUGCCCUCCACGCCAAGGAAAGUCCAAUCCGGACACGGGUAUAGUCUUCGGCCUUCGUAUCUUCAAAGCCCAUCAGUCCGGCCCAAUGAACAACAGGCCGGACGCCCGAGGACCCCUUAGUCCAGGACUCCCUCAGUAGCCCCUGAACCUGGCUUCAAUGACGAGGAGUCCGGCGCGCAGAUUGUCUUCGGCAUUGCAAGGCGGGUUCCCCUUUUUCCGAACUCCAAGAUAGUCUUCGGACGUGAUAAUCGUAUCCGGACCUGUUAUACACCAUACAUAGCUGCAGAGAGAACAUAAUAUUUGCACAAAUCUAAUCUGUUGACAGCUUCUUUUCAACACGACAUCGCGUCUGUCCGGUCAUAAUUUCGAACCGUUUUUCCUCUGCCAUCCCACGUCUCGAGACACGGUUGCUAUUGGCACGUCUUGUCGAAACAGAGAUUGUGUCCCCUUAUCGUGGGAUUCUCAUCAAUGCGGGCAUGGGUAACUCAACCGUGCCGUUUAUACAGCCCUUGGGAACAGGAGAAUCCUAAGGCGAGUGAGGAGGCGUUUAAUAUUUGUUGCCUUUAUAAGGAGAUAAGUGUUGGGAUUCGUAGCAUAAUUUUAAAAUUUUCCUACGCUCACCAAGAUGCAUCUAUGGAGUCUACUAGCAACUAGGGGAAGGAGUGGAUCUACAUACCCUUGUAGAUUGCGAGCGGAAGCGUUCCAAUGAACGUGGAUGACGGAGUCGUACUCGCCGUGAUCCAAAUCACCGAUGACCGAGUGCCGAACGUACGGCACCUCCGCGUUCAACACACGUACGAUGCAGCGAUGUCUCCUCCUUCUUGAUCCAGCAAGGGGGAAGGAGAGGUUGAUGGAGAUCCAACAGUACGACGGCGUGGUGGUGGAUGUAGCGGGUCUCCGGCAGGGCUUCGCCGAGCUUCUGCGAGAGAGAGAGAGAGAGAGAGAGAGAGAGAGAGNNNNNNNNNNNNNNNNNNNNNNNNNNNNNNNNNNNNNNNNNNNNNNNNNNNNNNNNNNNNNNNNNNNNNNNNNNNNNNNNNNNNNNNNNNNNNNNNNNNNNNNNNNNNNNNNNNNNNNNNNNNNNNNNNNNNNNNNNNNNNNNNNNNNNNNNNNNNNNNNNNNNNNNNNNNNNNNNNNNNNNNNNNNNNNNNNNNNNNNNNNNNNNNNNNNNNNNNNNNNNNNNNNNNNNNNNNNNNNNNNNNNNNNNNNNNNNNNNNNNNNNNNNNNNNNNNNNNNNNNNNNNNNNNNNNNNNNNNNNNNNNNNNNNNNNNNNNNNNNNNNNNNNNNNNNNNNNCCCUUUAUAUAGGCCCCUGGGGGGUGCGCCAGCCCCAAGAGAUGGGAUCUCAAGGGGGGCGGCGGCCAAGUGGGGGGGAAGGGGUGCCUUGCCCCCCAAGGCAAGGGGGAAGCUCCCCCCCUAGGGUUUCCAACCCUAGGCGCAUGGGGGGAGGCCCAAGGGGGGCGCCCCAGCCCACUAGGGGCUGGUUCCCUUCCACUUUCAUCCCAUGGGGCCCUCCGGGACAGGUGGCCCCACCCGGUGGACCCCCGGGACCCUUCCGGUGGUCCCGGUACAAUACCCGUAACCCCCGAAACUUUCCCGGUGGCCGAAACUUGACUUCCUAUAUAUAAUUCUUCACCUCCGGACCAUUCCGGAACCUCUCGUGACGUCCGGGAUCUCAUCCGGUACUCCGAACAACUUUUGGGUUUCCGCAUACAUAUAUCUCUACAACCCUAGCGUCACCGGACCUUAAGUGUGUAGACCCUACGGGUUCGGGAGACAUGCAGACAUGACCGAGACGCCUCUCCGGUCAAUAACCAACAGCGGGAUCUGGAUACCCAUGUUGGCUCCCACAUGCUCCACGAUGAUCUCAUCGGAUGAACCACGGUGUCGAGGAUUCAAUCAAUCCGUAUGCAAUUCCCUUUGUCAAUCGGUAUGUUACUUGCCCGAGAUUCGAUCGUCGGUAUCCCAAUACCUUGUUCAAUCUCGUUACCGGCAAGUCUCUUUACUCGUACCGCAAUGCAUGAUCCCGUGACUAACGCCUUAGUCACAUUGAGCUCAUUAUGAUGAUGCAUUACCGAGUGGGCCCAGAGAUACCUCUCCGUCACACGGAGUGACAAAUCCCAGUCUCGAUCCGUGCCAACCCAACAGACACUUUCGGAGAUACCCGUAAUGCACCUUUAUAGUCACCCAGUUACGUUGUGACGUUUGGCACACCCAAAGCACUCCUACGGUAUCCGGGCGAUCUCAUGGUCUAAGGAAAAGAUACUUGACGUUGGAAAAGCUCUAGCAAACGAAACUACACGAUCUUUUAUGCUAUGCUUAAGUUGGGUCUUGUCCAUCAUAUCAUUCUCCUAAUGAUGUGAUCCCGUUAUCAAUGACAUCCAAUGUCCAUAGUCAGGAAACCAUGACUAUCUGUUGAUCAACGAGCUAGUCAACUAGAGGCUUACUAGGGACAGUUGUGGUCUAUGUAUUCACACAUGUAUUACGAUUUCCGGACAAUACAAUUAUAGCAUGAAUAAUAGACAACUAUCAUGAACAAAGAAAUAUAAUAAUAACCUUUUAUUAUUGCCUCUAGGGCAUAUUUCCAACAGUCUCCCACUUGCACUAGAAUGAAUAAUCUAGUUACAUUGUGAUGAAUCGAACACCCAUUGCGUCCUUGUUGGGUGGUUGGUGCGACAUAUACCAAGGGAUGGCUUAUCAUUGUGGGAGCCAAUAAAACAUCGCCGGUGCCUGGAAACGGGAUGAGGCGAAGACAUGCACGCCGGCGAAUCUUACCCAGGUUCGGGGCUCUCCGAGGAGAUAACACCCCUAGUCCUGCUCUGCGGGGUCUCCGCAUGAUCACUAGAUCGAUAAAGGGUAGCUACAAUCGCUCCUAGAGCUGUUGGGAUCAAGGGAGAAGAAGAACAAGGCUAGCUCUUGCUUCUCUCUAUCUAUGUGUGUGCGUGUGCUAUGCUUGAAGGCCAAACAUGCAGAAGUGCGAACCAGAAGCGAACCCUUUGCAUGGGUGCUCCGGGGGGUUUAUAUAGGCCUACCCCCAGGGGGUACAAUGGUAAUCCGACUGGGAGCGGGUCCCAGCCGUCAGUGUCUAUGCUUGCCGGCUUCUCCACCGGCUGCUGGGUCCCGCCGGCGGCCGGCUACUUGGUCGACAGGCCGGCCCCACCGCCUAGGGCUUUGUCGGCGGCUGCUUACUGUAGCCGCGCCUCUGAUGAUGAGGGCUUUGUCGAGGUGAGCGUGGCUACAGUGGGCCGCCUCGGAGGCUAUCACUGUAGCCUCACCUCGUCUUGUCUCCUUAAUGGGGCUCCUGCUUCGAGGAAGGGCAUAGCCGGCUUCUGGAGGCCGGCUAUGCUCCCGGCCGACUAGGAAAAUCCGGGCCGCCUUCACGCCUCUCUCUGGCUGAAGGGGCCCGCAGUCCUUGGGUCGUACAGGAAUGGGUCGUGGAUGACGUCGAGGCUAACGUGGCUACAGUGCUGGGCCGCACGGGAGACCUCCCUCCCGUACGGCCUCCUGUAGCCAUGCCCGCCUCGGGCUUCGGGGGUCGUGGGCCGCACUGUGGCCAUGCCCCGUCAGGUCGUCGUUAUGUAGGAGUGGUUGUGGUCGUGGCCGGUUUCUAGGAGUCGGCGUCCUUCUUGGCCGGCUCCUUGGAGUCGGCGAGGCUGGGUCGCCUUCCGGGAGUCGGCUUUAGUGGUGACCGGCCGGGGAAGGCGGCCCAAAUGCUUGGAGUGCUUGAAGGCCCAAAGGCCUGAUAAAUUUUCUGAAGAGCCAGGGGUAGUCGGUUAGGCUACCCGUGGCCACUUACUCCGACAGUAGUCCCCGAAGCUGAUCGGCCUUCGAGGUGGAGUAGGGUUUUAGAAGCUCGAACAGCUUCCUAUCAUGACAAGCCGGCAGCUGGGAGCUGGCCUUGGUCAGGCACGCCGCCUGAGCCGAAAUCUUCUGGAGUCGGAGGGCGGGAACCCACUGGUACGUGCGCCGGGCCGCGGGCCGGCCACGGGCCGACGGCGCGCCACGUAGCCGGAAAGCCUGCCAGCCCACGCGCGUGACGGGAUGUUGCCGCAGCGAGGGGGCCCGCCACGUCCGUGCCCCGGCCCAGGCGCGGAUCUUUUGUAUCCCGAAACUGCCCGCACGUUCCGUGCGGCAGUUUCGGCUCGCACUUAUGCGUAAUAAACGCGAGGCGUGGGGGGAGUGGGCGCAGUUAAUCCCAUGUCUCCCCCCACGUCCGGGGUCUUCAGCCGCGUGAGGCUAUAAGUAGGGGGAGGCGGAGGGCGGCAGACCCUCGCACGCUCCUCCUACUCCCUUUGUCUUCUCGUCUUGCUCGUUCUUGCGACAGCGCCUCGCCGCCGCGCUCUUCCCCCGCACGCUCCUCCGCCGCCGUGCUAGCUUCCGCUAUGCCUCCUCACGUCGAGCAGCUUGGCGGGGAUUGGGAUGGCUCCAUCGUCCACAACGACCACAUCGACUUCCUCCGCGACACCCGGCGCCUGCCCAGCACGGACAAAGUGGAGGUCCGCCUUGCGCCGGAGAAGGAGGUCAGGCCGGCGCCGCGGGAUGGCGAGCGGGUGAUCUUCCGCUCGCACUUCCUGCGUGGCUUCGGACUGCCAGUGAGCGCCUUCUUCCGCUCCUGGCUGGACUUCUAUCAGCUCCAGCCGCACCACCUCACCCCCAACGCGGUGGUGCUGCUGUCGGCCUUCGUCACCCUGUGCGAGGGCCAUCUCGGCGUCCUCCCCACCCUCGAGCUCUGGGGGGAGUUCUUCCAGUCGAAGCUGGGUACGCGCGUGCGGGGCGUGCCGGCUCAGACCGGCGCCUUCAUCGCGUCACGGAGAUCAGGCGCCGACAACCCCUUCCCCAUCAUCACGCUGAUCCAAUCGGUGAAGAAGUGGCAGAAGUCAUACUUCUACGUGCGGAACAUGGUGAACUACCUCGUCAACUGCCAGCUUCCCGACGACUGGCAAUUCGGCAAGGAGCCAUACAACCGCGCCAAUCCUCCACCUACGGUACGCUCCCCUUCUCUUUUUCUCUUUUUCUCUCUCAGCUCUGUCGCCGAGUUCCUCUGGGCCGACUCUAACUCAGUCGGCUCACUCUUUUGACAGAAUCCUCUGCUUCGGCCGGCCGGCGGAGCGGACGUGGAACGCCGCUUCGUCCCCGACCGGACCGAGCACGACCAGGAGGACCCCGAUCUGGGGGCGGUCCAUAUGGAGGACGCCGCCAAGCCGGCUGGUGGCCAAGCCGGCGGCGAAGCAGGCGGCGCCGGGUUCUCCGCGACCUUCGACGACUGGCCGGACGAGGACGAAGCCGAAGCCGUCCCGCCCCGCUAGCCGGCCUUCGGACGCGGCGCGGGCUCCUCCGGCGCGCAGCCUGCUCGAGGUAGAGGCCAGAAACGUCGCGCCACCCAGGGCAUGUUCGGCAGCCGGACGAAGAAGCCGAGGGGUGGAGCGGCAGCCACUAGGCGGGAAGAAGCGGCCGCGAAGGCGGCUCGUUUCCGCAAAGUGGUGAAGCAGCCGCAGGCUGUGUCAGCGUAAGCUUUCUCUCUUUCUGUGUAUUCUCCUUCUUUCUUUUCUUGGGUGGUUUUCUGAACCUUUGUCUUCUUUUCCUUGAUCAGAGCUCCACUGUCACUCGAGCGGGCGGCUGCCUGCUCCGUUGUCGAGUCGCCAGGGGGCUCUGGGAGCACCACCCGCCGCGUAGAUCCCCGUGCCGCCCUCCUGGAGGCGACGGAAAGGAACGCGCGGGAGGUGCGGGAGGAGCAGGAAGCGCGGGAGGCGGUGGCACGGAGGGCAGCCGCCGCCCAGGCAGCUCGGGAGGAGGAGGCGGCGAAGGCGCUCGCCGAGGCUGCAGCCAAGGCCCAGGAAGAGGCUGAGGCCGAAGCGGUGGCAGGGGAGGCCUUGAUGGUCACCCCCCUGCGCGCCAUGGCGCCCGGGGACGCGGAUCCCUCGCCAGGGGGAGCCAGCGGUUCCCAGCCGGGUCUGGGCAGGAGCGGCGACGACGUUAUCCUCUUGAGGGAGGCGCCGGGGCCGACUCCUCCGACUAGGGCGGCCCAAGGCGGCCAGACUGAGCCUGCGCCCGCACAGUCGGCGGAAGGCGAGCCGGUCGCGGGAGCUGAGGUGGCGGUCCGGGUUCCGCCAAGCCGGCGCGCAGGGAAGGCCGCGUCGGAGCCGCAGAAGGCGGCGUCGGAGCCACGGCCGGCCGUGGGCUCCAGCUCGUCGGCCCGAGACGCGGAGGCGGCCAGCGCUACCUCCGGGUGGACGCCAGGCGGAGGGACAGCCGUGGUGAACAUCGCUGCACAAGACGUCCGGACCCGGCUCCAGGGCCAAGCCGCGGCGCUGAGGCAGUUCACCGACGAAUUCCUCGCGACGCGGGCAGCCAUCCGGGUUAGUAUUCUCAUUUUGUUCUUGAUUUUUCUCGUGGGGGCGCGUCAGCGCACCCACUGGGUGUAGUCCCCGAGUUCCGAGUCGGCUGCUGAGCAGGCGGCUUGGAACUUCUUGGAGAUUUUGUUUUUGCUGCUUUGUUCUUACUUCGGUCUUCUGUCCAUCUUGCAGGACUACCACAACCUCCGAGCAGCCGCCUUCAACUCCCAGGCUCGGGAGCUGACGCAGAAGACCGCCGAUCUCACUGAAAGCCGAGGUAUGUGACUUGAUCUCUAUCUCAUGUGGGGGCGCGUCAGCGCACCCACUGGGUGUAGUCCCCGAGAUUCGGGCCGACUGCUGAGCAGUCGGCUCGGAUCUUCCUUGAUGGUUUCUCAUUGUUCUUCUUCUCUAUCUCUGCAGCGGCCAACGCCAGUCUGAGGGCACAGCUGGGGGAGUCCCAGACUGCUCUUCGUGCCAAGGACGCGGAGCUCGCCGCCUUGGUGCAGGAGCGCGACCGCCUGGUCAAGAAGCUGGCCGACCAGGAGGAAGGCCACAAGGCUGCGCUAAAGGCUGUGCAGGAUCGUGAAGCCACCCUCCAGGCCGAGUUCGAGACGGAGGCGGCCGGCUGGGACGAGGCCAGGCAGACUCUGGUCUCCGGCUAUGGCCAGAUUGAGGACCUGGUUGACGGUAAGUCGUCUACUCCUUCAUCCUUUCUUGCCAACAGCCACUUCGGCUCGUUUUCCUGAUUUGGGGUUCUUCUUUUCUUUUCUUCUUUGCGCAGAGUACUUCCCCGGCUAUUCCACUGCCGCCAACCAGGCCAUCGAAGCUCGUCGCCAGGCGAAGAGGCAAGCCGGCUUCGAGAUCUCGCCGACCGCCGGCCGCUCGUUGGAGGAGCAGCUCCUGGCGAUCCAGGCUCGCAUCCAGCCGGCUCACAGGCUGCUCCGCCGGCUUCAGAGUGCCGGGUCACAGGUCCUGGCCGCCCUCUGGCCCGGCCAAGUGAUCCCGCGCACUCCCAGUCGGACCGCCGACUGGCUGGAGGUGGCCGUCGGCCGCUUCGAGGCUUGGAAGGCGUCAGCGGCUCGCUCCGGAGCCGGGCGGGCGCUGGAGUUCGUCAAGGCCUGGUACCCAGGCCUGAAUUUGGACCAGCUGGCCACCUGGCGGCAGCAAGCUGACACGGAGCUGGAGCCGGCGCGGCCGGCCAUCAUUCGGCGGGCUUCGGCGAUCGCCGACUACACCGACACCAACGUCUUCGCCCCCGAGGUGGACGACAAUGGAGUCGCCCAGCCGGAAGAUUGGUUCGGGCUGGACCCGGCGUGCGGCGAGGACUCGGCGGAGGAGAUCGACUCCAGCAACGAGGGCGAAGAGGAGGAGGAGGAGGGUGAAGACGUCGAGCCGGCUGGCGGAGUAGCCGGCCAGCCUGACCGUGCCUCCAGCACUACGUCGCGUGCGAGCGUGUCUCCUGCCGCAGGAGGUGGUCAAGCCGGGACUAGCUAGGCGGCCACUCCUUCAGCCGGCGAGCUACCUUCACCGACCCACUCGGCCUCCAAGUCGCACCUUAGUCUUCUUUCCUUUAUUUCCCUGUCUUGUUACUUUGAACAAUAUUUGGUUAAGUCUGCACAAUUCCACCCACUGGGUGUAUUCAAACUUAAGUCUGUUGCCAGCCUGUGGGCGGCUUUAUGUAUAUAAGUUAUGCAAUCGGUCUUUCCUUGUACUUUCGCUUUUUGUCCUUUUGCAUUUUUCCUUUGCCGCCCUCCUUUAGAUGCCGCCUCCCUAGUCAAACAGCUGCUCUGCAAACUGUAGCCGGGGAGUGCCUGGCCGAUUGGGGAGGGGGAAGUACUUUUAGCUCUGUCGGACUUAAGCUAAGUUUUUUAGAAAGCCGGCUAGCCGGCUGCUGUGACAGCCGGUAGGCAUAUACGGAGGCCGUCUUUUUGCUAUAUAGAUUAGUUGUUCCUUAGCCGUUUUUCGUGUGGGCGUCCUGUCUGUCUUCUCUCUUGCUAGUCGGACAGUCAGUUCUUUGAGCUGCGACUUUCAACAAGAGAGGACUUGGGAGCCGGCGCACUACUUUGCUGACUUCGGGAAGAACUUAGAAUAUAGCUCAAGGCGGCCAGUCCCCGGGCCGACUAGUCGGACCCGGUGCCGGACAAGAAUUCGAAAAUGUAAUAAUACAUUCAUGGAUAUGACACUCGUCAUUCAUAGAUAAAUAAAAGGCAGUCCCCGAGUACUGUUCGGGGGGGCUGUUGGUUUGUAACGUAAUACAAAAAGGGGGUAGCGUGAUACAUACUGCUUUUCAGCUGUAAAAUCGUCUUAGGAGGUUUGCGUUCCAUGGUCGCUCCGACUCCUUGCCGGAGUCGUCUCUCUUGCGUGCUCUUGGCUUUUGCGCGUCGAUCAAGUAGUAGGAGUCGUUGCUGAGUGCCUUGCUGACGACGAAGGGGCCUUCCCAAGGGGCCGAGAGCUUGUGCUGGCCGGCUAUUCGCUGGAUCAGCCGGAGCACAAGGUCGCCCUCUUGGAAGGAUCUUGGCUUGACCUUGCGGUUGUAGUAGCGGCGCAGGCCUUGCUGGUAGAUGGCGGACCGGCUGAGGGCUAACAGCCGGCCUUCUUCCAGUAGGUCGACGUCGUCUUCUCUUGCUUCUUUGGCUUCCUCCUCCGUGUACAUGGUGAUCCAAGGCAAGUCGAACUCGAUGUCUGUUGGGAUGACAGCCUCGGAACCGUACACAAGGAAGAAUGGAGUGAAGCCGGUUGACUUGUUGGGUGUAGUGCGCAGACUCCAGAGGACAGCCGGCAGCUCUUCGAGCCAGCAACCGGCCGAUCGCUCCAGUGGUACAACCAGUCGGGGCUUGAUGCCGGAGAGGAUAAGUCCAUUUGCUCGCUCGACCUGGCCGUUUGACUGUGGGUGGGCGACGGACGCUAAGUCCAGGCGGAUGCCCUGUGUCGCGCAGAAACGCGCCAGUGCGCCUUUGGCGAAGUUCGUGCUGUUGUCGGUGAUGAUGCUGUGCGGCAUGCCGUACCGAGUAGUGAUGUCGGUGAUGAACGUCACGGCAGUCGGCCCGUUCAGCUUCUUGAUGGGCUUGGCUUCGAUCCACUUUGUGAACUUGUCCACAGCAACGAGUAGGUGCGUCAUGCCACCGCGGGCUGUCUUGAAAGGGCCCACCAUGUCCAAUCCCCAGACGGCAAAAGGCCAGGUGAGGGGGAUGUUCUUGAGGGCAGAAGCCGGCAGGUGUUGUUUGGAACUGAAGACUUGACACCCUCUGCAGCUCCUCACUAUUUCUUUAGCAUCCUCCAAGGCAGUCGGCCAGAAGAACCCAUGGUGGAAAGCCUUGGCCACGAGGGAUCUUGAGGCGGCGUGGUGGCCGCAUUCGCCUUGGUGGAUGUCUUUGAGGAUUGCCACUCCUUUUUCUGGCUCGACGCAAUGCUGGAAGACUCCAGUGACGCUGCGCUUCACAAGCUCCCUAUUGAUUAUUGUGUAUGCUGCGGCUCGUCGUUGCACUAGUCUUGCUGCGAUCUCAUCAGUCGGCAGUGGUUGACUAGGAACUUGAGGAUGGGCUGGGCCCAUGAGGGAGCUGUGACUUCUUCUGCUGUUAAUGUGGCCACCAUGACUCGGGUGGGUGGGUUGGGUGUUGUAUUGGAGUCGACCGCCGCUUCUUGUGUCGUUGCAGUCCCCGGGCCGGGUUCUGAAGUCCCUGGGCCGGGUGCGACUACGUCAGUCCCCGGGGCAGUCGUCGAAGUCCCCGUGCCGCCUGCCGAAUUUCUUGAGCCGGAUCCGGCUGUUUCUGGCGCAGGCGGUAUGAAGGUGGAGUCCGACUCUGGAGACGACUUGAUGGACGGCUUGAGGAGGCGCUGGAGGGAGACGCCAGUCGGUAUGGCUUGUCGGGUGGAGCCGAUCCAUGCUAGGGCAUCUGCUUGGUCGUUGUCGGCCCUUGGCACAUGAAGGAACUCGCACCCUUCGAAGUAUCCGCUCAUCUGCUGGACGAGGAAGCGGUAGCUCGCCAUGUUCGCGUCCUUGGCGUCCCAGUCGCCAGAUGAUUGCUGGACCACUAAGUCGGAGUCGCCGUAGCACAGGAUCCGGCGUAUGCCGAGUUCUUUGGCUAGCCGGAGCCCAUGUACGAGCGCCUCAUACUCGGCCACGUUGUUGGAGGCGGCGAAGUGGAUCUGCAACGUGUACUUGAGCUUGUCGCCUUUGGGAGAGGUGAGGACGAUGCCGGCUCCCAAGCUGGUGCGCAUCUUGGACCUGUCAAAGUGCAUCCGCCAAUGGGUAGAGUCGGGAGCCGGCGGUAAGUACUGGGUCUCGGCCCAGUCGACGAGGAAGUCGGCCAAUGCUUGCGACUUGAUGGCGGUGCGGGGUUGAUAGAAAAUCGUGUAGGGCGCCAAGGCAAUGGCCCAUUAGGCCACCCGGCCGGAUGCAUCCCGGCUGCCUAUGAUCUCGGCGAGCGGGGCAGUGCACACGACCGUGAUGGGGUGCUCUUGGAAGUAGGGCUUCAAUUUCUUGGCAGCGAAGUACACCCCAUAGCACAUCUUUUGGUAGUGCGGGUAGUUUUGCUUUGAGCUGGACAGUACUUCGCUGAGAUAGUAGACCGACCUCUGGACCAGCUGAGCUCGGCCUUCCUCCGGGCGCUGGACCACAACAACAGUGCUGAUGACUCGGCUUGUCGCGGCGAUGUAGAGGAGCAUGGGCUCCUUCUCAGUCGGCGCAGCCAGGACAGGCGGAGUAGUCAACAUUUUCUUCAACUCAUGGAAGGCUUGGUCGGCUUGAUCAUUCCACUCAAAGUGAGUGGACUUCUUCAUGAGUCGGUACAGGGGGAGAGCCUUCUCUCCUAGUCGGCUGAUAAAACGGUUCAGGGAGGCUAAGCAGCCAGUGAACUUCUGCACAUCUCGCAGUUUGGUGGGAAUCUCCAUCCUCUCGAUGGCUUUGAUCUUGACAGGGUUGCACUCAAUGCCGCGUUCGGAGACCAGGAAGCCUAGCAGCUGGCCGGCUGGCACUCCGAACACGCACUUCUCGGGGUUGAGCUUGAUCUGGAAUCGGCGCAAGUUGGCAAAUGUUUCCUUCAGGUCUUCCAGCAAGGUACCACGCUUCUCUGUCUUCACCACAAUGUCGUCUACGUAGACGUGGGCAUUUCUGCCGAGUUGUUUCAAGAGACAUUUCUGCAUGCAACGCUGAAAAGUGGCACCGGCGUUUCUCAAGCCGAAUGUCAUUGUCAGGUAGCAGAAAGCUCCAAAGGGUGUGAUGAAGGCAGUCUUCAGGGGGUCGGCCGGGUCCAACUUGAUCUGAUGAUACCCUGAGUAUGCAUCCAAGAAACUUAACAGCUCGCAUCCGGCUGUGGAGUCUAUCACUUGGUCAAUCCGUGGCAAAGCAAACGGAUCCUUUGGGCAGGCCUUGUUCAGACUUGUGUAUUCUAUACACAUGCGCCACUUGUUAUUCUUCUUCAAAACCAGAACUGGAUUGGCAAGCCAUUCUGGAAAGAACACUUCCAUGAUGAAGCCGGCUGCAAGGAGCCGGGCUAUCUCUUCUCCCACGAUUCUUCGCUUCUCUUCUGAUAGUCGGCGGAGGGGUUGCUUGACCGGCUUCGCAUCAGCUCGGACAUGUAAUUUGUGCUCGGCGAAAUCCUUCGGGACACCCGGCAUGUCCUUUGGGGACCAUGCAAAGAUGUCUCGAUUCUCACGGAGGAAGUCGGCGAGCUCGCCUUCCUAUUUACUGUCCAAGUUCGCCCCAAUCACGGCGAACCUCUCCGGGUGCUCCGGGUCUAGAGGUAUCUUCUUCGUCUCUUUUGCAGGCUGGAAGGAGCCCUGCGCAUCACAGUCCUUGGGGUUGGGGGACAAGGCCGGCUGCUUGCCGGCCAUGGCCACAACCCGUUCCAACAUCUUCUUCUCUUCUGCCACCACGAGGGACUCGGCCAGCCGGCUGCUGGCCAUGGCACACUCGAUGGACUUCUUGUAGUCGCCGGCUAUCGUGAUGAUCCCUUUCGAGCUCGGCAUCUUCAUCUUCAGGUAGGCAUAGUGGGGCACAGCCAUGAACUUGGCCAAAGCAGGUCGGCCAAGCAGUGCAUGAUAGGGGCUCUCCAAAUCCACCACCUCGAACCAUAUUGCUUCCCGGCGAAAAUGAUCUUUGUCUCCGAAGAGAACAUCCAUCUUGAUCUUGCCGAUUGGAGAGCAAGAUAGGCCGGGUACGAUACCAUGGAAGACUGUGCGGCUCGGCAUGAGCUGCUUUGCUUUGAUGUUCAGCUUGUCCAUGGUAUCGCGGUACAGUAUGUUGAUACUGCUUCCGCCGUCUAUCAGGACGCGAGAAAAUCUGGCAGCUCGCCUCUCCGUCGCAAGGGUGAUGUCCAAGACCAUAGCAUAGGAGCCAGGCGAAGGCAUCACCUCUGGGUGGUCGGCCUGGCUCCAGCUGAUGGGCUUUUCCGACCAGUGCAUGAACUCGGCGGUGCUAGAGGCGACUGCGUUUACUUCUUGGUGCUGCCGGCGUCGGCUGCGCUUGUCGUCGACUUGACUUGUGAAGACGACGUAGGCGUCGUGCGCUUCGGGGAACUCGUCUUGGAUGGCGCCGACUGCCGGCCGGGCCGCCGGCUGCGGGGGAGCUGGAGGCGGCGGGCCGGGAGGCGGAGGCGGCACCAUCCCUUCGCCCUUGGUGGUGCGGGUGAGACAGUGGCAUUUCCGUGUUGUAUGGUUGGACGGCUUCGCGCCGCUGUGGAACUUGCAGGGAGCAUCGAGUGCUUGUUUGUAGGAGAAGGACGGCUGCCAAGGCGGCCGGCCUCCCUUCUUCUUGGGAGCACGCCGCUCUUCGGGCUGCUCGUCUUCAAUGGUGGCCACCUGCCGACUGGAGGAAGUCGGCAUGGGGCCCUUGCGCUUGUGGUCGUUCUGGUAGGGGCGCCGGUUGGGGUUGCCAGCCGGCUGCUUGGGAGCCGGGGCAACCACUUUCCCCGAGGCGUCCACUCGGAGCUCGGUCUUCAUGGAGGAAUCGGCAGUAGCGUAUUUGUCGGCGAUGACGAGUAGCUCGUCGAGGGUAGCCGGCUCGUCGCAGAGGAGUCGGUGCUUGAGGAGGGUGCCCUCUCGGCACCCGGCAGUGAAGUACUCGAUGGCCUGGACCUCGUGCACUCCCUCGCAGGAGUUGCGGAGCUCGGCCCAUCGCGUGAGGUAGUCGCGGGUCGACUCGUUGGGCCCCUGGACGCAGAGGGAGAGCUGGCGAGGCUUGGGAGGCCGCUUGUAGGUGCUGGUGAAGUUGCGGACGAAAACUUCGGUGAAGUCCAGCCAACUGUUGAUGCUGUAGGGCUUGAGGCUAUUGAGCCAUGUGCGCGCCGUGCCCUGCAGCAUCAGGGGGACGUACUUCACGGCAACGCGCCGGUUGCCGUUGGUGAUGCUGACGGCUGUGGAGUAGUCGAUGAGCCAAUCUUCCGGCUUCACCGAGCCGUUGUACUUGGGCGUGUCUCUGGGGAGCGAGAACCCUUUGGGAAAGGGCUCGUCGCAGAUGCGGGGGCCGAAGCAUGGCGGGCCGACAUCGUCUUCUUCUUCUAACACCAAGGAUCGAGCUAGGCGAUCGAUCCUGUGGCGGGCGUCGUUCUCGCCGACUCCUUCUCGGCGGCCGAGUCGGUCGCCAAGAGUCGGAUGCGUGACAGGCGGUGGAGUGAGGCGUCUUUCUCUUCGAGGCGGGGGAGGAGGCAGGUUUCCUUGGUGUUCAACCGCCCGAGGGCGACCAUCCGCGUCGCGCUCGAUAGUGACGCGAGUCCGGCUGCGGCUGGCAGCCGGCUCCUUGUCUUUCUUCUGACGCACACCGCUCGCAGUCGGCGAGCGGGACGUCGCGGCGUGCUCCCGGCGCGGGGGAUGGCUAUCAGCUCGGGCGCCGGCUUCGUGUCGUUCUGCAUCCGCGUCGAUCAGCUGCUGGAUCCGUCUCGUCAUGUAGGGGAGCUCAUCGACUCCCAUCCCACUGAGCUCCUCUGCAGCCGCCUGAGCGGCUCGCAGAUUCUCGAGCGGGGUGGCGUAGACGGGGCGAUCUGCGCCCAGCAUGCUGGCAACGGCUGCGCCGCGCUUCUGGACGAAGCCGGCUCGGCUCGGGCCGCUAGGCGGCGGCGUCCCGAAGGCGGCGCGGUCAACUUCGCGCUGGUGGGCCUCGGUGAGACGUCUCAUCGAGGCUAUCUUCUUGCCCUCCGCGAUGAGGGCACGGCGGCGUGCCUCCAGGGUCUCGGCGUCGGCGUCGGCCGGGAUGGGGACGGAGAGGUCGUGCAUCGCCGCUCGCUGAGCGUCGCGGGCGUUCUCGCCCGAGUCGGAGACGUGGCUGAUGACCAUCACUUCGGUGACAGCGCUGUUGCCGCUGUCAGCUCGAGGGAGUGGGUCGUCGAAGACCACCACGUUGGAGGGGUAAGCGUCGAGCGACGCGGUGUUGGAGUCGAUGAGCAUCGGGUCGGUGGAGCCGACAGACUCCAUGUCCGCGGCAGGCUCGCUGGAGACGUGAAGUUGGUCGAGGAGGCUGACAAGGCGGCUCUCGGGGUAGUCGGUGCCUGCGUCGGACGCAGGCUCGUCGGAGAUGCGAGUCUCGCCGAGCAGAUCGGCGAGGCGGCUCGCUGCGCAGGCGUCCUCGACGCCUUGCAGCGCGUCGGGGCAAGCGCCAUCGGGCGCAGCAGGCUGGCUGCGCUCGCGGGGAAGGAAGAGGGUUCCCGUCCAGAACAGGUCUCCGGACGACGGUGCACCUGGCCCCACGGUGGGCGCCAAAUGUCGGGUGGUUGGUGCGACAUAUGCCAAGGGAUGGCUUAUCAUUGUGGGAGCCAAUAAAACGUCGUCGGUGCCUGGAAACAGGAUGAGGCGAAGACAUGCACGCCGGCGAAUCUUACCCAGGUUCGGGGCUCUCCGAGGAGAUAACACCCCUAGUCCUGCUCUGCGGGGUCUCCGCAUGAUCACUAGAUCGAUAAAGGGUAGCUACAAUCGCUCCUAGAGCUGUUGGGAUCAAGGGAGAAGAAGAACAAGGCUAGCUCUUGCUUCUCUCUAUCUAUGUUUGUGCGUGUGCUAUGCUUGAAGGCCAAACAUGCAGAAGUGCGAACCAGAAGCGAACCCUUUGCAUGGGUGCUCCGGGGGGUUUAUAUAGGCCUACCCCCCGGGGGUACAAUGGUAAUCCGACUGGGAGCGGGUCCCAGCCGUCAGUGUCUAUGCUUGCCGGCUUCUCCGCCGGCUGCUGGGUCCCGCCGGCUGCUGGGUCCCGCCGGCGGCCGGCUACUUGGUCGACAGGCCGGCCCCACCGCCUAGGGCUUUGUCGGCGGCUGCUUACUGUAGCCGCGCCUCUGAUGAUGAGGGCUUUGUCGAGGUGAGCGUGGCUACAGUGGGCCGCCUCGGAGGCUAUCACUGUAGCCUCACCUCGUCUUGUCUCCUUAAUGGGGCUCCUGCUUCGAGGAAGGGCAUAGCCGGCUUCUGGAGGCCGGCUAUGCUCCCGGCCGACUAGGAAAAGCCAGGCCGCCUUCACGCCUCUCUCUGGCUGAAGGGGCCCGCAGUCCUUGGGUCAUACAGGAAUGGGUCGUGGAUGACGUCGAGGCUAACGUGGCUACAGUGCCGGGCCGCACGGGAGACCUCCCUCCCGUACGGCCUCCUGUAGCCAUGCCCGCCUCGGGCUUCGGGGGUCGUGGGCUGCACUGUGGCCAUGCCCCGUCAGGUCGUCGUUAUGUAGGAGUGGUUGUCGUGGCCGGUUUCUAGGAGUCGGCGUCCUUCUUGGCCGGCUCCUUGGAGUCGGCGAGGCUGGGUCGCCUUCCGGGAGUCGGCUUUAGUGGUGAUCGGCCGGGGAAGGCGUCCCAAAUGCUUGGAGUGCUUGAAGGCCCAAAGGCCUGAUAAAUUUUCUGAAGAGCCAGGGGUAGUCGGUUAGGCUACCCGUGGCCACUUACUCCGACAGUCCUGGUGUUGAUCAUGUUUUGCCCUAGGGAGAGGUUUAGUCAACGGAUCUGCUACAUUCAGGUCCGUGUGUACUUUACAAAUUUCUAUGUCUCCAUUUUGAACACUUUCACGAAUGGAGUUGAAGCGACGCUUGAUAUGCCUGGUCUUCCUGUGAAACCUGGGCUCCUUCGCAAGGGCAAUAGCUCCAGUGUUGUCACAGAAGAGAGUCAUUGGACCCGACGCAUUGGGAAUCACCCCUAGGUCGGUAAUGAACUCCUUCAUCCAGACUGCUUCCUGUGCUGCCUCCGAGGCUGCCAUGUAUUCCGCUUCACAUGUAGAUCCCGCCAUGACGCUUUGCUUGCAACUACACCAGCUUACUGCUCCUCCAUUCAAAAUAUACACGUAUCCGGUCUGUGACUUCGAGUCAUCCAGAUCUGUGUCGAAGCUAGCGUCGACGUAACCCUUUACGACGAGCUCUUCGUCACCUCCAUAAACGAGAAACAUAUCCUUAGUCCUCUUCAGGUACUUCAGGAUAUUCUUGACCGUUGUCCAGUGUUCCUUGCCGGGAUUACUUUGGUACCUUCCUACCAAACUUACGGCAAGGUUUACAUCAGGUCUGGUACACAGCAUGGCAUACAUAAUAGACCCUAUGGCCGAGGCAUAGGGGAUGACACUCAUCUCUUCUAUAUCUUCUGCCGUGGUCGGGCAUUGAGCCGUGCUCAAUUGCACACCUUGCAAUACAGGCAAGAACCCCUUCUUGGACUGAUCCAUACUGAACUUCUUCAAUAUCUUGUCAAGGUAUGUACUCUGUGAAAGACCAAUGAGGCGCCUUGAUCUAUCUCUAUAGAUCUUGAUGCCUAAUAUAUAAGCAGCUUCUCCAAGGUCCUUCAUUGAAAAACACUUAUUCAAAUAGGCCUUUAUACUUUCCAAGAAUUCUAUAUCAUUUCCCAUCAAUAGUAUGUCAUCCACAUAUAAUAUGAGAAAUGCUACGGAGCUCCCACUCACUUUCUUGUAAACACAGGCUUCUCCAUAAGUCUGUGUAAACCCAAACGCUUUGAUCAUCUCAUCAAAGCGAAUGUUCCAACUCCGAGAUGCUUGCACCAGCCCAUAGAUUGAGCGCUGGAGCUUGCAUACUUUGUUAGCAUUCUUAGGAUCGACAAAACCUUCCGGCUGCAUCAUAUACAACUCUUCCUUAAGGAAGCCGUUAAGGAAUGCCGUUUUGACGUCCAUCUGCCAUAUCUCAUAAUCAUAGUAUGCGGCAAUUGCUAACAUGAUUCGGACGGACUUCAGCUUCGCUAUGGGUGAGAAAGUCUCAUCGUAGUCAACCCCUUGAACUUGUCGAUAACCCUUAGCGACAAGUCGAGCUUUGUAGAUGGUCGAAUUACCAUCUGCGUCCGUCUUCUUCUUAAAGAUCCAUUUGUUUUCUAUGGCUCGCCGCUCAUCGGGCAAGUCAGUCAAAGUCCAUACUUUGUUUUCAUACAUGGAUUCUAUCUCGGAUUUCAUGGCUUCUAGCCAUUUGUCGGAAUCCGGGCCCGCCAUCGCUUCUUCAUAGUUCGAAGGUUCACCGUUGUCUAACAACAUGAUUUCUAGGACAGGGUUGCCGUACCACUCUGGUGCGGAACGUGUCCUUAUGGACCUACGAAGUUCAGUGACUUGAUCUGUAGCUUCAUGAUCAUCAUCAUUAACUUCCUCUCCAGUCGGUGUAGGCACCAUAGGAACAUUUUCCCGCGCUGCGCUACUUUCCGGCUCGGAAGGGGUGACUAUCACCUCAUCAAGUUCCACUUUCCUCCUACUCAAUUCUUUCGAGAGAAACUCCUUCUCCAGAAAGGACCCGUUCCUGGCAACGAAGAUUUUGCCUUCGGAUCUGAGGUAGAAGGUAUACCCAAUAGUUUCCUUAGGGUAUCCUAUGAAGACGCAUUUUUCCGACUUGGGUUCGAGCUUUUUAGGUUGAAGUUUCUUGACAUAAGCAUCGCAUCCCCAAACUUUUAGAAACGACAGCUUAGGUUUCUUCCCAAACCAUAAUUCAUACGGUGUCGUCUCAACGGAUUUCGACGGAGCCCUAUUUAAAGUGAAUGCGGCAGUCUCUAAAGCAUAACCCCAAAAUGAGAGCGGUAAAUCGGUAAGAGACAUCAUAGAUCGCACCAUAUCCAAUAGAGUGCGAUUACGACGUUCGGACACACCAUUUCUCUGAGGUGUUCCAGGCGGCGUGAGUUGUGAAACUAUUCCACAUUUCCUUAAGUGUGCACCAAACUCGUGACUUAAAUAUUCUCCACCACGAUCUGAUCGUAGGAAUUUUAUUCUCCUGUCACGUUGAUUCUCAACCUCACUCUGAAAUUCUUUGAACUUUUCAAAGGUUUCAGACUUGUGUUUCAUUAGGUAGACAUAUCCAUAUCUACUUAAAUCAUCAGUGAGAGUGAGAACAUAACGAUAUCCUCCACAAGCCUCAACACUCAUUGGACCACACACAUCGGUAUGUAUGAUUUCCAAUAAGUUGGUUGCUCGCUACAUUGUUCCGGAGAACGGAGUCUUGGUCAUCUUACCCAUGAGGCAUGGUUCACACGUGUCAAAUGAUUCGUAAUCAAGAGACUCCAAAAGUCCAUCUGCAUGGAGCUUCUUCAUGCGCUUGACACCAAUGUGACCAAGGCGGCAGUGCCACAAGUAUGUGGGACUAUCGUUAUCAACUUUACAUCUUUUGGUAUUCACACUAUGAACAUGUGUAACAUCACGUUCGAGAUUCAUCAAAAAUAAACCAUUGACCAGCGGGGCAUGACCAUUAAACAUAUCUCUCAAAUAAAUAGAACAACCAUUAUUCUCGGAUUUAAAUGAGUAGCCAUCUCGAAUUAAACGAGAUCCAGAUACAAUGUUCAUGCUCAAAGCUGGCACUAAAUAACAAUUAUUGAGGUUUAAAACUAAUCCCGUGGGUAGAUGCAGAGGCAGCGUGCCGACGGCGAUCACAUCGACCUUGGAACCAUUCCCGACGUGCAUCGUCACCUCGUCCUUUGCCAGUCUCCGUUUAUUUCGUAGUUCCUGUUUUGAGUUACAAAUAUGAGCAACCGCACCGGUAUCAAAUACCCAGGAGCUACUACGAGUACUGGUAAGGUACACAUCAAUUACUUGUAUAUCACAUAUACCUUGGGUGUUGCCGGCCUUCUUCUUGUCCGCUAAAUAUUUGGGGCAGUUCCGCUUCCAGUGACCACUUCCCUUGCAAUAAAAGCACUCAGUCCCGGGCUUGGGUCCAUUCUUUGACUUCUUCCCAGUAACUGGUUUACCGGGCGCGGCAACUCCCUUGCCGUCCUUCUUGAAGUUCUUCUUACCCUUGCCCUUCUUGAACUUGGUGGUUUUAUUCACCAUCAACACUUGAUGUUCUUUUCUGAUCUCCCCUUCCGCUGAUUUCAGCAUUGAAUAUACCUCGGAAAUGGUCUUUUCCAUCCCCUGCAUAUUGUAGUUCAUCACAAAGCUCUUGUAGCUUGGUGGAAGCGACUGGAGGAUUCUGUCAAUGACUGCGUCAUCCGGGAGAUUAACUCCCAGCUGAGACAAGCGGUUGUGCAACCCAGACAUUCUGAGUAUGUGCUCACUAACAGAACUGUUCUCCUCCAUUUUACAGCUGAAGAAUUUGUCGGAGACAUCAUAUCUCUCGACCCGGACAUGAGCUUGAAAAACAAGUUUCAGCUCCUCGAACAUCUCAUAUGCUCCAUGUUUCUCAAAACGCUUUUGGAGACCCGGUUCUAAGCUGUAAAGCAUGCCGCACUGAACAAGGGAGUAAUCAUCAGCACGUGAUUGCCAAGCGUUCAUAACGUCUUGGUUCUGUGGGAUUGGUGCAUCACCUAGCGGUGCUUCUAAGACAUAAUCUUUCUUGGCUACUAUGAGGAUGACCCUCAAGUUCCGGACCCAGUCCGUAUAGUUGCUGCCAUCAUCUUUCAGCUUGGUUUUCUCUAGGAACGCGUUGAAAUUGAGGACAACGUUGGCCAUUUGAUCUACAAGACAUAGUGUAAAGAUUUUAGACUAAGUUCAUGAUAAUUGAGUUCAUCUAAUCAAAUUAUUUAAUGAACUCCCACUCAGAUAGACAUCCCUCUAGUCAUCUAAGUGAAACAUGAUCCGAGUUCAACUAGGCCGUGUCCGAUCAUCACGUGAGACGGGCUAGUCAAGAUCGGUGAACAUCUCCAUGUUGAUCGUAUCUUCUAUACGACUCAUGCUCGACCUUUCGGUCCUCCGUGUUCCGAGGCCAUGUCUGUACAUGCUAGGCUCGUCAAGUCAACCUAAGUGUAUUGCGUGUGUUCCGAGGCCAUGUCUGUACAUGCUAGGCUCGUCAACACCCGUUGUAUUCGAACGUAAGAAUCUAUCACACCCGAUCAUCACGUGGUGCUUCGAAACGACGAACCUUCGCAACGGUGCACAGUUAGGGUGAACACUUUCUUGAAAUUAUUAUAAGGGAUCAUCCUACUUGCUACCGUCGUUCUAAGCAAAUAAGAUGCAAAAACAUGAUAAACAUCACAUGCAAUCAAAUAGUGACAUGAUAUGGCCAAUAUCAUUAUGCUCCUUUGAUCUCCAUCUUCGGGGCACCAUGAUCAUCUUCGUCACCGGCAUGACACCAUGAUCUCCAUCAUCAUGAUCUCCAUCAUUGUGUCUUCAUGAAGUCGUCACGCCAACGAUUACUUCUACUUCUAUGGCUAACGCGUUUAGCAAUAAAGUAAAGUAAUUUACAUGGCGUUAUUCAAUGACACGCAGGUCAUACAAAAUAAUAAAGACAACUCCUAUGGCUCCCGCCGAUUGUCAUACUCAUCGACAUGCAAGUCGUGAUUCCUAUUACAAGAAUAUGAUCAAUCUCAUACAUCACAUAUAUCAUUCAUCGCAUCUUCUGGCCAUAUCACAUCACAUAGCUCUUGCUGCAAAAACAAGUUAGACAUCCUCUAAUUGUUGUUGCAAGUUUUUUACGUGGUUUGUAGGUUUCUAGCAAGAACGUUUCUUACCUACGUAUGACCACAACGUGAUUUGCCAAUUUCUAUUUACCCUUCAUAAGGACCCUUUUCAUCGAAUCCGUUCCGACUAAAGUAGGAGAGACAGACACCCGCUAGCCACCUUAUGCAACUUGUGCAUGUCAGUCGGUGGAACCUGUCUCACGUAAGUGUACGUGUAAGGUCGGUCCGGGCCGCUUCAUCCUACAAUGCCGCCGAAACAAGAAAAGACUAGUCGCGGCAAGAAGAAUUGGCAAACUCAACGCCCACAACUGCUUUGUGUUCUACUCGUGCAUAGUAACUACGCAUAAGCCUGGCUCAUGAUGCCACUGUUGGGAUUCGUAGCAUAAUUUUAAAAUUUUCCUACGCUCACCAAGAUGCAUCUAUGGAGUCUACUAGCAACGAGGGGAAGGAGUGGAUCUACACACCCUUGUAGAUCGCCAGCAGAAGCGUUCCAAUGAACGUGGAUGACGGAGUCGUACUCGCCGUGAUCCAAAUCACCGAUGACCGAGUGCCGAAUGUACGGCACCUCCGCGUUCAACACACGUACGGUGCAGCGAUGUCUCCUCCUUCUUGAUCCAGCAAGGGGGAAGGAGAGGUUGAUGGAGAUCCAACAGCACGACGGCGUGGUGGUGGAUGUAGCGGGUCUCCGGCAGGGCUUCGCCGAGCUUCUGCGAGAGAGAGAGAGAGGUGUUGCAGGGGAGGAGGGAGGCGCCAAAGGCUGUUGUGUGCUGCCCUCCCUCCCCCCCCCCUUUAUAUAGGCCCCUGGGGGGGUACGCCAGCCCCAAGAGAUGGGAUCUCAAGGGGGGUGGUGGCCAAGUGGGGGGGAAGGGGUGCCUUGCCCCCCAAGGCAAGGGGGAAGCUCCCCCCCCUAGGGUUUCCAACCCUAGGCGCAUGGGGGGAGGCCCAAGGGGGGCGCCCCAGCGCACUAGGGGCUGGUUCCCUUCCACUUUCAGCCCACGGGGCCCUCCGGGACAGGUGGCCCCACCCGGUGGACCCCCGGGACCCUUCCGGUGGUCCCGGUACAAUACCGGUAACCCCCGAAACUUUCCCGGUGGCCGAAACUUGACUUCCUAUAUAUAAUUCUUCACCUCCGGACCAUUCCGGAACCUCUCGUGACGUCCGGGAUCUCAUCCGGGACUCCGAACAACUUUCGGGUUUCCGCAUACAUAUAUCUCUACAACCCUAGCGUCACCGGACCUUAAGUGUGUAGACCCUACGGGUUCGGGAGACAUGCAGACAUGACCGAGACACCUCUCCGGUCAAUAACCAACAGCGGGAUCUGGAUACCCAUGUUGGCUCCCACAUGCUCCACGAUGAUCUCAUCGGAUGAACCAUGGUGUCGAGGAUUCAAUCAAUCCGUAUGCAAUUCCCUUUGUCAAUCGGUAUGUUACUUGCCCGAGAUUCGAUCGUCGGUAUCCCAAUACCUUGUUCAAUCUCGUUACCGGCAAGUCUCUUUACUCGUACCGCAAUGCAUGAUCCCGUGACUAACGCCUUAGUCACAUUGAGCUCAUUAUGAUGAUGCAUUACCGAGUGGGCCCAGAGAUACCUCUCCGUCACACGGAGUGACAAAUCCCAGUCUCGAUUCGUGCCAACCCAACAGACACUUUCGAAGAUACCCGUAAUGCACCUUUAUAGUCACCCAGUUACGUUGUGACGUUUGGCACACCCAAAGCACUCCUACGGUAUCCGGGAGUUGCACGAUCUCAUGGUCUAAGGAAAAGAUACUUGACAUUGGAAAAGCUCUAGCAAACGAAACUACACGAUCUUUUAUGCUAUGCUUAAGUUGGGUCUUGUCCAUCAUAUCAUUCUCCUAAUGAUGUGAUCCCCUUAUCAAUGACAUCCAAUGUCCAUAGUCAGGAAACCAUGACUAUCUGUUGAUCAACGAGCUAGUCAACUAGAGGCUUACUAGGGACAGGUUGUGGUCUAUGUAUUCACACAUGUAUUACGAUUUCCGGACAAUACAAUUAUAGCAUGAAUAAUAGACAAUUAUCAUGAACAAAGAAAUAUAAUAAUAACCUUUUAUUAUUGCCUCUAGGGCAUAUUUCCAACAAUAAGGAUUCCCCCUUCCUCUUCUCACGCUCUUUCUCCGUCUCCGCCUCUCCGAUCUCAAGCUCGAGCGCCCAAGUUCUCAUCUCCUUUCCACUCAAGCAACCAUGUCCGGAUCCGGUGGUCAGGGCAAGUGGAUGGUCUCCUCCGUCAAGGAGGAGGACAUUACUGAGCUCCGGGCAGCCGGAUAUUUGGCGAAGGAGAUCGCCCACCGCCUGCCGGCCGAGGUACAAAUUGUCCCCAUGCCGAAGCCCACUGAGAGGGUAGUAUUCAUCCCCCAUUUCUUCCGCGGGCUAGGGUUUCCACUCCACCCUUUUGUCUGCAGGCUAAUGUAUUAUUACGGAAUAGAUUUCCAUGAUCUGUCCCCGAAUUCCUUCCUCAACAUCUCGGCGUUUAUCAUCGUGUGCGAGGCCUUCCUCUGCAUCCAUCCCCACUUCAGGCUGUGGCUCAAAGUCUUCAAGGUGAAGCCAAAGGUGGUGGAUGGCCAGCACGCGGAGUGUGGAGGAGCCAUGGUGAGCAAGCUAUCCAACGUCUCCUGGCCCAAAGGCACUUUUGUGGAGACAGUAAAGGAAUGGCAGAAGCAGUGGUUCUACAUCACAGAACCUCGCGGCACCACCUGGGCCGCGGCUGCCAGAUUCUGCUCCGGUGCUCCCAUGCGACUCACCUCCUGGGUCGAGAAGAGUCCGGACUGGAGUUCACCUGACGAGCUGAUAGCGUUGCAGACGCGCGUUCAAAGCAUGGUGACCAAGAACUUCAAGCUCGUUGACGUCAUCUAGGUGAUGCUGGUCCGCCGGAUUCUUCCGUGCCAGCGCCGGAGCCGCCCUUUGUGGGAGUUCAAUUCGAAGAAGCACUAGACCUUGAAAAGGCUCUUCGAGACUUCUCACGAAGGGGCCUGGAAGUUGCUCUUUAAGGGCAACGAGAAGCCACCGGCCACGGACUCAGACCGUGGUCACGAUUGUAAACACCCCGCCAGCGAGGUAUGUUUUCUCUGACGUAUCCCCGACUUAAAUGUUUCGAGGAUGAUUCUAAGUUUUUAUUAUUUCUCUUUCAGGACUGGAUGGAGAGGGCGAGGCGGAUCCGGUGUCCGGCCCCGCUGCCUGAAGAACCUGUCAUCUCGCGCCUGGCGAAUAUGCUGGUGCCGGUGCCAUAUAAGGCGCCGGAGAAGAAGGCCAAGAAGAAGGCCAAGGGGGCCAAGAGUGGCCCCCGUCGCAAGGGCAGUCCGGACGUGACGUCCGAAGACGACGAAGCUCAUUCCUCUGUACCUGAGGACAAUGACGAGGAAGAGGAGGAGGAGGAGGAGAACAACCCUCCCCCCGAGGAGAAGAAGAAGAAGAGGGCGGCUUCGGCGCAUCUGGAGGCGGAGACGCCCAAGAAGGGGAAAGGCGUCCCAGCGGUCAACACCUCAUGGGAUGUCGACAGUAGUCCGGAACAACGCCCCCGUACUAAGCCCCAGGCCGCAUCGUAAGUGACGUGGCUUGCUCGCGCGCACAUCCGGCCCUUUUUCUCCAUUUAUCUUUGACAUAGUUUAACUGUACUAUUGCAGUCCGGCCCGUGACCUUAUCCAGCAAUCCUCAUCUGAAGGCUCGUUGGCUCCGUCGGAGAUGGCGAGCAUGUCGCCACCGCCCGCUUACUCCCCUGGGGCUAGGGAUGACGCCGAAGUGCUGUCCCGAAAGACCGCUCUGAACUAGGGAGGAGCCCAGGACGUUGUCCGGGAGGCGCCACAAGGCGGGACCUCCACUGCCGGACACAUGAGGGAGCCAAUCCCCAUGGAGACUGGCGAAGAAGGCCGUAUCCAGUUCGGCUCUCAGCCGAAUACGAUUCUAGAGACCCAUAUGGCUCCGGAGUCGGGCGAGCAGCCCCCUUUGAAGGAGAGGGGUGCGCCGCCUCCACCGGUGGCUCCUGUCCAUCCAGGAGCGUCGGAUGACCUAACGGGGGCGCUACGAAGCGCCUCCGUCGUGGACGAGCAUCGUGUCCUUAUGGGUGCGGUGAUCGAGAAGGUUCAGUCCACCAAGAGCGGACUGAAUGAAGCCUGUAGUAGCCUGUUAACAGGUUUCGAGGUAAGAAAGAGAGAAAAACCCGAAUAGUCCGUAGCCCCUAAGACGUUGUCCGGUGUUCAGCGAGAAGAACCGGACAGGGGAUCAAUCCUUAAUUAUAAGAGGCUGACUGAAUAUAUAUCGAUAAGCAGGCGUCCCUAUUGGUCGCGACCUCGCAUGCUACCGAGGUCUCCGAACUGAGGCGGAGGCUGGAGCGGACCGAGAACGAGCUCGGCGAGGUUAAGGUUCGGCUCCAGGAUCAGCAAGGUGAGUAACGACUUGUUGUAUGUUCGGGAAAGGAUAAGCGCUGUAUAUUGACAAUGGUAUUGUGAUACAUGAAGAAGCCGCGACCGAGGUCGAGGCCCUGAGGAAGGCCCUAGGCGAGGCCGAGGAGCAGGCUGUCCAGCAGCAAGAUGCCCGUAAGAAGCUAGAGGCCCGGGUCAAAGAAGUCCAGCAGGAGCUCCAGGAUGCGGUUAACAAAUGUGAGACCUUGGAGAAUGAUGCAUCGGCUCAAGGGGCCGAGCUCACCAAGGCUCGUCAGAGCACGGAGACCGCUCGGAAUGAGGCCCAGGCCGCCCUCCAGGAGAUCCAGGAGGCCAAGAAGAUCACAGCGGGUAAGGCUUUUAAUAUGCAAAGCAAGUACGCGGAGAAGCAGUACCUUUUACUAACCCGGGUUCGGAGUUCCCCAGGGGCUUUUGCUGAUCUACCACACAGUGUAUCGGACGCCGUGGAGUUCUAUCGAGCCGAAGGAGGGGGUUCCACAGAGAAGCUCUUCUGGUCGUAAUAUGCGGUGCCAGAGCCUCCCAUGUCCUUCACCGAUCAGCUGAAACAGCUGGUGGAGCUGCACAAGGUGGCCGAAUUAGCCAUGAAGAAUUUGACAAUCCGGCUAUGGCCAGCCGAAGCUAUGCCUGGCAGCUACUUCAGACUCGUGAGGCGGAUGGUAAACGCAUGUCCUCGGCUGGACGUCAUCAAGCGCUCCGCCUGUAUUGAAGGUGCCCGUAUGGCCUUCGCUUGCUGCAAGAUGUGGUGGGCGAAGAUGAACGCUGUUGAAGUUGCCAGCGGGCUGCCGGAGGGCAAGGAGCACCGCACACCCGAGCAAUAUUUCGCGGAUGUCGUAGAGGGGUCUCGACUUGUGGCGGCGCAAUGUUCGUAGGACAUUGUAUUUAAAUAAAUGUAUUCGUGUUGCCCUUUGCCUUGUAUUAUAGGAACAAAGCCGGUUUUUGUAAAAUAAUUUUAUUAUGCUUUGAAUUGUUUCCUCCUGUGUAGCCGUGUUAUUUGUAAUCUGAGGGUUGGCUAGCCGUCGGCUUCUGCCCUCGCGUAGGUAGUACGGAGGUGUUCGGAAUGGAUUCUAAACAAUCUUGAUCCAAUUAUAUGGUCCCUUGGAGGAUUUGUUUAGCGCAACGAACAAGGCAAUCGGACUGUACGGCUUAAACGCCCUCACUUAGCCAUAGGAGUUUUAUAAUUAAGCAAGUGCGCAGCCCCUGGUCCAAGCUAGGGUGCUGUCGGCGUCUAAUCGGGAAGUGUCGAUCCUUCGCAUGAUGCGGAAAAAAUCUCCAAUGAUUUUGUAACCCUCGAAUAGCUGACCGGCUCUCGCCGUAUCAUGACAGACAAUUUUCGGCUUUCUCUACUGAGGUGCUCAUAUGGUCAAGGCCAGGGCACAAUCGCAGUAGUUCUCCCUUUACUAACCUAGCCGAUAGAGCGGAACGUAGGGUAGCAAGCAUAGGAGCCCGGCAACCCAACUAUUGACCAAAGACAUGAUUCGGAGCCAAUGCAUAUAAUGCUAAAUUCGGGGUGCCGAACUUAUAUAUAAGAAGUGUUCGGACUUUGCUGCCGUAUUGUGGGGCGACAAGUAGCCCCUGGCGAAUAUGAAACGUAAAAGAGUGUCGAUGCAGCAAAUAAGCAAAUCGAAAUAAAAUGAAGUAAGAAGCGAAAACCAUAGAAACUGGGCCACGAACCAUUUUUAUUAUAACUGGAUGGAUACGUCAAGGUGUAUCUUGUAUAGAUGGUGCGAUAAGUAUCCGGGCCUACACACCUGUGCUGCUUGCCUCCGUUGUAUGCCAAUCCUUCUAAAGGACUCGCGAUCAGGCCCGUGGAAAAAGGAACCUGAAACAAGAAAAAAAAAGUAAAAGUGCGUGUGUUCGGGAUCUGUCUGGCCGAACUGUAGACCCCGGGUUAUCUUGUGCCUCCGUCGAUGUCCAUGGAAUUUUGAGUGCGUAAUUGUGUACGCGUGGUACGAAUGCCACUACCUCAUUGGGACUGGGACGGAGGCCGAAUUGCUAGUCGAGCACUUGACGAGCCGCACCGUCCUGUUGCAGUGAAGUCCGGAACCUCUUAAUGAUGUCCGAGGGCUCGACAGCCGUACUAUGGUGCUUCUUGAGAAGGCCGCUCUGUACUUCUGCUGCUAGGGCGGCGGUGUGCUCCUCUGUUCGGAGGGAGCGUUCCGUAUUGCCAUUGACUGUUCUGACGCCGAGUGGACCGGGCAUCUUGAGCUUGAGAUAAGCAUAGUGUGGCACUGCACUGAAUCUAGCAAACACGGUUCGUCCGAGCAGUGCGUGAUAGCCGCUGCAGAAGGGGGCGAUAUCGAAGAUUAACUCUUCGCUUCGGAAGUUUUCCGGAGAACUAAAGAGUACCUCUAGCGUGAUUGAGCCCGUACAGCGGGCCUCUACGCCUGGUAUGACUCCUUUAAAGGUAGUCUUUGUUGGUUUGAUUCGCGAGGGGUUAAUGCCCAUCUUCCGCACUGUGUCCUGAUAAAGCAGGUUGAGGCUGCUACCGCCAUCCAUCAGGACUCGUGUUAGGUGAAACCCGUCAAUAAUUGGGUCGAGGACUAGUGCGGCCGAACCGCCAUGGCGGAUACUAGUUGGGUGAUCCCGACGAUCGAAGGUGAUCGGGGAUGAUGACCACGGAUUGAAUUUUGGGCGACUGGCUCUACCGCGUAGACGUCCCUAAGUGCUCGCUUACGCUCCCUUUUGGGGAUGUGCGUAGCGUAUAUCAUGUUCACCGUUUUGACUUGAGGGGGAAAUUUCUUCUGCCCCCCAGUGUUCGGCUGCCAGGGCUCUUCGUCCUCGUCCUCACUUUGUGAUCCCUUUUCUUUUUUCGGCAUUUAACUUGUCGGCCUGCUUGAAGACCCAACAAUCCCUGUUGGUAUGAUUAGCUUGCUUAUCCGGGGUGCCAUGAAUUUGGCACGGACGGUCGAGUAUGCGGUCCAGGCUGGAAGGUCCUUCGCUGUUUCUUUUGUAGGGCUUCUUCCGUUGGCCGAACUUGGAGCUACUGAAUCCGGCGUUGACUGCGGUGUCAUCGGUGUUGUCGCCAUUGCUUCGGCAUUUGUGUCUAUUGCGCCGGAGCUUUCCAGUGCUGUUCUUGGCCUCAGUGGGGCUUGCCUCGCUGGCUGUGUUUUUACUACGAGCCAGCCAGCUGUCCUCACCCGCACAAAAGCAGGUCAUGAGUGUCGUGAGGGCUGCCAUAGACUUCGGCUUUUCUUGGCCGAGGUGGCGUGCUAGCCAUUCGUCACGGAUGCUGUGUCUGAAGGCUGCUAGGGCCUCGGCAUCCGGACAGUCAACGAUCUGGUUCUUUUUGGUUAGGAACCUAGUCCAGAAUUUUCUGGCUGAUUCUCCAGGUUGUUGAACUAUAUCGCUUAAGUCAUCAGCGUCUGGUGGCCGGACAUAAGUUCCUUGGAAGUUAUCAAGGAAAGCCUCUUCCAAGUCUUCCCAGCUGCUGAUGGAAUUCUCAGGCAGGCUAUUUAACCAGUGCCGAGCUGGCCCUUUGAGCUUUAAUGGGAGGUAUUUGAUGGCGUGGAGGUCAUCUCCUCGAGCCAUAUGGAUAUGGAGAAUGAAAUCCUCGAUCCAUACUGCGGGAUCGAUUGUGCCAUCGUAUGAUUCAAUGUUGACAGGCUUGAACCCCUCGGGGAAUUCGUGAUCCAGUACUUCAUCUGUGAAGCAGAGAGGGUGUGCGGUGCCGCUAUAUCGGGCUGCGUCGUGGCGUAGCUCUGAUGGAGUCCGUCUGCGGUAUUCAGCCCGGGCGUGGUUAGGUUUAUCACGUCCGAAUAGGUAGCCCUCGUCGUGCCUCGAGGCACGUCCUCGCGAUCCGUAGAUCGAUCUUGUAUGUCCUGCUCUACUGUCCAGGGUCUGCCGGAGGUCGUACGUGUGACCCCGAACUCUUCCGUUUCUGUUUUUACGGGGCGGUGGGGCAGGCUGCUGUUCGGCCUGAGUUGCCGCUUUAUCCCGGCCGCGGGGUGGCCGGUCGGCUGCCCUGUCUCGACCACGUGGUGGUCAUUCUGCACUAUGCGAGGGAGAUGUGUGCUCCGGUGCUUCCUCAUCGAAUUGAGGUAGUAGUCUGCGUUUCAGGUAGCUCUUGGCUGGGCGCCUGAGGCCGUAUUCUUCGGCUGUCAGGACAUUAGUCCAUCUAUCGACGAGCAGAUCUUGUUCAGCUUGGAGCUGAUGUUGUUUCUUUUUCAGACUCCUUGCAAUGGCUAUGAGCUGAAGCUUAAAGCGCUCCUGCUCCAGAGGAUCCUCCGGCACGAUGAAGUCUUCGUUGCCGAGGCUUGUCUCCUCCCCGGAGGGUGGACGGUAACUAUCGUGCUCCGAGUCAUCUUCUAUGGCCUGUUCAUCAGGGUUAUCUUGCCUGUUUGCCGUGUUCCUCCUGAUCGGAUGCAGCUCCGACAGGGUCUUCAUUGUUUUCGGCAUCGCCUGGAGUACUAUUUUCUCCGGUGCCGGUGUUGCCGUCCCUUGAGCGACGAGGCUUAGGGCGGCGUUUGGGGCGUCGGCGCUUCGACUGUAUCUUAGAGAUUUUAUUCGCAUCUGGCUCUUCUUUGUCGUCGCCAGAUCCUUUGGGUGUAUCAACCAUGUACACGUCAUACGAAGAGGUAGCCGUCCAGCGUCCGGUGAAUGGCGGGUCUUGGCCUUGCUCCUUAUCGGCAUCAUCGUCCAUACCGUCGAUGUCUUCGGAGCCAUAGUCAAGCACGUCGGUUAAGUCAUCGACGGUGGCUAUGAAGUGGGUGGCGGGUGGGGAGCAAAAUUCUUCGUCAUCCGUCUCUAGCUCGAACCGGACGUAAUUCGGCUAUGAGUCCUUCUCCAAGGAAAAAUUCUUUAAAGAUUUUAGCACGUCACCCAAAGGCGAGUGCUGGAAAACGUCAGCGGCGCUGAACUCGGAGAUCGAUAACCGAUCUAGCUCGGUGUCCGCGGGCAUACACAGUCCGGAACUUAUAGCCGGAGACAAGUCCGAAGUUCCGUUGAAGCGAAUAUUGCAGGGCGUUGAGUCCGUGUGCGGCUCUAACGCCGCGGAUUCUGCGGCCUCGGAUGGCACGAUCUGCUUUGGCCCUAAGGCCGUUGCAGCAGCCGGAACCAUCUCUUGGGUGUGAUCCGAUGACAGAUUUAAGUCACGUUCAUCGGGGUGAGGGGGAGCGAUCGCCGCGGGCUCAAAUCCCUUGAAGAUCAAGUCUCCACGGAUAUCCGCGAUGUAGUUCAAGCUUCCGAAUCUGACCUGAUGGCCAGGGCGUAGCUGUCGAUCUGCUCUAGAUGGCCAAGCGAGUUGGCCCGCAGUACGAAGCCGCCGAAUGCGAAGGUCUAUCCAGGGAGGAAGGUUUCUCCCUGGACAACGUCAUUACUGACGAUCAAAGGGGCCAUCGAGCCCUUUGCCGACGGCACAGUGGAACUCUCAAUGAAAGCACCAAUGUCGGUGUCAAAACCGGCGGAUCUCGGGUAGGGGGUCCCGAACUGUGCGUCUAGGACCGAUGAUAACAGGAGACGGGGGACACGAUGUUUACCCAGGUUCGGGCCCUCUCUAUGGAGGUAAUACCCUACUUCCUGCUUGAUUGAUCUUGAUGAAUAUGAGUGUUACAAGAGUUGAUCUACCACGAGAUCGUAAUGGCUAAACCCUAGAAGUCUAGCCUAUGUGAAUAUGGUAAUGAAUAUAUGCCUUCCGGACUAACCCCUCCGGUUUAUAUAGAUACCGGGGGGAUCUAGGGUUUACAUGGAGUCGGUUAAAUAAGAAGGAAUCUUCAUAGUUGGUCGCCAAGCUUGCCCUCGACGCCAAGGAAAUUCCAAUCCGGACACGGGUAUAGUCUUCGGCCUUCGUAUCUUCACAGCCCAUCAGUCCGGCCCAAUGAACAACAGGCCGGACGCCCGAGGACGCCUUAGUCCAGGACUCCCUCACUCGCCGUUUGUGUUGCGCCAUGAGCAGGACUUUGAUUGAGAGGGCGACGUGCAUGCAUUAGCAUGGUUUGCCAGCGUGAGCGUGAGUGUCUGCACGCGUACAUGCUACUUGCCUCUAUGGACGGUGUGCGCUAAUGUGUGCAUCACGUAUAAUAUAAAAAAUGGUUUGUGCAUUUAACGCAAAGUAUUUCAUUUUCAUUUGGCUGACGAGUGUGCGUUGCAGCGAUGAGUCUGUGGUUUGAUUCCUCACAUACGCACAAUUUUGGUUUUCAUUUCUUUCUCCACUGAUAGGUAGGCCCGCAUAGAUAGAUAGAUAAAGACCACGAGCUGAUGAGGCGCAUGCGGACUGUUUGACUGGUCGACCAGAUAAAUACGGAGCUAUACGCUGAGCCAGUGACCGUAUAAUCACCAUAUCUCCUAUACAAUGAUCAAAGUGAGCUAUCAAGACAAGUUCGAUGACCGCCAAUGCAUUUUACUCGGUAAUAAAUGACCAGGAUUGAAGGGGAAUCCAAAUUUCCUUCGUCUUCUGUCCUUGAGCUCUUGACAAACCAAUGCACUAUACGGUUGUCCGGCCACUCCACCCCAGAGCUGUCAUGAAGCGUCGUUCAUGCCACCGCGCCACACACUAACCGGUAAGGAAGCGAUGGCAUCCCGCCGCGCCGAGUUCCUCGCCGCCCACGACUGCACACAAAAUGGUAGGGAAGUGAUGGCAUCCCGCCGUGCCGAGUUCAUCGCCGCUCGCGACCUCACACCUACGUGGGCGGAAAUUGAAGCUGCCAAGGCCGAAUGGGCGGUAGAGCAAGAGGCGGCCAAAGCCGCACAGAGGGAGCGGAAAAGUCAGAAAGCACUCAAGAAAAGAGAGGCCCGCCACCGCAAGAAAGAAGAGGACGCACGCGCUGCUGCGGAGAGGUCGGCGGAGAUCCAAGCACGGUGGGGUGUCGCCGAAAAAGCCGGGAAGGAGAACGACGGCGUCUGGCCAGCAUGUGAGAAGUAGUAGUACUAGUAGUUAGUGUGUGUGUCUGUGUCACCCAUACAAUUGUUUAAUUAAUUACGAGCAUGUACCAGUACUAGUUACUGCUGUAGUUUUUAGAGCAAAUUACCAGUACAUUAGCCUAGACUCAAUGGAAAAAUUCCUAUCCUAUGCAUCAAAUGGCAUCUGUUUCUCUAUAGGAAUUGAGAUGCAUGUCAUCUCACUUCCUAUGAUUUUCAUAUUCCUAUAAAAUUCCUAUCCUAUGAACCAAAAGAGGCCUCUGCUGGAGUAACUAAUGUAGCUAGCAGUACUGCUGGUACAGUAGUUUUCGUCAAGCAGCGGAAUUCAACGAAGUCAUGAUGGUUCCUUCGUCCGAGCAACUACACUGUGGGAAAUCUUGGGCAUGUGAUUUGACGGCUCAUUAGUCAUUAUUACUGUGGCGCGACGACCGGGGUGACUCUCCCUUGGAGUUCUGCGUGCAUGGCAAGUGGACCAGGAUGGUCGACGUCCCACAUGUUGGCGCACGGAAGUAUUCUUUCCGAUAUCGAGGAGCAAGGAAGCGCGCGCCAGCAAGGGAGGGGGGUUGGGUCAGCCAGGGCGGUCAGAUGCGGGCGUGGUGGUGGUAUUGGUUUUGAACCGUUUCAGGUGUAGUACUGGUAGUUUGUAAAACUAUUCAAUUAUUGCACUCAGUUUCCUAAGAAAUUGUGGUAAAAAAUGUUACUCCACAGCCCGCUUCCCUUCUCCUUCCUCUUCCACCGCCCGGGCACGUCCGCGGGAAGCGAUCGGUCAACCCUUAUAUAGGAGUGCUAGCACAAAAAGAUGCAUGCAUGACCACUAAAAUUUCCAGAUUAAAGCGCCGCUCCGGCGGGAGUACGGCGUAUGCCGUUACCUUCGGCCGGGCCAUGGCUACCAGGCGACAGCGAGCAGAGAAGAGGCGGCGGGAGGGGAAUGAAUACAGCUACUGUUUGGGUUCGCCGUCCGGCUUAAAUAAAUGCGCACCAUCACGUGUACCCGCAGGUGCACAAAUUGUAACAUACGUGUCUGCAUAAGUGGGUGUCACGUAACUGGUGUGUGUGUGAGAUUCUGAGAGACAGAGUGCGUGUGUGCGACUCUACUCUUCGGACAUGUACUCAACCUUUUGCAUCGGGAUAUAAGUAUAAUGGUAUUACACUUUAGCUAGUGAUUUACGUGGCCAUGUUAACGUGGUUAUGUAAAAAAAUGUCACUUCCUGCUCGUGAUUUGCAUUAUAUAAUUACUAGCAAGAUGCUCGUGCAUUGCACGGAACAUCAAUAUGCAUUUUUUUACAAAACACCUGUUGUGAUUGACCCAUGCAGGAGUAAUCCCAUGUGUAAAAACUAAUGAUAUCUCGAGAAUUUUAUCGGAAAACUGGUAUCUCGAGAAUUUCAUCGAAAAAAUGAAAGAUGAGAGAUAAGGUGAGGAGGAGUGGAGCAUGGUGGUGACUGGUGGUCGGACUGGGCGGAGGCAUGGGGAUGGACGACGCCGACAGGCAACAACGGCCACCAUGCUAGAUUGUUCCAGAGACUUCCUUUUUUAAUUGCUCAGCAAUGAGGUUGUGGGAGAUAAGGAUGAAUGAGGCAAGGCCUUGUCUGUAAAUGUGGAGAGAGGUGAGGGUAUCUUUUGUAAAAUUGUCAUAGUUUUCUUUCUAUCCGUCAGAUAGAGAUCGGACGGUCUAUAUUACAAGAUGGCAGGCACACCAUCAUCACCAACUCAGUUUUUUAUAAGAGUAGAGAUGAUAAGUUUGCUAACUACUAAAGUAAAGUGGAAUUUGUCCAUGUUAUACAAGUAAAUUAAGGUGAUUGUUUAUCAUACGGGUAAGGUUGGACGAAGGGUGGUAGGAACAAAUGCUCCGCCUAGAGCAUGUGUGUGUGAGAUGGAGUCUUAGUGUGUGUGGGUGUGGGUGGGUGGGUGGGUGGGUGCGUGCAUGUGUGUGUGACGUGGGGUCCUCGGUGGCGGAUGUAAUUUAAGUGUGUGUGGCUUCAUCAUAGAGAGGUGAUCUAUAUGGCAGAGGCCACCAACGAGGGGGUGCGAGAGACAAAAGGCCCGUAGAGAGGGAAGAGAAGGCGUGUGCGCGUGAGAGGAGUCGACAUCAAGAGAACGUGCUUGUUCGUGAGACACCGAGGAAGACUACUAUAUAUCGAUGGUGCAUGUAGGCGGGAAUUAAAUGAAGGGAUGGUCUUAUUGGUUUCGGCGAUAUAGGGGAAGAGUGAGAGAGGGGGUAGCUAUAAGGAGAUUGUUAAGUGUGAGUGUGUGUUUUACCCAUCCAGGCGGAAGUUAUGUGCACACAAGAAGAGAACGAUUCGAUGUGGCGUUAGGGCUGAGGGUAAUUAACUAAGUAUGGAGACAUAGGAGACCUUGAACGUGCAUGUGUGAGAGGUAUACAUGUAUACGUGGGAUGUGUGUGUGUGCGCGCGCGCAUGAUCAAGAUAAAAGAAAGAAGACAUAAGUCAUAAGAUCAACAACAUGGGAGAGACGGAUCGGUAUGACAAUAUGCAUGCAUGUGAGAGUGCAAGGAAGAAGGCCCGAUAAUUGAGCAUGUGUUUUUGUAUUUAAGAGAUAGUGGCGUGGGUUGGAGCAUGCAUCUGUGGCGAGCAGAGGGAGCGAGACACAACUAUUGUGCAAAAGAGAUCAACCUAUAGAUGCAUGUAUGGAGAGACAUAUAUAGUGUGGGUGAUAGAAAGCAAGAGUGUGUGCGAGAAAGAAAUGUUGACGGAGAAACUACAGAUAGAUACAGAGAUAGAGAUGGUAGCUAGAGGGACAUCGGCUAGUUUGAGUGUUGGAGAUGACCGCCGGGUGGUUCAGAGGGUGAAGUUAUGUGUGUGUGAGAGAAAGAUAAAAAGAGGGAACAUGACUGCAUGUAGAGAGAAACAUAUAUAGUGUGCGUGAUAGGAAGCAAGAGUGAGGGCAAGAAAGAAGGUUGAUGGAGAAACAGAUAAAUAGAAAGAUAAAGAUGCUAGCUAGUGUGCGUUAGAGAUAGGAGUCAAGUGGAUCAGAAGGCUGAGUUAUGUGUGUGGGUGUGAGAGAGAGAGUGUGUGCAUGUGAGUCACAUACAAACAAAUAUCAGAGAGAAAUGAGAUCCCGAGAGACGGAGUUUUGUGUCUGCGAGAGAAAGAUAUUUCACAACGAGAGUGAUAGCUAGAGAGACAUAUGAGGGAACGCAAGAUAUCUCUAGGGAGAGAGUGUGUGUGUGAGCGACAUACAAGAGAAUGGUGGAGAGAUAUGAGACCCUGGGAGACAGAGUUUGUGUUUGUGUGUGAGAAAGAGAUAUUUAAGAGGAAGAGUCGUAGCUUCUCAUACCUAAGGAGCGAAAUACAUCUCUGUGUGAGAGGGCGUGUGCGAGUGGCACACAGGGGAACACUACUAGGAAAAAGGCUACUAGCAGCGCGGGUAAUAUGGCUACUAGCAGCGUGGGUACCCGCGCUACUAGUAUCGCGCUACAGCUAAUAGUUAGGAGUAGCGUGACACCCGCGCUACUGCUAUUACAGAACCGCGCUACUACUAACGAAGUAGCACUAGUAGAAAAACGACUUUUAGUACCGGUUCGUAAGGACCUUUAGUACCAGUUCUGGAACCGGUACUAAAGAGUGGGGACUAAAGGUCCCCCCCCCCCUUUAGUCCCGGUUUAACACGAACCGGGACCAAAGGCCCACCACGUGGCACGAGGCGCGCCGUGGUCUGGGGGGCCUUUAGUCCCGGUUGGUAAGGAUUUUUUUAAUUUUUAUUUUUGAAAUAAAGCAAAAACAGCCAGCCUACUGGGCCGGCACGGCCUGCAUACGACUAGAAACCCAAUCUCUAGUUGGGCCAGGAUGCAGGCCCGUACGGCCCAGUAGGCCCCACAGGGCAGAAGACUUGCAAUAGACCCACAAAGGCCUGCUUAGAGAGGAGCUCGACACGGUAGCCGCGGCGAGGCUUAUAAACCGGUGCGAGCUCCUCUCAACUAGCGAGGUGGGAGUAAACAUUGUGCACUGCGGGUGGCAUCGCACCACCUUUAGUACCGGUUGGGUUGGUGGCUCCAACCGGUACUAAAGACCCCCCCCCCCCUCCUUUAGUACCGGUUGGAGCCACCAACCAGUACUAAAGGCCACCACCUCUUUAGUACCGGUUCAUGGCACGAACCGGUACUAAAGAUUUCCCACGAACCGGUACUAAUGAGUGCCGCCCGCCUGGCCGUUGGAACCGGCAUUAAUGGUCACAUUAGUGCCGGUUCAAUACCAAACCGGGACUAAUGAGUUUCACAUUAGACCCUUUUUCUACUAGUGUAGUAGUAGCGUGCUUAUAAUACCAGCGCUACUAGUAUCCUGAAUACUAGUAGCGCGCAGUUUUUUCCCAACGCUACUAGUAACAAAUCAAGAAUAAAAAAAUAAAAAUUAGACGCAAUAUUCAUGAAUGGAGAUCAGAGACACGUCCAGUGCAAAAUAAAUUAAGGUCACAGAACCAUCUUAACACUUGCAGUGUUCAUGGAUGCAGCAUUGAACAUCUCAACUCGAAGAGAUCACGAGGACGCACACAACCAUCAUCAAAAGGUUGGUACCUUCCCUAUUGUUUCACCACCAACCUAACCAGACCACUUCUCUAGAUGUAUCUACAAAGCGUCGAGGUCCUCCACCUUGAGGAACUCCGGGCGGUGGCGUCGUCCUCCACCUCUGUGACCUUCGUAUGGUGGCGUCGAGGUCCUCCACCCCGGGGACCUCCGGCAUCGCAAUCACCUGGACAAUCAUCAGUAUGACACGGUCGCGAGGCUUCACGGUGAAGUCUGCCCCCGAGUAGUUGAAGAGCACGAUGCCCAUCAGGCCGCAGUAGUCUGCGUCGAUCACCCCUGCACCCAGUCGAGAAAGUGAAAACUUGUUAGUUCGCAUCCUCGUGUAGAUCCAGUAGGGUAUUUUCUUCAAUUAUAUGUCUCUUUUAGUCUAUUAUGAAUCUUCAAAAUGGAAAAACACCUACUAAAUGCAUACCCUAGUUGUACGUGUUCAUGCUAUCUUCUUGUUUUGGUGCAUUCAAGAAAUACUAGUGUAUUUGAGCUAUAUAUUCUUGAAAUAUUUGACAGUUAACAUUCUGUUCAAAAUUUAUUAUUGCAUGGAUAGGGAAAUCGCCAACAAAGGACUUCAGAAAAUUGAUUCCCACUGCUCUUCAAAACAGGGAAUAGGCAAAGUCUUUUUUGAAUUUUGAUAUUCCAUGCCAACUUCAAGUAUAUAUGCUACCAUGUAAUCUUUGAACGUGGAUCAAAAUGAGAUUUCAGGCUUUGUGGGCCUUACCAUGAUCAGUACUAAAUUCUCUAGGCUGCUCAACCUUUCCCUGUAGGGAGCAUUUCUUUCACCAGGUAUCGCAUUGUUAAGUUUGGGAAGAAACCUGCAUCCCUUCAGAUAGUCAUCCAUAUCCUGAAGAAAAAACAGUAUACAUUUUCAGUGACUCACAAUAUAUCAUCGAAUACUGCUCAAGUCUACUUCUAAGAAUAAUUGUUUAAGAUCAGCCAAUGUUUUCUUACGAUCUUCCACUCUGUGAAGUAGAAGUAAAAACUGAAAGCUAAACACACAUUAAGAUUACCUACAUAAAAUUCUUCAGAUAGCGAAUGAGCGAUAGAAAAAAAAUAUAUACUUCAGAUAGCAAGGAGCAGGCCAACAGGCAACAACAUAAGUUUUUUAGCAGCGGCGACAGGUAACUACCGAGACAUUGCAGGUGAAGAUAUGAAUUUUGGGUACCCUUCGUCCCCCACGAGCAGACUUCGUUGACAGUGGUGCAGGGUACAGUGUUGCGCAGGCGACGCGGAGAGAGGCCUGCCUGGCCGGGGCCUAGCCGAGCUUGGCGCUGAGGACGUUGCCCACGGACACCUCCUGCACCAGCGCCGGGUCGACGUUGACUCUCCGGAGAGCACCAUUUUAAAUCGGGCGGCAGAGCAUCACUGACUGGGUGCUCGGAUCCAACUACCAUCUACUUUGACCAUCCGAACCACAUGUGACAACAAGACUCAUCCGAUCUCUUGUCCUCUACCCAAUGUCAUGAGAUAUUGAGAUCCAAUGUUAUUAGUCCAGGUCUGCUACCAUCUACUUAUACUAAUCAAAAGGCAAACCAAUCCACUUACGCCCAGUCUAUCAGGACUAAACUUGUACUCCUAACAGUGGGGCUGUAAAAUUUCCACACGCGUUCAUCUGGGCCUUAUCCUACGCCAUCUCCAAAGAUUUAAAAAUGCAAAAGUUUUCAAUUGACACGACACUUGCCAUUAUAUAUUGUAAAAAAAGUUUAUGUCAUCCGUGCAAAAAACUAAUGCUGAAGUUCUUUCUACUGCCUUUUUCUGAAUUAUUAGUUGCUGAUGCCAAUAAAAACAAGUGCAGUUCAUCUAGCAGCAUACUACCAAAUAUACGCAGCUCAGAAGUUGAAGAUACAAUAAAUAGAUACGGCUAAAAGCAUGAGACCUGCUACUUUGGAAGAUAGUAACUUACAGUAUCCUGGAGAAGGCCUCCCUGUUCUCGUUGAGCUUCCACUGAUCCUCUGCGUCGGAGGCGUAGUAGUCGUACACCAUCUUCAGGAGCUUCUCCCUGGCAAGUUUCCAGUACUCGGACACGUUCGUGAUCAUCUCCAUUCCCCUGCUCAAAUUAUUCAUCAUCAAUUCCCAGUUAAUCUAUUUGCCAAGCAGCAAAAUAGAUCAUCUGCUUUUUCUCUGAAGAGUGAAGACGCUUGAACCUGAACUGUACAUCCUCCGGAUAGCUUGACAGGGAAUAUGAGAAAUCAAGAAGGAUGGCAAGAUAUGGAACAAAUCUGGAGGCUGAUCUAUCCAUGGAGGAGUUGAUUAACUGAAGAAUCGAUCCUGGAUUCCUGAUUCGGUAUCAUAUAUAUCACUCCAUCAGUAGUUCGAGAUGUUGCUUUCGAAUCAGCGGUACUGAAAAAACGAAAUAGAAAGAUUGAGCCGAGGCGAUUUGACGAGUCUUGUUGUCUCAUGACAUUGAGCCGAGGCGGUUUGAGUGGUUGCUUAACUAGUAGCAAGGAUUGGAGUAAGAAAGCAGAGAAAUUUCGUUACCCUGGAUGGCGACGGAGCCGAGCUUGGUGGCGGGGAGGGACGAGAGGCAGCCAAGCAAGGCGUCGAUGGGCGUGCUGGCGACGCCGACGGUGCACACGUCCAUGGGAUCCAGGCCGCCGUCGGGGGCGCAAGUGCUCGGGGACGGCGCCAUGGCGUGGUGGUGGACUGGCUUGGCUGUUGGAUCUUACCCCUCUGUGUGCUAGGGCUCACCGGCGGCGGGUGGAUUGGGUUUGGCCGGAGAGAGCGAGAGGGAGAGAGAGAGAGGGGGUGUAGCGACCCGACCUCAAACGGUAAAGUCUUUGUGCUUCUGUGUCAUCCCUGGAUCGGUAAUGCUGACACACAGUGCUCGAAGGAUUUAUAACAGAGUAGCAAUCACAAACUUAUUACAUCGAAUGUCUCCAAAAAGAACUUAUUACAAUAAAUAUGGCAUAAGGCCAUCUAAUACGAUAACAGCGGAAGACUUGGAAGAUAAAGUGAGUCCAUCAACUCCAACAGCAUAGCUGAGCUGCACGGCAACGACCUAACGAACCUUACUCCUCGUCUGAAAAGUCUGCAACAUAAUACGUUGCAGCCCGAGAACGGGUCAGCACAUGGAAUAUGCUGGCAAUAUAACACAGUAGAGCAAGAACAGAAUAAUGCUACCACUACAUGCAUAUUUGGCUGGUGGAAAGGCUCUAUGGUUAUAGUUUUGCGAAAAGCCAAUUUUUUCCUACAACAAUGGAAUAAGUUUUAUUUAACUAUCAUGGUAGUUGAAACAUCAUUGAGAAGGUUCCUCCAACUCAAUCCCAAUUAAAGUAAUUAUCAACCCAACAUAUUAAAUUAGAGUGAUGAGAUACUUAGGAUAAUCCAAGUACUAGAUACUCAAGAUGUCCAUAACCGGGGACACGGCUAACCAUGAUUAGAUUGUACACUCUGCAGAGGUUUGCGCACUUUUCCCCACAAGAUUCGAUCUCCUCCGUUGGAUUUCUCGCACUACAUGGUGUUUGAGAAACGGAUGACCGAGACACAGUCUUUCAGAAGCAUUAACUCUAACCCCGGGUAGACAGUACCAACCUACAUCCCUCUACAUCUGCUAGCCUACCACUGGAAGAGGUCAGGCAACUUACUCAACUAUGCUAGAGCCCACAAUAGCUUGUGGCUGCACACGGAAGUUUCUAGCAUGAAUAAUCUUAUGAUCCCUUUGAGCCUGGGUGGCGAGCCGUAGGAUGAUCACACGGGUCCUCCGGGAUAUCCUAGGACAACACUGGAUUCUCCAGGUGCCCGUAACCAAUCCACCCAGAUGUGUAUUAAAGUACCCACCUUAAGUUGAACCAUUAAGUAAACAAUCUCACAUCUGUCAUGGAUUCACUCACCCAAACCACGUCUACGAGCAUAGCAUAGCAAUAUAAGCAAUACGUUGAAGUAACUCCCAAGGGUUUGAUAAUAACAGGGCAAUAGGUUCUACCUCAUCAACUACUUCCCAAUACCCACAAGUUAAUCACAUCCUAAUCAUGCAGUGUUUGAGGAUUGGAGCUAAUGCAUAAAAACUGGGUAUGAAAAGAGUAUGAUCAAUGUGUUACUUGCCUUGCUGACGAUACGCAAAACCUAGAGACUCGUAGUAGCACGCUUCGCACUCCGGGAAUUCUAUCGCAAAAAAACAAUAGCAUGCAUAAGCAAUCAAUCAUGGAUGCACGGGUAAAACUCAAAUAAGAAGAACUAACCAGAAAAUCCAACUUAAGAACUCCGGUUUGCAAAAAGAAUCAAAUCAAACGGAGCAACAAAACUCAAACUGCGAAAGAAACAAGAUUCGAUUACUAAUCUGGACUAAAGUCAAAUUUUACAGUACCAAAAUCUUGUUCAAGUUGGUUAAACAGAAAUAGGGUUUCGAGACGAAGAUCUAGGCGCUUGAAUCGCCUGAUUCCGAUAAACGAGCGAAAAGAUAAACUAAAACGAAAAUCGGAUCAGAAAUCGCGAUCGAAAAUAAUCGCGAAAAAACUGAGAAAAAGAAAAACUGACGAACAGGCUAACGAACGAACGUUCGUUGUCUGUAACUAAUGAGCGAAAACGGUUCGUUAAAACGAACGUACGGACGAACGUCCGCUAAAUAAUCUAAACCGAGAAAACCAACGAACCGAUAAAAAAAGCAACUAGGGUUUUUAAAAAAACCGAUGGUUUUACCUAAACCGAAAGAAAAACAGCGGCUCCGGCGGCUUCCGCGGCGGCGCGGCGAGGCGGGGGCAGCGCGGGGUGAGGCGCGGCAGGCGGCGGCGGCUGCUGCUGCUGCUUGCGGUGGCGGUGGUGGCGAUUUGGGGGCGGGGGCGGCGGCUUUUAAAGGGGAGAGGGAGGGUGGCUUGCGGGAGGGGGCGGGAGGAGUCCCGGGCGGCGACGGCGACGGCUGCCGAGUCCUGGCCGGACUCGGGCACGGCGGAGGCGGUGGCGCGGCACGGGCCGGCGGCCUGGCUCGGCUGGGUCUUGGCCCAGUCGGGCGCGGAAGAAGUUUUUUUAAAAAAAAUGGAUUCCGCCGAAAAUAAAUCCUAGAAAAAUAAAUAAAAAUCUAAAAAUGCCAAAACAAAUUUUCACCGUCUAAAUAAAAUAUUUAGAACAAGAUGAACGUUUUCUUGGCCCUAAAAUGCAAUUUUGAAAACAUGCAAUUUUUCUAAUGCAAAUAAAAUAGCACUAAAAGCCGAAUAAAAUCAAAUAUUUGAUUUUAAUAUUUUUCCUCCAAUAUUUCAUUUAUUUUGGAGAAGUCAUAUUAUCUCCUCUCAUAUAUUUUAAUAUGAAAUAUUUUCGGAGAGAAAAAUAAUUAAAACAAAUAAUCCUCGUUUCAGUAUUUGAUAAAAUUCAAAUAUGGAAACAGUGAAAUCCCCAACUCUCUCCCAGGGUCCUUGAGUUGCGUAGAAUUUCGAGGAUCGCGAAACGAAAUGCAACAAAAAUAUGAUAUGCAUGAAUGAUCUAUGUAUAACAUUCCAAAUUGAAAAUUUGGGAUGUUACAAACCUACCCCCCUUAAGAUGAAUCUCGCCCUCGAGAUUCGGGUUGGCUAGGAAAUAGGUGUGGGUGGUCUUUACAAAGAUCAUCCUCUCGUUCCCAGGUGGCUUCAUCCUCGGUAUGGUGGCUCCACUGAAUUUUGCAAAACUUGAUAACCUUGUUGCGGGUGACUCGGCUGGCAAAUUCAAGAAUCCUGACUAGCUUCUCCUCAUAGGUCAGAUCACUGUCCAACUGAAUUGCUUCUAGAGGCACUGUAUCUCUCAGUGGAAUAUCGGCCAUCUCCGCAUGACACUUCUUCAACUGUGAAACAUGAAACACAUCAUGAACUCCCGACAGUCCUUCAGGUAACUCCAACUUGUAGGCAACCUCUCCCAUACGUUCCAAAACACGAUACGAUCCUACAAAUCUCGGGGCUAACUUUCCCUUAACUCCAAAACGUUUCACUCCUCGCAGAGGUGACACUCAUAGAUAUGCUCUGUCUCCAAUUUCAUAGGUUACUUCCUUGCGUUUCGAAUCUGCAUAACUCUUCUGCCUGGACUGGGCUUCCUUCAGUCUAUCUCGAAUCAAUUUAACCUUCUCUUCAGACUCCUUAAUCAAAUCUGGUCCAAACAACUGUCGGUCUCCAACUUCAUCCCACAUCAACGGUGUUCUGCACCUUCGCCCAUACAGGGCUUCGAACGGUGCCAUCUUCAAACUGGCUUGAUAGCUAUUGUUGUAUGAGAACUCCGCGUAGGGUAAAUUGUCAUCCCAAGUAGAUCCAUAAUCUAGUGCACAAGCCCUCAACAUAUCCUCCAGAAUCUGGUUGACUCUCUCGGUCUGUCCAUCUAUCUGCGGAUGAAAAGCUGUACUGAACUCCAGCCUGGUUCCCAAAGUCUGGUGCAACUGAUGCCAAAACUUUGAGGUAAACUGUGUUCCUCUAUCUGAGACGAUGGUCCUUGGAACUCCAUGCAGACAUACGAUCCUGGUCAUGUAUAUCUUGGCCAACUUCGCACUUAUAUAGGUGGUUUUCACUGGAAUAAAGUGAGCCACUUUGGUCAAGCGAUCAACUACUACCCAUAUAGAAUCAUAUCCUGAUUUGGUCCUGGGCAAUCCGGUGAUGAAAUCCAUGCCAAGCUUAUCCCACUUCCAUUCGGGUAUCGGCAUAGGCUGUAGCAAUCCUGCUGGCUUUUGAUGUUCUGCCUUCACUCUCUGACAUACAUCACAUACGGCUACAUACUCGGCAAUAUCCUUCUUCAUACCAGUCCAUCAAAAAUGUUCCUUCAAAUCCAAAUACAUCUUGGUGUUUCCGGGGUGUAUCGAGUAUGGUGAGUCAUGGGCCUCCUGAAAUAUUAACUUCCUGAUCUCUGUGUUAUUGGGCACAUAAACACGGUCCUCAAACCAUAAGGUGUCGUGCUCAUCCUCACGAAAACCUUUGGCCUUUCCUUUGCUCAUUCUCUCUUUUAUCUCGGCAAUUUCUUUGUCAUCCUUCUGAGCUUCUCGAAUCUUUGCUAACAAUGUAGACUGAACUUCCAUUGUUGCAACAAAACCUCUAGGAAUAAUCUCCAAUCGAAGUUCCCUGAGAUCCCCUGCUAACUCCUUUGGCAAUCCUGUGCUUACGAGGGUGUUAGCAUAACUCUUCCGGCUCAAAGCGUCUGCUACGACAUUGGCCUUGCCUGGAUGAUAGUGAAGCUUCAUGUCAUAAUCCUUUAUAAGCUCCAACCAUCUCCUCUGCCUAAGGUUCAGCUCCUUCUGUGUGAAAAUGUACUUCAAACUCUUAUGAUCCGUGUACACAUCACAACGGUUUCCAAUAAGGUAAUGUCUCCAAGUCUUGAGCGCAUGCACUACAGCUGCUAACUCCAAAUCAUGUGUGGCAUAAGUCAAUUCGUGCGGUUUUAGUUGUCGUGAGGCAUACGAAACAACUCUUCCGUCCUGCAUAAGCACACUUCCAAGUCCUAAGCGAGAGGCGUCGCAAUACACUUGGAAAUCCUUGCGUAUAUCCGGCAGAAUCAGCACUGGGGCUGUAGUCAGACGUUUCUUUAACUCCUGAAAACUCGCCUCACAUUCUUCCGUCCAUAUAAAUUUGGUAUCCUUCUUCAAUAACUCUGUCAUUGGCUUCGCAAUCUUGGAAAAAUUCUCAAUGAAUCUCGGAUAGUAUCCUGCGAGUCCAAGAAAACUGCGGAUCUCGCUAACUGAAGCGGGUGCCAACCAUUCAGUGACUGACUGAACCUUGGUGGGGUCUACUGGUAUACCUUCUCCUGAUAUAACAUGUCCAAGGAAUCCAACUUCCUUCAACCAAAACUCACAUUUGCUGAACUUGGCGUACAACUGAUGUUCCCUGAGUUUCUCGAGAACUAAUCGUAAAUGCUCAUUGUGCUCCUCUUCAUUCUUCGAGUAUACCAUUAUAUCAUCAAUGAACACCACAACAAACUUAUCCAAAUAUUCCAUGAACACCUUGUUCAUCAUGCUCAUGAAAUAGGCAGGGGCGUUAGUCAGUCCAAAUGACAUGACCGUAUACUCAUACAACCCGUACCUUGUGGUAAAUGCGGUCUUUGGUAUAUCCUUCUCUCGAAUUUUCAGCUGGUGAUAUCCUGAUUGUAGAUCGAUCUUUGAAAACACUUUAGCUCCUUGCAGCUGGUCAAACAAAUCAUUGAUCAUCGGCAAUGGGUAUUUGUUCUUGAUCGUCACCUCAUUCAAUGCCCGAUAAUCAACAACCAUCCUCAAUGAUCCAUCCUUCUUCUCAACCAAAAGCACUGGGGCUCCCCACGGUGAUGAACUUCGUCGAAUGUAACCUUUCUCCAAUAACUCCUUGAUCUGCUCUUAAUCUCUUCCAGAUCAUUUGUGGGCAUCCAGUAGGGUCUCUUUGAUAUAGGCCCGGUGCCUGGCAACAGUUCUAUCAAAAACUCGAUGUCCUGAUCUGGCGGCAUGCCUCGUAAUUCUUCUGGAAAUACAUCUGGGUAAUCCUUUACGACAGGCACUUCCUCCUGAACAACUCCUGAGAGGGAAUUUACUUGGGUUCUCCUUGUCAUAUGCCUGGAUACAUACUUGAUCCUCUUUCCCUCCGGGGUGGUGAGAUAAAUCGACUUACUAGCACAGUCAAUGCUUCCUCCAUACUUUGACAUCCAGUCCAUGCCUAAUAUCACAUUCAAUCCUUGUGACUCCAAAAUUAUUAGGUCGGACGGGAAAACAUGGCUACCAAUGGUUAAGGGUAUCCGGUCGCACCAUCGGCUAGCCAUAUACUCUGCUCCAGGUGAACUUACUAACAGAGGGGUCCUAAGGGCUUGGGUUGGUAGUUUAAACUUAUCCACAAAUCCCCUUGAUAUGUAUGAAUGCGAUGCACCAGUAUCAAAAAGAACAAGGGCGGUAAAAGACUUAAUCAAAAACUUACCGAUAACCGCGUCUGGCUGCUCUUCAACCUCCUCCAUGUUAACGUGGUUCACUUGUCCUUUGUUGAAUGGUUUGGGCUUCUUCCCAGCGCUCCCAUUACCGUUUCCAUUCUUCGCUUCAGGGCACUCCGUGGCAUAGUUUCCAGUCUUCCUGCACUUGAAGCAAGUAAUGUGACUUAGGUCUCUCUUGGUGGGUGUGCAUGGAUUGGAGCGGUUCUGAUUGUUGCUUGUUCCGUUCCCAGUCCCAUUCUUGGAACCAUUGUGGUUAUGCGAACUUCCUCCAUUGUGAUUAUGACCUCCAUGGUUAUGAACAAGUCCUCCUGAGUUCGGGGUUAGACGAGGCUUCUGCUGAGCUCCUGAGUUGUAUCUUCCUUGCCCAUACUUCCUCUUACGGCUCUCAAUCUGUUGCUGCUUCCCUUCAAUCAUAAGAGCCUUAUCUACCAACUCCUGGUAGUUGUUGAAUGUUGCCACCAUCAACUGCAUGCUCAUCUCAUUGUUCAGACCUUCCAAUAAACUUCUCCUGCUUCGCGGCAUCUGUGGCCACAUCAUCAGGGGCAUAGUGAGAUAACUUGCUAAACUCAUCCACGUACUGAGCCACAGUACGGUUCCCCUGGCGUAAGUUGCGAAAUUCACGCUUCUUCAUAUUCAUAGCUCCAGUUGAGACAUGGGCUGUGCGGAAAGCUUGCUGAAACUGAUCCCAAGUGACGUUGGCUAUGGGGAAAGUGGUCGUAUAAUUCUCCCACCAUGAGGCUGCUGGUCCAUCCAAUUGAUGUGCGGCAAAGUGCACCUUCUCAGCAUCUGUGCAACCUGCGGUGGUCAGCUCCCUUCCAAUACGGCAUAGCCAAUCAUCAGCAACUAUAGGCUCGGUGCUACUGGAAAACACUGGCGGCUGCAACCUUAAAAAGCGAGCUAAGUUGUCAACUGGAGGCGGGUUGUUGUUGUUGUUGCCUUGGUUCUGGACUAACAAUUGCAUCAAGGCAUUCUGCUGCUGGAUCAACUGAGUGAGCUCCAGCGGGAAGGCAAAUCUGGUGUCACGUCUCGGAGUCAUCUGAUGGGUUUAGAGGGGAGAGAUUGGAAUAGAAAAGGGGUCUAGUGAGAAGGCACUACCCAUAUGCACAUGAGACAAACACAAUCAUAUCACUCAAUCAAUCAAGCAAGGGCAUACAAACGGUCUAGAACUAUCGUUAAGAGUGCUCAACUACUACUAUAUACAUGGGGGAAUACUACUAAUCAUUUGGUGGUCAUCUAGAAAUUUUGAUCGGUGGAAGACUCCAUGAUGUCUGCUCCAGCUUCGUCUUCAAAGUCAUCUUCACUGGAGUCGGAGUCGGUGUCGUCGAUGAUGAUGUAGUUCUCCGGGCAAGUGGAAUCGUCGUCCUCUCCUCCUGACGCGGGGUCUCCCAUGAAUACUCCGAUCUUCUUUAUCAGGUCGUCAUUCUUCUCCAAUAGUGUUGCAAUUUCCUCCUCAUAUCCAUCGCGUGUAGACUUAAGUUCUUCUUCCAGCUCGAUGAUCCUUGUCUUCGCCUUCUUCAAAUCUAUCAUGCCUGCGCACAUCUGAUUCUCCUGGAGUCGAAUGUGCUGGUUUAACUCCUGGAUGAAAGCUGCAAUGGAUCUGUCCUUCCUGGUGCUGAUCAUCUCCCAUUGCUCAUCUCGGCGUCCACAUAUUUGGUAGAUAGUGUCCUUGAGAUCCUUGUUGUAGACUUCUCCAAUGCGUCCCAUGGCAAUGUGGGCUGCCAUGCUCUUGCCUAGACUCCAGGUUGGUGCUUCAAAGGAAAACUCUAUGGGCUCAGUGACUGGUGUGAACGUCCUUCCUGGAACUUGAACUCGAAUCAUCCAGCGCUCCUCUUCUGGUAAAGUGGCGUUGUAGGUCCCGGUGAAGCUUGGUAUUCUGAUGUUCAGAUACCUAGUGACUUCCUUCAAGUGUCGUCCAAAGGGUGUGUCUUCAUCCGGUUGUGCAGAUUUGUUCCUCAAAUCCGCCAUCCUAAAGAGUAGAAAAUGGAGAGGAGUCAGAAAUGAGUAGAGAAGAGUGACCUAUGGCUUAUCUUAGUGGUCGUGUCCUACACUCAGCAUGUGCUCUGAUACCAUCUUGUAGCGACCCGACCUCAAACGGUCAAGUCUCUGUGCUUCUGUGUCAUCCCUGGAUCGGUAAUGCUGACACACACAGUGCUCAAAGGAUUUAUAACAGAGUAGCAAUCACACACUUAUUACAUCGAAUGUCUCCAAAGAGAACUUAUUACAAUAAAUAUGGCAUAAGGCCAUCUAAUACGAUAACAGCGGAAGACUUGGAAGAUAAAGUGAGUCCAUCAACUCCAACAGCAUAGCUGAGCUGCAUGGCAACGACCUAAUGAACCUUACUCCUCGUCUGAAAAGUCUGCAACAUAAUACGUUGCAGCCCGAGAACGGGUCAGCACAUGGAAUAUGCUGGCAAUAUAACACAGUAGAGCAAGAACAGAAUAAUGCUACCACUACAUGCAUAUUUGGCUGGUGGAAAGGCUCUAUGGUUAUAGUUUUGCGAAAAGCCAAUUUGUUCCUACAACAAUGGAAUAAGUUUUAUUUAACUAUCAUGGUAGUUGAAACAUCAUUGAGAAGGUUCCUCCAACUCAAUCCCAAUUAAAUUAAUUAUCAACCCAACAUAUUAAAUUAGAGUGAUGAGAUACUUAGGAUAAUCCAAGUACUAGAUACUCAAGAUGUCCAUAACCGGGGACACGGCUAACCAUGAUUAGAUUGUACACUCUGCAGAGGUUUGCGCACUUUUCCCAACAAGAAUCGAUCUCCUCCGUUGGAUUUCUCGCACUACAUGGUGUUUGAGAAAUGGAUGACCGAGACACAGUCUUUCAGAAGCAUUAACUCUAACCCCGGGUAGACAGUACCAACCUACAUCCCUCUACAUCUGCUAGCCUACCAAUGGAAGAGGUCAUGCAACUUACUCAACUAUGCUAGAGCCCACAAUAGCUUGUGGCUGCACACGGAAGUUUCUAGCAUGAAUAAUCUUAUGAUCCCUUUGAGCCUGGGUGGCGAGCCGUAGGAUGAUCACACGGGUCCUCCGGGAUAUCCUAGGACAACACUGGAUUCUCCAGGUGCCCGUAACCAAUCCACCCAGAUGUGUAUUAAAGUACCCACCUUGAGUUGAACCAUUAAGUAAACAAUCUCACAUCUGUCAUGGAUUCACUCACCCAAACCACGUCUACGAGCAUAGCAUAGCAAUAUAAGCAAUACGUUGAAGUAACUCCCAAGGGUUUGAUAAUAACAGGGCAAUAGGUUCUACCUCAUCAACUACUUCCCAAUACCCACAAGUUAAUCACAUCCUAAUCAUGCAGUGUUUGAGGAUUGGAGCUAAUGCAUAAAAACUGGGUAUGAAAAGAGUAUGAUCAAUGUGUUACUUGCCUUGCUGACGAUCCGCAAAACCUAGAGACUCGUAGUAGCACGCUUCGCACUCCGGGAAUUCUAUCGCAAACAAACAAUAGCAUACAUAAGCAAUCAAUCAUGGACGCACGGGUAAAACUCAAAUAAGAAGAACUAACCAGAAAGUUCAACUUAAGAACUCCGGUUUGCAAAAAGAAUCAAAUCAAACGGAGCAACGAAAUCUGCGAAAGAAACAAGAUUCGAUUAUUAAUCUGGACUAAAGUCAAAUUUUACAGUACCAAAAUCUUGUUCAAGUUGGUUAAACAGAAAGAGGGUUUCGAGACGAAGAUCUAGGCGCUUGAUUCGCCUGAUUCCGAUAAAUGAGCGAAAAGAUAAACUAAAACGAAAAUCGGAUCAGAAAUCGCGAUCGAAAAUAAUCGCGAAAAACCCGAGAAAAAGAAAAAUUGACAAAUAGGCUAACGAACGAACGUUCGUUGUCUGUAACUAACGAGCGAAAACCGUUAAAUAAUCUAAACCGAGAAAACCAACGAACCGAUAAAAAACGCAACUAGGGUUUUUAAAAACCGACGGUUUUUACCUAAACCGAAAAAAAACGGCGACUCAGGAUCGGAUCGGCUCCGGCGGCGGCGCGGCGAGGCGGGGGCAGCGCGGGGUGGUGCGGCGCGGCGGCGGCUGCUGCUGCUGCUUGCGGCGGCGGUGGUGGCGAUUUGGGGGCGGGGGCGGCGGCUUAUAAAGGGGAGAGGGAGGGUGGCUUGCGGGAGGGGGCGGGAGGAGUCCCGGGCGGCGACGGCGGUGGCUGCCGAGUCCUGGCCGGACUCGGGCACGGCGAAGGCGGUGGUGCGGUGCGGGCCGGCGGCCUGGCCCGGCUGGGCCUUGGCCCAGUCGGGCGCGGAAGAAGUUUAAAAAAACGAAUUUCGCCGAAAAUAAAUCCUAGAAAAAUAAAUAAAAAUCUAAAAAUGCCAAAACAAAUUUUCACUGUCUAAAUAAAAUAUUUAGAACAAGAUGAACAUUUUCUUGGCCCUAAAAUGCAAUUUUGAAAACAUGCACUUUUUCUAAUGCAAAUAAAAUAGCAAUAAAAUCCGAAUAAAAUCAAAUAUUUGAUUUUAAUAUUUUUCCUCCAAUAUUUCAUUUAUUUUGGAGAAGUCAUAUUAUCUCCUCUCAUAUAUUUUAAUAUAAAAUAUUUUCGGAGAGAAAAAUAAUUAAAAUAAAUAAUCCUCGUUUCAGUAUUUGAUAAAAUUCAAAUAUGGAAACAGUGAAAUCCCCAACUCUCUCCGAGGGUCCUUGAGUUGCGUAGAAUUUCGAGGAUCGCAAAAUAAAAUGCAACAAAAAUAUGAUAUGCAUGAAUGAUCUAUGUAUAACAUUCCAAAUUGGAAAUUUGGGAUGUUACAGAGGGACGAUAGCGAUCAGAGAAGAACGACCACCGCAGGGGUGGACGGCAGAUGAGAGGAGAGGAGGGUGGAAGGGAGGCCGGCGGUGGAAGGGAUCUCGAUCUGAUCUGAAUCGAGGGUGGGCGAUGUGGGAGUGGAUCAGGGGUGGGAGGUGUGGGAUCUGAGUGACACACUUAACGGUAGCGUGAGUAUCUCAAAAGCGCUGCAACUAUCGACUUAGUAGUAGCGCACGUUUUGCAACCAGCAUUAUUAAUAUGGUCUGUCCACGGAUCACGGUUAAGAAUAUUUACUAGUAGCAUGUUUUUAGACCACGCGCUACUAGUAAUAUUUAGUACUAGCGCGGGUAAAUGUAGCUCGCUACUAGUAAGUAGCAGUAGCAUGGGUCAAUAUAGCGCGCUACUAGUAAGCGUCUGCCUAUAAGUUUUUCCCUAGUAGUGGAAUAGUAUAGAGAAAUGAGAUCCCGGGAGACGAAGUUUGUGUUUGUGUGAGAGAAAGAGAUUUCACAUGGAGAAUCAUAGUUAGAGACACAUAGCAGGGAGCGAGAUAUACUUAGAGAGAGAUAGAGUGAUGAAGGUCGAGGGAGAUAGUACCGUCAGUGUGUUACGUAGAUAAAAGAUCAUUGUCAACAUACAGGUAGCACGAGAGAUACCCGAGAGACGAUGAACGCGUAUAGGUCUAGAGAGAUACUCCUAUAUAAGAAUGAGUGAUAGCUAUAUGAGACGAAUAUCUGGAUUAAAGGGGAUUCAAAUAUUUAAACUGGAGAUCACGACAUCGAUAAUAUCAUAACGCAAAUUAGUGUAUCAAACAUGCAUAUUCAUUUGAAUUUGGGGACACGUGUAAUGUUAUAUAGUUUAUCAAUAUUAGUGAUCCAUAGAUUCUUUAAUUAGAGACAAUGCAUGGUUUAUAUGCAAUUAAUGUCUAAACGGGAUUAGACUAUAUGUUGCGUGUGUGAAACACAUUAUAUAUGUUUGAGAAGUAAAAAAACCCGCAUGAAACACACAUUAAUAGGAGACGGUUAACGAGGAAUGCAUACGUUGGAUUUCAACAUAAAGUGGUUUCAAAUAUUUGAAAAUCCAAAUUAAGAUGGAUACAGCCUUAUGAAUCUGAGAUCAUGCCAUUUGUAAACCAUAUUUAUGUAUAAAGGGUGUUGUGCUUUUGAAAGUAUAUAUAAAACUGAUGUAUAUAGAAUUUUAUUCCAAUCGAAAAUGGAUCCUGCCCGAACAAAAAUAGAAUACAAACUAGAUUCGGAUUGAGUUGGCACGGUAAACGUGCACUCUUGCUUUGCAAAAAUUUGAACGAAGCGGGGAAAGUCGCAGUAACUGCCCGAAACCAAAAUCUGUGAGAUGGAAAUUACUGCCUAUCCCUGACACGCAAAGCCUAUCGGCUCGAUUUCUAUAGGUUUCGAUAGGGGUAGGUUUGUAAUUUCACUCAAACGUGACAUAACCACCUAUCACCCGGAUUCAUACACGGUGGGCGCCAAAACACAGUGUCUCCUCGGCCGAAAUUGAAUCCCUCCCUGAUUCAUACACGGUGGGCGCCAAAAACAAACUCUCGUCGGCAAAUAUUCAGUGUAUGCGAGAUUACCGUCCUAUCCCCAACCGACUAAUAUUGUUGUGAUGUAGGAAAUUUUAAACGGGGGCUAAGUUUGUAAAUUUCCAACAGGGAGCCUAUUUUUUGUGUAGUUGUGCCAGAUUAUAUUAAUCUACUCACCAUAUUACAACAUACAUGGGCUAUCUCAUCAGAAUCCAGUGAUAGCACACAAGGGUUUACAGGGAGCCUCUAUUAUAUUACAAUAUCCUCUGCAUUACAAAGAUAAUCUCACUACUAUUUGUGUUUUCAUGCUUUACAGAUAUUGUACGCAAUCACAACGAAUAUAAGAAUACGCACAUCAGAAGAAUAUUGCGGAACAGUUCAAUGGGUAACAAACUUGGCAUCAAGGGAUUGAGGUCCAUUGUGGAUGCAAUGAAACCCACAUGCUCCCGACCUAUAGAUUCAUAUUCAGAAUAUGAUCCUAAUGACUAUUCUGAGCUCAAGGAGUCAAAGGCAGAUGGCCUAUCCAAUUCUCCCAAUAAGGUGCCUGUUCUAAUUUGGCAAGGUUUUAUUGGUUGCACAUAUCUUGCAUAAGGUGUCUUGCAUUUCUUUUGCUUCGUUGCACCGCCAUCUGCUUAGUUUACUCAUGAUAUAUGUGAAGAUGCCAUGCCCAUCCAUUAUCAACACCUAUUCCAUUUGUCGUCAUACCGUGUUUUUCCAUUCAAAUGUUGUUCUUGUGUUUCAGACAUCCAAAAGGAAGAGGGUGGUUGCAGAACCUGAAGGAGUAUAAGCAAAGUCCUUGAAAAAGGUGGUGCUACCGAAGAAAUCACAUAGCACCCGACAUAUAUUGGUGAUAGAACCAGCGCCGCAAAACCUAGGAUAUCGCAACUAUGCUGGUCGCUGCUUUGCUCUUAUGAGUACCUAUUGUCCUAUCGCUGUCCUUACAUUCAUACCUGGUGGAUUAUGUGACAUCAUUGUGCAUUAUAGCUUGCUUAUUCACUGUUUGCUCCAAAUUAUCAGAUCUAUAUUAAUGCUUAAAUUAAUGUACAAUAAACCCAAUGCCUAUGAAGAAAUUUAGUUCUGCAUUGUUCUUGUAAGUAUCUGUUGUCCUUCAUCACUGUACUUAUAUUUGUCAGCUAGUUCUUCAUGUACACUUUGCAGCUUAUUUUCCCUUGUCCUCCAUUUUUCUACACAUCAAAUCUACAUUUACUCUUGACAAAAUAUUGAAUAAAACCAAUGUUACUGAAGAAGUUUAGCUCCGCAUUGCUCGUCAGUGCCUUCUGCCUAUAUGCUGUAUUUACAUUUGUACUCUGCAUCUUAAGUUAAAUAAUCGCCAUUUGUUCCUAUAUUUUCACAUCUAUAUUACUCUUAACAAAAUGUAGAAUAAAGGCAAUACUCUUGAAGAAGAGUGUGCGGUAAACUUCUUGAAUUCCCCCCCCCCAUCAAUAUGGGCAAGGCCUUUAUAGAGCAUGUCUUCACUACUAAUGUAAGUUUGUCCUCCUCGAGCCUUCAAACUUUGUUGUGUAUAUUUGGAUAGCUAUGAGUGCAAAUGUUGUUUAUUUUUGUCGUCUGCAUCAAAUUGUUGUUCAAAGUUUAUAAAGUAGAAAUACAUAAACAUAAGUUUGUCCUUCUCAAUUUCAGUAUUUAGUUGUACAAUCUAGUUCCUUAUUCAUACCAUGUAAAUUAAACUAAACAUAGCAAGUUAUCUUCUUUAGCACUAUGUGUAUGCUUGUGUUCUUGAUCUGUAAUCCAGUGGUGUGGUGAGACUACCAACAACAGCACAAUGUCAUAUCCUGCUAUGUCUCAACUAUGAAUAAUGCCUUAUUAUAUUAAUGUUAUUUAAAUCGUGUCUCUUUAUUUACCAAUCUGAAAUGGUAUAAAUUGACAGUACACUCACCAUUCAUGCUUAUACGUUGUUUAGAACUACAUCUAUGCUUGUGUUCUUGAUCUGUAAUCCAGUGGUCUGGUGAAGCUGGCCGCUCCUGCACAAUGCCAUUUCCUGCCGUCUUAACUAUGAACAAUGCCUAUUAUGUUAAUGUUAUUUUAAAUAGUGUCUCUUUAUUUCUGACAAAGAAAUUAGAUGAAUUGACAGCACUAAUGCUUAUACGUGCAAAACUUGUUAUCUACCUACUUGUUUCUCUUUCAGGGUGACAACAUUGCUGCUAGGAAGAACUGCCACAAUGAUAGUGAGACGAACCCAUUGCUUGUCCCUCUAACACAUAUUCCAGAGGAGAAGGCAACACAUAUUGAGGGUAGGGAUACAACCACGAAGUCACAUCUUGAUGUAGUGUCAAACUUACUCGAUGACACAAGCUCAAUGAAGUCGCCGCCUGAAUCUGUUCGACUUCUUCAGUCUGAAAUUCAAGCAGAAAUACAUGCUUCCACUCAAAUACGACUGAAAUUCCAAUCUCUAUGCAAGAUUAACCAUAAGUACAUGACGUUUAUUGAUGCUAUCCAGCUUAAGUUGGUGGUAUGAGCGGCAAAGAAGCGCAGUCUCAUUAGGUUGCUAAGCUGCUUGCGCUACAGCUCCCGGGCCGGGCUAACCUUUCUUGAACUGUGUUGAAGUGCUGUCGGUUCUGUCUAUUAUUUUGUCCGCCUAUUAACUUCCACUGGUGGCGACCUGCCCAGUUUAUGUAAUUUGAUGUUUGGUUGCCCUUUAUUAUCACUGGCGGUGAACUUUUUUUUUGACAGAAAGACUGUAAGGGGACCCCCUACAGUAUAAUUGGUGCAACAAACCCAAAUUGCAAGUACCAUGCCUUGAACCUGGGUGGAUGGGAAGGCAUCAGCCCCUUCCAACCACUAGGCUAUGCCUUAACCUGCACUAGGCUAUACCCAAAUUUCUUUGUUGUAUAGUCUAGGUUUAUUCUUGGUCGGUAUGCUGUAAUUUAGGUCGGAAGGUUCAGUGGAUCUCAGUGUUGUCGGUCUUCAGGCCGGCCCGUUAGUCAUAUGGGCCAAAACGUGGGCCUAUUAUCAUCUUGGGCCAUUAGUAGGUCUAAACCUAUAGUAGUUUCCUGCCUUUAACAGGUCGAGUAAAGUUCUGGCCAGCUGGGCCAGAGAAUAUGGGCUUUUAACAGGCUAAAAUCUAGAUUGGGCUAGUGUUGAGCCAAAAAAUUCACGGGCCAAUACAGGCCGAAACUGCCUAAGGCCAAUGUUGGGGCCAAAUAGGACGAGCAAUUAACAGGCCAAAAUAUAUCUCGGGUCUGUUUGGCCAAAUAAAAUUAUGGGCUUUAAGCACGCCGGUAUCCGCGUGGGCCAUAGGCCCAAAAGUGUCACGGGCCAUUAUCAGAUGGGCUGUAAGCAGGCCGGAUUCAACGCGGGCUGUAAUUAGGCCCAACUGUUACACGGGCCAUUAACAGGCCGAUAGGCCAGUUGGGCUGAAAUUUAUCCACGAAGACUACGGGCCGUUAAGAGGCCUAAAGUUACUUUGGACAAGAAAUAGCCCAGUUUAUGCAUGGGUCGUUAAAUGGCCUAAAGUUAAACCGGGCCGACAACGUCCCAGAUACACCACGGGCCGCUAACAGGCCGAAACUAUUAUCGGGCCAAACUGGUAAACGAGCAUUUAACAGGCUGAAAUACAAACAUGUCUUAGAAUGGGCCCAAAAGAACAGUGGCCUGUUAACGGGCCUGAUCCAAUAUUGGCCGUAAUUUGGCCCAAAACGCGGCAGGCUGUGAAUGGGCCUGAUGUAGUAUGGGCCUCAAUUUGACCCAAAACAUGGCAGGUUGUUAACGGGCCAGCCCACUAGUGUCUGAAAAAACAUGGUGGGCCUUUAGCUGGGACGGCCUUUUCACCGGAAUGGGCCUCUGUUGGGCCGUGCCACGUGUCGACGUAUCAUAGUCGCCUCCUGUCCAAUGAGUGGAUGACAUCUGUCCCAACGGUGAGCCAACACGUGUUUCCUCCGGCCAAUAAGAAUUUUACACGUGGAAAAUCCCCAUUGGUCUGGGCUGUUAACGGGUGAAAGGACAUGCGGUGCCCCCAUGUGUGGUUUUGGUAAUUGAUGACAAUCUGUAUGGACUAAUGGUUGCAUUGAGUUAUAUUUGAAGGAUUUGUCCAUAGGCAUGUCUUGAAGUCCAUGUGUUGGUUUCAAGGAGUUUAUGUGUUGACAGAGGUGCUUUUAAGGAAUUAUCCAAAGAUUGGUCAUGUGAGAGUUGAGCUUAUUGCAAGCAUGUCUUGGAGAAGAAGAUUGUGUGAUCAUUCAUGUCUACCUUCAAGACAUCAUCCAAAUGAAGAGAGUUCGAAAGAUUCAAGGUUGAUCAAGAUUAAGUCAAGAGUGAAUCAAGUUGAUCAACACACAAAGCAUACAAGAUGUACCAAGGGAUCAAGUGAUCCCAUGGUAUGGUAAGCAUUGUCCAUUAUGCUUUGUAUGCUAUACCAUGGUAUUCGUGAGAGUUUUUUGUGGGGUUAGGUUGCGGUGUGUGAUACGUCUCCAACGUAUCUAUAAUUUUUUAUUGUUCCAUGCUAUUAUAUUAUCUGUUUUGGAUGUUUAAUGGGCUUUAUUAUGCUCUUUUAUAUUAUUUUUGGGACAAACCUAUUAACCGAAGGCCCAGUGCAAAUUGCUGGUUUUUUUGCCUAUUUCAAUGUUUCGCAGAAAAGGAAUAACAAACGGAAUCCAAACGGAAUGAAACCUUCACGAGGAUCGUUUUUGGAACAAACGCAAUCCAGGAGACUUGGAGUGGACGUCAAGGAAUCAACGAGGCGGCCACGAAGCAGGAGGGCGCGCCCCCCACCCUCGUGGGCCCCUCGUGGCUCCACCGACCUACUUCUUUCGCCUAUAUAUACUCUCAUACCCUGAAAACAUCCAGGAGAGCUACGAAACACUUUUUCCACCGUCGCAACCUUCUGUACCCGUGAGAUCCCAUCUUGGGGCCUUUUCCGGCGCUCCGCCGAAGGGGGAAUCGAUCACGGAGGGCUUCUACAUCAACACCAUAGCCUCUCCGAUGAUGUGUGAGUAGUUUACCACAGACCUUCGGGGCCAUAGUUAUUAGCUAGAUGGCUUCUUCUCUCUCUUUGGAUCUCAAUACAAAGUUCUCCUCGAUCUUCUUGGAGACCUAUUCGAUGUAAUACUUUUUGCGGUGUGUUUGCCGAGAUCCGAUGAAUUGUGAGUUUAAGAUCAAGAUUAUCUAUGAACAAUAUUUGAUUCUUCUCUGAAUUCUUAUAUGCAUGAUUUGAUAUCUUUGCAAGUCUCUUCGAAUUAUCAGUUUGGUUUGGCCUACUAGAUUGAUCUUUCUUGCAAUGGGAGAAGUGCUUAGCUUUGGGUUCAAUCUUGCGGUGUCCUUUCCCAGUGACAGCAGGGGCAGCAAGGCACGUAUUGUAUUGUUGCCAUCGAGGAUAAAAGGAUGGGGUUUAUAUCAUAUUGCUUGAGUUUAUCCCUCUACAUCAUGUCAUCUUGCCUAAUGCGUUACUCUGUUCUUAUGAACUUAAUACUCUAGAUGCAUGUUGGAUAGCGGUCGAUGUGUGGAGUAACAGUAGUAGAUGCAGAAUCGUUUCGGUCUACUUGACACGGACGUGAUGCCUAUGUUCAUGAUCAUGCCUAGAUAUUCUCAUAACUAUGUGCUUUUCUAUCAAUUGCUCGGCAGUAAUUUGUUCACCCACCGUAAUAUAUGCUAUCAUGAGAGAAGCCACUAGUGAAACCUAUGGCCCCCGGGUCUAUUUUACAUCAUAUUAGUUUCCCGUCAACUAGCCAAUUUCUGUCACCGUUUAUUUUGCAACCUUUAUUUUCCAAUCUAUACAACAAAAAUACCAAAAAUAUUAUCUUAUUAUCUUUAUCAGAUCUCACUUUUGCAAGUGGCCGUGAAGGUAUUGACAACCCCUUUAUCGCGUUGGUUGCAAGGUUCUUGAUUAUUUGUGCAGGUACUAGGCGAUUUGCGUGUAGUCUCCUACUGGAUUGAUACCUUGGUUCUCAAAAACUGAGGGAAAUACUUACGCUACUUUGCUGCAUCACCCUUUCCUCUUCAAGGGAAACCAACGCAUGCUCAAGAGGUAGCAAGAAGGAUUUCUGCCACCAUUGCCGGGGAGGUCUACGCACAAGUCAAGACAUACCAAGUACCCAUCACAAACUCUUCUCCCUCGCAUUACAUUAUUUGCCAUUUGCCUCUCGUUUUCCUCUCCCCCACUUCACCUUUGUCGUUUUAUUCGCCCUUUUUCAUUCGUCUCUUUUCGCUUGCUUCUUGUGUGCCCGUUCUUAGUGAGGUUUGUCGCCAUCAUGUCUGAAAUUGGGGAGGUUAUCGUCGAAAAAGAUAAUAGUAACAAUGGGGGAAACCUUGAUACUUUUGAUAAUCCAGAUGAAGAAUCCGCUAUUCUACACACUAAAAAGUUUUGGAUUGGUAGUGGUAAUAUUAUUGGAAAAGGAGUUACUCAAGAUUUCUUUACUUGUGCCGGUGCUUUGCCCACUAUGGGAGGGUCUAUUCUUCAUAGAACUAGUAGUCUCGCGGAUGCUAUAUCUUUUCUCAUAGUUGAACUUGAAAGACAAUUUAUGCAUAUGCAUCCUUGCAUACAAAGGAUUUUCCUAGAAUUUUUCAAUAUUGAGCAUUCUUCUGUUAAGCGUGUAGCUACUAUAUUUUUAGCACAUGAGUUCAGAUUUAUAAUGAAAGAGGCCAAUGAAAUUUUUGCGCAUUAUAGGGUGGACGCUUGCCGUCCUCCCAUAUAAGCUAUCCUUUUUAAUCAAGAAGACAUAAUGCGUUUACGAUCUUUAGAUCAUGUUGCUUAUAAUGAAAACCUUAGAAAAAAGGUUCCUACCGAUGUUCUAGUUGAUAGAAUCUCUAAACUUAAUGAUGAUUUUGCUAUUCAGAAUAAUGGGUUAGGAUUUCCUCUUGAACAUAGGCUCAUGACUUUUUGCCAAAAGAAUGCUUAUAAUGAUGAAUUGGUUGUGCAAUAUGAGGGGCCGAAGGAGGAACCAAUACCUCCCAAGCUUGAUCUUGGGGACUUUUGUCCCAUUAAAUUUAGCCCUUUUGAUUAUUUUUGCCUGCCGCAAAGAAAGCUUGCUGCUGAACGUAGGGAGUAUGAGAUGAGUUUUCGCGAUUUGCCCUAUCAUUAUGGCAAUACCUGGAUCUAUUCUUGUUUUUAUGCCUAGCUAGGGGCGUUAAACGAUAGCGCUUGUUGGGAGGCAACCCAAUUUUAUUUUUGUUCCUUACUUUUUGUUCCUGUUUAGUAAUAAAUAUUUCAUCUAGCCUCUGGUUAGAUGUGGUUUUAUGUUUUAAUUAGUGUUUGUGCCAAGUAGAACCUUUAGGAUAACCUAUGGUGAUAGUUAAUUUGAUCUUGCUAAAAAGCAGAAACUUUUGCGCGCACGAAAUUAGUUUUCAUAAAUCACAGGAACGUGCUUUUCAGUUGAUUCUUUUUGCAGAAUAUUAAUAAACAAAUUGCUUAGGACUUCCUAAUUCCUCAGAAUUUUUGGAGUUACAGAAGUAUUUGAAACUAUUAGAUUUCUACAGACUGUUCUGUUUUUGACAGAUUCUGUUUUUAGUGUGUUGUUUGCUUAUUUUGAUGAAUCUAUGGCUAGUAUCGGGGGGUACGAACCAUAGAGAAGUUGGAAUACAGUAGGUUUAACACCAAUAUAAAUAAAGAAUGAGUUCAUUGCAGUACCUUAAGGUGGUGGUUUGUUUUCUUAUACUAACAGAGCUCAUGAGAUUUUCUGUUUGAGUUUUGUGUUUUCAAGUUUUCAAGUUUUUGGGUAAAGAUUUGAUGGAUUUUGGAAUAAGGAGUGGCAAGAGCCUAAGCUUGGGGAUGCCCAAGGCACCCCAAGGUAAAAUUCAAGGUCAACCAAAAGCCUAAGCUUGGGGAUGCCCCGGAAGGCAUCCCCUCUUUCGUCUUCGUCUAUCGGUAACUUUACUCGAGGCUAUAUUUUUAUUCACCACAUGAUAUGUGUUUUGCUUGGAGCGUCUUGUAUGAUUUAAGUCUUUGCUUUUUACUUUACCACAAUCAUCCUUGCUGUACACACCUUUUGGGAGAGACACACAUGAAUCGGAAUUUAUGAGAAUACUCUAUGUGCUUCACUUAUAUAUUUUGAGCUAGAUAAUUUUGCUCUAGUGCUUCACUUAUACCCUUUUUAGAGCACGGUGGUGAUUUUAAUUUGUAGGAAUUAUUGAUCUCUCAUGCUUCACUUAUAUUAUUUUGAGAGUCCUUUAGAACAGCAUGGUAGUUUGCUUUGGCUAUAAAAUUAGUCCUAAUAUGAUAGGCAUCCAAGAUGGGUAUAAUAAAAACUUUCAUAUAGAGUGCAUUAAAUACUAUGAUAAAUUUGAUACUUCAUAAUUGUUUUCAGAUAUAAAGGUUGUAAUGUUAGAGUCAUGCUAGUUGGGUAAUUGUGGAAUUGAGAAAUACUUGUGUUGAGGUUGGCAAGUCCUGUAGCAUGCACGUAUGGUAAACGUUGUGUGACAAAUUUGAAGCAUGGGGUGUUCUUUGAUUGCUUUCCUUAUGAGUGGAGGUCGGGAUCGCGCGAUGGUUAACACCUACCAACCCUUCCCCUAGGAGCAUGCGCGUAGUGCUUAGUUUUGUUGACUUGUAGAUUUUUGCAAUAAGUAUGUGAGUUCUUUAUGACUAAUGUUGAGUCCAUGGAUUAUACGCACUCUCGCCCUUCCAUCAUUGCUAGCCUCUUCGGUACCGUGCAUUGCCCUUUCUCACCUCGAGAGUUGGUGCAAACUUCGCCGAUGCAUCCAAACCCCGUGAUAUGAUACGCUCUAUCACACAUAAGCCUCCUUAUAUCUUCCUCAAAACAGCCACCAUACCUACCUAUUAUGGCAUUUCCAUAGCCAUUCCGAGAUAUAUUGCCAUGCAACUUACCACUGUUCCGUUUAUUAUGACACGCUCCAUCAUUGUCAUAUUGCUUUGCAUGAUCAUGUAGUUGACAUCGUAUUUGUGGCAAAGCCACCUUCAUAAUUCUUUCAUACAUGUCGCUCUUGAUUCAUUGCAUAUCCCGGUACACCGCCGGAGGCAUUCACAUAGUCAUAUUUUGUUCUAAGGAUCGAGUUGUAAUUCUUGAGUUGUAAGUAAAUAGAAGUGUGAUGAUUUUCAUUAUUAGAGCAUUGUCCCAUGUGAGGAAAGGAUGAUGGAGACUAUGAUUCCCCCACAAGUCGGGAUGAGACUCCCGAUGAGAAAAAAAUAAAUAAAUAAAGAGGCCAAAGAAGCCCAAAUAAAAAAAGGCCAAAGAAGCCCAAACAAAAAAACAAAAAAAUGAGAGAAAAAGAGAGAAGGGACAAUGUUACUAUCCUUUUUCCACACUUGUGCUUCAAAAUAGCACCAUGAUCUUCAUGAUAGAGAGUUUCUUAUUUUGUCACUUUCAUAUACUAGUGGGAAUUUUUCAUUAUAGAACUUGGCUUGUAUAUUCCAAUGAUGGGCUUUCUCAAAAUGCCCUAGGUCUUCGUGAGCAAGCAAGUUGGAUGCACACCCACUUAGUUUCUUUUGAUGGGCUUUCAUAUAUUUAUAGCUCUAGUGCAUCUGUUGCAUGGCAAUCCCUACUCCUCGCAUUGAUAUCAAUUGAUGGGCAUCUCCAUAGCCCGUUGAUUAGCCGCGUCAAUGUGAGACUUUAUCCUUCUUUUUGUCUGCUCACAUAACCCCCAUCAUCAUAUGCUAUUCCACCCAUAGUGCUAUGUCCAUGGCUUGCGCUCAUAUAUUCCGUAAAAGUUGAAAGAGUUUGAAAAGGCUAAGUAUGAAACAAUUGCUUGGCUGAAACCAGGGUUGUGCAUGAUGGGAGCAUUUUGUGUGACGAAAAUGAAGCAUGGCCAAACUAUAUGAUUUUGUAGGGAUGAGCUUUCUUUGGCUAUGUUAUUUUGGUAAGACAUAAUUGCUUGGUUAGCAUGCUUGAAGUAUUACUAUUUUUAUGUUGAUAAUAAAAAUUUGUCUAGGAUCUUUUGGAUCUAAGCAUUCAUGCCACAAUAAAUAGAAUUACAUUGAAAAUUAUGUUAGGUAGCAUUCCACAUCAAAAAAUUUGUUUUAUCAUUUACCUACUCGAGGACGAGCAGGAAUUAAGCUUGGGGAUGCUUGAUACGUCUCCACCGUAUCUAUAAUUUUUGAUUGUUCCAUGCUAUUAUAUUAUCUGUUUUGGAUGUUUAAUGGGCUUUAUUAUGCUCUUUUAUAUUAUUUUUGGGACUAACCUAUUAACCGAAGGCCCAGUGCAAAUUGUUGUUUUUUGCCUAUUUCAGUGUUUCGCAGAAAAGGAAUAUCAAACGGAAUCCAAACGGAAUGAAACCUUCGCGAGGAUCGUUUUUGGAACAAACGCAAUCCAGGAGACUUGGAGUGGACGUCAAGGAAGCAACGAGGCGGCCACGAGGAAGGAGGGCGCGCCCCCCACCCUCAUGGGCCCCUCGUGGCUCCACCGACCUACUUCUUUCGCCUAUAUAUACUCUCAUACCCUGAAAACAUCCAGGAGAGCCACGAAGCACUUUUUCCACCGCCGCAACCUUCUGUACUUGUGAGAUCCCAUCUUGGGGCCUUUUCCGGCGCUCCGCCGGAGGGGGAAUCGAUCAUGGAGGGCUUCUACAUCAACACCAUAGCCUCUCCGAUGAUGUGUGAGUAGUUUACCACAGACCUUCGGGUCCAUAGUUAUUAGCUAGAUGGCUUCUUCUCUCUCUUUGGAUCUCAAUACAAAGUUCUCCUCGAUCUUCUUGGAGAUCUAUUCGAUGUAAUACUUUUUGCGGUGUGUUUGCCGAGAUCCGAUGAAUUGUGGGUUUAUGAUCAAGAUUAUCUAUGAACAAUAUUUGGUUCUUCUCUGAAUUCUUAUAUGCAUGAUUUGAUAUCUUUGCAAGUCUCUUUGAAUUAUCAGUUUGGUUUGGCCUACUAGAUUGAUCUUUCUUGCAAUGGGAGAAGUGCUUAGCUUUGGGUUCAAUCUUGUGGUGUCCUUUCCCAGUGACAGCAGGGGCAGCAAGGCACGUAUUGUAUUGUUGCCAUCGAGGAUAAAAAGAUGGGGUUUAUAUCAUAUUGCUUGAGUUUAUCCCUCUACAUCAUGUCAUCUUGCCUAAUGCGUUACUCUGUUCUUAUGAACUUAAUACUCUAGAUGCAUGUUGGAUAGCGGUUGAUGUGUGGAGUAAUAGUAGUAGAUGCAGAAUUGUUUCGGUCUACUUGACACGGACGUGAUUCCUAUGUUCAUAAUCAUGCCUAGAUAUUCUCAUAACUAUGCGCUUUUCUAUCAAUUGCUCGGCAGUAAUUUGUUCACCCACCGUAAUAUAUGCUAUCAUGAGAGAAGCCACUAGUGAAACCUAUGGCCCCCAGGUCUAUUUUAAAUCAUAUUAGUUUCCCGUCAACUAGCCAAUUUCUGUCGCCGUUUAUUUUGCAAUCUUUAUUUUCCAAUCUAUACAACAAAAAUACCAAAAAAUUAUCUUAUUAUCUUUAUCAGAUCUCACUUUUGCAAGUGGCCGUGAAGGGAUUGACAACCCCUUUAUCGCGUUGGUUGCAAGGUUCUUGAUUGUUUGUGCAGGUACUAGGCAAUUUGCGUGUAGUCUCCUACUGGAUUGAUACCUUGGUUCUCAAAAACUGAGGGAAAUACGUACGCUACUUUGUUGCAUCACCCUUUCCUCUUCAAGGGAAAACCAACGCAUGCUCAAGAGCUAGCAGUGUGCAAGUUCAAGUGGAGCAUCACGAAGAAAUCAAAUGCUUGAAGCUUGCCGUCCAUUGUGGUGACAAUGGAUUUGUGAAGAUGUGCGGAAGAGUGGCUCACCCAUAGUGGAGUAUGGGGGAGCAAUCAACUAGUCUUCAUCGAGCCAACGCAAUCAAGAAAGGUGGUCCAACUUGAGGGAGUCAAGAUCGUCAUCAUCUAGCUCAAGUGGACCAUGUGCAAGGCAAAGGUUUGCCCUUGAUAGGUUUUCUAUUUUACCGAUCUCAUGGUGGUAGUUGGGAGACCGGGUUAUAGGAUCGAUUGCCGUACUAUCAAGGGGGGCUCUCAAUGAGUAGCUUUAUCGUAUCAUUCGUAGAGAGCUCAAACCAUUGCAUCCUUGCAUCAUCUUUCUUGGUUCUUGUUUGAUUCUCUUUGUGAGUCUUAGAGCUUAUGGUCAUCUUGAUGACAAGCUCGAGUUCAUCGAAAACGGAGUUCACCUGCAUCUUCUAUGAUGUUUUCGAUGUUGGAGGUUAUGCCGGUUCUUCUCUGUUGGAGGUUUCACUCCUCUAUAUGUUAGGCAUACCUCCCUUGCCCCUUCUUACUCGCUGUUUUGAUGCUACUCGUUGUCUUCUAUCCAACAAGCUUGAGUUUUCUCAAUUCGGAGAUCAUUUGCAGAAGUUAUGGCAGUUCUGGUUUUAUUGGAUCCUUUUGUUGGCUUUAGCUGCGAUAUGAAGGCAGCCAAGUGCUAAAGCCUCUGUGGCGUGCGGUAGUACUGCUCAAGGGAGCGGUAGUACCGCAGGGGCCAGCGGUAGUACCGCUCCUGGUGAGCAGUAGUACCACGGCCUCUAGCCCAGAACAUUGUCACGCACGGAAGUAGGCGCGGAAGUAAUUUUUUACUUCCGUCCCUACGCGGUAGUACCGCUCCCUGCGAGCGGUAGUACCAUGCCGGCUUUCUACUCAAAGCUAGCUCCAGCGGAUGUAGGCGCGGCAGUAAUUUUUUACAUCCGUGGACGCACGGUAGUACCGCUAUCCCCAGCGGUAGUACCGCUACCUCACCGUGUAUACUGCUGUGUGCUGCACCUGUGUGGCCGUUGAAUACUACCCCUGCGGUAGUACCACAAGGGCAGGCAGUAGUACCCCUCCGGCAGUAGUACCACUCUGUUGCCCCGUUGUAGUAGUGUUUCAUUUGGCUACAGCCGCCCUAGCGGUAGUACCGCUCCUUGGAGCGGUAGUACCGCUCGGUGCGGGCUGUGAGGAUAACGGUUGGAUUUUUCCCCACCUAUAAAAGGGGGUCUUCUUCCCCAAUGAACCUUAUCCUUUGAGCUCGUGUUCUUGCCCCAUUGCUGACCUUCUUCGAGCUUGCUAACUCUCAAUCCCUCCAUGGAUUCUUGCUAGUUUUUGAGGGAAAAGAGAGAGGAGAUCUAGAUCCACAUUUCCACCAAUCACUUUCUCCUCUAUGUGAGGGGAACCCCUUGGAUCUAGAUCUUGGAGUUCUUGGUGUUCUCCUUCUUGUUCUUCCUCUCAUUUUCCUCCCCAGAAUUAGUUGCUUCGGUGGGACUUGAGAGAGAAGGACUUGGGCACUCCGUGUGCCCUUGCCAUUGCAUUUGGUGCAUCGGUUUGAGUUCUCCACGUGAUACGUGGAAGUUACAAGUUGAGAAGCUUAUUACUCUUGGGUGCUUGGUACCCUUGAGCUUGUUCCUCUUGGGUGCUUGGGCGCCCUAGACAGUUGGUGGUGUUCGGAGCUCAAUCAUUGUGGUGUAAAGCUCCGGGUGUCAGUGUCAAAACUGGUGGAUCUCGGGUAGGGGGUCCCAAACUGUGCGUCUAAGGUUGAGGGUAACAGGAGACGGGGGACACAAUGUUUACCCAGGUUCGGGCCCUCUCUACAGAGGUAAUACCCUACUUCUUGCUUGAUUGAUCUUGAUGAAUAUGAGUAUUACAAGAGUUGAUCUACCACGAGAUCGUAAUGGCUAAAACCCUAGAAGUCUAGCCUGUAUGACUAUGAUUAUGAUUAUUCAUCCUCUACGGACUAAGCCCUCCGGUUUAUAUAGACACCGGAGGGUUCUAGGGUUACAUCAGGUCGGUUACAGAGAAAGGAAUCUUCAUAUUUGGUCGCCAAGCUUGCCUUCCACGCCAAGGAGAGUCCCAUCCGGACACGGGAGAGAGUCUUCGGUCUUCGUAUCUUCACGGCCGAUCAAUCCGGCCCAUGUAUAACAGGUCGGAUGCCUGAGGACCCCUUAAUCCAGGACUCCCUCGGUAGCCCCCGAACCAGGCUUCAAUGACGAUGUGUCCAGCGCGCAGAUUGUCUUCGGCAUUGCAAGGCGGGUUCUUCCUCCGAUGACUUUCAAAGAGAUAUAUUCGGCACUCCAUUUAACGUUGUGCCCCUCGGCUUCUGUGCGUCAACAACUUCAGCUUCCACGUGUCGAGCGAAUGCGGGAGGUCAGGGUAUUUUCACAUAUAACACCCCGGCCAUGUAAGAACAGCGUCUAUUUAACGGGAUUGGAUCUCAGAUCCAUUCUAUAUCAUGCAAAAAAUCCUCAGAGCUUGCUAGGAAAAACCAUUCCAACAUGGCCAGCGCUCCUAGCUCUUCCUCCCGUCCCCACGGCCCAGAAAAAGGCAAUUGGGAGAGAUGUUUCAUAUCUCACGGUCAGUUGGUGAAGCUGCAAACACAGGGAUUCCUUCCCCCUGCGGAUCUAGUCCCCGUUCGAGUAGGAUUGAAUUCCUUCAACGGCGGGGCUCAGGCUGAGAAUUUCCACAACCCAUCCAGGGGGGAGCGAGUGUGCUUCAUCCCCUACUUGCUAAGAGGCGUCGGAUUUCCAAUCCAUCCGUUCCUCCGAGGGCUUCUAGAGUAUUAUGGCUUCCAACUGCACAACUUCACUCCUGCCUCCAUCCUGCACAUCACGGGCUACGUCACUCUUUGCGAGCUAUUCUUGGGUUGCGAGGCCCAUUUUGAUUUGUGGAGGAAGCUAUUCUGCCUCGUCCCUCGCAACCAAGAUGGAUCAAUAUUUGAAGUGGGCGGAGCCGAAGUAUGGCGCAUCGCCGGGACCGGAUACCUGUCCGGCACGCGGAAGAAGGCAUCCGAAGAAUGGCCUUCCGAAUGGUUCUAUAUCGAGGACGUCGCCCUUCCAGACCCAGUUCGAAUGGGUCUUCUCGAAUUUACAAGGGUUCCGUUGAAGAAAUGCCACAGCUGGCGCCCUCGGAGCCUCGAGGAGGAAGAUAGUGCGGAAGUCCGUCAACUGAUUAGCAAGAUAAAGACGCUUGCCCAGCCCGGAUUAUCAAUAGUCGACGUAAUGGCGACUUCCAUAGUGCGAGGGGUUCAGCCACUCCAAUACAGAGGGCUUCCUAUGUGGCACUACAAUGGGGAAGAUGACGCCUCCCGUUGCGGUCGAAAAGGUCCGGACACCCCCGCCGCUUUGGCCAAGAUAUUGGUCGAACUAUUCAAAGGGGAGGAAGAGGAAUUCCUUCGCAUCAAGCGUCGGGAUGGAUUUUCCAUGUACAACCCUACUAGUUGGGUGAGUUACAAUCCCAUUAUUCCAUUCAAUCUACUCCCUGAGUCACUUUUAACGAACAUUACUCCGUCCAUUCGUAACAGGAAUGGCGAAAAAUCACCAAGGGGCUACACCGCCCCGCCCCACAGCCAGAGAACCAUAACCGGGACCUUGACCCUGGAUUUGAAGAGGAUCCGGACAUAUAUGUGGAGCUCGAGGAUGGGGUGUUCUACCAGGCGAGCUAUGACGGCAUGGAAGUGGCCAUCACUGCCGACUAUCCCGGUCUUCUCCCUGCCUCGCACGUAAAUAAUCAGGAGAUAUCUCCUAUGAAAGAGCCUCCUCAUUCUGCCUCAUGAUGGGGAACGUAGCGAUAAUUCUAAAAUUUCCUACAUGUCACCAAGAUCAAUCUAGGAGAUGCUAGCAACGAGAGAGAGGGAGUGCAUCUUCAUACCCUUGAAGAUCGCUAAGCGGAAGCGUUACAAGAACGCGGUUGAUGGAGUCGUACUCGCGGCGAUUCAAAUCGCGGAAGAUCCGAUCUAGCGUCGAACGGACGACGCCUCCGCGUUCAACACACGUACAGCCCGGGGACAUCUCCUCCUUCUUGAUCCAGUAAGGGGAGAGGAGAAGUUGAGGGAGAACUCCAGCAGCACGACGGCAUGGUGGCAAUGGAGCUCGUGGUUCUCCGGCAGGGCUUCGCCAAGCACUAUGGAGGAGGAGAUGUAUGAGGAGGAAGGGGGCUGCGCCAAGGGAAGGGUAUGGCUUCCCUCCCACCCCCUCACUAUAUAUAGGGGGAGGGGAGAGGGUCCGGCCCCUCUAGAUGGAUCUAGAGGAGGAGGCGGCGGCCAGGGGAAACCCUAGAUGGGUUUGGGUGCCCCCACCCCCUAGGAAACUUGCCCCCCAAGCCGGGAGGGGCGGCUAUCCUAGGGGUGGCGCCCCCACCUCUCCUGGUUACGUGAGAGGGGUUGGGAGGGGCGCACAAUCCCUUAGUGGGCUGGUUUGACACUUCCCCUUGGCCCAUAAGGCCCCCCAACACUUGCCGGGGCCUCCGAAACCCCUUUCGGACAUGCUGGCCAUAGCCUGGUACCCCCGGAACAAUUCCGGACUCCAAUACCCUUCGUCCAAUAUACCGAUCUUCACCUCCGGACCAUUCCGGAGCUCCUCGUCAUGUCCGGGAUCUCAUCCGGGACUCCGAACAACCUUCGGUAACCACAUACUAUUUCCCAUAACAACUCUGGCGUCACCGAACCUUAAGUGUGUAGUCCCUACGGGUUCGGCAACCAUGCAGACAUGACCGAGACGUUCUCCGGCCAAUAACCAACAGUGGGAUCUGGAUACCCUUGUUGGCUCCCACAUGUUCCACGAUGAUCUCAUCGGAUGAACCACGAUGUCGGGGAUUCAAUCGAUCCCGUAUACAAUUCCCUUUGUCUAUCGGUAUGUUACUUGCCCGAGAUUCGAUCGUCCGUAUCCCUAUACCUUGUUCAAUCUCGUUACCGGCAAGUCUCUUUACUCAUUCCGUAACGCAUGAUCCCGUGGCUAACUCAUUAGUCACAUUGAGCUCAUUAUGAUGAUGCAUUACCGAGUGGGCCCAGAGAUACCUCUCCGUCAUACGGAGUGACAAAUCCCAGUCUCGAUUCGUGCCAACCCAACAGACUGUAGGAGAUAUGCCCUAGAGGCAAUAAUAAAUGAUAUUAUUUAACUCCGAGUUCAUAAUUAUGUUUAUGUUCCAUGCUAUAACUGCUAUGGUUCUCGAGUCUGCAAUAACCACGAGGCUCGGAGGAAGACUCAUAUGCACGUGUGGAAUAAUAAACGGUAAAAUGUAUUCCUAGUAUGGCCUCUAAGACUAGCUCAAGUGUUGAUGGUUAUGUUUUCCUGAUCAUGGGCAUGUCUAUGUCAGCAACCUUGAGGGCAUAAUGUUAAGAGAACAUUUGUGUUGAAUCGACCCGGCAUGAUGUUAUGCUAUGAGAUUCAUUCGUCACAAGUUUAUUGGUACAUAACACAGAGAUGGUUAAAGUUUGCAUGAUUCCUUAGACCAUGAGAGUAUCGAGUUUCUUCAUGCUUGCUUCAUGAACUUUGGGGUUUGUUAAACGUCAUCCGUAAAUGGGUGGCUAUUACGGCGGCUUACGGGUUCAUGGAAAAGUGUGUCAAGUAACUUGAUAGCUCAAGAUUGGGAUUUGCUCCUCCGACGAUGGAGAGAUAUCUCUGGGCCCUCUCGGUGUUACGGUAUCCAUCAUCGUCUGGCCAGACACUUUGUGAUUUGAUCACGGGGAUGCCGGAACACGAUAACGAGAAAAGAGAACAAUACCGGUAACGAGGUAACUAGCAUAGUGGACAAGUUGUUGAUCCACGGGAAUGCCAACAUGUCUCACCUCGGGUAUUUGCAACAUAUUGCGAAGCAACAGGAAUAGCACACGGCAACUGGAGGUUCACUCGAAUAUUUAUUCGUGUGGGUAUAGGGGUCAAUAUGGGUGUCCACGGCUCCGAUGUUGAUCAUUGAUCGGAAGGGGUUCCGGGUCAUGUCUAUACUUCACCGAACCUAUAGGGUCACAUGCUUAAGGGUCAUCUAUCUACUGAAUACUAGACAGGGAGUCUGAGAGAAAAUCACCGAAAAAGUUUCGGACACCGAAAAGUUUCGGACAGCGGAAUCGUACCGCAGAGAGAGGUCAUCGGAUAAGUUUCGAUGAUACCGAAAAGUUGUUUCGGGAUACACCAUUAAGUCAAAUUGGUUUCGGCACAUGCCUGAUAAUUCUUGGAGGAUGCCAGAAUCAUUCUGGAAGCUUUUUGGAAUUUUCUGAGAUAAAAACCGGAAAUGUUCCGGAGCUGCCGGAGCCACUUCAGAUGCGUUUCGCAGAUGAAAAUCACUAAAACCGGAAUUGUUUCGGAACGCGUUGAAAAUCAUUUUAGUGGGUAUUGGAAAUGUUCUUAGCCCACAUAAAUAUUUUCAGUUCGAUCAGACGCUGAAAAAUGUCGUCGUGAAUAGUGAAAAUCAGCUUUAUGGUUACUUUAUGGAAAGCCACCUUUUGGGGCUUUGCUCCAAAAGAUCUUGGGGAUGACAUGGAUGGAUAGGAGCCAUUUUUGGGGCCCCUCAUGGGGGUGUGGCCGGCCACAUGGGGUAUCCCCCCUUGGGGACCCUCUUGUUCCUUGGUUUCACUCCUAGGUCCUUGUGGAAGGACUUCAUUCAUGUGCAUUUUGGGUUUUUUGUGAAACUACCCUACCCCCUUGGGAUUUCCUAUAAAUAGAGGUGGAGGGGCAGCCCUCCACACUCAUCCCUUGCUCUCAUACACAUGCCAUGCAUUAUCUGGCUUCUUCUCUCCCUCCCACGAAAAGAGUUUCGUAGAGCCGUAAGGCUGUCUGGGUUCCGGCAGGAACUAGUUCUGGACGGCGAAGCCCUGCCGGAUAGAUGACACCGUAUGUGUGCAACUCUUUAGAGAGAUCGUAGUUUCGGUCUUAGUUCGUGAGUGCCUCCCGAAGGGCUGUCCGUGUGACCGUCCGAGUUUCGAAGGUCCUCCCGAAGGGCUGUCCGAGUGACCGUUCGAGUUUCGAAGGUCCUCCCGAAGGGCUGUCCGCGACACCGUCCGGGGGCUGUUCGACCGCCUCCUGGAGGGCUGUCUGAGGAGCAGAUGAGGGUAUACAUCCUCGCGGUUGGGAGGUUGUAAAUCCUAGCUGUGGGGAUCUGCACCGCCGAUCGUCAUCGACUCUACUUCCCGCUGCGCUACGAGUCGGUAACGAAAAAGAUCAAACCAUGUAUGCAGUCUCCAUAGUGGUCCUGGGCUGGUCCGUAGGUCGGAAUUUUUUUUGUUUUCUGCUGCGUUCCCCUACACAGACACUUUCGGAGAUACCUGUAGUGCACCUUUAUAGCCACCCAGUUACGUUGUGACGUUUGGUACACCCAAAGCAUUCCUACGGUAUCCCGGAGUUGCACAAUCUCAUGGUCUAAGGAAACGAUACUUGACAUUAGAAAAGCUCUUAGCAAACGAACUACACGAUCUUGUGCUAUGCUUAGGAUUGGGUCUUGUCCAUCACGUCAUUCUCCUAAUGAUGUGAUCCCAUUAUCAAUGACAUCCAAUGUCCAUGGUCAGGAAACCAUAACCAUCUAUUGAUCAACGAGCUAGUCAACUAGAGGCUUACUAGGGACAUGUUGUGGUCUAUGUAUUCACACAUGUAUUACGGUUUCCAGUUAAUACAAUUAUAGCAUGAACAAUAGACAAUUAUCAUGAACAAGGAAAUACAAUAAUAACCAUUUUAUUAUUGCCUCUAGGGCAUAUUUCCAGCAGUCUCCCACUUGCACUAGAGUCAAUAAUCUAGUUCACAUCACCAUGUGAUUAACACUCAAAGUUCACAUCGCCAUGUGACUAAUACCCAAGAGUUUACUAGAGUCAAUAAUCUAGUUCACAUCACCAUGUGAUUAACACUCAAUGAGUUCUAGGGUUUGAUCAUGUUAUGCUUACGAGAGAGGUUUUAGUCAACGGGUCUGCAACAUUCAGAUUCGUGUGUGAUUUACAAAUCUCUAUGUCAUCUUGUAGAUGCAGCUACCACGCGCUACUUGGAGCUAUUCCAAAUAACUGCUCUACUAUACGAAUCCGGUUUACUACUCAGAGUCAUCCGGAUUAGUGUCAAAGUUUGCAUCGACAUAACCCUUUACGAUGAACUCCUUUUCCACCUCCAUAAUCGAGAAAAUUCCUUAGUCCACUAGAUACUAAGGAUAAGUUCGACCGCUGUCAUGUGAUCCCUUCCUGGAUCACUAUUGUACCCCUUGACUAACUCAUGGCAAGGCACACUUCAGGUGCGGUACACAACAUAGCAUACUGUAGAGCCUACGUCUAAAGCAUAGGGGAUGACCUUCGUCCCUUCUCUCUCUCCUGUCGUGGUCAGGUCUUGAGUCUUACUCAACACUCACACCUUGUAACACAGCCAAGAACUCCUUCUUUGCUGAUCUAUUUUGAACUCCUUCAAAAUCUUGUCACGGUAUGUAUUCAUUUGAAAGUACUAUUAAGCGUUUUUGAUCUAUCCUUAUAGAUCUUGAUGCUCAAUGUUCAAGUAGCUUAAUCCAGGUUUUCCAUUGAAAAACACUUUUCAAAUAACCCUGUAUGCUUUCCAAAAAUUCUACAUCAUUUCUCAUCAACAAUAUGUUAACAACAUAUACUCAUCAAAAAUUCUAUAGUGCUCCCACUCACUUCUUUGGAAAUACAAGUUUCUCAUAAACUUUGUAUAAACCCAAAAUCUUUGAUCAUCUCAUCAAAGCGUACAUUCCAACUCCGAGAUGCUUACUCCAGUCCUAAGAAGGAUUGCUGGAGCUUUGCAUACUUGUUAGCAUCUUUCAGGAUUGACAAAACCUUCUGGUUGUAUCACAUACAACCUUUCCUCAAGAAAAUCGUCGAGGAAACAAUGUUUUGACAUCCUAUCUGCAAGAUUUCAUAAAUAAUGCAGUAACUGCUAAUAUAAUUCCAACAGAAUCUUAGCAUCGCUACGAGUGAGAAAGUCUCAUCGUAGUCAACUCCUUGAACUUGUCGGAAAACAUCUUAACGACAAGUCGAGCUUUCUUAAUGGUGACACUUACCAUCAUUGUCCGUCUUCCUUUUAAAAUCCAUCUGCACCCAACAGCCUUACGACCAUCAAGUAGUUCUUCCAAAGUCUAUACUUUGCUUUUAUACACGGAUCCUCUCUCGAAUUUUAUGGCCUUGAGCCAUUCGUCGGAAUCCGGGCCCACCAUCGCUUCUCCAUAGCUCGUAGGUUCAUUGUUGUCUAGCAACAUGACUUCCAAGACAGGAUUAGUACCACUCUGAAGUAGUACGCAUCCUUGUCGACCUACGAGGUUUGGUAGUGACUUGAUCCGAAGUUUCAUGAUCACUAUCAUAAGCUUCCACUUCAAUUGGUGUAGGUGCCACAGGAACAACUUCCUGUGCCCUGCUACACACUAGUUGAAGUGAUGGUUCAAUAACCUCAUCAAGUCUCCACCAUCCUCCCACUCAAUUCUUUCGAGAGAAACUUUUCCUCGAGAAAGGACCUGUUUCUAGAAACAAUCACUUUGCUUCCGGAUCUGAAAUAGGAGGUAUACCCAACUGUUUUGGGUAUUCUAUGAAGAUGCAUUUAUCCGCUUUGGGUUCGAGCUUAUCAGCCUGAAACUUUUUCACAUAAGCGUCGCAGCCCCAAACUUUUAAGAAACGACAGCUUAGGUUUCUCUAAACCAUAGUUCAUACGGUGUCGUCUCAACGGAUUGCGUGGUGCCCUAUUUAAAGUGAAUGCGGUUCUCUCUAAUGCCUAGCCCAUAAACGAUAGCGGUAAUUCGAUAAGAGAUAUCAUGGUAUGCACCAUAUCCAAUAGGGUGCAGUUAUGAUGUUCGGACACACCAUCACACUAUGGUGUUCCAGGCGGUAUUAGUUGUGAAACAAUUUCCGCAAUGUCUUAAUUGUGUGCCAAACUCGUAACUCAGAUAUUCAUUUCUAUGAUCAUAUCAUAGACAUUUUAUCCUCUUGUCACGACGAUCUUCAACUUCACUCUGAAAUUACUUGAACCUUUCAAUAAUUCAGACUUGUGUUUCAUCAAGUAAAUAUACUCAGCAUCUACUCAAAUCAUCUGUGAAGUAAGAACAUAACGAUAUCCGCUGCGUGCCUCAGCACUCAUUGGACUGCACACAUCAAAAUGUAUUACUUCCAACAAGUUGCUUUCUUGUUCCAUCUUACUGAAAAUGAGGCCUUUCAGUCAUCUUGACCAUGUGUUAUGAUUUGCAUGUCUCAAGUGAUUCAAAAUCAAGUGAGUCCAAAUGAUCCAUCUGUAUGGAGUUUCUUCAUGCAUAUCUACCAAUAGACAUGGUUCGCAUGUCUCAAUCUUUUCAAAAACGAGUGAGUCCAAAGAUCCAUCAACAUGGAGCUUCUUCAUGCGUUUUAUACCAAUAUGACUCAAAUGGCAGUGCCACAAGUAUGUGGUACUAUCAUUACUAUUUUAUAUCUUUUGGCAUGAACAUGUGUAUCACUACGAUCGAGAUUCAAUAAACCAUUCAUUUUAGGUGCAAGACCAUUGAAGGUAUUAUUCAAAUAAACAGAGUAACCAUUAUUCUCCUUAAAAGAAUAACCGUAUUGCGAUAAACAUAAUCUAAUCAUGUCUAUGCUCAACGCAAACACCAAAUAACAAUUAUUUAGGUUUAACACCAAUCUCGAUGGUAGAGGGAGCAUGCGAUGCUUGAUCACAUCAACCUUGGAAACACUUCCAACACAUAUCGUCAUCUCACCUUUAGCUAGUCUCCGUUUAUUCCGUAGCCUUUUAUUUUGAGUUACCAACACUUAGCAACCGAACCGGUAUCUAAUACCCUGGUGCUACUAGGAGUACUAGUAAAGUACACAUUAAUAUAAUGUAUAUCCAAUAUACUUCUGUCGACCUUGCCUGCCUUCUCAUCUACCAUGUAUCUAGGGUAGUUCUGCUUCAGUGACCGUUCCCCUCAUUACAGAAGCACUUAGUCUCGGGUUUGGGUUCAACCUUGGGUUUCUUUACUAGAGCAGCAACUAAUUUGCCGUUUCAUGAAGUAUCCCUUCUUUCCCUUGCCCUUCUUGAAACUAGUGGUUUUACUAACCAUCAACAAUUGAUGCUCCUACUUGAUUUCUACUUUCGCGGUGUCAAACAUCGCGAGUUGCUCAAGGAUCAUCAUGUCUAUCCCUGAUAUGUUAUAGUUCAUCACGAAGCUCUAAUAGCUUGGUGGCAGUGACUAUGGAGAACCAUCACUAUCUCAUCUGGAAGAUUAACUCCCACUCGAUUCAAGCGAUUGUAGUACUCAGACAAUCUGAGCACAUGCUCAACGAUUGAGCUUUUCUCCCUUAGUUUGCAGGCUUAAGAAACUUGUCAGAGGUCUCAUACCUCUUGACGUGGGCACUAGUCUGAAAUCCCAAUUUCAAUCUUUGGAACAUCUCAUAUGUUCUGCGACGUUUCAAAAUGUCUUUGGUGCCAUAAUUUUAAACCGUUAGCAUUACGCACUGAACUAUCACGUAGUCAUCAAAACGUGUAUGUCAGAUGUUUCGCAACAUCUACAGACGACGCUCGAGGUUCAGCACACCGAGCGGUGCAUUAAGGACAUGAGCCUUCUGUGCAGCAAUGAGGACAAUCCUCAGUAUACGGACCCAGUCCGCAUAAUUGCUACUGUCAACUUUCAACUAAAUUUUCUCUAGGAACAUAUCUUAAACAGUAGAACUAAAGCGUAAGCUAUGACAUAAUUUGCAAAGACCUUUUGACUAUGUUCAUGACAAUUAAGUUCAUCUGAUUAUUUAAUGAACUCCCACUUAGAUAGACAUCCCUCUAGUCAUCUAAGUGAUACAUGAUCCGAAUCGACUAGACCGUGUCCGAUCAUCACGUGAGACGGACUAGUCAUCAACGGUGAACAUCUCCAUGUUGAUCGUAUCUACUAUACGACUCAUGUUCGACCUUUCGGUCUCUUGUGUUCCGAGGCCAUGUCUGUACAUGCUAGGUUCGUCAAGUCAACCUAAGUGUUUCGCAUGUGCAAAUCUGGCUUACACCCGUUGUAUGCGAACGUUAGAAUCUAUCACACCCGAUCAUCACGUGGUGCUUCGAAACAACGAACCUUCACAAUGGUGCACAGUUAGGGGGAACACAUCUCUUGAAAUUUUAGUGAGGGAUCAUCUUAUUUAUGUUACCGUCGUUCUAAGCAAAUAAGAUGUGAACAUGACAAACAUCACAUGCAAAUCAUAAAGUGACAUGAUAUGGCCAGUAUCAUCUUGCGCCUUUUGAUCUCCAUCUUCGAGGCGCGGCAUGAUCACCUUCGUCACCGGCAUGAUCUCCAUCAUCGUGUCUUCAUGAAGUUGUCUCGCCAACUAUUACUUCUACUACUAUGGCUAACGGUUAGCAAUAAAGUAAAAUAAUUACAUGGCGUUUUUCAUUGACAUGCAGGUCAUACAAUAAAUUAAGACAACUCCUAUGGCUCCUGCCGGUUGUCAUACUCAUCGACAUGCAAGUCGUGAUUCCUAUUACAAGAACAUGAUCAGUCUCAUACAUCACAUAUAUAUAAUUCAUCACAUCCUUUUGGCCAUAUCACAUCACAUAGCAUACCCUGCAAAAACAAGUUAGACGUCCUCUAAUUGUUGUUGCAUGUUUUACGUGGCUGCUAUGGGUUUCUAGCAAGAACAUUUCUUACCUACUCAAAAGCCACAACGGUGAUAUGCCAAUUGCUAUUUACCCUUCAUAAGGAUCCUCUUCAUCGAAUCCGAUCCGACUAAAGUGGGAGAGACAGACACCCGCUAGCCACCUUAUGCAUCAAGUGCAUGUCAGUCGGUGGAACCUGUCUCACGUAAGUGUACGUGUAAGGUCGGUCCGGGCCGCUUCAUCCCACAAUGCCACCGAAUCAAGAUAAGACUAGUAACGGUAAGCAAAUUGAACAAAUCAUCGCCCACAACUACUUUGUGUUCUACUCGUGCAUAGAAUCUAUGCAUAGACCUAGCUCAUGAUGCCACUGAUGGGGAACGUAGCGAUAAUUCAAAAUUUUCCUACGUGUCACCAAGAUCAAUCUAGGAGAUGCUAGCAAUGAGAGAGAGGGAGUGCAUCUUCAUACCCUUGAAGAUUGCUAAGCGGAAGCGUUACAAGAACGCGGUUGAUGGAGUCGUACUCGCGGCGAUUCAAAUCGCGGAAGAUCCGAUCUAGCGCCGAACGGACGGCGCCUCCGCGUUCAACACACGUACAGCCCGGGGACGUCUCCUCCUUCUUGAUCCAGCAAGGGGAGAGGAGAAGUUGAGGGAGAACUCCAGCAGCACAACGGCAUGGUGGCAAUGGAGCUCGUGGUUCUCCGGCAGGGCUUCGCCAAGCACUACGGAGGACGAGGAAAUGUAUGAGGAGGAAGGGGGUUGCGCCAAGGGAAGGGUAUGGCUGCCCUCCCACCCCCUCACUAUAUAUAGGGGGAAGGGGAGAGGGGCCGGCCCCUCUAGAUGGAUCUAGAGGAGGAGGCGGCGGCCAGGGGAAACCCUAGAUGGGUUUGGGUGCCCCCACCCCCUAGGAAACUUGCCCCCCAAGCCGGGAGGGGCGGCUGCCCUAGGGGUGAUGCCCCACCUCUCCUGGUUACGUGAGAGGGGUUGGGAGGGGCGCACAGCCCCUUAGUGGGCUGGUUUGCCCCUUCCCCUUGGCCCAUAAGGCCCCCCAACGCUUGUCGGGGCCUCCGAAACCCCUUUCGGACAUGCUGGCCAUAGCCUGGUACCCCCAGAACAAUUCCGGACUCCAAUACCCUUCAUCCAAUAUACCGAUCUUCACCUCCGGACCAUUCCGGAGCUCCUCAUCAUGUCCGGGAUCUCAUCCGAGACUCCGAACAACCUUCGGUAACCACAUACUAUUUCCCAUAACAACUCUAGCGUCACCGAACCUUAAGUGUGUAGACCCUACGGGUUCGGGAACCAUGCAGACAUGACCGAGACGUUCUCCGGCCAAUAACCAACAGCGGGAUUUGGAUACCCAUGUUGGCUCCCACAUGUUCCACGAUGAUCUCAUCGGAUGAACCACGAUGUCGGGGAUUCAAUCAAUCCCGUAUACAAUUCCCUUUGUCUAUCGGUAUGUUACUUGCCCGAGAUUCGAUCGUCAGUAUCCCUAUACCUUGUUCAAUCUCGUUACCGGUAAGUCUCUUUACUCGUUCUGUAACGCAUGAUCCCGUGGCUAACUCAUUAGUCACAUUGAGCUCAUUAUGAUGAUGCAUUACCGAGUGGGCCCAGAGAUACCUCUCAAUCAUACGGAGUGACAAAUCCCAGUCUCGAUUCGUGCCAACCCAACAGACACUUUCGGAGAUACCUGUAGUGCACCUUUAUAGCCACCUAGUUACGUUGUGACGUUUGGUACACCCAAAGCAUUCCUACGGUAUCCGGGAGUUGCACAAUCUCAUGGUCUAAGGAAACAAUACUUGACAUUAGAAAAGCUCUUAGCAAAUGAACUACACGAUCUUGUGCUAUGCUUAGGAUUGGGUCUUGUCCAUCACAUCAUUCUCCUAAUGAUGUGAUCCCAUUAUCAAUGACAUCCAAUGUCCAUGGUCAGGAAACCAUAACCAUCUAUUGAUCAACGAGCUAGUCAACUAGAGGCUUACUAGGGACAUGUUGUGGUCUAUGUAUUCACACAUGUAUUAUGGUUUCCAGUUAAUACAAUUAUAGCAUGAACAAUAGACAAUUAUCAUGAACAAGGAAAUACAAUAAUAACCAUUUUAUUAUUGCCUCUAGGGCAUAUUUCCAACACCUCACCCACCGCACUGUCUUGUGCUCCAAAGGGGAGGCGCUCGAUGCGUCAUUCUACACCAGAGGCAACUCCAAAGAGAGCGGUGCCCAAGCCGGGCAGGCCUUCGAAGAGGAAGGCAAGCGAAGACACGACCGAGCCUUCAUCGAAGAGGUAUGGCUUUGUAAAUAUGCCCCUUGGCAAUCACAUCCAACUGUGACAUUAUCCGUUGUGUCUUAACAGGAAAAGCGUUCACCGGACUAUGUCCAGGGAUCUUACCGGCCGCGCCUCCACAAGUCAGGUUCCCGACCCUGCUUUAAAGGCAAGGGCUGAUACGGGAGUGACGCCGGAUUGUCCCUCGGCAGAUGAGUCGGAUGAUGUAUCCGUCACAAACUCGGAGGUGGAGAGCGCCAUGAAUCAUCGGCGCCGGAGAGCCGUUCUACGCGACCCCGGCUUUACGAGCGAGGCAUUCAAUGCCUUCAGCUCGACUGAUGCAUAUAUCCAAGCUGCUCGAGACGGGCUUGCCAGAGCCACAGACCAACAUUUGAAAGGUAUGCGGGUAAAUUUAUAUUAUACAAAACUGAUAAUUAUAUACUAGUAGCCCCCGAGACUUGAAGCAGUUGAUACAACUGAUUUAAGGAUCAUUGUAUAACUAGGUGCUUAUGGAGAAGAACAGCCUGUUGUCUCAGGAACUAGAAAAGUGUCGGACCCAGCUAACUGCUGCUACCACCGAACUGGAGAAAUCCAAGAAGGCAUCACCUGGUAAUGUUCCCCUCCAUCGAGAAAACAUAAUUAUAUACCGGAAAUGCUAACACUGUUGCUCAUCUUAUGGCAGGAUCGUUAGAUCAACUGAAGGAGCAACUGAAAGCCGCCCAAGCGGAAGAACAAGAGGCCAAAAGACUACUGGCCGCGGGCGAACGUGUGCUGACACGAGUCAGAGAUGAGAAAAACAAGCUGUAGGAUGCCCACACCCAGCUGGGCGAAGAACUGAAAGAUGUACGGGCCCAGCUGGCUAAUUCUGUAAAGGAAAAUAAGAGGCUGCGCGGUGGCAUAUUUGGUAUGUGGUCACACUUACCUCCGUGUAGUUCGGAGAUGAAAGGGACUGACAGAAUUAUAUCUGUAGGUAUGCUGACCGGCCGUCCCGAAGAGGAGAUGUCCAGAAUCUCGGGCGAUCUGCUACAAGAGCUGUCGCAAAUGCACGAGCAAGCUCGGCAGGUGAUGCGAAGUAUUGCCAAGGCUUUAUGGCCAUCCGUCUCCCCUCCAGGAAGGAUGGAGGAGCUUAUACAGCUAUUCAAGGGAGCGCGGCGGCGCUUCCGAUUAUGGAAGAUAUCGGCCUGCCGGGAAGGUGCACGAGAAGCCUGGGCCAUGGUGAAAACACGGUAUACCAAGCUUGAUCCAAAUCAUAUGGCCCAGGUCGGACCUCUAGGGUCAGAUGGGAAAGAAAUUCCCAUGAAUUUGGUAUAUGACCAAGUAGAAGUAGCUGCCAGAUAUUCCCAAUAGGAUUGUAAGUUAGACAGCCUGUUAGACGGUAUAGAGGAGGAAAUUUGUGAGUCUAAGUGACUAUGUACUUUCCCUGACGUAUUUGUCCCUAGCCGGAUUGUAAAACGAUUGUCAUGGCAGACCUUUUCGCUUUGACCUCUGGACCCAAAGGUGCAGAGUGUUUCCGAAUACCUGAGCGGCAAAAUAUACCGGAGUAUGCGUGGAAACCAGGCGUAGGGGUCAUAGUUGCUUGAACAGACAAGUUGUCUCUGGCUAGCUAUGUUAUAUUACAUUGUGAUUGUAAGAAACAUCUUCCAGAGAGAAUAGUUCUGUUAAGGGUUCCUUUCCCUGGGUGUGCAUGCGGUAAUGUGCAUGUCCGGACUGUGAUUGAAAAAAUCGCAGUAUAUUCAAUAUCUGGGGGUUCAUAUUUUAAUGAAUGUAAAAACAUCUUUAGUUUGCCGACCGAAUAUUCCCUUAAGAAUGCUAGCUUUCGGCUUCACCCAGUCUGAGGUACACAUCUGGAUGACCCGGCAGUAACAAUCGCAGAGGUGCUCCCUUUAUGCCCUAGCCGAACUAACGGGAACGUAGGGCAUAAGCACAGGAGCCAGGCAACCCAGCUUGGCCAAAACUUAAGUCAUAUCGAUGCAUAUAAUGGCGAAGAAAAGGUACAUAUGGGGAAAACGCGCAUAUGUGAUGAGCUUGAUGCUCAAAAAUAACAAUAAUAAGCUUCUAUCAAAGAAGCCCCCAGGUAUAAUUGACGUACAUAUUUGAGGAUGUGUAUGUCACUAGUGCACGGUUUAGCCGCACGAAAAGCUUUAAGGCUAAAAACGGAAAAAGCAAAAAGAGAGGAAAAAGUAAUGGAAACAAUAGGGAUAAGGAGACGAACAAAGAGUUCGGCGCUAGGCAUAGAAUCUUCGGAGUCUGGCCGCGUUCCAGGGGUUCGGCUCUAGGCGAUUGUCUGACGCAUCACGCAGGCGGUACGCUCCUCCGGUGAGAACUUCGUCGAUGAUGAAGGGACCCUCCCACUUGGGCUUGAGUUUGUCUUUUUUUUCUUCUCUGGCAGGCGUAGAGCAAGUUCGCCAACGUUAUAAGUCUUGGCCCGCACUUCUCUGCUUUGAUACCUGCGAGCCUGCUGUUGAUGAAAUGCGGAACGGGCUUUUGCAACGUCGCACUCCCCCUCCAUGGCAUCUAAGCUAUCCUGCCGAUCAAGCUCGGCUUCUCUCUCUUCGUACAUGCGCACUCGGGGUGAGUCAUGAAUAAUGUGGCAGGGUAACACAGCCUCUGCGCCGUACACCAUGAAGAAAGGUGUAUAUCCGGUGGUGCGGUUGGGCGUGGUCCGCAGCCCCCAGAGUAUGGAGUCGAGCUCCUCAACCCAGUGCUUGUCUGAUUCUUUCAAAGACCGCACCAGUCUAGGCUUGAUGCCGCUCAUAAUAAGACCAUUGGCUUGUUCGACUUGACCGUUUGUUUGCGGGUGAUAGAUGGAGGCGUAAUCGAGCUUAAUGCCUAGAUUGGUGCACUAGUUUUUCACCUCAUCGGCUGUGAAAUUGGAGUCGUUAUCGGUGAUGAUGUUGUGUGGGACACCAUAACGGUGUACAACGCCGGAUAUAAAGUCUAUCACUGGUCCGACUUCGGCCGUUUUAACUGGUUUGGCCUCUAUCCACUUAGUGAAUUUAUCCACCCUGGCCAGCAGAUAUUUUUUCUUAUGGCUUCCUCCUUUAAGGGGUCCAACCAUAUCAAGCCCCCAGACCGCAAAAGGCCAAGUGAUGGGGAUUGUUUGCAGAGCGGUGGGUGGCAUAUGGCUCUGGUUGGCGAAGAGCUGGCAUCCGACGCAACGUUGGACAAGGUCCUGUGCGUCUGCUCGGGCCGUCGACCAAUAGAAACCUAUACGGAAAGCCUUGCUUACAAGGGCCCGAGCCACGGCGUGGUGACCACCGAGACCGGCAUGAAUUUCAGCCAAGAGUUGCCGCCCCUCUUCCUCGGAGAUACAUCUUUGGAGUACUCCGGUAGCGCUUUUCUUGUAGAGUUCUCCCUCGUGAACCUUGUAGGCUUUAGAGCGCCGAACAAUGCGGCGAGCCUCGUUCUGAUCCUCGGGGAGUUCUCGCCUAUUAAGGUAAGCCAAGAAGGGUUCGGUCCAUGGGGCAAUGACUGCCAUUAUGAGAUGGGCCGACGGUGUUAUUUCGGUGGCUGAGCCCCCGAUGAUAUCGGUGUGUUCGACAUCUAAGGUUAUAGUCGGGUCCGGACUGUUGUUGCCGCUCUCCCCUUGCCACACCAUGGACAGCUUGAAAAGCCUUUCCAGAAAGAUGUUAGGUGGGAUGGGGUCGCGCUUGGCGCCGAUGCGAGCAAGGACGUCCGCCGCUUGAUUACUUUCUCGAGCCACAUGAGGAAACUCAAGCCCCUCGAAGCGGGCCGAGAUUUUAAGAACGGCGUUGCGGUAAGCCGCCAUUUUUGGAUCUUUGGCAUCGGAAUCUCCAUUUAUUUGAGAUAUUGUGAGGUUUGAGUCCCCACGCACUUCCAGGCGUUGUAUGCCCAUGGAGGCAGCCAUCCGAAGCCCAUGCAACAAGGCCUCAUAUUCGGCUGCAUUGUUGGAGUCUGUGUAUAAUAUUUGGAGUACGUACUGAACUGCGUCUCCAGUGGGGGACGUUAAGACAAUGCCCGCCCCUAACCCCGCCAACAUUUUGGAACCAUCGAAGUACAUAACCCAGUUGGAAUAUGUGUCGUACUCUUUAGGGAGUUCGGCCUCUGUCCAUUCGGCGAUGAAAUCAGCCAGUACUUGGGAUUUGAUGGCCCGGCGUGGUUUGUAUGUUAUGUCGAAUGGAAGGAGCUCAAUGGCCCACUUAGCAAUCCGGCCUGUCGCAUCGCGGUUGUUUAUUAUGUCAUUGAGUGGUACUUCGGAGGCCACCGUGAUUGAGCACUCUUGAAAGUAGUGUCGUAGCUUCCGGGAUGCCAUGAAGACCGCGUAUGCUAUUUUUUGGUAGUGAGGGUACUGGGAUUUGCAUGGUGUGAGGACAGUGGAUACGUAGUAUACCGGUUUUUGGAGUGGGAACUUGUGUCUGUCCUGCUCUUGCUCGAUGACGAGCACGGCGCUCACCACCUGGUGUGUUGCCGAUAUGUAUAAUAACAUGGGUUCGCCGAUGUUCGGCGCGGCCAGGAUUGGGUUGCUCGCUAAAAAGGCCUUUAUUUUCUCCAGUUCGGCCGUUGCCGCGUCCGUCCACUCGAAGUGGUCGGUGCGUCGGAGAAGGCGAUAGAGUGGCAACGCUUUUUCUCCCAAUCUGGAGAUAAAGCGGCUUAAAGCUGCCACGCAUCCUACAAGUUUUUGGACCUGUUUAAGGUCUGUUGGCGUAACCAAUUGUGACAAAGCUCGGAUUUUCCUCAAUUCCUCUAUUGGAAACGAUGAAGCCCAGCAGUUUUUCGGCGGGGACGCCGAAAACACACUUUUCCGGGUUGAGCUUGAUGUCAUAUGUACGGAGGUUGUCGAAUGUAAGACGUAAAUCAUCUAUCAGUGACUCGACGUGCCUGGUUUUGAUGACAACGUCAUCCACGUAUGCUUCAACUGUCUUGCCGAUAUGUUUCUCCAGGCAUGUUUGAAUCAUGCGUUGGUAGGUGGCGCCAGCGUUUUUGAGCCCGAAAGGCAUAGUGUUGAAGCAGAAAGGCCCAUAUGGGGUAAUGAAUGUCGUUGCGGCUUGAUCGGACUCCUUCAUCUUGAUUUGAUGGUAUCCGGAGUACGCGUCGAGGAAACACAGUGAGUCGUGUCCUGCGGUUGCGUCAAUAAUCUGAUCGAUGCGAGGGAGGGGGAAGGGAUCCUUAGGGUAAGCCUUGUUGAGGUCUUUGAAAUCGACGCAUAGGCGCCAGGAUUUAUCUUUUUUUGGUACCAUCACCAGGUUUGCUAGUCAGUCCGGGUGUUUUAUUUCUCUGAUGAAUCUGGCUUCGAGUAACUUGGCUAGCUCCUCUCCCAUAGCUUGUCGUUUGGGUUCGGAAAAACGCCGCAGUGUUUGUUUGACCGGUUUAUAUCCCUUUAAGAUAUUGAGGCUGUGUUCGGCCAACCUGCGUGGGAUUCCUGGCAUAUUAGAAGGGUGCCAGGCGAAUACGUCCCAGUUCUCACGCAGGAACUCUCGUAGCGCGGCAUCGACCGCUGGGUCGAGUUGUGCCCCGAUGGAUGCUGUCUUCUUGGGGUCCGUCGGGUGGACUUGAAAUUUGACUAUUUCAUCUGCUGGUUUAAAGGAGGUGGAUUUGGGUCGCUUGUCCAGGAUUACGUCAUCCCUAUCCACAGUGGAGCAUAGCACGGUCAGCUCUUCGGCCGCGAGGGCUUCAGACAAUGCCUCGAGGGCUAGGGAUGCGGUUUUAUUUUCGGCACGCAGUGCUAUGUCUGGAUCACUGGCAAGAGUGAUGGUGCCGUUGGGCCCGGGCAUCUUGAGCUUCAUCUACCCGUAAUGAGGUAUAGCUUGGAAGCGUGUGAAUGCGUCUCGCCCCAGUAGGGCGUGAUAUCCGCUGUUGAAAGGGGCCACUUGGAAGGUUAUCUCUUCGGACCGAUAAUUCUCCGGCGUGCCGAAUACCACGCCGAGCGUGAUUUUUCCUGCGCAACGCGCCUCUCGACUGGGAAUGAUUCCCCGGAAGGUCGUGCUACUUUGCUCAAUGCGGCUCCUAUCAAUUUCCAUUUUCAUGAGUGUGUCCUCGUAGAUGAGGUUUAGUCCGCUGCCGCCGUCCAUGAGCACUUUGGUGAGCCGGAAGCUGUCCACGAUUGGACUGAGGACCAAGGCGGCUGGUGCCCGGACUGUCUUGAAUUUUGGUUCGUCAUCGGCAUUGAAAGUUAUGGCUGUGUAGUUCCAGGGGUUUAUUGCUGCGACUUGGCAGACUUCCGCAAGGUCGCGAAGUGCCCUUUUGCGCUGAUUUUUUGAAGCAAAGGUCUCGAAGACCGUCAAUACUCUGAGGUCGUCGUCUUCUGGGGGGUGUUGUUCUGGGGUAUUUUUGGUGAGGAGAUCUUCGCCGCUCUUGGCCACUUGCCGGAGUAUCCAACAUGCUCUAAGGCUGUGGGUUCGUGUGGCAUCCGGUGUUGUAUGUAUUUUGCAUGGCCUAUCGAGCCAUCCUUCCAGAACAGUUCCGUGCCCCAUAAUGGGCUUUGAUUUCUUUACUAUUGGGUCAGGCGCUCCACGAGGGUGCGUCCUUUUUGCCCGGACGAGGGGCUGAGUUGAAACCGGUGGUUCCCAACGAGCUGCCUGAGUUUUCCAGGCGCUUUCCAUUGCGCAGUACUUCUGUACUAUGGUUGCCAAGUCAGCAAAGUGUAAUACGCGACGGCGGUUGAUGGCGUUGAGGAUUCCUUCGUCCGUGCAAUUGUUGCAGAAUACUGAGAUUGCGUCUUCAUCGCGGCAAUCUUUAAUCUUGUCUUUGACAAGGAGGAAUCUGGCCCAGAAGUGAUGGACCGUUUCCUGAGACUGUUGUCGUAUGUACAUAAGAUCGCGUAUAGCUGGGUGGGUGGGUGGUUUUAAAUCUGAACCCUGACCCGGUUUGGGAUCCGGAGUUUGUAAAUCUUCCGAACUUAAUGGUUCAGACUCCGGGAUAUCAACUGAUGUUUUAGGCCCGUCGUCCGAUUCUAGGUUCGGAGGGCAGGGCACGUCGUUCCGCGAACAGGUAUCCGGCUCCUCGAGCUCGGAAAUCUGAACAUAGUUCGUCCUCAAUAUAGAGGAAGAGUUAUUGUCUUGCUCCUCCACUAUCGCUAUCUGAUGGGUGAUAGGCGGAGAUUUAAUUUCUCUCUGGUCAGGUUUAAGCCCAAUCCGACCGUAGUCUGUAGCGACCCCCAAGGCGGUGAUGCGAUCUAGGAGUUCGUUUAAAGACGACAACUCCGUCGGAUCCAUCCGUUUGGAGUAUUCGGAGUCAACGCAGAGACGAUUUUCGAUGACUCGAGAGGUCAUCGUCGGCUUAAAGGCCGAACAGGCGGUCAUGGUGAAGCCGCCAAGUCGGAGGGUUUGGCCCGGAGCCAGGGCUCCUCCGGAGGUGAUAUUAUCCUUGACAACAAGGCGAGCCAUCAACCCUGUCUUCGACGUCACAGCGGAACUCUCAAUGAAAGCACCAAUGUCGGUGUCAAAACUGGCGGAUCUCGGGUAGGGGGUACCGAACUGUGCGUCUAAGGUUGAUGGUAACAGGAGACGGGGAACACAAUGUUUAACCAGGUUCGGGCCCUCUCUACGGAGGUAAUACCCUACUUCCUGCUUGAUUGAUCUUGAUGAAUAUGAGUAUUACAAGAGUUGAUCUACCACAAGAUCGUAAUGGCUAAAACCCUAGAAGUCUAGCAUGUAUGACUAUGAUUAUGAUUAUUCAUCCUCUACGGACUAAGCCCUCCGGUUUAUAUAGACACCGGAGGGUUCUAGGGUUACAUCAGGUCGGUUACAGAGAAAGGAAUCUUCAUAUUUGGUCACCAAGCUUGCCUUCCACGCCAAGGAGAGUCCCAUCCGGACACAGGAGAGAGUCUUCGGUCUUCGUAUCUUCACGGCCCAUCAGUCCGGCCCACGUAUAACAGGUCGGACGCCCGAGGACCCCUUAAUCCAGGACUCCCUCACCGGGCAAGCGUCGGGGUCUCCAAUUAGGUUGUGGAGAUCACCCCGAGCAAUUUGACGGGUACCGAUGACCGCCCCCAAGGGUUCCCAAAGGGUACGGGUUCGGUGACCGCCCCCAAGGGUUGCCAUUUGUACGAGUUCGGUGAUCGCCCUCAAGGGUCCCUUAGUGGAAUCACGGCAUCUUGCAUUGUGCGAGGGCGUGAGGAGAUUACGGUGGCCCUAGUGGCUUCUUGGGGAGCAUUGUGCCUCCACACCGCUCCAAACGGAGAUUAGCAUCCGCAAGGUGUGAACUUCGGGAUACAUCAUCGUCUCCGCGUGCCUCGGUUAUCUCUUACCCGAGCACUUUUACUUAUGCACUUUACUUUGUGAUAGCCAUAUUGUUUCUUGUCAUACAUCUUGCUAUCACCUAGUAGUUUAUCUUGCUUAGCGUAAGUUGUUGGUGUACAUAGGUGAGCCUAGUUGUUGUAGGUUUGUGCUUGACAAAUUAACCGCUAGGUUUAUUCUGCAUUUGUUCAAGCCUAAACCAUAAUUAUUUUAAAGCGCCUAUUCACCCCCCCUCUAGGCGACAUUCUCGAUCUUUCAACGGGUUAUCGGAUCCAAAACCGGUCCCGAUAGCUGGCGACCCGUUACGGUCAAUGCCACGUGUCAGUCACCCUUGACGAAAGCACUUCUAUGACGCGCGAUUUAUCGUCAUGGAAGUGGACACUUCCGUGAUGAUAAUUUUGGUAAUGUCAGGAACACUUCUACGAUAGCACAUGUAUGACUAUUUUGAUUCUGUCAUAAAAUCGUCAUGGAUGUACAUGCAUGACAGAAAACGUGACCUGCUGUGACAAACACGUAUCAUCACGGAAGUGUAUUUUUUUGUAGUGAGUAAUGCCUUAAGCAAGAUGCCAUGAUUUAGAGGGAUAGAUCCAAUCAAUAUGAACAAACCCCAUCUUUUUAUCCUUAAUGACAAUAAUACAAAUAUGUGUCAUGUCCCUUUAUGGGAUUGAGCACUGCAAGAUUGAACCCAUUACAAAUCACCUCUCCCAUUGCAAGAAAAAAUCAAUCUAGUUGGCCAAACCAAAUCAAUAGAUCGGUGAGAAAUACAAAGCUAUAUAAAUCAUGCAUAAAAGAGUUCAGAGAAGACUCAAAUAAUAUUUAUAGAUAAUCUGAUCAUAAAACCAUAAUUCAUCGGAUCUCAGCAAACGCACCGCAAAAGAAGAUUACAUCAAAUAGAUCUUCAAGAACAACAAGGAGAACAUUGUAUUGAAGAUCAAAGAGAGAGAAGAGGCCAUCUAGCUACUAGCUAUGGACCCGUAGGUCUGUGGUAAACUACUCACACAUCAUCGGAAGGGCAGCAAGAUUGAUGUAGAAGCCCUCCAUGAUCGAAUCCCCCUCCGGCAGAGUUCCGGAAAGGUCCCCAGAUGGGAUCUCACGAGGACAGAAGUUUGCGGCGGCGGAAAAGUAUUUUUGGUGUGCCCCUGGUCUUCGGGGAAUAUUUGGGUGUUUAUAGAAGAAAGAUUAGGGUUAGAGGAGCCACGAGGGGGCCACAAGCUUGGAGGGCGCCCCCCUAAGCUUGUCGCCAGCUCGUGGCCCUUCUGGCCUCCCCCCAAAGCUUUCAGGGUGUCUUGUGGUCAAAGAAAAAUCAUCAAAAGUUUAAUUCCAUUUAGACUCCGUUUGGUAUUGAUUUUCUAUAAAGACAAAAACAAGGAAAAGACAACAAUUGGCAUUGGGCACUAGGUUAAUAGGUUAGUCCCAACAUAAUAAUGCAUAUAAAACAUCCAAGAUUGAUAAUAUAAUAGCAUGAAAUAAUAAAAAAUUAUAGAUACGCUGGAGACGUAUCAGGUACCAUUGCCACUUCUGGCACUGCUCAGUGUAAACCUGUGGUGACCCAACCCCGUGCGGAACUUGAUUGCAAAUCGAACGGUGGCUUUCAUGACAGGCUCAACCUUAGGUCACUCCGAGGCUGCCAAUGUUUUCCUGACACCUGAAGCCCCCUGUAGAACGGGGUAUCCGACUAAGGAGGCCCAACCCCUUAUACCGAAGAACGACGGCAAGGACUGGGAUUGCAAUAAAGCCUGCGCCAACUGGUGGUAUCUUUUGGAACUAGCACGACGUUUGGUUACCAACGCAUGUAUCGUUCCCGCGGGCCUCCCUCCGGGCUAUGGUUUCGCCGAAGUUCUAUAUGAGAAAUCCCCUUGAAGGCCACCCUGGUCCCAUUGUAGGCCCCUUGCGAAUCCCUCAGCAGAACUUCACCAAAGAGACUGGUCCAACUGGUGGUAUCUUUUGGAACUAGCACGACGUUUGGUUACCAACGCAUGUAUCGUUCCCGCGGGCCUCCCUCCGGGCUAUGGUUUCGCCGAAGUUCUAUAUGAGAAAUCCCCUUGAAGGCCACCCUGGUCCCAUUGUAGGCCCCUUGCGAAUCCCUCAGCAGAACUUCACCAAAGAGACUGGUGUGUUUUUUUAAUGAUAUUCUUGUCGAGUUUCAUGUGCUAACUUAAGAGUGUUUAGUUCUUUAGUCAAGCGCUCAAUUUCCAUCGUUGCAUUGGCAACCGUCUCAUCUUUACUAUCAUGAUCACUAUAAAGUUCAUUAUAGCUAACAUCACUAGUUUUCUCAUUGAGCAAGUCAUCGUCACCUAGCAAGUCAUCCUCAUCACUGAUACGUCUCCAACGUAUCUAUAAAUUUUGAUUGUUUGAUGCUAUUAUAUUAUCAAUCUUGUAUGCUUUAUAUACCAUUCUAUAUCAUUUUUGAGGACUAACCUAUUAACUCAGUGCCAAGUGCCAGUUGUUGUUUUCUGCUUGUUUUUGGUUUUACAGAAAAUACAUACCAAACGAAGUCCAGAUGACAAACAAGGAGACGUCAAGGCAGCACGGCCCCCCUUGUGGGCCCCUCGUGGCUCCGCCUGACCUAAUUCUAGCGCUAUAAAUUCCCAAAUAUUUCGAAACCCCCAGGAGAGGCCCCGAAACAAUCCUUCCGCCGCCACAAGCCUCUAUUCUUCCGUGAUAUCUUCUGGAAGCCUUUUCCGAUACUCUGUCGAGGAGGGAAUGCAUCAGGGAAGACAUCAGUAAAGCAACUUUGUCAAUCUCAAAGCUCCGCAACUUUGAUCUAUCUUCGGUAGGUGCUGUGCGUGGUGAUGUGAUUGAGUGCAUGUCCAUAAGAAAAAAAAACUCCUUAAUUAAUGAAAAAUCUUUUGCCCCCUUGAACAAGUAUUGUUUUCGAUACGGGCUUGGGAGUACAACGGUAGAUACGAUGCAUUUAUUACAUCGAUGAUCCAUCGUCCCGUGUGCGGCCGCCCACACCAGUUUCCUCGUCCCACGAAAGCCCCUUCCAUGCGGGCCCUCGGAAGAGCGCACGCCCACUGGCCCCACAGGCAGCGGCACGGCUAAAAACGGGGGACGCUUCCCUUUCAUCUCGCGACUAUAAAAAAGAACGGGCGGCCCUGCCUAAAGCCCCCGCCCCCUGUCCUCUCCCCUCUCCUCGCCUUCUCCGCCCUCCGCUCCAUUCGUUUCGAUCUAUUUCGGCUUCCUCUCCAAGCUUCGGCCAUGGCGGCGACGAUCCAGUCCGUGAAGGCCCGCCAGAUCUUCGACAGCCGCGGUAACCCCACCGUCGAGGUACGCGCGGAUGCGCCCAUCCCCCGUCCGCCUCCCCGAUCUGUACGUUGUGGUCCGGUUCGAUUCGAUCUGGUAGGGCGGCGGGCGUACGCAGCAACGGCUUGUUUUCGAUCUGGUGAUUCGUCCGUCGGCUGUGGGUUGGGGCUUCUGGGGCGCGGGCAGUAGGUUUCUGAUGCGCUAGAUUCGAGGGGUUUUGGGUUGGUGGGCCGGUAGGUAGGAUGCGGAUUACUGUUGCCCCUCGGCCAGACUUUAUGGGGUUUGGAUGUGCUAGAUAGAUUCGAUGUGAGGUGGUUUGUUUAGUCGGACGCUGCCUGCUCGUCAUGCAUUUUGGGGUUUCGCAGGAUGUAUCCACAGAUCGGCUGGCCGCCAUGCCCAGCGUUUAUGUAGUCAUUAUGGUUUCGUGCCCUGGUUGUUGCUCAGCGCUUAUCGUUUGAUCUGCGCAUAAUGCCGUGGUGUGAAGUAAUGUGACGAAAAUGUAAAUGAGUGUAGGCUCAUCUCAUUCUGGUCCAAGUGGUUUUGGGCGUGCAGGUAGGAUUUAUAAUGUCGUUUGCUCGUUGCCCCUUGGCCAGUUUUUGUUUCUUCAUAUGUUAGAUAGAUUUGACGCAAAGUGGCUUGUUCAGUCAGGUAGAUACUGGGUAGAACUAUUUUUUAUUUUGCCUGCCAGGCGUCCAUUGUAGGUUUUCACAGUGUGUAUCAACAGAUGGUUGUUCGCCGUGCUUGGUGUUUACAUAGCUAAAUGUAGCCAUAUGGCCUGUGUCCUAGUUGCAUGCGACAUUGUCUGGAUUUUAUUGUUUAAGCUAUGCAUAAUGCCAAAGUGUAAAAUAUUUUGGCAAGUUAUUUUGCUAAUCUCAUGGUUUUGUGCAUCAGGUUGAUGUGUGCUGCUCAGAUGGAACCUUUGCCAGGGCCGCUGUUCCCAGCGGUGCAUCAACUGGUGAGUUAUUUUGUUAUUAUCAUCACUCUCUCCUUUUCAACCUUAAGUUUUUGCUUUGGUUUCCUGAGUUCCUGACUAGUGAAGGCACAAACUCUUAUUUGGAUCAUUAUUUAUGGAUUGUGAUUGUAUUGUUUUUGUUGAACUAAUCUUGUCUGAAUCAUCCCUCUUCUGCAGGUGUUUAUGAAGCUUUGGAACUGAGGGACGGUGGAUCUGACUACUUGGGAAAGGGUGUAUCCAAGGUUUACAUCCAUUUGAGCGAAUUUUAUCUUCACAUUCUUUAAAUCUAUGUCAUAGUUCUUAGUCAUGUAAUGUGGCUGCUGUAUAUGUUUUUUUUUGCCUCAACUCUGCUUUUGUUACACUAGCAAUAUUGUUGCCAGCUUUUGAAAUUUUCCUACUUGUUUACCGAAUUAUUAUGCCAAAUGGACCAAACAGUGCUAUCUUUCCGGUUAUCCUGUUUGUGAGGACAAGUUAUUUUGCCAUGUUGGUUUGGUUUCAUCCAUACAAUGUUUCCUUGUGCUGUAUAACUUGAUGUUUCUAGUUUGUGCCAGGUUGUAGAUUUUUUUUCUUAAUUUUAAUGUGAACUACAAUAUUUUUUCUUAAUGUUAAUGUGGUAGGUUGUAGCUUUUUUUUUUGAUAUCUCAUUGCCGUUGAUUGUAUGUACUCCCUCCGUCUGAAAAAGUUUGUCCCAAGCUUGUCCCUCAAAUGGAUGUAUCUAGCACUAACUUGGUGCUAGAUACAUUCAUUUGAGGGACAAGCUUUUUCGGACGAGGGAGUAGUAGCUUAGGAUUAUGUAUUUAUGAAGUGAAUAAUCGUGGGCAAUAUCUCUUGUGCACAUUUUCUUAUUUACUAAAAAACCAACUUGCUCAAGUACUGUCAUGAAAUGAACAACUCAGGAUCAUUUAGUGCUUGAUGUUUCACUAUAGCUAUCCUGGUUUUUUCUAUUGUAGCGAAUAGUCCAUUUGCAUGCAUAAUUUAGUCUUUUCUUUGUAUUUACAUGUAUUUUUUUAUUUUUUUCGCAGGCUGUUGACAAUGUGAACUCGAUUAUCGCGCCAGCUUUGAUUGGCAAGGUUAGCAUUGUCUCUGCCCCCUUUUCUAUUGUGAUAUGAGAGUUGAAUGCAUAAUUCAUUCAGUGCUCUCUUUCCUUCCACAGGACCCUACCGCUCAAACUGAGCUCGACAACUUUAUGGUUCAGCAGCUUGAUGGAACCAAGAAUGAGUGGGGUUGGUGCAAGCAAAAGGUAUAACAUAACCCAUGAUGAGUUUUACCUUUAGAGAGGGAGUACUAAUUUCCAUUUGCAGAUUCCCUUCUAACAGCUUGAUUUCUUUUGUAAACUCAGCUUGGUGCUAAUGCAAUCCUGGCUGUGUCACUAGCUGUUUGCAAAGCUGGAGCCAGCGUCAAGAAGAUUCCGCUGUACCAGGUGUGCAUCAUUGCUAAUCUCCUCUUUUAAUAUUCUACAUUUGUUUGCUAUUGCCUAAAGUCUUCGAACAUGAAUAUUCUUCACUGCAGCACAUUGCCAACCUUGCUGGCAACAAGCAAUUGGUUUUGCCUGUUCCUGCAUUCAAUGUCAUCAAUGGUGGAUCCCAUGCUGGAAACAAGCUUGCUAUGCAGGCAAUGCUCUGACCUAAGAUUUUCACAUCUUUCAUCAUGUUGUUUUCGCACAUUUCUUAUUUAUGCCUAUACUUGCAUAUCUGCAGGAGUUCAUGAUCCUUCCUACUGGAGCUGCCUCAUUCAAGGAGGCAAUGAAGAUGGGCGUUGAAGUGUACCACAACUUGAAGGUAAUUCUUUCAUCUUCUUUUUCUCUUUGCUAUCUUGUAAAAAGCAAAUUUACUAAAACUAACAUUUUCUGUGACAGUCUGUUAUCAAGAAGAAGUAUGGGCAAGAUGCCACCAAUGUUGGAGAUGAAGGUGGUUUUGCUCCUAACAUUCAGGUAUUUCCCUGUCCUUAGAGGUUUACGAUCAGAUUUCCUUGCUUUGUUAUGCCUUGUUAUUUCGACAACAGUUGCUGAUUGUCAUGUUUGGACGUAUAGAACUACUGUGUUGUUAUAAAUUGAGGUCAAUGUUUGUGGGGUGUGAUCUGAGUUCUUUUUAUUUUCGGGUGUUGUAGGAGAACAAGGAGGGCCUUGAGCUCUUGAAGACUGCAAUUGAAAAGGCUGGAUACACCGGCAAGGUUUGUCUGCUUGAAUUAAUCUGUUGUCACGCACUUCUCAGUGAGCUUUUAAGUUAGUGACUGAAGGAGAUUUGUUGGUUUGGGAAAUUCUAGGUUGUCAUUGGAAUGGAUGUUGCUGCUUCAGAGUUCUACAAUGACAAGGACAAAACCUAUGACCUCAACUUCAAGGAAGAGGUAAUUAGCCCCAUGGUUUAUUUUGUGGCAACAAUUUGUUUUCUUUUCAUGAGCAUUUUUAACAUUUGCCCUCCCUUGCUGUAGAACAACGAUGGUUCCCAGAAGAUAUCUGGAGAUAGCCUGAAGAAUGUAUACAAGUCAUUCGUGAGUGAGUACCCCAUUGUGUCGAUUGAGGACCCAUUUGACCAGGAUGACUGGGUGCACUAUGCUAAGAUGACUGAGGAAUGUGGAGUGGAAGUUCAGAUUGUUGGUGAUGACCUUCUAGUCACCAACCCAACCGUGAGUUAUUUGUUUUCUGUUGUGUAGGUGGGCAUUUUCAUUCUGUUGGAUCACUGUAAUUAAUUUGCUGUAUCACUAUGUUGUGCAGAGAGUUGCUAAGGCAAUCAAGGAGAAGUCAUGCAAUGCUCUUCUGCUGAAGGUAUUAUUCUGUUCAAACAUAAGCUGUUAUUGAUUCUUAUCCUUUGGUCGUCAUAGUACAAGUACUCCUUCCGUCCAUAAUAAGUACCUGAUCGGAUGGAGUAUGUAUUACAUAUUCUGAUUGUUUCAUCCUUUUCAUGUGUAGGUUAACCAAAUUGGAUCCGUCACUGAGAGUAUUGAGGCCGUGAAGAUGUCAAAACAUGCUGGUUGGGGUGUGAUGACCAGUCACAGGAGGUACAUACUAGAUACUGCCUUAUUACCCAUCCGUUUUCCCCCUUGUUUCUAUUGUUAUUACCAUUUGUAUGCUUAUGUACAUUCACUGUGUGCAGUGGUGAGACUGAGGACACAUUCAUUGCUGAUUUGGCUGUCGGUUUGUCCACGGUAUAAUUUUAUAAUCUUCAUUUUAUUGUUUGUCUGAAUAAUUUUAAUGAGACUACUGUUUCUUCUCCUCUGGAUCGAUUAGGAGUAUCUGAACAAUGUUUCUUCAUGUGCAACAGGGCCAGAUCAAGACUGGGGCUCCCUGCCGCUCAGAGCGGCUUGCCAAGUACAACCAGGCAAGUGGCUUUCCUGUAAUUCUUGUACUGCUGAAGCAUUCUCCUGAUAUUCUGUUGACCAACAUGACCUCUCGCAAUAACAAAAACCAAAUUAUUCUUCCUCUUUAAUCUUCUGUUCGAUGCAUUGUGCUCAUUUAAGAAUGAUUUCUUGUCUUUUGUUUGGUGUUAAGACUGAUCUUACAUGUUUGGUUUCUGAUAUUCUUUUGUUCAGUGUAAUGUGUUUAUUUGAGCAGUCAUGUCUUGUUUUUUUCUUGAUCUGUUUCCCAAAUUUAUACUAAGGUGUUAUUUCUUUUCCAAUUGGAACAGCUUCUGAGGAUCGAGGAGGAGCUGGGCGCUGCCGCUGUGUAUGCCGGCCUCAAGUUCCGUGCACCGGUGGAGCCAUACUAGAUGGGAUCUGCAUCCGAGACAUGAUCACCACUCUGCACUUGUUUUUGUGAAAGUGGGCGUGUGUUAACUUGUGGAAUGAACUAUGGUUGAAGCUCUUAGGACUUGUCGAGCAAUAAUGUACCGCAUGUUGCUGUGAACGGGACGGAUAUGUACCUACGUACUCCAAACUUGCUCCAAUUUUGGUCUUUGUGGUGAGCGAGCAAGUACGCCUGAUUACCUUUUGGAUCUGUAGUAAACUGUUUGGCUGUUGGCAUCAUCAUAUUUGGCGUCAGUUUAAUCUUGCAGAAAGCAUGCUUUUCGUUCGCCAUUC